UCAUCAGCAACUGCUUUUGCACGGUAGAGUUAAGCUUGGAGCGACUCGCAAAGACAGUCCAGGCUACCACCUUAAGUGUCCGUGUUGUUGAAGGGGGACCUUGGCCUUUUGAAUAUGGUGGUCGGAUUGUGUGCUCCUCACCACCACAGGAAGUUAUGGACUCCCUGGCCAGGCAAGUUGUGUUGGUUGAUUCUCGUUCUUCUGAUGGUGGAGAAAUGCCAAUGGGCACAGAUGGCUACCUUGAUCUGUCAAGGCAUGUUGUUUCUGUAGAACUGGAAGAAAGCCUGCAAUUUGUUAUACAAGCCUACUCGCAGUCUGGUGAUGCUAUUGCUAGACAAGGUCGUGUCAAGUUCAGGGCCGAAUAUUGCAAUGUAAGUCGAGGUAUAUGUGAGAUUGGUGACUCUAAGGUGGAGAUUACUGUUGCUUGGUCCAAACUUGUUACCAAAAGGAUGGAUAUCCUCUUAGAAGGGCAUGUUUGAUGGUUCUUGUGCGUUGGAGGUUAUGGACUACAGAACCCGUUACCCAAAUUUAUCUGUUUGUCCCUUGCAUGUGGUUUGUGAAACUGCAUAACUAUUUUUGUAUUGAUAUGUCCAACUAUUUGUGUAUCUGACUAUCUGUGUCCACUUCAACUUCUUAUUAUGCUAUGUGAAGUACUAAUUCUGUUUCGAUAAUCAGCAUUAAUCCUUUGCAGAAAGCCUAGAUUUUGUGAGCCAGCCGCAAGUAAAAUGGUCUGCAUCGUCAAAUCUCUGGUUAGAGCAACUCCAAGAAAUCCCGUAUCUGUAAAAUAACAGAAAAACAUCUCCAACAAAUCAUGUAUCUGUAAAAUAACAAAAAAAUCUCCAAUAAAUCCCGUAAACAUGGAAUAAAUUUCCAGGGUCACGACGCCAUCGCCGCCUGUGCUGCGCCGCACCGCCUUGUCACGCCACCGCCGUCGCCUCGCCGCCCCCAUGACCACGACGUGUCUCGCCGGCGGCCACCGACUACCUCGCGCCUCCCUUGCCGGAGGCUGUCGUGCGUGUCACUGACUGGGGAGCCCUAGGCCAUUAUCUAGUUCUGUUUUAUGAAAAUUAAAAAUGAAAACCUACUUUAGGGGAAGAAGUUUAUGGGAUCUGACAAAGUAGCUCUCAUGAAACUUCCCUUAAAAUUUAUGAACAUCCUGUAAAACUAGUUCGGGAAGUUUCUUAGAGGAACCGAGCUGCUCUAAGAGCAACUUCAAUAGAUCCCCUGUUCACAAAAAAGCUACAUUUAGGGGGAGUUUGGGCAAAAACAAACGUCCACAACAGAACCUGUAAACCCGGAAUAUAUUUAGGAUCCUAUAAACUCGACCGGCCCAAGUUCCCUCUUGUUUAGGAAGAUGACCUUCCCCUAAAAGCGUUGGUGGGCUAAAAAAAACCCUGGCACUUCACCGUGCAUUCCCCCAUGCCGUCACCGCUCCGCCUCAGCACCCGCCCGCCACCAUUGCCGCCUUGCCGCCCUCGCGAUGUUGCUGCCACCUCACGUCACUACCACCGCGCCACCACCGACUUUCGGGCCCUAGGCCAUCAGAUGCGUCAAAGUUCCGGCCUGUUGGUCCCAAUCGAUUCAUUGUUGAGGCGUUUUGCCUUGGAGACAAGGAACACAUAAGGAUGCAGGCCUUGGCUAUUCCACAACUAGGUAGUCUUGUUGUGCCCAUAUGAUGCGGAUAAAAAAUGCUCCACUUAUGGACCGCACUUACGGAAACUCUCCUACGAACAGACUUGGCAGAGUCUAAUUUAUCAGUAACCCCUGGAUUUCAGGUGCGGGGCCCUCCUGUCCCUAAUCUAAUAAUGCCACUUCCAUCCGUAGAAAAAUGGCUGUAAGUGUAACAUUGCUCAUGAGGAUUUAGCAGAGAUGAGGACGUUGAUUUUGUUCAUAUGCCUAUAUGGCUACAAAUCCAUAAGUUGCCAGAUUUUUAAUGCAAGAAGAACAUUGUGGAGAAGCUUUUUUGAAGUGGAGGCAAAAGCUUUGGCUCAUGUCAUUAAUAAAGAAGAAGAGAAUUGUCCUGUUAAUUAACGCAAAACCGAACAAAAACGGCACAAACACCCUCUCCGGCAGUAACACGACAACCUCGAGGGAAUACCAGCCAACCUGGCUACCAACACAAGGCGCACACACACCACCAAAGAGAGAGCUGCAAUCAAGGUUGUCCACCAGGGUCAUCGUCAUCACUCCUCCUCGAGCCAGCGACUCUGACUUCACCGAAGAAAGCCUGGUCGCAAUGGCUUCGCAAACCCACGCCGGCACAAGCCAAACAGUUGACUCUUCGUGUAGAGAACUGCCAGCUCCGAUUCUGAUGACGAGAUCUGAAGAAGAUAUAUGCAAAGCUCGCGCCGAUGAAGAUCUUCAUGAUAGGACCGCCCAAUGCAGGUCAUCCUUGCCACACAAUACACGGCAGCUCCAACUUCCAGCAACGGAAGACGAACACAAAGACCCGUCGGACAUGCUGGAACAAGCGCCGACUACCAAGUUCUUGCCGCGACCAAACUAUCACUCUUCAUCACCAUCGUUGUUGCGCAAGACAUCACACGGGAUCCACGCAUCUCCGGUUGGCCACCUACCAGCCGCGACACCGUGUGCGUCCAACCCACCAAGAAACAUGGAUGGGAGCAAGAUUUUCAAGGCGACGCCCCAAAGGAGGAAGACACAUGAGAACGACGCCUGUCACUUGACUGGACUGAUCUAGGAUUUCCCUCGAAAAGCUUACCCUAAGGAUGGGAGAGGUCGAAGAAGACUCCGUGGCGACGCCUCCAAGGAGGAGAGCGACGCCACAGGUGUCGCCGCCCUUGUCCGGCAAGAGUUGGGCAAGCUUUCACUUAGAGCCUUCUAGACCACCAUCCCCAUUCCAUUGACGCGAGCCGGCCCACACUUCCACUGGCCUGGACACUCCAGACACGGCGACCGCUGAAUGAAAUAUGCCCUAGAGGCAAUAAUAAAGUUGUUAUUUAUAUUUCCUUAUAUCAUGAUAAAUUUUUAUUAUUCAUGCUAGAAUUGUAUUAACCGGAAACUUAGUACAUGUGUGAAUACAUAGACAAACAGAGUAUCCCUAGUAUGCCUCUACUAGACUAGCUCGUUAAUCAAAGAUGGUUAAGUUUCCUAACCAUAACAUGUGUUGUCAUUUGAUGAACGAGAUCACAUCAUUAGAGAAUGAUGUGAUGGACAAGAUCCAUCCAUUAGCUUAGCACUAUGAUCGUUUAGUUUAUUGCUAUUGCUUUCUUCAUGACUUAUACAUGUUCCUAUGACUAUGAGAUUAUGCAACUCCCAAAUACCAGAGGAACACUUAAUGUGCUAUCAAACGUCAUAACAUAACUGGUGAUUAUAAAGAUGCUCUACAGGUGUCUUCGAUGGUGUUUGUUGACUUGGCAUAGAUCGUGAUUAGGAUUUGUCACUCCAAGUGUCGGAGAGGUAUCUCUGGGCCCUCUCGGUAAUGCUCAUCACCAUAAGCCUUGCAAGCAAUGUGACUAAUGAGUUAGUUGUGGGAUGAUGCAUUACGGAACGAGUAAAGAGACUUGUCGGUAAUGAGAUUGAACUAGGUAUGAUGAUACCGACGAUCGAAUCUCGAGCAAGUAACAUAACGAUGACAAAGGGAACAACGUAUGCUGUUAUGCAGUUUGACCGGUAAAGAUCUUCAUAGAAUAUGUAGGAGCCAAUAUGAGCAUCCAGGUUCCACUAUUGGUUAUUGACCGGAGAUAUGUCUCGGUCAUGUCUACAUAGUUCUCGAACCCGUAGGGCCGCAUGCUUAAUGUUCGAUGACGAUUUAUAUUAUGAGUUAUGUGAUUUGAUGUACCGAAGUUUGUUCGGGGUCCCGGAUGAGAUCACAGACAUGACGAGGAGUCUCAAAAUGGUCGAGACAUAAAUAUUCAUAUAUUGGAAGGUUACAUUCGGACACCGGAAUGGUUCGGAUCGUUUCAAAUGAGUUUCGGAGUACCUGGGGUUACCGGAACCCCCCGGGUAGUUAUUGGGCCUCAUGGGCUGAUAAUCCCCAAGUGCAGGGAAUCAUCAUAGCAAUUUUCAAAGGUGGAAAUGAUAAGUAUGGAGUGUCGAACCCACAAGGAGCUAAAGGUAAGAUCAAUAUUCUCUCAAGUCCUAUCUGCCACUGAUACGACUCUACGUACACCGAACAUUUGCUUGCAACUAGAUACGAGAAAUAAAACUAUGUUGUGGGUAUGAAGAGUAUAACUUUGCAUAAUAUCGGAGAGCUAACAUAUAAAAGUAGGUGAUGUUAUCAUAAAGUUAGAAUAUAUUACUAAAUAUUAUAAAUAGCUAGUGUGGAAUAAUGAUGGGUUGGUGUGCAGAAUUAUCCUAGGCAAUUGUUAACAAGACCGGUAGUCGUCAUUGCAAUUUCAUAUGAGGGAGAGGCAUAAGCCAACAUAUUUUCUCUUCUUGGAUCAUAUGCACUUAUGAUUGGAACUCUAGCAAGCAUCCGCAACUACUAAAGAUCAUUAAGGUAAAACCCAACCAUAACAUUAAACCAUCAAGUCCCCUUUAUCCCAUACGCCACAACCCCCUUACUCGGGUUUAUGCUUCUGUCACUCAAGCAACCCACUAUAAGCAAAUCAUGAAUGUAUUGCAACACCCUACAGCGAGAAUCCCUCACGCUUGCGUGACACAGAGGGCACAAUAGGACAGCACCAAAAUAAAACAUACAACUCGUACCAAUCUAGAUCAUCAAUCAACCCAAAGAUAAAAGAUAUCUACUCAAAACAUCAUAGGAUGGCAACUCAUCAUUGGAUCAUAAUAUGUUGCAUAAAGCACCAUGUUCAAGUAGGGAUUACAGCGGGGUGCGGGAGAGUGGACUGCGUAAAAGAGAUGAGGAUGGUGAUGAUGAUGGUGAUGGUGAUGAAGACGAUCACCGCGACGAUGAUUCCCCUGCCGAUGGCACUCCGGCGCCACCGAGAGAGAGGAGGAGAGGUCCUCCCCCUUGUGCUUCCUCCUCUAUGGCCUCCCCCAUGGAUGGGGAGAGGUUCUCCCUCUGGUCCUUGGCCUUCAUGGCGAUGAUGGCCCCUCCGGGAUCCUUCCCCAUGGCCUCCGGUGAUGAUGGCCCCCUCCGGUAGGGUGCCAGAGAGGGCCUAUAUUGAUUUCUCGUGGCUACAGAGGCUUGCGGCGGCAGAACUUCUGAUCUAGGUUAUUUCCCGAAGGUUUCUGUAUUUAUAGGAGAGGUUGGCGUUGAUUUCACGUUAGGGGGGGUGGUCUCCGGGUUGUCCACGGGGCAGGGGGGCGCGCCCCCCCACCCUCGUGGGUAGCCCGGGACUCUUCUGGCCCAACUCUUUCACUCCAGGAGCUUCUUUUGGUCCAUAAAAAAUCAUCAAAAAUUGGCACGUCAAUUGGACUCUGUUUGGUAUUCCUUUUCUGUAAAACUCAAAAACAAGGAGAAAACAGAAACUGGCACUGGGCUCUAGGUUAAUAGGUUAGUCCCAAAAAUCAUGUAAAGUAGCAUAUAAAUGCAUAUAAAACAUCUACAAUGGAUAAUAUAAUAGCAUGAAUACUUCAUAAAUGAUAGAUACGUCGGAGACAUAUCAGCAUCCCCAAGCUUAAUUCCUGCUUGUCCUCGAGUAGGCAAAUGAUAAAAGAAAUAGUUUAUGAAGUGUGAAUGCUAGCAGGUGCACAAGUUUGAUCAACGAUAAUUUCAAUAACCUUUUCUAGCAUCAUUAUAUGUCAUAACAGUAGAUCUCUCAUAAAACUUUUCAUGAUGAAGUAACAAGCUAUUCACAUGUUAAAGUAUAGAUCAUAAACUUUCUUGAAAACUAACAAACAGUGCUUUUAGUCAUCAAACAACUGCAAUUCAUCUUAUUUUCAGGAAGGGUCUAUGUAAGAGCUUUGAUUUAGCAAAUCCCACAUACUCGACUAUCAUAUAGUCUUUAACAAUUGCUAACACUCAUGUGAUAUUUAUGGGUUCAAAGUUUUAAUUGGACACAGAGAAAUAUAGGGGCUUAUAGUUUUGCCUCCCAAUCCUUUUACCUCAAGGGUAAAGUCAACAAUAAUAGUUCAUGAUAACUUACAUCCAAUUAGAUAUAUAUAUCAGGAUCUUUCCAACACAAUGCGCUUGCCAAAGGAUAAAAUGUAAAACGGAAAGGUGAAGAUCACCAAGACUCUUGUAUAAGGUAAAAGACAAGAAUAAAAGAUAGGCCCUUCGCAGAGGGAAGCAGAGGUUGUCACAUGCUUUUAAGGUUGGAUGCACAAAAUCUUAAUGCAAAAGAACGUCACUUUAUAUUGCCUCUUGUGAUGGAGACCUUUAUUAUGCAGUCCAUCGCUUUUAUUUCUUCCCUAUCACAAGUUCGUAUAAAGCUUAUUUUCUUCGCACUAAUAGAUCAUACAUAUUUAGAGAGCAAUUUUUAUUGCAUGCACCGAUGACAACUUACUUGAAGGAUCUUACUCAAUCCAUAGGUAGGUAUGGUGGACUCUCAUGGAAAAACUAGUUUAAGGGAUAUUCGGAAGCACAAGUUGUAUCUCUUACUUGGUGCAAAGAAUUUGGCUAGCAUGAGGGGGAAAGGCAAGCUCAGCAUGUUGGAUGAUCCAUGACAAUAUACUUUAUUUCGGAUAUAAGAAAACAUAACCCAUUACGUUGUCUUCCUUGUCCAACAUCAACCUUUUAGCAUGUCAUAUUUUAAUUAGUGCUCACAAUUACAAAAGAUGUCCAAGAUAGUAUAUUUAUAUGUGAAAUAUCUCUUCCUUCAAUAUUCUUUCAUGAAUUGUUCAAGUGACCAAUUCUGCGUUUGCUAACUUUCAGUAAGUUUACUACCUAUACUUAUUAGGUGUGAAGUCAUUACUCCCCAUGGUAUAAGCAUAUGAAACAUAUAUAAAUUCAGAUUUAUGAUAUUCAAUUCAUUCAACCAUUUACUCAUAGGAUUUACGUGAAACACGUGAGUAAAUGACAAACUACUCCAAAAAGAUAUAAGUGAAGAACACUAAGUAGUCAAAUAAUUAACUAGCCAUGGGAGGAUUCUUUUUCAUUCAAGAUUUCAGAUCCAAUGAUUUUAUUCAAACAGCAAGUAAAAUUGAAAAUACGCUCCAAGCAAAACACAUAUCAUGUGACGAAUAAAAAUAUAGCUCCGAGUAAAGUAUACCGAUAGUUUUGAAGACGAAAGAGGGGAUGCCUUCCGGGCCAUCCCCAAGCUUAGGCGCUUGAGUCUUCCUUGAAUAUUACCUUUGGGUUCCUUGGUAAUCCCCAAGCUUAGGCUCUUUCCGCUCCUUAUUCUUCUCAUAUCAAUAUCUCACCCAAAGCUUGAAAACUUCAAUCACACAAAACUUAACGGAACUUCGUGAGAUAGGUUAGUAUGAUAAAGAGCAAACCAUUCACUUUGGUACUGUCAAAGACAAGGUUCAUAAUUGUUCUCACACAAUUCCUACUGUACCAUACCAUUUCUACAAUUUAUAUUGAGAAAUAUAAGCAAUAGAAACUAGAAAACAAGCAAACUAUGCAAUGAAAACAGAAUCUGUUAGAAACAGAACUGUCUGUAAUAAUCUGAACAGCAACCAUACUUCUGCUACUAAAAAAAUUAUGAAAUAAAUUGGUGGACGUGAGGAAUUUGUCUAUUAAUCAUCUGCAAAAAGAAUCAACCUAAAAUCACUCUCUACUAAAAAAUGGCAUCUAUUCUCGUGAGCGCAAAGUUUCUGUUUUUUACAGCAAGAUUGCAAAGACUUCACCCAUGUCUUCCCAAAGGUUCUACUUGGCACAAACACUAAUUAAAACAUAAAACCACAUAUAACCAGAGGCUAGAUGAAUUAUUUAUUACUAAACAGUAACAAAAGGCAAGAAACAAAAAUAAAAUUGGGUUGCCUCCCAACAAGCACUAUCGUUUAACGCCCCUAGCUAGGCAUGAUGAUUUCAAUGAUGCUCACAUAAAAGAUAAGAAUUGAAACAUAAAGAGAGCAUCAUGAAGAAUAUGACUAGCACAUUUAAACCUAACCCACUUCCUAUGCUUAGGGAUUUUGUGAGCACACAAAUUAAGGGAACAAGAAUCAACUAGCAUAGGAAGGCAAAGCAAGUAUAACUUCGAAACUUUAAGCACAUAGAGAGGAAACUUGAUAUUAUUGCAACUCCUACAAGCAUAUAUUCCUACCUUAUAAUAAUUUUCAGUAGCAUCAUGAAUGAGUUUAACAAUACAACCAUCACAUAAAGCAUUCUUUUCAUGAUCUACAAGCAUAGAAAUUUUUCUACUCUCCUCAUAAGCAAAAUUCUUCUCAUUCGGAAUAGUGGGAUCACUAAUUCCUAAAGUUGACACUAUUCCAAACCCACUUUAGAUGAUAGUAUUAUUCAUACUCCAAAAGAUAUAAGUGAAGUUCAUGGAGCAUUCUACAAUUAAUAUAGACUAACCAAUAUCUAAGCUCAAAAUAUGUAAGUGAAGCACACGAAGCAUUCUAUAAAACCAUACUCGAAAGAUUUAAGUAAAGCAGAAAGAGCAAUUCUACAAGAUCAUACUUCAAAGAUAUAAGUGAAGCACAUGAAGUAUUCUAUAAAUCAAUGAAGGGCUAACUCAUACUAGCAUGGUUCUUAAAGAAAAAAAACACAAAGGACACAAAUCAUGUGAACAAAACAGAAACCGAGGUAUACCGAUAAUUGUUGAAGAAGAAAGAUGGGAUGCCAACCGGGGCAUCCCCAAGCUUAGAUGCUUGAGUAUCCUUUGAAAUAUUGCCUUGGGCAUCCCCAAGCUUGAACUCUUGCCUCUCUUUAUUCUUCUCAUAUUGAUAGCUCCUCGAUCUUCGAACACUUCAUCCACACAAAACUUUAACAAAAACUUUGUGAGAUCCUUUAGUGUAAUAAAGCAAACUACCACUUUAAGGUACUGUAAUGAACUCAUUAUUUAUUUAUAUUGGUGUUAAACCUAAUGUAUUCCAUAGAUUCAUCAAAAUAAGGAAACCACAUGCGAAAAAUAGAAUCUGUCAAAAACAGGACAGUCUUUAGUAAUCUGGAAGUUUAGUAAACUUCUGUAACUCCAAAAAUUAUGAAAUAAAUAUGAAAAUUUGAAAAAUUUGUACAGAAGUAAUGUGCAAAAAGUUUCAGAACAAUUUGACCUUCCAGUAAAAAAAAUGUAAAAUCACGCGCUACAGCCAAAGUUUCUGUUUUUGUUCUGCACAUAGUAAACAAGCAAUCUAAUCAUCCUAAAACCAAAGCUUGGCACAUUAUUUUUGUAAUACAAUGGAUAUAUACAAGGGGAUAAUUAUUUACAGAGAAACUUCCAUGAAAAAUUCUACAUUGUUUCCGUGAGCAUGAACACAAGUGCUCAAGGUCGACCCUCACUUCUUCAAUGCAUAACUUUCCAAUCACUUCGCUUUUUGAAAAACUUUUUUUUAGGCAUGAGAGGCAAGUAAUUUUUUUGUAUUUACAAUCUUUUAAUUUUUUUUGUAUGCUUCACCCACAACUAAACAGAAACAAAAAGGAAAACAAAAUCUACUUAGUGAAGAAAGCAAACAAGCACACACGAGAAUAUCAACCCCAUGCUAUUGCUCCCCGAUAACAGCGCCAGAAAAGAGCUUGAUAAUCCCCAAGUGCAGGGAAUCAUCGUAGCAAUUUCCAAAGGUGGAAGUGAUAAGUAUGGAGUGUCGAACCCACAAGGAGCUAAAGGUAAGAUCAAUAUUCUCUCAAGUCCUAUCUGCCACUGAUACGACUCUACGUACACCGAAUGUUUGCUUCCAACUAGAUACGAGAAAUAAAACUACGUUGUGGGUAUGAAGAGGAUAACUUUGCAUGAUAUCGGAGAGCUAAAAUAUAAAAGUAGGUGAUGUUAUCAUAAAGUUAGAAUAUAUUACUAAAUAUUAUAAAUAGCGAGUGUGGAAUAAUGAUGUGUCGGUGUGCGGAAUUAUCCUAGGCAAUUGUUAACAAGACCAGUAGUCGUCAUUGCAAUUUCAUAUGAGGGAGAGGCAUAAGCUAACAUACUUUCUCUUCUUGGAUCAUAUGCACUUAUGAUUGGAACUCUAGCAAGCAUCCGCAACUACUAGAGAUCAUUAAGAUAAAAUCCAACCAUAGCAUUAAAGCAUCAAGUCCCCUUUAUCCCAUACGCCACAACCCCCUUACUCGGGUUUAUGCUUCUAUCACUCAAGCAACCCACUAUAAGUGAAUCAUGAACGUAUUGCAACACCCUACAGCGGGAAUCCCUCAUGCUUGCACAACAUGGAGGGCACAAUAGGACAGCACCAAAAUAAAACAUACAACCCGUACCAAUCUAGAUCAUCAAUCAACCCAAAGAUAAAAGAUAUCUACUCAAAACAUCAUAGGAUGGCAACACAUCAUUGGAUCAUAAUAUGUGGCAUAAAGCACCAUGUUCAAGCAGGGAUUACAACGGGGUGCGGGAGAGUGGACCGUGUAAAAGAGAUGAGGAUGGUGAUGAUGAUGGUGAUGUUGAUGAAGAUGAUCACCGCGGCGAUGAUUCCCCUCCUGAUGGCACUCCGGCGCCACCCAGAGAGAGGAGGAGAGGUCCUCCCCCUUGUGCCUCCUCUUCCAUGGCCUCCCCCUGGAUGGGGAGAGGUUCUCCCUCUAGUCCUUGGCCUUAAUGGAGAUGAUGGCCCCUCCAGGAUCCUUCCCCAUGGCCUCCGGUGAUGAUGGCCCCCUCCGGCAGGGUGCCAGAGAGGGCCUAGAUUGAUUUCUCGUGGCUACAAAGGCUUGCGGCGGUGGAAAUUCCGAUCUAGGUUAUUUCCUGAAGGUUUCUGUAUUUAUAGGAGAGGUUGGUGUUGAUUUCACAUUAGGGAGUUCUCCUGGCUGUCCACGAGACAGGGGGGCGCGCCCCCCACCCUCGUGGGCAGCCCGGGACUCUUCUGGCCCAACUCUUUCACUCCAGGGGCUUCUUUUGGUCCAUAAAAAAUCAUCAAAAGUUGGCACGUCAAUUGGACUCCGUUUGGUAUUCCUUUUUCUGUAAAACUCAAAAACAAGGAGAAACCAAAAACUGGCACUGGGCUCUAUAUUAAUAGGUUAGUCCCAAAAAUCAUAUAAAAUAGCAUAUAAAUGCAUAUAAAACAUCUACGAUGGAUAAUAUAAUAGCAUGAAUACUUCAUAAAUUAUAGAUAUGUCGGAGACGUAUCAUGGGCCUAGUGGUGGAAGAAAGGAGGCAAGCCAGGGAGUGGCGCAUGCCCCCCCUAGCCCAAUCCGAAUUGGACUAGGGUUGGGGGGGGGCGGCCCUCCUUUCCUUCUCUUCUCCUCCUCCUCCCCCCCUUCUCCUUGUGGGAAUAUGAAAGGGGGGCGGGCGAAUCCGACUUGGAGUAGGACCCCCCCUUGGGUGCACCACACCUUGGCCGGCCUCCUCCUCCCUCCCCCCUUUAUAUACGUGGGAAGGGGGCACCCCAAAGGCACACAAAAGUUUCUCUUAGCCGUGUGCGGCGCCCCCUCCACAGAAACACACCUCGGUCAUAUCAUCGUAGUGCUUAGGCGAAUCCCUGCGCCGGUAACUUCACCAUCACCGUCGCCACGCCGUCGUGCUGACGGAACUCUCCCUCGGCCUCAACUGGAUCAAGAGUACGAGGGACGUCAUCGAGCUGAAUGUGUGCUGAACACGGAGGUGCUGUACGUUCGGUGCUAAGAUCGGUCGGAUCGUGAAGACGUACGACUACAUCAACCGCAUUGAUAAACGCUUCCGCUUUCGGUCUAUGAGGGUACGUGGACACACUCUCCCCGCUCGUUGCUAUGCUUCUCCUAGAUAGAUCUUGCGUGAUCGUAGGAAAUUUUUUGAAUACUAUGUUUCCCAACAACCGCACCAUCACCACGCCGAGGCCACCGCCUACCUCGUUGUCGACCAACACCGAUGAGCCAGAUCUGGCGACCACAUCUAACCAUGACGUAGAGCUUCAAGACGCCUCCGUCUGGAGGAUCAACUGCCACCAAAACUUGGAGGGGAGGCCGCCACCCACCCCAUCGCACUGGAGGAAAGACCGCCAACUUAAGCCUGCAUUGCUUUCCACCGUCGCCGCCCCAACGCGCAUGGAAGAAAAAGCUUCCCAUCGUGUGGAGAAACUUCUGAAAGGUGCAGAUGAGAUCAUGGAUAUGUGUUUGAAUGGAAAUACUAGGGGAGACUAUAUUCUCUUAAGGGUGAAACAUGAUAUACGUAUGCCCUUGACCAAAUAUGUAAGCAUUGUCAGAGGUAAAGAACGACAGCUAUAUCUUGUCCGCUGUGAGAAGCUCGCGAGGUACUGUAAGAUUUGCGGCCUAGUAGGUCAUGAGUUCAAGGAGUGUGGGCUCGGAAUCCAUGCAGAGAAAAAUAUAAAUUUUGGUGAUUGGAUUUAUGCAGAUGCUCCUAACAAUCCUAGGGCAUACAAUGAUGGUAGGCCAAAGGGCAUGCAUGUUGGUACACGGGCUAAGGAUUAUAUCAGUAAUCAAUAAAGGAGGGGCCGAACCUUGAAAUAAUGGAUACAACUUCGAUCCUAGUGAAAAUUCUAGGUAGUAGUGUGGCAACGGAAAAGGACUCUAUAAUGCAUUUGAAUAUGGAUGUGGUGGAGGCGAACACGAGAGCCUUUUGUGCACCAAAAGUCAUGCUAUAACUGAUGGGAGUGGGAAGGAUUUGAAAGAGAACAAUUCUCCAACUAGCAGUAAAAGCAGUAAAAGGGUGAAAGUUACCAAGGAAAGUGGAAAUGAUGAGAUAUAGGCGGCCUCCCUUGGAGAGAACCGUCGGAUGCAACGAAUAUCAUGUUGUGGAACUACGUGUGCACGCGCGGGGGAGAGGGGGGGUGUGCAGUUUGUGAGGUAUUGGCCCUCUCUAAAGCCAAUAACCCCAAGCUUGUCUUUCUUUGUGAAACUAGACAAGCUUUAGAUAAAGUUGAGAAGUUAAGAUGGAGACUAGGUGUGAAAGGUUUCCAUGCAGUGAGUAGUGAUGAAAGAAGUGGAGGUUUGACACUUUUCUCGGAUGAGUCUUUAUUAGUGACUGUACUUGAUGCAUGCAACAUGUACAUUGAUGUUAAUAUUUUGGAUGGUGGAUCUGGUAUUUCUUGGAGGGGGACCUUUGUGUAUGGGGAACCAAGAGUUGAAAACAUAUAGCAUAUGCGCACUACUGCAGGAUGCUGCUAACACGACACUACAAUCAGAGACCCAUCGACGAAACUGUGUGUGAUGCAUUAUUAAUCACAAAAGGUGGUGUAAAAAACCCAUCAAAAAUGAUACAAACUAUUUGUGAUGGCGGGGACAUCAAACACGAUUCAGAUUAGAUUUACGUGUGCGAUACAUGGCAUAUAGUUCAUCCAUACAAACUAUUUGCGAUAAGCAUAACAAUAGAAGCGGUCAGCCAAAUGAAGGUGUGUGCGAUAUACGGCAUACAGUUUACUCGGAUAAACUAUUUGUGAUUAGGAAACACAGCAGAAUUGGUCAGCCAGAUUAAGGUGUGUGCGAUAGACGGCAUACAGUUCACUCGGAUGAACUGUUUCUGAUGAGCCAAGACAACAGAAACAGUUCAACUUAACAAGAUGUGUGUGAUACUGAUAACCCACAAGUAUAGGGGAUCAAUUGUAGCCUUUCUUGAUAAGUAAGAGUGUCAAACCCAACAAGGAGCUAAAGGUAGGAUUUAUAUUCUCUCAAGUUCUAUCAACCCCAAUACAACUCUAUGAACACUUAAUGUUCGCUUUACCUAGAAAAAUAAUAAAACUAAAAGUACUUUGUAGGUGUAGUGGGAUAGGUUUGCAAGAAUAAAACUAGAUGUACUUAGCAAGAAUAAAACUAUGAGUAAAUUGCAAGAUAAUAAAGUUAGUUGUUUAGUAGAGAGAUUUUUGUCACAAGAAAGUUAUUUGUCCCUAGGAAAUCGAUAACUAGAUUGGUAAUCAUUAUUGCAAUUUUAUACGAGGGAGAGGCAUGAGCUAACAUACUGUUGUAGGGUGGAACCCUAGAUGGAGAUCUUUCAUGAAUUGGAGGGGAAAUCCCCAAGAACAAGAAGAACACAAGAGAGGGAAAACACUCAAAUUGACUAGAUCCAAUCACACAUACGCUAGAUCCAAGAACACACAAGAGGUCACAAUGAUUCAUGGACAAGAAAAGAAAGAUACAAGGUAACUAGUUCAUCCCAAUACUAUGAGGAGAGAUGUCUUCAUGAUCCUAUGAUGGGGAUCUUUCCCUAGAUGGGGGGCUUGAAUCCAUUGGGGAUCUUCUCCAUAGGAGGUCUUGAUCUCCAUGGGAGAGGUCUCUCUCUCACAAGAGGAGGUACAAGGAGCAAAGUUCACUAAAUCAUGUCAUAUCCUUUUCUAUCAUUCUAAUGAACUAGGGGAGGUGUUUAUAUAGUCUGGGGACGAAUUGUGAGGGAGACGGGGAUACAAGGGUCCAUAACCCAAAAGUGCACGCAGGCACGCGGAGUGGUCUGGGCACCCGGAGCAAGAUCGGUCGGGCACUCGGACCGGCCAGGGCCUCUUCUCGGGAGGUGGUAGCAGGGGGCCGGGCACCCGGGGGUUGAUAGCCCGGGCACCCGGGGGGGCUGGUGGCGUCCAGGCGAGGGGGUCGGGUGCCCGGGGCCCAAGGUGCGGGCACCCGGGUCGGCGGCCUGUGGCCUGGAGGGAGGGGGCAGGCACCCGGGGCUUCAAGGCCGGGCACCCGGGGGUGGCCUGGGCCGCGGCUAGGCCAAGUGAGGCUGGGCACCCGGGGCCAGCUGGGAGCAGCGCCAUGGAGGGGCCGAGCCUCCGGGGCCAAAGUGCCCCAGCACCCGGAGUGUCCAGUGCCUCUUCUCCUUCAUCCUUCUCGCUCCUUUCCUCCUUCUUCUCGUCCGUAGGUGCUCGAGUCUUUGUGCUAGCCUCUCCAUGAUCAACACCUUGAUACCUAAUCAGGCAUAACACUUCCGUUUGAGGUAGGACCAAACUCUCUAAUGAAUUUGAGUGGAGCUCGAAGAGGAAGGAGUUGACCUCGUUCUCGAUGGUGCGUGCACGUGCUCUUGUCCUAGGUCCUCUCCGUGCUAGUGGUGGUGGUGUGACUUCCAUGGGGAUGGUCGAGGGAUGCUCCGCAUCACAUACUUUCUUUACUUGGAUCAUAUGCACUUAUGAUUGGAACUCUAGCAAGCAUCUGCAACUACUAAAGAUCAUCAGGUAAAACCCAACCAUAGCAUUAAAGUAUCAAGUCCUCUUUACUCCCAUACACAACAACCCACUUACUGAAGGAAAUAUGCCCUAGAGGCAAUAAUAAAGUUGUUAUUUAUAUUUCCUUAUAUCAUGAUAAAUGUUUAUUAUUCGUGCUAGAACUGUAUUAACCGAAAACUUAGUACAUGUGUGAAUCAUAGACAAACGGAGUGUCCCUAGUAUGCCUCUACUAGACUACCUCGUUAAUAAAAGAUGGUUAGGUUUCCUAGCCAUAGACAUGUGUUGUCAUUUGAUGAACGGGAUCACAUCAUUAGAGAAUGAUGUGAUGGACAAGACCCACCCGUUUGCUUAGCACUAUGAUCGUUUAGUUUAUUGCUAUUGCUUUCUUCAUGACUUAUACAUGUUCCUAUGACUAUGAGAUUAUGCAACUCCCGAAUACUGGAGGAACACUUAGUGUGCUAUCAAAUGUCACAACGUAACUGGGUGAUUAUAAAGAUGCUCUAUAGGUGUCUCCGUUGGUGUUUGUUGAGUUGGCAUAGAUCGAGAUUAGGAUUUGUCACUCUGAUUGUCGGAGAGGUAUCUCUGGGCCCUCUAGGUAAUGCACAUCACUAUAAGCCUUGCAAGCAAUGUGACUAAUGAAUUAGUUGCAGGAUGAUGCAUUACAGAACGAGUAAAGAGACUUGCUGAUAACGAGAUUGAACUAGGUAUGAUGAUACCGACGAUCGAAUAUCGGGCAAGUAACAUACCGAUGACAAAGGGAACAACGUAUGUUGUUAUGCGGUUUGACCGAUAAAGAUUUUCGAAGAAUAUGUAGGAGCCAAUAUGAGAAUCUAGGUUCCGCUAUUGGUUAUUGACCAGAGAUGUGUCUCGGUCAUGUCUACAUAGUUCUCGAACCUGUAGGGUCCGCACGCUUAACGUUCGAUGACGAUUCGUAUUAUGAGUUUAUGUGAUUUGAUGUACCGAAUGUUGUUCUGAGUCCCGGAUGAGAUCAUGGACAUGACGAGAGUCUCUAAAUGGUCGAGACAUAAAGAUUCAUAUAUUGGAAGGCUACAUUCGGACACAAGAAUGGUUUGGCUCGUUUCGGAUAAGUUCCGGAGUACCGGGGGUUACGGGAACCCCCCGAGAAGUUAUUGGGCCUCAUGGGCCUAGUGGUCGAAGAGAGGAGGCAGGACAAGGUGUGGCGUGUGCCCCCUGGCCCAAAUCGAAUUGUACUAGGGCUAGGGGGGCGCCCCCCCUUCCUUCUCUUCUCCCUCUCCUUCCCCCCUUCUCCUUGUGGAAGUAGGAAGGGGGGGGGGGGCGAAUCCUACUUGGAGUAGGACUCCCCCCCUUGGGUGCGCCUCCUCCUGGCUGGCCUCCUCCUCCCUCCCUCCUUUAUAUACGUCUGGAGGGGGCACCCAAAGGCACAAUAGACAAUCUCUUAGCCAUGUGUGGUGCCCCCACUCCACAGUUUUAUACCUUGGUCAUAUCGUCGUAGUGCUUAGGCAAAGUCCUAUGCCGGUAACUUCAUCAUCACUGUCACCAUGCUGUUGUGCUGACAAAACUCUCCCACGGCCUUAGCUGGAUCAAGAGUUCGAGGGACGUCACCGAGCUGAACGUGUGCAGAUCACGGAGGUGCCAUGCGUUCGGUACUUGGAUCGGUUGGAUUGCGAAGACGUUCGACUACAUCAACCGCAUUACUAAACGCUUCCGUUUUCGGUCUACGAGGGUACGUGGACACACUCUCCCCGCUUGUUGCUAUGCUUCUCCUAGAUAGAUCUUGUGUGAUCGUAGGAAAUUUUGUGAAAUACUACGUUCCCCAACAGUGGCAUCCGAGCCAGGUCUAUGCGUAGAUGUUAUAUGCAUGAGUGGAACACAAAGAGUUGUGAGCGAUAAUAGUCAUACUGCUUACCAGCAUGUCAUACUUUGAUUCGGCGGUAUUGUUGGAUGAAGCGGCCCAGACAAACAUUACAUGACCGCGUUCAUGAGACUGGUUCUACCGCCGUGCUUCACACACAGGUGGCUAGUGGGUGUCUGUUUCUCCAACUUUAGUUGAAUCGAGUGUGACUAUGCCCGGUCCUUGUUGAAGGUUAAAACAACACACUUGACGAAAAAUCGUUGUGGUUUUGAUGCGUAGGUAAGAACAGUUCUUCCUAGAAGCCCGUAGUAGCCACGUAAAAAUUGCAAUGACAAAGUAGAGGACGUACUAACUUGUUUUUGCAGGGCUUGCUGUGAUGUGAUAUGGUCAAGACGUGAUGACAUAUAAAUUUUUGUAUGAGAUGAUCAUGUUUUGUAAUAGUUAUCGGCAACUGACAGGGGCCAUAUGGUUGUCGCUUUAUUGUAUGAAAUGCAAUCGCCAUGUAAUUGCUUUACUUUAUCACUAAGCGGUAGUGAUAGUCGUAGAAGCAAUAGUUGGCAAGACAACAACGAUGCUUCGAUGGAGAUCAAGGUGUCAAGCUGGUGACGAUGGUGAUCAUGACGGUGCUUUGGAGAUGGAGAUCAAAGUCACAAGAUGAUGAUGGCCAUAUCAUAUCACUUAUUUGAUUACAUGUGAUGUUUAUCCUUUAUGCAUCUUAUUUUGCUUAGUACAGCGGUAGCAUUAUAAGAUGAUCUCUCACUAAAAUUUCAAGGUACAAGUGUUCUCCCUGAGUAUGCACCAUUGCGACAGUUCGUCGUGUCGAGACAUCACGUGAUGAUCGGGUGUGAUAAGCUCUACAUUCACAUACAACGGGUGCAAGCCAGUUUUGCACACGCAGAAUACUCGGGUUAAACUUGACGAGCCUAGCAUAUGCAGAUAUGGCCUCGGAACACUGAGACCGAAAGGUCGAGCGUGAAUCAUAUAGUAGAUAUGAUCAACAUAGUGAUGUUCACCAUUGAAAACUACUCCAUCUCAUGUGAUGAUCGGACAUGGUUUAGUUGAUAUGGAUCACAUGAUCACUUAGAUGAUUAGAGGGAUGUCUAUCUAAGUGGGAGUUCUUAAGUAAUAUGAUUAAUUGAACUUUAAUUUAUCAUGAACUUAGUACCUGAUAGUAUUUUGCAUGUCUAUGUUGUUGUAGAUAAAUGGCACGUGCUACUGUUCCAUUUAAUUUUAAUGCAUUUCUAGAGAAAGCUAAGUUGAAAGAUGAUGCUAGCAACUACACGGACUGGGUCCGUAACUUGAGGAUUAUCCUCAUUGCUGCACAGAAGAAUUAUAUCCUAGAAGCAUCGCUAGGUGCAAGACCUGGUGCAGGAGCAACACUGGACGUUGUGAACGCUUGGCAGAGCAAAGCUGAUGACUACUCGAUAGUUCAGUGUGCCAUGCUUUACGGCUUAGAUCGGGACUUCAACGAUGUUUUGAACGUCAUGGAGCAUAUGAGAUGUUCUAGGAGUUGAAGUUAAUAUUUCAAGUAAAUGCCUGGAUUGAAAAAUAUGAAGUGUCCAAUGAAGUUCUACAACUGCAAAAUGGAGGAGAAUGGUUCUGUCAGUGAGCAUAUACUCAGAAUGUCUGGGUACCACAAUCACUUGACUCAACUGGGAGUUAAUCUUCCAGUUGAUAGUGUCAUUGACAGAGUUCUUCAAUCACUGCCACCAAGAUACAAAAUCUUCACGAUGAACUAUAAUAUGCAAGGGAUGGAUAAGACAAUUCCUGAGCUCUUCGCGAUGCUAAAGGCUACGGAGGUAGAAAUCAAGAAGGAGCAUCAAUUGUUGAUGGUUAACAAGACCAGUAGUUUCAAGAAAAGGGCAAAGGGAAGAAGGGGAACUUCAAGAAGAACGACAAGCAAGUUGCUGCUCAAGUGAAGAAGCCGAAGUCUGGACCUAAGCCUGAGAUUGAGUGCUUCUACUGCAAAGGGACUGGUCACUGGAAGCGGAACUGUCCCAAGUAUUUGGCGGAUAAGAAGGAAGGCAAAGUGAAAGGUAUAUUUGAUAUACAUGUUAUUGAUGUGUACCUUACUAAUGCUCGUAGUAGCGCCUAGGUAUUUGAUACUGGUUCUGUUGUUCACAUUUGCAACUCGAAACAGGGGCUACAGAUUAAGCGAAGACUGGCUAAGGACGAGGUGACGAUGCGCGUGGGAAAUGGUUCCAAAGUUGAUGUGAUGCCGUCGGCACGCUAACUCUACAUCUACCUUCGGCAUUAGUUUUAGACCUAAAUAAUUGUUAUUUGGUGCCAGCUUAAGCAUGCACAUUAUAUCUGGAUCUUGUUUGAUGUGAGAUGGUUAUUCAUUUAAAUUAGAGAAUAAUGGUUGUUCUAUUUAUAUGAGUAAUAUCUUUUAUGGUCAUGCACCCUUGAUGAGUGGUCUAUUUUUUUGAAUCUCGAUAGUAGUGAUACACAUAUUCAUAGUAUUGAAGCCAAAAGAUAUAAGUUUAAUAAUGAUAGUGCAACUUAUUUGUGGCACUGCCGUUUAGGUCAUAUUGGUGUAAAACGCAUGAAGAAACUCCAUGCUGAUGCGCUUUUGGAAUCACUUGAUUAUGAAUCACUUGAUGCUUGCGAACCAUGCCUCAUGGGCAAGAUGACUAAGACUACGUUCUCCGGAAUAAUGGAGCGAGCAACAGACUUAUUGGAAAUAAUGCAUACUGAUGUAUGCGGUCCGAUGAGUAUCGAUGCUCAUGGCGGGUAUCGUUAUUUCCCGACCUUCACAGAUGAUUUGAGCAGAUAUGGGUAUAUCUACUUGAUGAAACAUAAGUCUAAAACAUUUGAAAAGUUCAAAGAAUUUCAGAGUGAAGUGAAAAUCAUCGUAACAGGAAAAUAAAGUUUCUGCGAUCUGAUCGUGGAGGUGAAUAUUUGAGUUACAAAUUUGGUCUUCAUUUGAAACAAUGCGAAAUAGUUUCGCAACUCAAGCUACCCGAACACCACAGCGUAAUGGUGUGCCGAACGUCCUAACCGCACUUUAUUAGAUAUGGUGCGAUCUAUGAUGUCUCUUACUAAUAGGGAACCAUCUAAUUGUGGUUUGGCAAGAAACCCAAGUUUUCGUUUCUUAAAGUUUGGGGCUGCGAUGCUUAUGUGAAAAAACUUCAACCUAAUAAGCUCGAACCCAAAUCGGAGAAAUGUGUCUUCAUAGGAUACCCAAAGGAAACUGUUAGGUACACCUUCUAUCACAGAUCCGAAGGCAAGAUAUUCGUUGCUAAGAAUGGAUCCUUUCUAGAGAAGGAGUUUCUCUCGAAAGAAGUGAGUGGGAGGAAAGUAGAACUUGAUGAGGUAAUUGUACCUGCUCCCUUAUUGGAAAGUAGUUCAUCACAGAAAUCAGUUCUAGUGAUUCCUACAACAAUUAGUGAGGAAGCUAAUGAUGAUGAUCAUGAAACUUUUGAUCAAGUUACUACCGAACCUCGUAGGUCAAGCAGAGUAAGAUCCGCACCAGAGUGGUACGAUAAUCCUGUUCUGGAAGUCAUGUUACUUGACCAUGACGAACCUACGAACUAUGAGGAAGCGAUGAUGAGCCCAGAUUCCGCAAAAUUGCUUGAGGCCAUGAAAUCUGAGAUGGGAUCCAUGUUGAAAACAAAGUGUGGACUUUGGUUGACUUGCCCGAUGAUCGGCAAGCCAUAGAGAAUAAAUGGAUCUUCAAGAAGAAGACCGGCGCUGAUGGUAAUGCUACUGUCUACAAAGCUCGAAUUGUUACAAAAGGUUUUUGACAAGUUCAAGGAGUUGACUACGAUGAGACCUUCUCACCUGUAGCGAUGCUUAAGUCCGUCCGAAUCAUGUUAGCAAUUGCCGCAUUUUAUGAUUAUGAAAUUUUGCAAAUGGAUGUCAAAACUGCAUUCCUUAAUGGAUAUCUUAAAGAAGAGUUGUAUAUGAUGCAACCAGUAGGUUUUGUUGAUCCAAAAGGUGCUAACAAAGUGUGCAAGCUCUAGCGAUCCAUUUAUGGACUAGUGCAAGCAUCUCGGAGUUGGAAUAUACGCUUUGAUAGUUUUAUCAAAGCAUAUGGUUUUAUACAAACUUUUGGAGAAGCCUGUAUUUACAAAAGAGUGAGUGGGAGCUCUGUAGCAUUUCUGAUAUUAUAUGUGGAUGACAUAUUGUUGAUCGGAAAUGAUACUGAAUUUUUGGAUAGCAUAAAAGGAUACUUGAAUAAGAAUUUUUCAAUGAAAGACCUCGGUGAAGCUGCUUAUAUAUUGGGCAUCAAGAUCUAUAGAGAUAGAUCAAGACGCUUAAAUGGACUUUCACAAAGCACAUACCUUGAUAAAGUUUUGAAGAAGUUCAAAAUGGAUCAAGCAAAUAAAGGGUUCUUGCCUGUGUACAAGGUGUGAAGUUGAGUCAGACUUAAUGCCCGACCACUGCAGAAGAUAGAGAUAAAAUGGAAGUCAUUCCCUAUGCUUCAACCAUAGGUUCUAUCAUGUAUGCAAUGUUGUGUACCAGACCUGAUGUGUGCCUUGCUAUUAGUUUAGCAAGGAGGUACCAAAGUAAUCCAGGAGUGGAUCACUGGACAGCGGUCAAGAACAUCCUGAAAUACCUGAAAAGGACUAAGGAUAUAUUUCUUGUUUAUGGAGGUGACAAAGAGCUCAUCGUAAAUGGUUACGUCGAUGCGAGCUUUGACACUGAUCCAGAUGACUCUAAGUCACAAACCGGAUACGUAUUUAUAAUGAAUGGAGGAGCUAUAAGUUGGUUCAGUUCCAAGCAGAGCAUCGUGGUGGGAUCUACAUGUGAAGCGGAGUACAUAGCUGCUUCAGAAGCAACACAUGAAGGAGUCUGGAUGAAGGAGUUCAUAUCCGAUCUAUAUGUCAUACCUAGUGCAUCAGGUCCAAUGAAAAUCUUUUGUGACAAUACUGGUGCAAUUGCCUUGCCAAAGGAAUCCAGAUUUCACAAGAGAAUCAAGCACAUCAAGAGAUGCUUCAAUUCCAUCCGCGAUCAAGUAAAAGAGGGAGACAUAGAGAUUUGCAAGAUACAUACAGAUCUGAAUGUUGCAGACCCAUUGACUAAGCCCCUUUCACGAGCAAAACAUGAUCAGCACCAAGACUCCAUGGGUGUUAGAAUCAUUACUGUGUAAUCUAGAUUAUUGACUCUAGUGCAAGUGGGAGACUGAAGGAAAUAUGCCCUAGAGGCAAUUAUAAAGUUGUUAUUUUUAUAUUUCCUUAUAUCAUGAUAAAUGUUUAUUAUUCAUGCUAGAAUUGUAUUAACCGAAAACUUAGUACAUGUGUGAAUACAUAGACAAACAGAGUGUCCCUGGUAUGCCUCUACUAGACUAGCUCGUUAAUCAAAGAUGGUUACGUUUCCUAGCCAUAGACAUGUCUUGUCAUUUGAUGAACGGAAUCACAUCAUUAGAGAAUGAUGUGAUGGACAAGACCCAUCCGUUAGCUUAGCACUAUGAUCGUUUAGUUUAUUGCUAUUGCUUUCUUCAUGACUUAUACAUGUUCCUAUGACUAUGAGAUUAUGCAACUCCCGAAUACCAGAGGAACACUUAGUGUGCUAUCAAACGUCACAACGUAACUGGGUGAUUAUAAAGAUGCUCUACAGGUGUCUCCAAUGGUGUUUGUUGAGUUGGCAUAGAUCGAGAUUAGGAUUUGUCACUUCGAUUGUCGGAAAGGUAUCUCUGGGCCCUCUCGGUAAUGCACAUCACUAUAAGCCUUGCAAGCAAUGUGACUAAUGAAUUAGUUGCAGGAUGAUGCAUUACGAAACGAGUAAAGAGGCUUGCCGGUAACGAGAUUGAACUAGGUAUGAUGAUACCGACGAUCGAAUCUCGGGCAAGUAACAUACCGAUGACAAAGGGAACAACGUAUGUUGUUAUGCGGUUUGACCGAUAAAGAUCUUCAAAGAAUAUGUAGGAGCCAAUGUGAGCAUCCAGGUUCCGCUAUUGUUUAUUGACAGGAGAUGUGUCUCGGUCAUGUCUACAUAGUUCUCGAACACGUAGGGUCCGCACGUUUAACGUUCGAUGAUGAUUCGUAUUAUGAGUUUAUGUGAUUUGAUGUAUCGAGGUUUGUUCGGAGUCCCGGAUGAGAUCACGGACAUGACGAGGAGUCUCGAAAUGGUUGAUACAUAAAGAUUCAUAUAUUGGAAGGCUAGAUUUGGACACCAGAAUGGUUCGGGUCAUUUUGGAUAAGUUUCAGAGUACCAGGGGUUACCGGAACCCCCCGGGAAGUUAUUGGGCCUCAUGGGCCUAGUGGUGGAAGAGAGGAGGCAUGCCAAGGUGUGGCGCGUGCCCCCCUAGCCCAAACCUAAUUGGACUAGGGCUAGGGGGGCCGCCUCCCCCCUUUCCUUCUCUUCUCCCUCUCCUUCCCCCCUUCUCCUUGUGGAAGUAGGAAAGGGGCGGGGGCGAAUCCUACUUGGAGUAGGACUCCCUCCCUUGGGCGCGCCUCCUCCUGGCCGACCUCCUCCUCCCUCCCUCCUUUAUAUACAUGGGGAGGGGGCACCCAAAGGCACAACAGACAAUCUCUUAGCCGUGUGCGGUGCCCCCUCCAAAGUUUUACACCUCGGUCAUAUCGUCGUAGUGCUCAGGCAAAGCCCUGCGCCGGUAACUUCAUCAUCACCAUCACCAGGCCGUCGUGCUGACAAAACUCUCCCAGCUGGAUCAAGAGUUCGAGGGACGUCACCGAGCGGAACGUGUGCAGAUCGCGGAGGUGCCGUGCGUUCGGUACUUGGAUCGGUUGGAUCGCGAAGACGUUCAACUACAUCAACCGCGUUACUAAAUGCUUCCGCUUUUGGUCUACGAGGGUACGUGGACACACUCUCCCCGCUCGUUGCUAUGCUUCUCCUAGAUAGAUCUUGCAUGAUCGUAGGAAUUUUUUUGAAAUACUAAGUUCCCCAACACUUACUCGGGUGUAAGCUUCACUCUAGCCACCCACCAUAAGUGAAUCAUUAACUAUUGCAACACCAUACAACGGGAAUUCCUCACGCUUGUGCGACAUGGAGAGCACCAUAGGACAUCACCAAAUAAAACAUACAACUCAAACCAAUCACGAUCAUCAAUUAACCCAUAGGACAAAAUGGAUCUACUCAAACAUCAUAGGAUAGCCACAUAUCAUUGGAUAAUACUAUAUAGCGUUGAGCACCAUAUUUAAGUAGAGAUUACAGCAAGGAGAAGAUGUGUUACACCGCUGCAUAGAGGGGAAGAAAGUUGGUGUUGACGGUAGCGAGGUUGUUGGCGUAGAUCGCCGUCACGAUCCUUGCCCCGGCGGCACUUCGGUGCCACCAGGAGAGAGGGGGAGAGAGCCCCCUCCUUCUUCUUCCUCCUUGAUCCCCCCCUCUAGAUGGGAGGAGGGUUUUCCCUCUGGUCCUUGACCUCCAUGGCGGUAGGGGGGCGGGAUCCCCUCUGAGAUUGGAUCUAUCUCUCUAUUUCUCUUCUGUUUUGCGACCCUAAUUAUGGCCUUUCACCAUUUCUUAAAUACCUAGAGAUCCAUAACUUCGAUUGGGCUAAUAUUUUAACUUUUUUUUUUCAUAUAUAAGCUUCCUUGCGGCCGAAGGACACCUCCAACUGACCUACGGGUGGCCACAAGCUCGCCAGGCGUGCCCUGGGUAGGAGGGUCAGCCCCUUAAGCUUGUGGGACCCUAGGGCAUCAUCUCGGGUUGUGAUGUAGGGUAGAACUCUAGAUGCCCGAUCUUUCUCGAAAUGGAGGGGAUCCCACGAAGAACACGAGGGGAAAUUUGUCGUCUGUGAGCAGACAACAAAGCAACCAUAUAGGCCAGCCCAGUGCCCCCCAGGUUGCACAGGUGGCUACCACAUGGCAGCUUUCCAUUUGAUGGCUAAUGGCAAAGCUCUUUGACGUCUGCCAGCUGACGGCAAAGAGCCUGUAUAGCCCUUGUUUUACUGUUUUUUCUUAAAUUGAUUAAAUUUCACAGAAUUUCAUAUAUAUAUACACACACACACAUUUGAAAAUACUUUCAACAAGCAUACCAACACAUGAAUCGUGAAGAGAGGAACAAACACGAGGGGAAGAACGAGAGAAAUCACUCAAACCAACAAGAUUCGAUUACCCAUGUGCUAGAUCCUCGAAACACAAAGAGAUACACGAUCCAAAUCAAACAAAGGGGAUACAAGAGGUAACUAGUUCAUCUCCAUGAGGAGGUCUUGAAGGGGUCCACCCGUGAGGGGGUCUUGAAUCCAAGCAUGGAUCUUCUCCGAAGAGGUCGCGGUCUCUCCGAUGUAGUAGAACCAAGUGGAUGAGCUAAGCUCUGUCUCUAAAAUGAGCUAAUCCUUGGCUAACCCUCAAAUGGUGGAGGUGCAGGAGUAUAUAUAGUCUAGGGUCACGAAGGGGUAAGUGAGGGCCGAAGGGGUACAUGGGCCUCGGGCCCAUUACACUAUGCGCAGACAGGCAUCGGACGUCCGACGGGUGUCGGUCGUCUGGUCGCUCGUGGGCGACCAGUCGUCCGGAGGAGGCCGGACUUCCGUGUUGGGGAACGUAGUAAUUUCAAAAAAAUUCCUACGCACACGCUAGAUCAUGGUGAUGGCAUAGCAACGAGAGGGGAGAGUGUAGUCCACGUACCCUCGUAGACCGUAAGCGGAAGCGUUAUGACAACGCGGUUGAUGUAGUCGUACGUCUUCACGAUUCGACCGAUCCAAGCACCGAACGUACGGCACCUCCGAGUUCAGCACACGUUCAGCUCAAUGACGAUCCCCGGGCUUCGAUCCAGCAAAGCUUCGGGGAUGAGUUCCGUCAGCACGACGGCGUGGUGACGAUGAUGAUGCUCUACUGGCGCAGGGCUUCGCCUAAACUCCGCGACGAUAUGACCGAGGUGGAAUAUGGUGGAGGGGGCACCGCACACGGCUAAGGAACGAUCCGUAGAUCAACUUGUGUUGUUCUUGUGCCUAGAGGUGCCCCCCUGCCCCCGUAUAUAAAGGAGGGAGGGGGGAGGUGCGGCCAGCCAGGAGGGGCGCGCCAGGAGGAGUCCUCCCACCGGGAGUAGGACUCCCCCCUUCCUUGUUGGAGUAGGAGAGAAGGAAAGAGGGGGAGAGGAGGAAGGAAAAGGGGGCUGCACCCCUUGUCCAAUUCGGACCAGAAGGGGGCUGCGCACCUCCUUCCUUUCAGCCUCUCUCCUCUAUUUCCGUAUGGCCCAAUAAGGCCCAUAUACUCCCCGGCGAAUUCCCGUAACUCCCCGGUACUCCGAAAAAUACCCGAAACACUCGGAACCUUUCCGAACUCCGAAUAUAGUCGUCCAAUAUAUCGAUCUUUACGUCUCGACCAUUUCGAGACUCCUCGUCAUGUCCCCGAUCUCAUCCGGGACUCCGAACUCCUUCGGUACAUCAAAACUCAUAAACUCAUAAUAUAACUGUCAUCGAAACCUUAAGCGUGCGGACCCUACGGGUUCGAGAACUAUGUAGACAUUACCUAGAACUAUUCUUGGUCAAUAACCAAUAGAGGGACCUGGAUGCCCAUAUUGGCUCCCACAUAUUCUACGAAGAUCUUUAUCGGUCAAAUCGCAUAACAACAUACGUUGUUCCCUUUGUCAUCGGUAUGUUACUUGCCCGAGAUUUGAUCGUCGGUAUCCAAUACCUAGUUCAAUCUCGUUACUGGCAAGUCUCUUUACUCGUUCUGUAACACAUCAUCUUAUAACUAACUCAUUAGUUACAAUGCUUGCAAGGCUUAGGUGAUGAGUAUUACCGAGAGGGCCCAGAGAUACCUCUCCGACAAUUGGAGUGACAAAACCUAAUCUCGAAUUAUGCCAACCCAACAUGUACCUUCGGAAACACCUGUAGAGCACCUUUAUAAUCACCCAGUUACGUUGUGACGUUUGGUAGCACACAAAGUGUUCUUCCGGUAAACGUGAGUUGCACAAUCUCAUAGUUGCAGGAACUUUGUAUAAGUCAUGAAGAAAGCAAUAGCAACAUACUAAACGAUCAAGUGCUAGGCUAACGGAAUGGGUCAUGACAAUCACAUCAUUCUCCUAAUGAUAUGAUCCCAUUAAUCAAAUGACAACACAUGUCUAUGGUUAGGAAAUAUAACCAUCUUUGAUUAAUGAGCUAGUCAAGUAGAGGCAUACUAGUGACACUAUAUGUUUGUCUAUGUAUUCACACAUGUAUCAUGUUUCUGGUUAAUACAAUUCUAGCAUGAAUAAUAAACAUUUAUCAUGAAAUAAGGAAAUAAAUAAUAACUUUAUUAUUGCCUCUAGGGCAUAUUUCCUUCAGUCUCCCACUUGCACUAGAGUCAAUAAUCUAGUUCACAUCGCUAUGUGAUUUAACACCAAUAUUCACAUCUGCAUGUGAUUAAUACCCAUAGUUCACAUCAUCAUGUGAUCAACACCCAAAGGGUUUACUAGAGUCAAUAAUCUAGUUCACAUCGCUAUGUGAUUAACACCCAAAAGAGUACUAAGGUAUGAUCAUGUUUUGCUCGUGAGAGAAGCUUAGUCAACGGGUCUGUCAUAUUCAGAGCCGUAUGUAUUUCGCAAAUAUUCUAUGUCCACAAUGCUCUGCACGGAGCUACUCUAGCUAAUUACUCCCACUUUUAAUAUGUAUCCAGAUUGAGACUUAGAGUCAUCUGGAUUGGUGUAAAAGCUUGCAUCGUUGUAACUUUUACGACGGGCUCUUUUAUCACCUCCAUAAUCGAGAAACAUCUCCUUAGUCCUCACUAAGGAUAUUCUUGACCCAUGUCCAGUGAUCUACUUAUUAGAUCAAAAUUGUAUUCCUUUGCCAAACACAGAGCAAGGUAUAUAAUAGGUCUGGUUCACAGCAUAGCAUACUUUAUAGAACCUAUGACUGAGGCAUAGGGAAUGACUUUUCAUUCUCUUUCUAUUUUCUGCAAUGGUCGGGUCUUGAGUCUUACUCAACUUCACACCUUGUAACACAGGCAAGAACUCCUUCUUUGACUGUUCCAUUUUGAACUAUUUCAAAAAUUUAUCAAGGUAUGUACUCAUUGAAAAAUCUUAUCAAGCGUCUUGAUCUAUCUAUAUAGAUCUUGAUGCUCAAUAUGUAAGCAGCUUCACCGAGAUCUUGCUUUGAAAACCUCCUUUCAAACACUCCUUUAUGCUUUGCAGAAUAAUUCUACAUUAUUUCCGAUCUACAAUAUGUCAUUCACAUAUACUUAUCAGAAAUGUUGUAGUGCUCCCACUCACUUUCUAGUAAAUACAGGCUUCACCGCAAGUCUGUAUAAAACUAUAUGCUUUGAUCAACUUAUCAAAGCGUAUAUUCCAAGUCCGAGAUGCUUGCACCAGUCCAUAGAUGGAUCGCUGGAGCUUGCACAAUUUGUUAGCACCUUUAGGAUUGACAAAACCUUCUGGUUGCAUCAUAUACAACUCUUCUUUAAGAAAACCAUUAAGGAAUGUAGUUUUGUUUAUCCAUUUGCCAGAUUUCAUAAAAUGCGGCAAUUGCUAACAUGAUUCAGACAGACUUAAGCAUCGUUACAAGUGAGAAAAUCUCAUCGUAUUCAACACCUUGAACUUGUCGAAAACCUUUUGCAACAAGUCGAGCUUUGUAGAUAGUAACACUACUAUCAGUGUCCGUCUUCCUCUUGAAGAUCCAUUUAAUCUCAAUGUCUCGCCGAUCAUUGGGCAAGUCAAUCAAAGUCCAUACUUUGUUUUCAUACAUGGAUCUUAUCUCAGAUCUCAUGGCCUCAAGCCAUUUUGCGGAAUCUGGGCUCACCAUCGCUUCUUCAUAGUUCGUAGGUUCAUCAUGGUCUAGUAACAUAACUUCCAGAACAGGAUUACCAUACCACUCUGGUGCGGAUCUUACUCUGUAAGACAUACGAGAUUCUGUAGUAACUUAAUCUGAAGUUUCAUGAUCAUCAUCAUUAACUUCCUCACUAAUUGGUGUAGUAGUCAUAGGAACAGAUUUCUGUGACGAACUAAUUUCCAAUAAAGGAGCAGGUACAGUUACCUCAUCAAGUUCUACUUUCCUCCCACUCACUUCUUUCGAGAGAAACUCCUUCUCUAAAAAGGAUCCACUCUUAGCAACGAAUGUUUUGCCUUUGGAUUUGUGAUAGAAGGAGUACCCAACAGUUACCUUUGGGUAUUCUAUGAAGACGCACUUCUCCAAUUUGGGUUCGAGCUUAUCAGGUUGAAACCUUUUCAUAUAAGCAUCGCAACUCCAAACUUUAAGAAACGACAACUUUGGUUUCUUGCCAAACCACAGUUCAUAAUGUGUCGUCUCAACGGACUUAGGUGGUGCCCCUUUUUAACGUGAAUGCAACUGUCUUUAAUGCAUGACCACAAAACGAUAGUGGUAAAUCGGUAAGAAACAUCAUAGAUUGUACAAUAUCCAAUAAAGUACGGUUAUGACGUUCGAACACACCAUUGCGCUAUGGUGUUCCGGGUGGCGUGAGUUGCGAAACUAUUCCGCAUUGUUUUAAUUGAAGACCAAACUCGUAACUCAAAUAUUCAUCUCCACGAUCAGGUCGUAGAAACUUUAUUUUCUUGUUACGAUGAUUUUCCACUUCACUCUGAAAUUCUUUGAACCUUUCAACUAUUUCAGACUUAUGUUUCAUCAAGUAGAUAUACCCAUAUAUGCUUAAAUCAUCUGUGAAGGUCAGAAAAUAACGAUACUCGCCAUGAGCCUUAAUACUCAUUGGUCUGCAUACAUCAGUAUGUAUUAUUUCCAACAAGUUUGUUGCUCGUUCCAUUAUUCCGAAGAACGGAGUUUUAGUCAUCUUGCCCAAAAGGCACGGUUCGCAAGCAUCAAAUGAUUCAUAACCAAGUGAUUCCGAAAAUCCAUCUUUAUGGAGUUUCUUCAUGCGCUUUACACCGAUAUAACCCAAACGGCAGUGCCACAAAUAAGUUGCACUAUCAUUAUUAACUUUGCAUCUUUUGGCAUCAAUAUUAUGAAUAUGUGUAUCACUACGAUCGAGAUCCAAUAAACUAUUUUCAUUGGGUGUAUGACCAUUGAAGGUUUUAUUCAUGUAAACAGAACAACAAUUAUUCUCUGACUUUAAAUGAAUAACCGUAUUGCAAUAAACAUGAUCAAAUCAUAUUCAUGCUCAAAGCAAACACCAAAUAACAUUUAUUUAGGUUCAACACUAAUCCCGAAAGUAUAGGGAGUGUGCGAUGAUGAUCAUAUCAAUCUUGAAACUACUUUCAACACACAUCGUCACUUCACCCUUAACUAGUUUAUAUUUAUUCUGCAACUCCCAGUCGAGUUACUACUCUUAGCAACUGAACCAGUACCAAGUACCGAGGGGUUGCUAUAAAAACUAGUAAAGUACACAUCAAUAACAUGUAUAUCUAAUAUACCUUUGUUCACUUUGCCAUCCUUCUUAUCCGCCAAAUACUUGGGGUAGUUCUGCUUCCAGUGACCAGUCCCUUUGCAGUAGAAGCACUUAGUCUCAGGCUUAGGUCCAGACUUGGGCUUCUUCACUUGAGCAGCAACUUGCUUGCCGUUCUUCUUGAAGUUCCCUUCUAUCCCUUUGCCCUUUUCUUGAAACUAGUGGUCUUGUUAACCAUCAACACUUGAUGUUCUUUCUUGAUUUCUACCUUCAUCGAUUUCAUCAUCAUGAAAAACUCGGAAUCAUUUUCAUCAUCCCUUGCAUACUAUAGUUCAUCACGAAGUUCUAUUAACUUGGUGAUGGUGACUAGAGAAUUCUGUCAAUCACUAUCUUAUCUGGAAGAUUAACUCCCACUUGAUUCAAGCGAUUGUAGUACCCAGACAAUCUGAGCACAUGCUCACUAGUUGAGCGAUUCUCCUCCAUCUUUUAGCUAUAGAACUUGUUGGAGACUUCAUAUCUCUCAACUCAGGUAUUUGCUUGAAAUAUUAACUUCAACUCCUGGAACAUCUCAUAUGGUCCAUGACGUUCAAAACGUCUUUGAAGUCCCGAUUCUAAGCCAUAAAGCAUGGUGCACAAAACUAUCAAGUAGUCAUCAUAUUGAGCUAGCCAAACGUUCAUAACGUCUGCAUCUGCUCCUGCAAUAGGUCUGUCACCUAGCGGUGCAUUAAGGACAUAAUUCUUCUGUGCAGCAAUGAGGGUAAACCUCAGAUCGCGGAUCCAAUCCGCAUCAUUGCUACUAACAUUUUUCAACACAAUUUUCUCUAGGAACAUAUCAAAAUAAACAUAUGAAAGCAACAACGCAAGGUAUUGAUCUUACAACAUAAUUUGCAAAAUACUACCAGGACUAAGUUCAUGAUAAAUUUAAGUUCAAUUAAUCAUAUGACUUAACAACUCCCACUUAGACAGACAUCUCUCAAGUCAUCUAAGUGAUCACGUGAUCCAAAUCAACUAAACCAUAACCGAUCAUCACGUGAGAUGGAGUAGUUUUCAAUGGUGAACAUCACUAUGUUGAUCAUAUCUACUAUAUGAUUCACGCUCGACCUUUCGGUCUCCGUGUUCCGAGGCCAUAUCUGUAUAUGCUAGGCUCGUCAAGUUUAACCUGAGUAUUCUGCGUGUGCAAAACUGGCUUGCACCCGUUGUAGAUGGACGUAGAGCUUAUCACACCCGAUCAUCACAUGGUGUCUGGGCACUACGAACUUUGGCAACGGUGCAUACUCAGGGAGAACACUUCUUGAUAAUUUUAGUGAGAGAUCAUCUUAAAAUGCUACCGUCAAUCAAAGCAAGAUAAGAUGCAUAAAGGAUAAACAUCACAUGCAAUCAAUAUAAGUGAUAUGAUAUGGCCAUCAUCAUCUUGUGCUUGUGAUCUCCAUCUUCGAAGCACCAUCGUGAUCACCAUCGUCACCGGCGCGACACCUUGAUCUCCAUCGUAGCAUCGUUGUCGUUACGCCAUCUAUUGCUUCUACGACUAUCGCUACCGCUUAGUGAUAAAGUAAAGCAAUUACAGGGCGUUUGCAUUUCAUACAAUAAAGCGACAACCAUAUGGCUCUUGCCAGUUGCCGAUAACUUCGGUUACAAAACAUGAUCAUCUCAUACAAUAAAAUAUAGCAUCACGUCUUGACCAUAUCACAUCACAACAUGCCCUGCAAAAAUAAGUUAGACGUCCUCUACUUUAUUGUUGCAAAUUUUACGUGGCUGCUACGGGCUUAGCAAGAACCGUUCUUACCUACGCAUCAAAACCACAACGAUAGUUCGUCAAGUUAGUGAUGUUUUAACCUUCGCAAGGACCGGGCGUAGCCACACUCGAUUCAGCUAAAGUGAGAGAGACAGACACCCGCCAGCCACCUUUAAGCACAAGUGCUCGUAACGGUGAAACCAGUCUCGCGUAAGCGUACGCGUAAUGUCGGUCCGAGCCGCUUCAUCUCACAAUACCGCCAAACCAAAGUAUGACAUGCUGGUAAGCAGUAUGACUUGUAUCGCCCACAACUCACUUGUGUUCUACUCGUGCAUAUAACAUCAACGCAUAAAACCUAGGCUCUGAUACCACUGUUGGGGAACGUAGUAAUUUCAAAAAAAAUCCUACGCACAUGCAAGAUCAUGGUGAUGGCAUAGCAACGAGAGGGGAGAGUGUAGUCCACGUACUCUCGUAGACCGUAAGCAGAAGCGUUAUGACAACGCGGUUGAUGUAGUCGUACGUCUUCACGAUUCGACCGAUCCAAGCACCGAACGUACGGCACCUCCGAGUUCAGCACACGUUCAGCUCGAUGACGAUCCCCGGGCUCCGAUCUAGCAAAGCUUCGGGGAUGAGUUCCGUCAGCACGACGGCGUGGUGACGAUGAUGAUUCUCUACUGGCGCAGGGCUUCGCCUAAACUCCGCGACGAUAUGACCGAGGUGGAAUAUGGUGGAGGGGGGCACCGCACACGGCUAAGGAACGAUUCGUAGAUCAACUUGUGUUUUUCUUGUGCCUAGAGGUGCCCCCCUGCCCCCGUAUAUAAAGGAGGGAGGGGGGAGGUGCGGCCGGCCAGGAGGGGCGCGCUAGGAGGAGUCCUCCUCCCACCGGGAGUAGGACUCCCCCCUUCCUUGUUGGAGUAGGAGAGAAGGAAAGAGGGGGAGAGGAGGAAGGAAAAGGGGGCUGCACCCCUUGUCCAAUUCGGACCAGAAGGGGGCUGUGCACCUCCUUCCUUUCAGCCUCUCUCCUCUAUUCCCGUAUGGCCCAAUAAGGCCCAUAUACUCCCCGGCGAAUUCCCGUAACUCUCCGGUACUCCGAAAAAUACCCGAAUCACUCGAAACCUUUCCGAACUCCGAAUAUAGUCGUCCAAUAUAUCGAUCUUUACGUCUCGACCAUUUCGAGACUCCUCAUCAUGUCCCCGAUCUCAUCCGGGACUCCGAACUCCUUCGGUACAUCAAAACUCAUAAACUCAUAAUAUAACUGUCAUCGAAACCUUAAGCGUGCGGACCCUACGGGUUCGAGAACUAUGUAGACAUUACCUAGAACUAUUCUUGGUCAAUAACCAAUAGCGGGACCUGGAUGCCCAUAUUGGCUCCCACAUAUUCUACGAAGAUCUUUAUCGGUCAAACCGCAUAACAACAUACGUUGUUCCCUUUGUCAUCGGUAUGUUACUUGCCCGAGAUUUGAUCGUCGGUAUCCAAUACCUAGUUCAAUCUCGUUACCGGCAAGUCUCUUUACUCGUUCUGUAACACAUCAUCUUAUAACUAACUCAUUAGUUACAAUGCUUGCAAGGCUUAGGUGAUGAGUAUUACCGAGAGGGCCCAGAGAUACCUCUCCGACAAUCGGAGUGACAAAACCUAAUCUCGAAUUAUGGCAACCCAACAUGUACCUUCAGAAACACCUGUAGAGCACCUUUAUAAUCACCCAGUUACGUUGUGACGUUUGGUAGCACACAAAGUGUUCUUUCGGUAAAUGUGAGUUGCACAAUCUCAUAGUUGCAGGAACUUUGUAUAAGUCAUGAAGAAAGCAAUAGCAACAUACUAAACGAUCAAGUGCUAGGCUAACGGAAUGGGUCAUGUCAAUCACAUCAUUCUCCUAAUGAUGUGAUCCCAUUAAUCAAAUGACAACACAUGUCUAUGGUUAGGAAACAUAACCAUCUUUGAUUAAUGAGCUAGUCAAGUAGAGGCAUACUAGUGACACUAUAUGUUUGUCUAUGUAUUCACACAUGUAUCAUGUUUCUGGUUAAUACAAUUCUAGCAUGAAUAAUAAACAUUUAUCAUGAAAUAAGGAAAUAAAUAAUAACUUUAUUAUUGCCUCUAGGGCAUAUUUCCGUCAUUCCGAUGUUUCGGCUCGGUUGAGGUGGCACCGGAUUUCUGAACGAUGUUGGUCGUCCGGUGGCUGAUGGUUGUCGGACGUCCGACCAUUAUAGCUUUCGUCGGCUCGUCCAUCUGGUUGGUGGGGACUCCAGGCAUCGAACAUCCGGUAGUGUCCGGUAGUACGGUGGUUGUCGGAUGUCCGAUAGCUGUAGCUUCUUGGCAGCUCCUUCUCUUGCUCCUCACACUUGGUGUACUCGCCAUCUUGUCCACGAUCUUCCUCUUGGUUCCUGGUCAUGCAUAGAACAUAUGUUUGAGGUAGUAGCUAUGUCUCACAUGUGGAAAGUGACGGUUCGGAGAGGAGCGAGUUAACCUUGUGUCCAAUGGCGUAUACUUGAGGUCUCGUCUUAUGUCCUCUUGGGGCUUGGGGUGUAAACAUAGUGUACAUGGGGAUGAUCGUAGGAUGCUCUACAUCAUUGGGUGUAGCGAGAUCAUCACUGUCGCCUAUGACGAGAAGGAAGCGGUCUGCUCUCUUGAGCAUGCCUACUGGGCCGCAACGAUCGAAAACUCCGAUGGCGAGCGUGACGCCGCGCCUCCUGAGGCUACCCCCCACGAAGAAGAAGUAGCUCCUCCCUAAGAGCCAUCCUGACACAAAGAAGCCUGUCGAUGGCGCCUCAGACUCCGCGCCUGCCGCCGAGUGAUACGUCCAUUUUGCAUCAUGCUUUUAUAUCAAUAUUUAUUGCAUUAUGGGCUGUUAUUACACAUUAUAUCUCAACACUUAUGGCUAUUCUCUCUUAUUUUACAAGGUUUACCAUGAAGAGGGGGAAUGCCGGCAGCUGGAAUUCUGGCUGGAAAAGGAGCAAACGUUGGAAACCUAUUCUACACAACUCCAAAAGACCUAAAACUCCACGAAACAACCUUUUGGAUUUAAUAAGAAUUUAUGAGCGAAAGAAAUAGGCCAGGGGCCCACCCUGUCCAGGAGACAGGAGGGCGUGCCCCCUAUCUCCUGGGCCCCUUGGCGGGCCUCCGGCGUCCAUCUUCUGCUAUAUCAUCACUUUUCCCCUAGAAAAAAUCGUGGGCAAGCUUACGGGACAAAAUCCGCCGCCACGAGGCAGAACCUUGGCGGAAUCAAUCUAGGGCUCUGGCGGAGCUGUUCUGCCGGGGACACUUCCCUCCGGGAGGGGGAAAUCAUCACCAACGUCAUCACCAACGAUCCUCUCAUCAAGAGGGGGUCAAUCUCAUCAACAUAUUCACCAGCACCAUCCCCUCUCAAAACCCUAGUUCAUCUCUUGUAUCCAAUCUUGUAUCAAAACCACAAAUUGGUACCUGUGGGUUGCUAGUAGUGUUGAUUACUCCUUGUAGUUGAUGCUAUUUGGUUUACUUGGUGGAAGAUCAUAUGUUCAGAUCCUUUAUGCAUAUUAUUACUCCUGUGAUUAUGAACAUGAAUAUGCUUUGUGAGUAGUUACGUUUGUUCCCGAGGACAUGGGUGAAGUAUUGCUAUUAGUAGUCAUGUGAAUUUGGUAUUCGUUCAAUAUUUUGAUGAGAUGUAUGUUGUCUUUCCUCUAGUGGUGUUAUAUGAAUGUCGACUACAUGAAACUUCACCAUUAUUUGGGCCUAGAGGAAGGCAUGUGGAAGUAAUAAGUAGAUGAUGGGUUGCUAGAGUGACAGAAGCUUAAACCCUAGUUUAUGCGUUGCUUCGUUAGGGGUUGAUAUGGACCCAUAUGUUUAAUGAUGUGGUUAGGUUUACCUUAAUACUCCUUUUUGUAGUUGCGGAUGCUUGCAAUAGGGGUUAAUCAUAAGUGGGAUGCUUGUCCAUGUUAGGGAAGUACCCAAGUUCCGGUCCACCCACAUAUCAAAUUAUCAAAGUACUGAACGUGAAUCAUAUGAACGUGAUGAAAACUAGCUCGACGAUAAUUCCCAAUGUGUCCUCGGGAGCUCCUUCUUCAUUAUUAGAAUUUGUCCAGGCUUAUCCUUUGCUACCUAAUGGAUUGGUCCACCUUGCUGCACUUUAUUUACUUUAUUUACUAUUUGCUCAUUACUAUUUGUCUUAUCGCAAAACUAUCUAUCACCUACUAUUUCAGUGCUUGCAGAGAAAACCUUAUCGAAAACCGCUUAUCAUUUCCUUCUACUCCUUGUUGGGUUCGACACUCUUACUUAUCGAAAGGACUAUGAUAGAUCCCCUAUACUUGUGGGUCAUCAAGACUCUUUUCUGGCGCCGUUGCCGGGGAGCGUAGCGCUCUUGGUGAGUGAAACUUGGUAAGGAAACAUUAUAUAGUGUGCUGAAAUUUGCUGUUACUUGUCACUAUGGAAACUAAUCCUUUGAGGGGCUUGCUUGGGGUAUCUUCACCCCAACCAGAAGAGCAAAGAGAUGCUCCUCAACCUACUGAACUUUAUGAAAAUAUUCACUUUGAGAUUCCUUCGGGUAUGAUAGAAAAACUGCUAGCUAAUCCUUUUGCAGGAGACGGAACAUUGCAUCCCGAUUUACACCUUAUCUUUGUGGAUGAAGUUUGUGGAUUAUUUAAGCUUGCAGGUAUUCCCGAUGAUGUUGUCAAAAGGAAGGUCUUCCCUUUAUCUUUGAAGGGAGAUGCAAUGACAUGGUAUAGGCUAUGUGAUGAUACGAGAUCUUGGAAUUAUAAGCGACUGAAGUUGGAAUUUCACCAGAAGUUCUAUCCUAUGCAUCUUGUUCAUCAUGAUCGUGAUUACAUAUAUAAUUUCUGGCCUCGUGAAGGAGAAAGCAUCGCUCAAGCUUGGGGGAGGCUUAAGUCAAUGUUAUAUUCAUGCCCCAAUCAUGAGCUCUCUCAGGAAAUGAUUAUUCAGAACUUUUAUGCUCGACUUUCUCUUGAUAAUCGCAACUUGCUCAAUACUUCCUAUGUUGGUUCCUAUAUGCUGAAGACUAUUGAUUUAAAAUCGGACUUAUUGGAAAGAAUUAAAUGCAACUCUGAAGAUUGGGGUUCCGACGAUGGUAAGGAGUCAGGUAUGACACCUAAGUUCGAUUGUGUUAAAUCUUUUAUGGAUACCAAUGCUUUCCGUGGAUUUAUCUCUAAGUAUGGACUUGACUCUGAGAUAGUAGCUACUUUUUGUGAAACUUUUGCUACUCAUGUUGAUCUCCCUAAAGAGAAGUGGUUUAAAUAUAACCCUCCUGUUGAAGUGAAAGUAGUUGCACCUAUUAUAGUCGAAGAAAAGACCAUUACAUAUAGUGAUCCUAUUAUUCCUACUACUUAUGUUGAAAAACCUCCUUUUCCUGUUAGGAUAAAAGAUCAUGUUAAAGCUUCGACUGUUGUUCGUAAGAGUAAUACUAGGACUUAUACACCUCCUGAGCAAAUUAAUGUUGAACCCGGUAUUGCUAUGAUUAAAGAUCUCUUGGAUGAGGACUUAGAUGGGCAUGUUAUCUCUUUCUUGGGUGAAACUGCUAAUAUUGCUAGACCCAAUACUAAGACACGUAGACCUGUUGUAGGCACACCUGUUAUUUCUGUUAAAAUAGGAGAUCAUUGUUAUCAUGGCUUAUGUGAUAUGGGUGCUAGUGCCAGUGUGAUACCUUAUGAUCUUUAUAAAGAAAUUAUGCAUGAUAUUGCACCUGUUGAAUUAGAAGACAUUGAUGUUACUAUUAAGCUUGCUAAUAGGGACACCAUUAAACCUAUUGGAAUUGUUAGAGAUGUUGAAGUCUUGUGUGGGAAGAUUAAAUACCCUGCUAAUUUUCUUGUUCUUGCUUCCCCACAAGAUGAUUUUUGUCCCAUUAUUUUUGGUAGACCCUUCUUGAAUACUGCUAGCGCUAAGAUUAAUUGUAAAAGGAAGGUCGUCACUGUUGGCAUAGAUGGUAUGUCUCAUGAGUUCAAUUUUGCUAAGUUUAGUAGACAACCUCGUGAAAGGGAACCACCACUACAAAAAAAAUAAACUUCCGUGAUGAUACGUGUUUGUCACAGUAGGUCGCGUUUUUUGUCAUGCAUGUACAUCCAUGACAAAUUUAUGACAGAAUCGAGAUAGUCAUACCUGUGUUGUCGUAGAAGUGUUCGAUGACAUUACCAAAAUUAUCAUCACGGAAGUGUCCACUUCCAUGACGAUAAAUCGCGCGUCACAGAAGUGCUUUCGUCAAGGGUGACCGACACGUGGCAUCCACCGUAACGGAACGCUGUUAAGCUAUCGGGUCGGGUUUUGGAUCCGAUAACCCGUUAACAGCCCCGGCCAAUGGGGAUUUUCCACGUGUAAAAUCAUCAUUGGCUGGAGGAAACAUGUGUCGGCUCAUUGUUGGGACACAUGUCAUCCACUCAUUGGACAGAAGGCGCCUAUGAUACGUCGACAUGUGGCACGGCCCAACAGAGGCCCAUUCCUGUGAAAAGGCCGGCCCGUUUGACUUGGUCAAAAGGUGACGGGCCAGCCCAUGGAAAGCCUGUUAAUGGCCUGUUCGCAUAUAGCCCAUUUACAGCCCGCUAACCCAAGGCCCGUUGCGCCCUAUCCGAAUUAGGCCUAGUAGCGUCAUCUGGGCCGUCCAAUAUGAUUCCAGCCCGUUUUCACUUCUCGCCCAUGUAUGGCCCAUGACAUCUUUCGGCCCAUAUGAGGCCCUAUGUAACUCUUGGCCUAUUAACGGCCCAUGGUGAAACUGGCCCGCAAUGAACAGUGUAUUACUUUAGACCCAGCAAUGGCCCGUGGUGAAACUGGCCCGUAAUGAACAGUAUAUCGCUUUAUACCCAUUAAGGGCAUGUUAUUCAGUUGGGCCGUUCACAGCCCAUGUUAUCUUUCGGCCUUCUCAGAGCCCAUUUAUUCUUGGGCUUAUUUGCAGCAUUCGGUUACUUAAGGCCCGUUACUAUCAUUUUCUGCUUGUGGGCCAAAUUCAGCCCGUCGUUACAGUCGCCCCGUUUGUGGUUCGUUAGUCUGUUGGGCCUUUUUCAUAGCAUCACCAAAUACGGCCUAUUAACGGCCCGUUAUGGUCAGCCAAUAAAACAUAUGAUUUCCAUUAUAGGUCCGUCUACGGCCCAUUAAAGGCCAGUACAAGACCCAUAAAUGAGUCGGCGGCCCAUGGAUCCUACGUGAUGUAGAAGGCCCAUGGAUCCUGCGAGACGUAGAAGGCCCAUGGACACUGCGAGACGUAGAAGACCCAUGGACACUGCGAGACGUAGAAGGCCCAUGGAUCCUACGAGACAUAGAAGGCCCAUGGAUCCUACGAGGCGUAGAAGGCCCAUGGUCGGGCGAGUUGACCCCCGUUUGAACUAUAUAGCAUAUUCAAAGAAUUAUCCUACUCAAUACUAUCACCUCUAAAAAGCAUACACUAUACAACAAAGAGAUCAAGGCAUAGAAAGGUAGAAUAAUCCUACACUAUACAAUAAAGAAAUUACAGCCGAUUACACCCACUGGGCAUUAUGGUACGGCACAGGUGAUAAUAAAGCAUACACAAACAGCAAAUUACACACUGGGCAAAUACGGCUCAUACAUCAUGGAGGUGCAUCAACUUAACUCCAUUUGAACUAUAAUCUCUUCAGAAAAUAGGAUUGGCCGGAUUCAGAUAGCACAAAUUUCAGUCUGCAAAAUCUCCAAUUCCUUCCUUGUUACAUCGGUGUCUUGUUUCAUUUUUUGACUCCUGCAUCUAAUACCUGCAUGUCCAGUCUCAACUUGUUGAUUAUACAUUGACAAUCAUGUACAUGUUGUCUUGCCACCUCUAGUUGAUGCUCGAGAACAUCAACACAUUCCAAUUCCAAUCCAUAAUCAUUCGGUAACGGCCAUGCCGCACUGCUCGCAGAUUUUUGUGUUGAUGUCACUUCAUCCUGAAAUGUUUCUGUAAGUACACAUGACUAGGGCAACAAUAUAAUUACAACAGUGAAGCGAACAAGACACUAUUUUGUACUACAUGGCAAAACAGGACUAACAAUAAUGUUACACGUCACUUUCACAAAAAAAAUGUUACACGUCAUGAAGCAUAAGCAGGUGAUAUUUUAAAAAUUAUAAAAAAUAUAGUCUGUGCAGCCUGCAUACAGAAAUCCCUCUUAGCUCACUAGAGGAGCAUGAUGUUGGGGCCCAAUCAAAAACACAGACAAGUUACAAAUUUAGACAAAACGUUGCGUAUAAGUAAGCAAGCAGUUGGCCAUUCUGUACCUCAAUUAAAGUCUUAGGGAGCAUAAUGAACAGCAGAGGGUUUCAUACAAACAUACUACAGCAAGCAAAACUAUGCAAUCAUUAGCAUAGUAUAAACUAGAUUGUGAGCCUCAUGCAAUAAUAGUUGGUUAAUAGACUUCAAAGCUUCAGGCACACUUCGGUAGAGUAAUUAAAUGGUAAGGCCUUUAAUUAUGUCAACUAAUAGUGAUACAAGUACCGAACAUCAGGCACAAUUAUUUGGGCAUCUCAUUAAGUGAGGACAAAUAAAGCAAUUGAAAAUAGAAAAUUAACUAUGCCUGAAACAAACAAGGAAUUGAACUGUUGAGUUGCAUACAGUGACUUAUCUUAGUAGGUUGAAGAGGCUCAGCGCAGCUCCUACUUCUCUUGCAAGGCUCCUUCCUAACAUCUUGUACUUGGAAAUCCUCAAUCUUAUCUUCAUUGCACCCCCUCUGCAAGGUGACACAAACUAGUUACUCGUCUCCUUGGAAGAUAAAUAUGCAUACUUUCCAGUCUGUGAACACAAAAGGAUGAGAUUAUAACAAAACAACACCACAUAAUGAAACAUGCUGCAUCUCUUGCACUUGCAAACAAUGAAAUGAGCAUUUACUAUGUCUGCACUAUGUAAAAACUAGGCAUACCUUCGAACUGGAUCUCCAGGUACUCUUGGAGAGCCUACUGUAGUGUACAACCAAACCUUUAUUCACCUAUGAGUUAGACAAGGCCCCACUACAGCAGCCCUUAGUGUUUAAAUCGUUGACAAGCUCUGUUAGAGUGUUAGGUCAAGAACAACAAUAAUCAAAGCAAACAUUCCUAGUAUGGCUGGCUGAUGCAAACAAGCAAUUGAAUAGAUGUGUGAGCAAAUCUUACAUAUCAAGAAAAGAAGCAAAGAAGGAGGCUUAAAGACCAUCACUUGACUGACCAGAUUUAAGGGGCAUUUAAACAUCAUGUGCAACGUAUGAACUAACAUAAACGUUGCAUAUUCCAGAUUCUACAAUGGAAUGCACAUGUAUUAGGUUAUGCCAUGUAUGAUGAUGCCUAAAUGUACAGAUAGCAUGCAGGAGUGAUUCAUGAUUGCACGCACAAUUGAAUUGCAGGUUAAGGGCCAGUUCGAUUCCGCCUUUUCAGGGUAUAUUGUCAAAAUAAGCCAUAAAGAUGUAAAGAAGUCAUUUUUGAGUUAUGGGCUUGGGCUUAACUAAUUUCGCUUUGGAGGGGGGUGUUUCGGGUAGAACCUCACUAAAAAUUGAAGGGAAGGGGAAUAGUGAAAUGACUCUGUUGUCUGCCUAUAUUACACUCAAAAUGCAACUGCUGACGCCUGUGUCACACCUGACCCUCAAGUAAAAAACAAACACGCAAGCAUUCAUUGCCUUGCCCGCUUGCAUCUCCUCUCCCCUUUCCCUCUACCUCGAUCCCUUGCCUCCAGCACUAGGGUUCCUCCAGCGAGCCGUCGCCACUGGUCCCAUCUGGCCUGGUCCUCGACGAUGCUAUGUCCAGCUAGGCUACAUGGCCGGCGAGUAGGGGCAAAUCUCCCUGGCUGCUCCUCCCUCUGGCGCCGCCCCUCAUUCUCAUGGUCUCCAGCAGCUGCUCCACUUUGGUUCGUCCAACGCACUACUCCAGUGGGCGCUGCACAACUACGGCUGAUGCCACACUGCGGCAGAAGGCACCUUGUUCCCCCUCCCCUCCUCCCAGGCCAUGGCGUUGAGGUGCUGUUGAAGGAUGAGCUUAUCCAACAAGGUGAGGAUCUCCUCUGAUUUUUUGCCAAAUUUUCAUUCUGAUCCACUAUACGAUGAAUUGGUAUGAGCUGCUUCUGCUGCUGCUAUAUGAUGCAUUGCUAUGAGCUGCUGCUGCUGCUAUAUGAUGAAUUGCUAUGAGCUGCUGAUGUUGUAUGAUGAGUUGCUAUGAGCUGCUGCUGCUGCUAUAUGAUGAAUUGCUAUGAGCUGCUGCUGCUGCUGCUAUAUGAUGAGUUGCUACAAGCUGCUCCUGCUGCUGCUAUAUGAUGAAUUGCUAUGAGCUGCUCCUGCUGCUGCUAUAUGANNNNNNNNNNNNNNNNNNNNNNNNNNNNNNNNNNNNNNNNNNNNNNNNNNNNNNNNNNNNNNNNNNNNNNNNNNNNNNNNNNNNNNNNNNNNNNNNNNNNNNNNNNNNNNNNNNNNNNNNNNNNNNNNNNNNNNNNNNNNNNNNNNNNNNNNNNNNNNNNNNNNNNNNNNNNNNNNNNNNNNNNNNNNNNNNNNNNNNNNNNNNNNNNNNNNNNNNNNNNNNNNNNNNNNNNNNNNNNNNNNNNNNNNNNNNNNNNNNNNNNNNNNNNNNNNNNNNNNNNNNNNNNNNNNNNNNNNNNNNNUGAAUUGCAGACUGCUGCUGCUGUAUGAUGAGUUGCUAUGAGCUGCUGCUGCUGCUAUAUGAUGAGUUGCUACAAGCUGCUCCUGCUGCUGCUGCUAUAUGAUGAAUUGCUAUGAGCUGCUCCUGCUGCUGCUAUAUGAUGAAUUGCUAUGAGCUGCUGCUGGUAUAUGAUGAAUUGCAGACUGCUGCUAAUGUAUGAUGAGUUGCUAUGAGCUGCUGCUGCUGCUAUAUGAUGCUUUCAGGUGGUGCUGCUAUAUGAUAACAACCAGCCACUUGGACCAUCGAAUUUCAACAAAUAAUUGUUCUUCAUUUAAAUGUGGGUCAUGCGUUCUUCGUUUAAAUUAGGCAAUGGGAUCUCUAUGGAAAACAUUGACCAAAGUAGAUUGUGCCAAGUAGAUGGUAUCUUUGUAUUUGCAUUUUGAGAAAAUAGUGAUGGUCUGUUUUCCUAUCAUAUUAAUUACUGUACUGGGUUCAAUUUGUGAUGUUUGCAAGUCAAAUUAAUUUCCAUAUGUGCAGCAAAAUGAAAUCUAUAUAUAAUGCAAUCUAGACUUUCCACUGAUCAUACCAAAGAUAAGCUGAAAACGCAAUGAAAAGAACUGGUUGGCGUAUUACAUGGAGCUUAUAUUCAUAGGUGCUUAUUUUCUUAGGAUAACUUGUAAUAACUGUCCCUAAGAAACUUGGCUAAUAGAACUGGCAUACAAAUAACAUGUCACGAUGAUUGCAAUGGAGGAGUGACGUACCAUAGAACACUGUAUAGGCUCACCGUUGCCUCUCCUUUUUUUGCGAUGUUCCAUGAAAUUGCCACAUACAUCUUGUACUUUUUCAUUGUGUAACCCUAUCUGCAAGUUGACACGGCUAAUUUCAGACAUCUCUACAUGAUACUACAUUGCAUAUCCCUUGCGCAUAUUUAAACCACCAAUUAACGAUUGUGUGCGUACCAUAAACUAGCCAUGACUCUGUAUGCUGGACUAGCAAGCACUCUAAGGGAGCCUAAUGUAGGGCACUGGAAUUCCUACAUGCCACCUACGAUUUUGUGUAAUGUACUGCCCCUGUUCCUAAAUAUAUGUCUUUGUAGAGAUUCCAGUAUGGACCACAUACAGAUGUAUAUAGAUACAUUUUCGAGUGUAGAUUCACUCAUUUUGCUCCGUAUGUAGCCUAUAGUGGAAUCUCUAGAAAGACUUAUAUUUAGGAACGGAGGUAUGAGGUAGUAUCAUGUAUGACAUCUACAUAUCUAAUUUAGCAGCGAGUGGUAGAAAUCAUUGUCUGCACAAAGGGAUUACUGGUCGAAAAUCCUAGCAAAGCACGCUGGCAGGCACAGAACAAUACAAGAGAGAGAGAGAGAGAGAGACACGCUUACAAGAUCAUAGCAAUGCCUCAGUCCAGGAUCUUGGUUGGCCAAGCUGUUAGAUCCAGAAGAAACAUUGUCCUUGUAGUUUUUGCCAGCUGCAUAACAGGUAACAGCGACCGGUUAGUAUAUUUGAAGUACAUCAGGCAGGUGAUGCUGGACGGGUUUAAAGGUGACAAGUACCUAGGCCGUGGCGGGUGCUUGGCAUCUCUCCAGACGGUGGGAAUCAGGUUAGAAACGUCGAGGGUGAUGAUGCUGCGCUGGCUGUCGAGGUCCGGUAAGGAGAUCUAGAACCGUCGAGUAGGGUGUUUGUGGAGCAGCUCCGGUAGGGUGGACUACGGUGUGGGCAAAGCGGAUCUGUGGCCAUGGACGAGGGCGUAGGUGAAGCUGCUCCGGUGGUUGGGUUAAGGAUGGUGUCGACGUCGCGGAUCUACCGCCGUGGACGGGGCGUCAGAAGCUGCUCCGGUGGUUGGGUUAAGGAUGGUGUCGACGAUGCGGAUCUGCGGCCGUGGACGGGGCGUCAGAAGCUGCUCCGGUGGUUGGGUUAAGGGUGGUGUCGACGAUGCGGAUCUGCGGCCAUGGACGGGGCGUCAGAAGCUGCUCCGGUAGGUUGGACGAGGGUGCGAGGAAGCGGAUCUGAGGACGUGGACUUGUGAGUUGGCAAAGCGGCCCCGGUAGGGUUGAGAAUAGUAUAGGCAAAGCUACUCCGGUAGGGUUGAUGCUGGUGUUGGCGAAGCGGCUCCGGUAGGGUUGAGGAAGGUGUCGGCGAAGCGCCUCCGGUAGGGUUGAGGAAGGUGUCGGCGAAGAGGAUCAGAGGCCCUCGACGGGGGCGUCGAUGGGGCGGCUCCAGGGGGUGUGGACGAAGCGUCUCUGGUGGGGAGUACGAAUGAGCCGCUACAGAUGCGCGACGGUUGACGAGAGUACCAGCGAAGCAGAUCCGGCACCGUGGACAAGGCCGACACUGAAUGGGCUGUGGUACAGUGGUGGAUGAGCAGUCUACUUGUUUCUAGGGGAGGUGGGAGGGGUAGAUGCGGCCGGAGAAGCAGAUCCGGCGAGGUGGACGCCGCUGGAAGUGAAUGGGCUAUGGUACGCCGGUGGAUGAGCAGUCUAUGGUUUUGAGAGGGGAGGGGAGAAAGGGCGAUGAAGUACGGACGGCGUGAUGUAAGAUGCUCUGGUGCUGUGGAGUUAGUCAUUUUUGCGGAAGGGGGGAGAGGAAAUGGGGGUGGCGUGUAGUGGGGGGAACUGGAAGUUACCAAAGCAGCCCCGACCUAUCAUGUAGAUGAAGGCGGUAUUGUAACUGUUGGUCUCCGUGCACCAAGGACAAAAGGGGGAUUUCGCAUGCUAAAGACUAAGGUGGCGGAAAUUUUAGAAGGAGGCGGGAGAUUUUGCCGCCCGCGGGAUCGUUCGUAUCCAGUUUCAACUAAUUUUGGACCGUGCUAGCGAGAAGGUCAUGCUAGACUGUGUACACGGGGCACACGUCAGCAGUUAAUAACUGGUGUGAAGUCCACCCCAAAAAAAAGACAAUAACUCGGGAUGAUGCGCCGAUAACUUGGACGUUCACACGGGCGCGGCCAAUCUUACGGGUGUAGUGGCGUGUGCACAGAAAAAUGGAUCAAACGCUCAGCCUAUGUAUUUCUCAUGUAAAUAGAUAAUUUAGUGCCAUUGGUUAUUUACUUUAAACAUAAUGCAUUGACGUGUUAGUGUAGAGGCGCACAAAAAGAAAUGGAUAUUGUAGUUAGCUACUUAAAAGUGUUACCUCAUAUGAUUACAUAGCCUCCAUUUCAUAAAUUGCGUAACCAUUGAAUUCAUAUAUGAAUAUUACAUAUAUAUUACUUCAAAAUAGAAACUUAAAUCAUCCAAGACUAAUGAAUUUGAAUGCAAGAGUAACAAUGGUGCAUGUGCAUGAUAGCUACAUUGGUUGUUUGAAGAAACAUCACUGUAACUUUGGCAUGCACAACUGAAAAAGGUUUAUUUAAAUAGAAAAAAAAUGUGAUAUGUGAGUGUCCAAUCUUUAUAGAGUUGAAUCGAUAUUGUACCUUUGGCCACGAUACGAUGUAGAUAUUGACUUAUGUUCAAGCGAUGCACGUCCACGGUCGCUAGAUAGUGAUACGUGAAUGAAUUGUGCAAUCUCUCUCACACGCAUACAUAUCUCAUUUCCCUGUGGGCAUUGGAAUCACACACGCGCACUUCAUGUAUUUAUCUCCCUUCGUCAGGGUUAAAUUCGUCUUUCUACCCCGUCCUACAAGUCUCUCACACAGAAACACACACGCUCUCUAUGUCUAACACGCCCACCCCUUUAAUUCCGCCCACCCACAACCAUUAAUGUCUCAAAGUAUAAUAAUGUCUCUCACACAUAUGCUAUCUACCUAUCCCUUAAUAUAGCUAGAUAUGUGUCACACAAACUCCUUCUCCCUACUAGCAAGAUGCCCAUGUGUGUUGCACAGAACAACAAGAUGCAUUUGUAUGAGAAGUUUAUCUUGUGGGGGAAAAGGAUGAAUGAGGGAAUGCCUUAUUUGCAAAUGCGGAGAGGGGUGUGGGUAUCUUUUUGCAAAAUUGCCAUAUUUUCCUUCAUGUCCGUUGGAUAUAAAUCGCAUGGCCUAUAUUGCAGGAUGGCAGGAACACCAUUAUCACCAACUCAGUUUUUUUAUUAGNNNNNNNNNNNNNNNNNNNNNNNNNNNNNNNNNNNNNNNNNNNNNNNNNNNNNNNNNNNNNNNNNNNNNNNNNNNNNNNNNNNNNNNNNNNNNNNNNNNNNNNNNNNNNNNNNNNNNNNNNNNNNNNNNNNNNNNNNNNNNNNNNNNNNNNNNNNNNNNNNNNNNNNNNNNNNNNNNNNNNNNNNNNNNNNNNNNNNNNNNNNNNNNNNNNNNNNNNNNNNNNNNNNNNNNNNNNNNNNNNNNNNNNNNNNNNNNNNNNNNNNNNNNNNNNNNNNNNNNNNNNNNNNNNNNNNNNNNNNNNNNNNNNNUCUCAAACAUACACACACACACACACACACACACACACACUACCCGGCACUGAAGGAGUAGGGUGGCACAUCUAUCUUGAUAAUAAUCUAUCGACUCCUCUUUCAAACACACACACACACUCUCUCUCGCUAGUUGUGCCUCUGUGCCUACUGCGCACACUCUCGAUACGUCUUUAUCUCCCUCCACCCCCCCAACAAUGACAGCAGAAGGGUGACAACUCGAUCUGAUCAUAAUCUGUCAAUUGGUUUCUCUCUCAAACAUUGUGUCUCAGUGCCUCGCUCAGUAGCCCCCUCGAUAUGUAGAUUUCUCACGCGCGCACAACUGUAGUGACGAUGACGCUGAACCCAGUGUGCCUUGUUUUUACCGGCCUCAUGUGAUAGUUUUCACCAUGUUUUCUGUUAAUUAACAAGGCAACCUUUUCUUUGUUACUACUCCCUCCAUUCCAAAAUAGAUGACUCAACUUUGUACUAACUUUAGUAUAAAGUUGGGUCAUCUAUUUUGGAAUGGAGGGAGUACUAGUGAAUCUGAAAUCAUUUGGGGCAGACAUAGAACAUAUCACUUCAACCCAAUUAUCGCAGCAACUACUUUAAAAGAAAUUAGCUAGCUGCCCGUGAGUUGCACGGAACAUCAAGAUGCAUUUGUAUGAGUAGUUUAUCUUGUGAGAGAAAAGGCUGAAUGAGGGAAGGCCUUAUUUGCGAACAUGGAGAGACGUGUGGGUAUAUUUUUGCAAAAUUGCCAUAGUUUCUUUCCUAUCCGUUAGAUAUAAAUCCGACGGCCUAUAUUGCAGGAUGGCACGCACACCAUCAUCACCAACUCUGUUUUCUACUCCCUCCAUCCGAAAAUACUUGUCAUCAAAAUGGAUAAAAAUAGAUGUAUCUAAAACUAAAAUACGUCUAGAUACAUUUCCUUUUAUCCAUUUUGAUGACAAGUAUUUCCGGACGGAGGGAGUAUUUGUAUUUUUAGAGAUUUCAACAAGUGACUAUGACCGGACCUUACCAACAUACUCAAAAAAGUAGUCCAUAAUUUUGAUGUUACUCUCUUUUCUUGACGGUGUAAUGCCAUCUGGAUACCUCAUAAAUAAAUCAAGGACAAAUCUGACCCCUUCCUAAAAAGACAUACGUAGCAAAAUGAGUGAAUCUACACUCUAAAAUAUGUCUACAUACACAUCUGUAUGUGGUAGUCCAUUUGAAAUCUAAAAAAGACAAAUAUUUAGGAACGAAUGGAGUAUAUAUAAGAGUAGACAUGGAGAUAUAUCUCCAGCAUGGUCUACAACAAAAAUGUGCUGGGGUGGUUAGCGCCGGAUGCUCGCAAUGCGAUGACAUGAGUUCGAAUUCUGUCUUUUAACUUUAGAUUUGUAUAUUAUAUAUUACUCUACUUAUUUAAUAUAUACUUCUUUCGCUACUGUACUGACAGUGGAACCCACGGAGUACUUAGAAUAUUAAGGAUGGAAUUGUUUCUUUUUAACUUUCUGUACGAAGCUGUAGCCACCCAGCAAGUCACAUGUACACUGUACAUGAAAUUAACUUUUUAUAGAGGGACAAUCAUACAGGCAAUUAACUCAAAUGGAUUGGAUGUCACUCUAUUAUUUCCAGCAUAAAGAGCAUCUCCAACGACAGCCGGCAAAUUUCCUCCCGCUUCCUUCCGCGGAGGACGACAUCAAACGCCAGCGGCAUACAUUUUUAAAACUCUAACCAACCAGAUGAAAUUCGUGCAAACACAGACUGAUUUCAUAUAAGCAUGAAGGAUUUCGUAUAAAAAAGGCGGAUGUUCAUAUAAACAUGAUGGAUUUCAUUACAUUUACAUGAACUAAGAGGUGCCAAUCCGGCUCUCUUGUAUAAUUAAUACUCCCUCCGUCCGGAAAUACUUGUCCUAGAAAUUGAUAUAUCUAGACUUAUUUUAGUUCUAAAUGGCCGCCCGCGGAUCCCUUUGUCUUCCUCAUGUCUGUCAGACACUUGCGGGGUCAACGAAGGUCCUCGGAAGAGACGAAGCAGCAAAGAAACCACCUGAAUCCGCGGUCGUCGCCUCGGCGGUGGCCUUCAUGGGUCCCAAGUGGCGGCGGCCUCCCGUGUUCUACUUCUCCUCGAUGAUGGCGGCAGACAGGGAGAAGCUGGCCACCGACUGGUCGCUCUCCACACACCCAGCUUCUGUCUCUGCCUGCAUGGCGCUGCUGUAGGCAUGGGAGGCGCGCCCACAGACACGGGAGGCGCGGCCACCGCAUACACUAGUGGCGCGGUACGACGCGACAGUGACGGUGCCCGUACCAGCGUGCUCGCCGCCGUGCCAGCGUGGAGCAACUCGCCACUCCUCAUCGAGCUGAACUGCAGCGGCGAGUUGCUGAACCACGUGCCUGCUUGGGGCGGCAACUGGCUCCGUCGGGCCAAGCGAGGUUGGUGAAGCACCAAGCGGCCUCGGUCGUAUCCGGAGGGCUUGGCGGGCCACCCAGCCGGGUAAUAUGCCGGAGAAUGGCUCAUCGGAAGGCAUCAGAAGGGUGGAGAAAAUGGUGAAGGAGGAAAUGGGGGAGCGGCGGAGGGGUGCGAUUCUUGCCCGCUGUCUGUCUGGCCUCGUGUAAAUAGAGGGCGGACGGUAGGAGCUUGGCCGACGUCUAGCCUCAUUUAAACUGAGGGCGGACGAGAGGAGCUCGGCCGGUGUUGUGUUUAAUUCCGGCCCUCUCAUGAACGGACGUGUGGCCGAAGUAGGAUUCUCGGUUUGCAUGCGGGUUUAACGGAGAGGUUUAAUGGAGGCGCCGGGCGUGCAGCGGGCGGCGCAAUACUAUUCGAUUUGACCGCAUUAAUGAGCCGUCAAAUCACAAAGGCCCUCGCCUCUCGUGAAACCGACCGAGAUAGACUGCCCCGCCCUCUAGCCUUUUAAAAAAUGUAUAUACUCCACUUUUGUACAGUAGUAGUAUCGAUGGAUUGCGCCAUGGAGCAAAACUUGAAAUUAAAAAAAGGUGGUACAUAUAGAGAGCGCUCGUGAACUAUGUGUCAUACAUGGCAAUAAAUAAAGUACUACAUGAUACUUAUAUGAUACAUCGCAGGAGUACUAAGUAUUAUUAAUAUAGUUUUGCUAGAACUCAUCUAGAUGAGAUAUAAUUUGGUCUCAUUCAUCUUUUAUAGCCAUUGGAUGUGAUGUUAUAAGAUGCGUGUGUGCUGACGUGGGUUGUAUUUGUUCUUGUGCAACGAACUGACCACUGCAUGUCAUGUUUGAUAAUCUCAAGUCAUUAAAAGCAUACAAGCCCCACAUCUCUUCUUGGUUGAUUCCUUUAUUUAUGUCAAAAAAUAAAAAACAAUGUGAGAGUUAAUGCACCACGCCUAUGUGUUAGACUAGCCACGAUGGUGAGUAACAUACACUAGUAACAUACACAUAUCCCUAGACUAUGUUACUACCUUCAUAGUGGGUACUACCUCCAUCCUGGUUUAUAGGUCCCUUUUAUAGUUUGUGCCAAAUUUUGACUAAAGAUUUAACUAACAAAAUGUUAAUGCAUGUCAAUAAAAAUUAUCUCAUUGGAUUCGUCUUUGAACAUAGUUUUGAAAAAUAUAAUGUUUGUUGACAUGCGUGAACAUUUUCUUAGUUUAAUCUAUGGUCAAAAUUUGGCACGAAAUACAAUGGGGACCAAUAAACCCGGACAGAGGUAGUAGUAACAUAAGUGUGGUAACAUGCAAAGCUUCAUUUAUUAGGUUAUAGACUCAUAUUGCAUUGGGACAUGUGAUGUUACAGUAACUAGCUAAGUUAUUAUAACUACCUCUCUCCUCAUUAACUCACUGCCACAUAAGCAAAUUUGCUGAGUUGGACUCGAUGUUACUGCUGAAGUUACUCCCAUGGUGGCUAGUCUUACUAGUAUUUGGUUUUCGUAAGAUGACUUAUAAUACUCAGGCUAGUCGUAAUGAUAGUAUCAUAGCUAGUAUCAUGCAUGCCAACUAGGCAAUUUUGAUGAGGUGUCGUAGCAUUAAAUGAAGAAAGAGAGGGUGUAGUAUCAUAUCAUGAUACCGUAUCAUAUUAAAUGUUAUGCUACUUUGUGUCAUGCAUGGCAAUAAAUAGAGUACUACAUGAUACUAAUAUAUGAUACUAUGCAUUAGGGAGGUAGUAUCAUACACUAGCAUCAUAUGCAUGAUACUAGUAUAUGAUACUCCCCAUUACAACCAGCCUCACCUAGAUGGAGGGAGUAUUCGAUUUGAUAGCGGGCGGCGCAGUUCCCGAUACGCCUUUAAUGCAGACGAAGGAGGGAGUAGCGGUUCCCGAUAUGUUGAACGACCAAUGCAUCCUCCUUCAAUUAAUGCAUGAGGGAAGUAAUGGGAGGAGGUCCGGGAAAAGAGGCUGCACGAUGUGAAUGCAACGGAGUUUGCCCUCAUUGCCCUCAUAUAAAGGUGCCCCUCCUCCAUUCCAAUGCAUUUGCCACAUCGUACGCACCUAAGCACUUGCCUAAGCACCUACACUAAGCGCAAAAGAGCUCGCUCCAGACCCAUGGCGGCGAUGCGCGUGAGCGGCCAGCGGCUGCGCCAGAUGGUCCACGACGCCGGCCUGCGGCAUGGCACCGAGGAUCGUCUCCAGACGGUGUUGGAGACCGGCUGGUGGAUGGCCGCCGUCGACGCCAACUAUGACUCUCAGUUGGACCAGAUGAUCGUUGCCACCAGCAACAAGUUCACCGUCCUCAAGAAGCUCGCGGACGACAUCGCCGUACUCCUCCAGCCCGCGCCCCCGGGCUCCUCAUUGCCUGCCACCCUAAUCGGCCUCCAUGGCCGGAACCUCUUUCAAGCACUGGUGGCCCUGCGACUGCCCGCCGACGCCACGAAGAAUGUCCACCUGGAGGUCACGCUCGCCGCGAGGUGCCUCGCCCUGCAAGAAUUCGUCGACCUACACAUCCACGCGUACGAGCAAAUCGUGUACAUAGGUAUCUACAAGGCCAGUGAGGACGCUACGGCGUUGGCCUUCCUCAACCGGCUGGAAGCCUUGGAUGCCUUUGUUGAGAAGCUCCUCGACCUCACCACAAAAGCCGCCGCUCCUUAGCCGCCGUAUGGUGGCCCAGCGCACUACGUUGAGGAGGAGGAGGUCGUACGUUCGUGGAUCCAUCUUUCUUCUUGCCUUCUGUAACCACCACUGUGAUUGCAUCAUCGUGGCCUUAAUUCUUAUUGUGCUGUUGCAUUCUCGUUCCAGUCAAUACCGACAUGUGCGAUCCCUUUGCUUAAUUAUAUGCAUCAUUGUAACUAGUACUCCAUCCAUCAAUUUAUAAGUUCUGCUUACCUUUUCCAUCAACUUCGUGCAACACGCGGGCAUCUUGCUAGAAACACUAGAAUAUGUCUAUAUAAUCCGUAUGUGAUAGUCCAUUUGAAAUCUCAAAAAAGACAAAUAUUUAGGUACGGAGGGAGUAAUAUAUUAGGAGUAUAUCAAAACAAUAGUGAUUUCUUUCAAGUUUGUGAACAAAUACUAGUAUUCUACUACUUCGGAUCCGUCGCAACGCACGGGCACAUUGCUAGUAAAAGGAAAAGGCCUACAACGUUUGCGUCGCACCCCCACAUGCCCGGGAAUCUGGAGUACAACACGACCCGUCCAGCACGACACAUAGCUUAGGGAAGGCGUGUUGCCUACAGCCUAGCAUUUUCACUUUCAUGUGGGACCACCCGUUGAGCAAACCGACACCUCGCCCGCCGCCGGGUUGGAAAACAGAAACAAGGGGAAGAUCUAGCUGUAGCACGGAAGCCAAUAAAUUUUGUGUCAGACGGGGCUCGUUGAUAGAGUAGGAGCAUUCCGUAUUAGUACCACUCCUACCAAGUUUGUACUCCUAAUACUAUUAUAUUACUAGUACUACCACUAUACAACUAGUAGAUACGUGCACGGCACAACAUCGUAGGAACAAAAAAGGGAAGAUCUUGUUUUGGGUGAUUUAUCUUUUUUUCAAUCAACGCAGUAUGAAUAAUAUGAUGUGGGCGGCACCCAUGAAGCUUAUGUGGCUUUGUUGCAUGGCUACGGAAGGUUAGAGAAAAAUAAAUAGAUAAUGUGUUUAGAGUGCACUCCACUAAAUAGAUAUACUAUGGAUCCAUUGCAACGGACCGGCACAUCUAUAUCUAUACCCCCUAUAUAGUGUGUGAAAAACUUUGAAAGUUGGUCGUUGGAUGAAGCCAAUCCGACGGUACAAAGAUGGCAAAUCCGAGCACUACUGGCCAUUGGAUAUCAUCCACCAGAUUCUGCCACAUGUAUAAUCUAGAAGACUCCAUGGUUGAACUUAAUUCAUGACUAACUUUGCCACAACUAAGCUCAGGCAAAGUUAUUAAUAAGUUCUUCAAAAUGAGAGCCACAAGUUGGCAAGCCUAAGGGAAUCUUGCCACAUUUUUUGUGUGUAUGUCAUGUGGGGCUAGUGUGGCUUGCCUAAGGUGUGGCUUGAAUCAAACACUCACCUAAGUUAAUCAAACUUGCCUAACCUUACAUUCCACCAAAUUUUGCCACAAGUUGGCAAGCCUAAGGGAAUCUUGCCACAUUUUUGUGUGUGUAUGUCAUGUGGGGCCAGUGUGGCUUGCCUAAGGUGUGGCUUGAACCAAACACUCACCUAAGUUAAUCAAACUUGCCUAACCUUACAUUCCACCAAAUUUUGCCACAUGUUAGAAUCCAGAAAACUCCACAUGUAGAAGAAUAAUGCACAAACCACCAGAAUCUCAUGCGUGCAAUGCACGUGUACCUUCCUACUAGUACUAGUAGUAGUAGGAAAAAAAUUCCAGUUUUGGCACGAGCUCGUACUGCGGGAGCACCACAAGGCCUACCGCAGGAGUUACAUUUUCCUCUCGAGGCCCACGGGACCGAACUUCAGUGGCUUAUUGCCCGGCCUAUGAGUCAAUGACAUGUGGGCCUUAAAUGAGGCUGGCCCACGUGUCAUUCUCAUGGUGGUGGCGUGGUUCGCGACUCACUCGUUUGAGAUGAACCGGCCGGUGGUGGCGUGGCCGUGGCGAGGGUACCACAGCUGGGCGUCGAGGCAUUACGAGGCGUAGAUGGCCACACCGGCGGGUACUACCUAUAGUACAUAAGUACUCCAGCUGAGGAUUGAUGCACGGGACAAAAUGUGUCACAGCCGCUGGAUGAAAAUUUGAUGGUGCGGGAGUACGGAUCGGAGCACAGCAGUGGAGCAGGCAAACCGCGUCCAAUCGGGUGUGUCUAUGGUAGAAAGUUGAUGGUCGCCGCAGUUCAGCUGGCCCGCAUGUCAUGCACACAAAGGCAGAGGAGCGGUGGGGCCGAGAGGGAUGAGGGGCAUGAACAAUCCUACCAUUCUGUCACUGACAUGUGGGACCCAUAAGCGUGGGUCCCACCUGUCAGCGAAGGAAAGGCAGGGCAAGGCAGUGAUAGCCACGUCAGAGGAUCCAUGUCCACGUUGGGGGACGUCGUGCCGUGGGUUGGAGCGGCGUCGUGGGAAUCGCGUGUGGGUGUGGCAGUGGUAGAAACAAGAAACGUGAUGGUAGCCGUGGUUCAACUUCCAUGGACAAGCUGUCAUGUCUGCUGACACAUGUAUAUCAAAACUAGAGUGUUUAUAUUUCAAGCAUGUGAACAAGUAUUAUUCUACUAGUUUGGAUCCAUUGCAAUGCACACAUUGGUAGUAGUAGUGUCCAUCUCUAUCUCUAGAGGCCUUCCCUCGUUCAUCCUUUUCUCUCACAAGAUAAACUACUCAUACAAAUGCAUCUUGAUGUUCCAUGGAACGCACAAGGAUGUUUCCUUGCGGGUCUCUCCAGCGCGGCGUGGUCGUAGUUGCAAGUUGACGCCCCUUGAGAUGCCGACGUCGAGGGGCACUCGAAUUUCAUCCGAUGAGCAGGUAAGAUGAGUUUGAUCACAUAGUAAAUGCAUUCUAAAGACUACUUCCGUGUCCAUUUCCUAAUUCUCCCCUUGCCCACUGUUUCACAGGCUAGGCUCGGUGCGAGUGGAGAUUGGCUUGCAUAUGUACGGGAGGGUACCAACAUCAAUUUGCACAACAUUUACAACGGUGACACCGUUCCCGUAGAACCUUUUUCCAACAUUGGGAUCAGCCAUGCAACGGGCAACCGCAUGAAUUGGUACGAUGGAACCACGAUGAGAUUGAAUAAAAUAUAGCACGAACCUUGCACAUGGCGGUCAAAGGCGGACCAUGCUGUCUGCGGCCGAUUUGUUGCCGUACGAGUAGGAAGACGUUGUGCUCCUUUCUAACCGCAUCUUCGCGGUGACAAACCAAGGGACUUAUUUUGUAUGGGACACAUCCUACGAUAUACUCCCUCUCUCCCAGUUUAUUUGUUUUGAAUCUUUUCGUUUUAUAAGUUUCAAAUUCAAAUUUAGAGCUCCCCAUCACAUGUUGAGAUUACAAUGUCCAUUAAAUCGUUGCGUGCAUGUAUAGUAAAGAAACAAAUCUCGAGUUUGGCACGAGUUCGUGCUGCAGGAGCACCACAAGCCCUGGCGCAGGAGUUACAUUUCCCUCUCAGGGCUGUCGGGGCUGAGCUUCAGCGCCUUACUACACCUACCUUUGAGUUAAUAACAUGUGGACCCGAUAGGUGACUGGUCCACAUGUAAUGCUCCCGAAGGCAGAGGGGCAGUGGGGCCAAGAGGAGUGAGCCACAGGUCGGGGGACAUGUGGUUUCAUGGAUUCGAGCGGCGUCGUGGGAAUCGCCGGUGGCUGUGGUAGAAACUUGAUGCUCGCCGCAUUUUAGGUGGCACACAUGUCAUGCACACAAAGGCAGAGGGGCAGUGCAGCCGAGAGGGGUGAGGCCCACGUCGGGGGGCGUGGUGCCGUGGGUUGGAGAGGCGUCGUGGGAAUCGCGAGAUGAAACGUGAUGGUCGCCGUAGUUGAACUUCCAUGGACAAGCUGUCAUGUCUACGGACACAUGCACUGUAUACCGAUCACUGGAAGGAGUAGCAGAGAAAGCUAUAUAUGCGGAUAAAUAGUUCCUUAUAGUCAAGCGGACCCACGCUACUACUCUGUUACAAAGACAUGCACACCAUCGAAAUAGUCCAUCUAUAUCAGUAUACACUGAGAGGGAAUAAUUUUUUUACAAGAGAGGAAAUAGUUCAUCCAUCCAUAAUGCCCUCCUGCUCGUGCAGCGUUUUCUUCUUCUUCUUCUUCUUCUUCUUCUUCUUCUUCUUCUUCUUCUUCUUCUUCUUCUUCUUCUUCUUCUUGUUCUCAUUAUCUGUGGGAGACGGCUUCGCAACAAGCUCUUUGGACCUUGCAGCUAUCUCGAAACUCACACGGGCAUCGAGGGCAGCAUAUUUUAUCCGCUCGUACGUCAAGGGAUAAUUCUCCCAUCCAGACGACCUUAAUGCCACCGUUUCGUCACCCUUCUGAAGAUUUGUACCGAGCACAAAAUUUGCUACGUCGAAUAGGGAUGGUGUCUAUUUAGCACAAUCUUCUACAGGAAUUUUGAUUCUGGUUUGUAGGCCAGCAAUGCUUUUCAAAUCAAGGUUGUAUGGCUCUAGCUUCUGUUUGUCCCCUUCGAUGGCUGCCCCACAGAAGUAUACGUCCUCCCGAGACAAGAAAUCGUGAAGCUCACCUGGUAUGGAGGGCGAGUGUAUGAUGUGGUACACCAAAAAAUCAUCUUCGAGGCACAGCUGAAGGACGGCGGCGCGCUGGAUCUUCCCAGGGGCACGCUCCAUGUACUCUGCAUCGAGACCGAUGACCCUCAUCUCUACCUUUUUGAGGGAGUUGGAUACAUUGUUGAUCCACUACCGAACAACCCUUGGGUGGACGGUGACAGUGGCAAUGAUGUGCAUCGAGCCUUCGACGAGGACAUGUUGGACGCUAAAAACCUGCAUCUUGAUCUCUUUCGCCAUUUGGAACCGCUGGAAUGGAGGGCUAUGGUUUGGAGAAUUGGGAUUAGAUGGCUAGUCUAACUAAAGUAGUAGAUGAUUAUUUAAAGAGGUUAAAACAAUGAGAACGUAGUGGGGUUUGGAUGCAAAUGAAGACGAAAGGGAGGUGAAGAAGCCGAGGGGAAUCGGUUCCCGAUGGAGAAGUAAAUGGGAGAAGUGGCGUGCAGGCAGUUGAUUAGACGGCUAGGUAGACUAAACGAAAAGGCUAUGCGGGUAGACUGAGGAGUCAUACAUGUUCGUGUACGUGCCCAUCCUUCCUGAUAGGUGGGACCUAUGCAAACAGAUAAAAAAAUGUGUCGUAGCUUUUUUUUUGAGCCCGUGAGUGGGAGACACAACAUUCUCUGGUUAAGGAAUACUCCCUCCGUUUAGGUGAGUAUAAGUCACCUUAUGAAAAUCAGGUUUUCCCAAAACCUUUAGGCGUGGAGCAUUAACUUCCUGCUCGAUCCCCUCCCAGCCUCGUUAGCCAGCGUUCUCUUCCUCUGCUGCCGCGUUCUACCUUUCCAUUUUUUCCUCUUCUCAAGUGUGGAACGAUCUGCAUGCCGUCCUUGAUGCACCAGAACGACCACUGCAUGCAUCGCGAUAGGUCGUUUCAUGUGCAUGCAUGAGAAUUUGGUUCUGCUCGCAAUAUGGAUGAUACCUGAACGACGAAGUGAACAGGCAUGCUAGCACGGGAGACCUAUUUCCGCUAUACAAUACUGGAGUACUCAUGUUCCUACUACUAGUAGUAGUAGUAGUAGUACAACUGUGGUACACUUGAUGGUCAAAAUACUAUUCAUCCGGUCCUCAUAGUGAAGUGACAACACCCUGCGCCUGACACUAGUCUAGGCGAGGCGGUGUGUUCGGGUUACCAAAGUCAGCCUCACCCUGUGCACUGUGCAGUCUGUCACCGCCGCUAUACAGCACAUUGGCACCUCGCCUCGUCUCCCUCUCCGCUCCCAUAGCACCACUCCAUCUCCAUCUCCUUCUCCGUCUCUGUCUCCAUCUUACUGUGCCCCCGUGUACCGUUGCCUCACUCGCCUCCCCCAGUACCACUAUUCCCUUGCUAGCCGCUCCAGCAGCGACAUCCUUCUCCCUCGUAAACAAAGCCCCCUUCCAAACUCCACCAUGGUCGAACGCGAACCGCGCAACAUCCAUAUGAGCCGCGAUUGGAGCAAUCUCCCCAGUGACAUCCUCGACCUCUGUUGUUCGUGUGUGGAUAUGUUGACCGCCCUGCGGCUGGCUGCAUGCUCGAGGGACAUGCACACGGCCAUCGUCGAAGCGAGGCCUAAGCUUUUCAAGACACCCUGCUUGCUGCUAUCUGGUCUUGCGAGAUUGGCUCACCAUGAUACAGAGGCGUGCAUGAUGCCCCUCGACUUCAAUCCGAUCUCCAUUAGCCGAAACUUCUUUGCAGUUAUGUAGUGUGUCACCGUACAUCAUUUCCAUCGACAUCGAUCCGAUCACCAUCGCCCGAAACUUCUUGGCGGGUAUGUACUGGGUCGGCAUGAACUCCCACUGGAUGGCUGCCUUCAGAGAAGACAGUAAAAAGUUGGUGCUCGUGAACUUCCAGACCUCCCAUGAGAUUAUCCUUCCUCCGUUGGAUUAUAUAGAGUAUUACCAUCGCGGUCCAAGUCAUCUAGAUUACUAUGUUAGUUGGAUGGACCUUGUUUUGCAGAAGAUUGUAAUCUGCCAAGUACCCACACGACAUGCAAAUUACGCAGACUUCAAGCUAAUUGCCUUGUUCGACCGCGGACUCUCCUAUCUUUACGCCGGUGCCUUUUUUAGCUGGAGACAACUCGGCUUGCAGUGGAUCAUCGUCAAAGCUGAUACACACUUAUGUGAUGCUAUUGAACACAAUGGCAUCAUCUACGUGAUCGACAAAGCAGAUGGCACCACGUAUUGCUGGGACGACGCGUGUAAGUUGUUUCCGUCUCAUGUUAAUGAUGACGCCAUGACACUGUUUGAACUUUUUUUGAUGAUUGGCAUAUCCCUGUUUGAGCAGAAUUUGAGUAGAACUAUGGCAAUAUAUUAGAGACGCCGUAAAUCAGCUAUAUUUGGAAUGAGUUAAUUCAUGCUAUUGUGACCAUGUCAUUACAUCCAAUUUGUACCCUGAAUAAUCAAACGGUUAGGAAUAUAUGGAUAUUAUCCUUAUUUUACAGUAAUCUAUAUACUAGUACUAAAUAUGAGUGUGUAUCAAUGGCCAUGUUAGUAUCCUCAUUUUCAUGAUGUAGAAACAUGCACCACACUGUUGGUUUCAUCUAACCAUACAUUAGGGAAGUAAAUAUGCAUAUGGAGAACUCUAUAUUUGGAAGUAGUGAAAUCCUGCAGUGCUUACCAUGUGUACAUACCUAUAUUCUCCCUUCAGCAAUCAAUGACUAGAAUAAUAUCCUCACAAAUUUUUUGCCCAUAGAACCCGAGUAUAUAACAAUGCAUGGUCUGUUAGUUACCUUGAAGAAUUUGUUUGUGAGGACAGAACAUGAUUACAUAACAUGCAUGACAUGGUAGUUUCGUAUGAAGAAUCGAUUGAGAGAUAACAUGAGUAUACCAUGCAUGGCACUUCUAUAUUUUCGAACCCAGUAUACAUUUCCCUGUAUUUUCCUCUCAGUUCCAAUAGGGACAUAUCAAUGUUGUUUCUUGCAUUAUCCUACUACUCUGAACAAUGCUGAUCUUACAUUAACAAUGCCUGUCCUUUUUGAUAUGAUGCAGUGUCCCUACAGUUACUGCCCUUUGUAAUUACACCACCUUUGCCAAAAACAGGGAAGCACAACUGGUUCCUCGCUCGAUCAGACGACGACAAAAGACUGAUGAUCAUUCGGACACAUGAGCCGGAAAAGUUAUAUUGCAAAAAAACACUGUAUACAAGCAUCGUGUAAUACGUGAGUAUCCGGACAGUGGCUGUUAUGUCUAUGAGCAGGAUACCAGCUUGUUGGGGCCUUUAGGAUUUUUUAGUUGGAGGCGAGUAAACAGCCUUGGUUCACACUCUCUGUUUCUCGGACUCAAUUAUCCGAUUAACCAGGAGAUCACCGUUGGCAAGGACCUUGAUGGCAGAGAGGCUCUGUUUGCUAUGGAAAACUGUGUCUACAUGGCGAGCCCUAGGAGUUCGGGAGCAUAUUCCCCUGAUUGUCAACGAUACAGCCUGCAGCCAAAAGAAGGUGAGAAUGACAAAGACAUCCGGAUUAACUUUGAUCCUUGGAUGUCUCAAUUACGACAGGCAGUGAUGUGGUUCAAGCCUUCAGGUUGAUAGGUAAUUGGGCUGUUGCAUCGAAAGGAUGGAGUACUGGUGUCUCCGGAUCACUGGUCGCUGAAGCGGGGCUGCAAAUUAUGAUGGUGUUGGAUCAUCUCUUCGAAUGACUUUGUUGUCUUUGCUGCUGGUUCUGGAUGGGUAGUUCUUUCUUUUGUUAUGCAUAUUCCUUGUCAUUUGGUCAUCCUCGUCUAUGUCACUCUUUCUAUGUAAUAGUUGCUUCUGUUUAGAAUGUCAUUCUCGUCUGGAUCAUGAGAGUCUGAGCGUUGCAGAUGGGUACAUUUUGGUGGUGUAGCAAGACUUCUUAUGAACUAUCAUGUCUUGCUGUUUAUGUCAGUAGUAGUCACUAGUCACUAUUUGAAUGUUGUAUAUAUCGUUGUUUCGAACUGUUUAUUGUCUCGAACUGUUGGUGGGCUAAAUGAGGGCAUCACCAUUCUCCAGUGUUCAGAGUAUAUCUCCUUUUUUCAAGUUAUAUAAUUUGAGCUCACUGUCUUUUCGAUGAUGUACACUUGUUUGGGCCAGUGAGGUGUCGUUGAAUAUGGGCCGAGUAGUAACGCAAUGCCAAACAGGUCAAUUAUGACUCUCGGGCCGGGCUCUCAAAAGAUCCUGAAAAAAAGGCCGGGCUCUCCAAAAAAGAAAGAAUAAGGACUCUUAGGCCGACAUGUGGGCGCCACCAGUGUUUUCGUGCGCUUGCGCACCGAGAGCAUAUUGGCGCGUGCUCGAAAUUCAUGCUACCUUUUCAUCCCCAGUCUCCCGCCCCUCCCCCACCUCUGGAAUCUCGAUUCCUACUCCGGUUCCCCCAAAUCCCCCUCCUGUACUCCCUGUACUCAAGCGCACUAUCAUGUCGCCGGUCAACGCGGAUCUCCGAGCCGGAGAUCCUGAGGUCCGUCCUGCCUUCGGUCGCUGCGUGUUGUUGCUCAACAGUGGCAUGGCUGCACUUGACGACCAGUUUGCCGGCAAAGUGUUGAUGGUAACCAUCAACGGCGACCGGCCUCCCGUCUCGCCGGACGACCUUGUCAAAGCUCUUGGCAUUGCGCACGGCAUCCAAAUAAGUGACUUGCUUGUCGAAGUCUGUCCGCCACCAGCUGAUUUCUUCGUCAGGUUCCGAACAACUUUCGACUACAGUCGUGUGUUCGAAUCUUCCCGGCGUUUGUUCUGCGAUGGCGCGCUGGUGAGCUUUGAUCGGUGGCACCCAGGAUGGGGCUCGGUGCCCUCUGAGCUUGAGUUUUUAACAAAGCUUACCUUCCAUGGCAUGCCUCGACGUGCUUGGAACAACGAGUCCAUGAACGAGCUUAUCAACGACCUUGGAGGUGAGCUCGUAAGUAUGUUUGUUCCUCCAGACAGCUGGGCUCUGACGGUUAUGGCAUGGAUGAAGAAGCCGUCCACCAUACCAAAGGUGAUUGGUGUUGAGAUACCGAUGCAGGAACCCGGGUUGUACUAUUCGUCGCCACCAAGGCCGUCGUGGACCACGUUAGGGACGUACCUGUAUCGAGUGUUCGUGCAUGUCAAAGAAGUGGUCAAUCCAUCAAUCGAAGUCCUGCCGCCCCCGCUGGUGCCAGGGUCCGUCGACGACGUCCAUUACAGGAGUCAAUGUCAGACUUUCCCCGUGUUGUUCGGAAUGAUGGAUGGCACAGGGCCUACUCCAUCGCGCGGCGGAGGCCACUGCUUCUUUGGGAGAAGAGGCAGGGCUGGCGGCCUGGAUGUGCUCUAAUUUGAGGUAACAACUGAAUCUUGUCACAUAGUACUAGUUAAAUCCGAGCUAUGGGUCUGAAGCACUGAUAUGCCAGUACAUUUGAUUGUGACCUGUUCUAAUUUUGUACCUGAACUUUUUUAGAAAGGGCUAUACGUCAACUUAAUGUGCUAGCAGAACUUAUUGUGUUGUCUGUCUGUUUUCUUUGCACAACAUUCAAGAUAUUUCCCCAUCAUUUAUAAAGACGAUGAACCAUUAUGUACGACUUCGUUGGUAUCAACAUAGCCCUUCCCGUAGCGAUCCACUGCUUCCAUCCUAAUUGUGCCGCCUGCGUGAAAUUUUUGUAUGCAAGUUCAGUGUGCUAUGAUGUUCUAUAUGAUUGUGUCAACUCUAUAAGUUUUUAUUGAGCAUCAGCAAUGCAUAUGGCUGAAAGAUGUAUUUACGAGCAUCGACCGAUGGGUCUCUCUCUCUCUCACACACACACACACACGCACACACACGCGCGCACACGCACAAGUGGGACCCGUUGAAUUAUUUAUUUGCUCGUGACAACUUUUAAUUAGGUUCCACUGUAAUCUAACUUUUUUCUUAAGUUAUUAGUUGAGCUCAGUGACUUCAAAAAGUUGUACAGAAGCCUUGUUUGGGCCUUUCCAGCGUCCCUGAAUGUGGGCUGAGUAACCAUGUUAGGUUGUACUAUACUACACAUGGCUUUUUUUCAACAUCAGCAAUGCAACUGGGCCGAUAGUUGUACACAAUAUCCGGGUCAACUUGUUAUCCGCCCCGCUGGGCUGCAAAGUUUCCUAGGAGGUAUGCAUUAGGCUUAACAAGAAAAUGGACUUCAAGAAAUAAUAAAUGGGAUGUAAUUAUAAUAACUGGCAAUUACUAUGCACCAAACACGUAAUUAGUUUGAAAAAUAUAUUAUUUUUGGAAUUUGGAAAUUUUAAUUUCAUUACUUGUUGCGCGCGCAAUAUUUCGUUGGAUUUUAACGUGAUACAACUUUAUUUUGAAAUUAUAUUUAACCUGACUAGAAAUUUCGAAUAAAAUUAUUUCGGAUCCCAUCAAAAUGUGGGAAUUUUUUUUUGAAUUCUGUUUUGAGCGGUUGUUUGAAAUUAUUAAUCAUUGUCCUACCUAGAAGUUGGGCUAUACUUUUAACAAACCCGUAAAUGGGCUAUAGUAAAUUCCAUUAAAAUUGAAAAAUGGGCUGUACAUUCUUACAAAUCCCAAAUGGGCUAUAUGUUCUCUGCCAAAUCCGAGCUGUGGGCCUACUAAUUUGACGCGUACCAAGGGCUUUGUCAACUUAGUCAAUAUAAACGAUUCUAGGUGCAGUGAUCGUACGAUGUCCAUCCAACGACCGUAGUGCUUCUUUAACCUCUGGUCUUCUUGCUCCAGCCGCCCAAAGCAGCUCCGGUCGUUGAUACGUCUCCAUCAUAUCUACUUUUUCAAACACUUUUGCCCUUGUUUUGGACUCUAACUUGUAUGAUUUGAAUGGAACUAACCCGGACUCAUGCUGUUUUCAGCAGAAUUGCCAUGGUGUUGUUUUUUGUGCAGAAAAUAAAAGUUCUCGGAAUGUCCUGAAACUCCACGGAACACCUUAGGAAAAAUAAAGAAAAAUCCUCGCAAAAGAUGAAGACCAGGGGGCCCACACCCUGCUCACGAGGGUGGGGGGCACCCCCCCUUGCCGCGCCCCCUACCUCGUGGGCCCCCUGGUGGCCCUCCGACGCCAACUCCAACUCCAUAUAUUGGCUUUCGGGGAGAAAAAAAACAGAGAGAAGAAAUCAUCGCGUUUUACGAUACGGAGCCGCCACCAAGCCCUAAUCUCUCUCGGGAGGGCUGAUCUGGAAUCCGUUUGGGGCUCCGGAGAGGGGGAUUCGUCGCAGUCGUCAUCAUAAACCAUCCUCCAUCACCAAUUUCAUGAUGCUCACCGCCGUGCGUGAGUAAUUGCAUCGUAGGCUUGCUGGACGGUGAUGGGUUGGAUGAGAUUUAUCAUGUAAUCAAGUUAGUUUUGUUAGGGUUUGAUCCCUAGUAUCCAUUAUGUUCUGAGAUUGAUGUUGCUAUGACUUUGCUAUGCUUAAUGCUUGUCACUAGGGCCCGAGUGCCAUGAUUUCAGAUCUGAACCUAUUAUGUUUUCAUGAAUAUAUGUGUGUUCUUGAUCCUAUCUUGCAAGUCUAUAGUCACCUACUAUGUGUUAUGAUCCGGCAACCCCGAAGUGACAAUAAUCGGGACCACUCCCGGUGAUGACCAUAGUUUGAGGAGUUCAUGUAUUCACUAUGUGCUAAUGCUUUGUUCCAGUUCUCUAUUAAAAGGAGGCCUUAAUAUCCCUUAGUUUCCAAUAGGACCCCGCUGCCACGGGAGGGUAGGACAAAAGAUGUCAUGCAAGUUCUUUUCCAUAAGCACGUAUGACUAUAUACGGAAUACAUGCCUACAUUAUAUUGAUGAACUGGAGCUAGUUCUGUGUCACCCUAUGUUAUGACUGUUACAUGACGAACCACAUCCGGCAUAAUUAUCCAUCACUAAUCUGGUGCCUAUGAGUUUUCCAUAUACUGGUUCUUGCUUAUUUACUUUUCCGUUGCUACUGUUACAAUCACUACAAAAUACCAAAAACAUCACUUUUGUUGUCUUUACUUUUGUUACCAUUACCACCACUAUCAUAUUACUUUGCUACUAAACACUUUGCUGCAGAUAUUAAGUUUCCAGGUGUGGUUGAAUUGACAACUCAGCUGCUAAUACUUGAGAAUAUUCUUUGGCUCCCCUUGUGUCGGAUCAAUAAAUUUGGGUUGAAUACUCUACCCUCGAAAACUUUUGCGAUCCCCUAUACUUGUGGGUUAUCAAGACUUUUUUCUCGCGCCGUUGCCGGGGAGCAUAGCUCUAUUCUUUGAGUCACCUGGGAUUUAUAUCUGCUGGACACUAUGAAGAACUUGAAAGAUGAUCGAACUACUAUUUUGCCCUCAACUACGAGGGGAGGUAAGGGACUGCCAUCUAGCCUUGCACUAGAUUCUCCUUCUGUUAUGAGUAAUUUGCGACACCUAAACCUACUACUGCUAUUGAUUCUGAUAUGUCGCAUGUUAUUGAUGAUGCCACUUCUGCUAUGCAUGAUACUUAUGAUGAAACUACUUCUAUGCUUGAUACAACUGUGCCACUUGGUGAAUUUCUUGAUGAGCAAAUUGCUAGGUCUAGAGAAAGAGAAAUUAUUGAACCUGAACACGAUGAUGCUAGUGAUGAUGAACCUAUGCCUGCUAUUCCUAAGGGUUAUCUUUUUGAUGCUGAAUCUUCAGCAGCUAUUCUUGCUUGCCAGGAUAGACGUGAAUUUAAGAGGUUGCUAGUUAAAUGGAGUAAAGAAUCUUUUAGAGAUAGAAUGAGACCCGACCCUGCUUUUGCUACUUCACCUAUCUGUGUGCCUGAUCAGGAUUAUUAUGAUUUUUUUGUUGAUCCAGAUAUAAUUACUUUGGUUGAAUCUGAUCCUUUUUAUGGCUAUGAAUCUGAAACUGUUGUGGCACAUCAUACUAAGUUAAAUGAUAUAGCUGCCCUAUUUACUAAUAAUGAGAGAUCGCGCUACCUUUGUUUACUCAAAGUAUUUCCGUUCUCAUUAAAGGGUGAUGCAAAGAUAUGGUAUAAUUCUCUUGAUCCUGGUUGUGUGCAAAGUCCCCAGGAUAUGAUUUAUUACUUCUCUGCUAAAUAUUUCCCUGCUCAUAAGAAACAAGCUGCUUUGAGGGAAAUAUACAACUUUGUGCAAAUUGAAGAAGAGAGUCUCCCACAAGCUUGGGGGAGGCUUCUCAAGUUACUUAAUUCUUUUCCCGAUCAUCCUCUUAAGAAACCUGAAAUAUUUGAUAUCUUUUAUAAUCGACUAACUGAUGCUUCCAGAGAUUACCUGGAUAGUUGUGCUGGUUCUCUUUUCAGGGAAAGAACACCGGAUGACGUUGAAAUUCUAUUGAAUAAUAUGUUGGCAAAUGAAAAUAAUUGGGCACCUCCCGAGCUACCUCCUGAGCCAGUUCCUGAGCCAAUUACUGAGCCUAUUCCUAAACCAACUCCAAGAAGAGAGGUGUUCUAUUUCUCAGUCCCGAAGAUAUGCAAGAGGCAAAGAAAUCUAUGAAAGAAAAAGGUAUUAAAGCUGAAGAUGUUAAGAAUUCACCUCCUAUUGAAGAAAUACAUGGUCUUAAUUUACCGCCUGUUGAAGAAGUAUAUGAUCUCAAUUACUUAUUUAAUGAAGAACCUCCCGAUAUCCCGACACAGGUAGUAAAGGUAAAUUCUCUCUAUAGAUAUGAUAAAGCUGAAAUCCCUCCUACUAAAAUUGCUAGUCAGAGCUUGGAUGAGUUUGAUGACUUUAUGUUUAAGCAAGAUGACUUUAAUGCUUAUUUUGGUAGACAAUUAAAACAGAAUACCUUUAUGAUUAAACUCUUGGGUGAUUAUAUGGCUGAUAUUAAAGGUGAACUUAAACUUGUUAGCAAACAUGCUUCUAUGGUUACCACUCAAGUAGAACAAGUACUUAAAGCUCAGAAAGAAGUGCUUGAUGAAAUGAAUAGUAAGAAAAAUGAUUAUGCUGUUAGAGUGGCUACUAGAACUGGUAGAAUGACUCAGGAACCUGUGUAUCCUGAAGGCCACCCUAAGAGAAUCGAGCAAGAUUCUCAGAGAAACAAUAUUGAUGUACCUAGUUCUUCUAAGAGGAAGAAAAAGAAAAAUGAUAGGACUUUGCAAACUUCUAGUGAACCUAUUGUUGAACCACCUGAGAAUCCAAAUGGUAUCUCUAUUUCUAAUGCUGAAACUCAAUCAGGUGAUGAACAUGAACCUAGUGAUAAUGUUAAUGAUAAUGUUCAUGUUGAUGCUCAACCUAGUAAUGAUAAUUGUCACGCCCAAUAUGCGACCCUAUCCAAAAGGAACUCGAAGGUCCCACCAAGGAUAGACCCACAUAUUGAAACGCUUUUGCAAGGUGGAUAUCAUUACAUCAACAUUACAUAAUAGAUGGGGAUACAUACACGAGGCAUACAAUGCCACACGAAUACAACAUCACAAUACAAAAGAGCAUCAUCCGACUACGGAUGAAAUACAAACAGAAACUCACACGACAUCCACCCUGCUAGCCCAGGCUGCCGACCUGGAACCUAUCCCUGAUCGAAGAAGAAGCAGAAGAAGAACUCCAAAACAAGCAAACAACGCUCUCGCGUCAUGAUCAUCGCACAACCUGUACCUGCAACUAUUGUGGUAGUAAUCUGUGAGCCACGAGGACUCAGCAAUCCCAUUACCAUGGGUAUCAAGACUAGCAAAGCUUAAAGGGAAAGGAAGGGGUAAAGUGGUGAGGCUGCAGCAGUGACUAAGCAUAUAUGGUGGGUAACAUACGCAAAUAAGAGCGAGAAGAGAGCAAGCGGAACGUUCGUGAAGCUAGCAAUGAUCAAGAAGUGAUCCUGAACUCCUACUUACAUCAAACAUAACCCAGAAACCGUGUUCACUUCCCGGACUCCGCCGAGAAGAGACCAUCACGGCUACACAUGCGGUUGAUGCAUUUUAAUUCGGAUCUGGUGUCAAGUUAUCUACAACCGGACAUUAACAAAUUCCCAUCUGCCUAUAAUCGCAGGCACGUCUUUCGAAAGAUUAUACCCUACAGGGGUGUCCCAACUUAGCCCAUGACAAGCUCUCGCAAUCAACGAAGGAUAUACCUUCUCCUAGGAAGACCCGAUCAAACUCGGAAUCCCGGUUUACAAGACAUUUCGACAAUGGUAAAACAAGACCAGCAAGACCGCCCGAUGCGCCGACAAUCCCGAUAGGAGCUGCACAUAUCUCGUUCUCAGGGCAACACCGGAUGAGACAGGCUACGAGUAAAACCAGACUUCGAGUUUCCCCGAGGUGGCCCCGCAGGUGGCUCGGUUCGGACCAACACUUAGACAAGCACUAGCCCGGGGGAGGGGCUAAAAUAAAAAUGACCCUCGGGUUGGCCGACCCAAGGGAAAGGUAUAGGUGAUGGUGAGGCAAAUGGUAAAACCAAGGUUGGGCCUUGCUGGAGGAGUUUUAUUCAAAGCGAACUGUCAAGGGGGUCCCAUAAAUCACCCGACCGCGUAAGGAAUGCAAAAUCCGGGAACAUAACACCAGUAUGACGGAAACUAGGGCGGAAAGAGUGGAACAAAACACCAGGCAAAAGGCCGAGUCUUCCACCCUUUACCAAGUAUAUAGAUGCAUUAAUAAUAUAAGAGAUAUUGUGAUAUCCCAACCAAAAUCCUGUCCACCAUGGAGCAAUCUUCAACUUCACCUGCAACUAGCAAUGCUAUAAGAGGGUUGAGCAAAGCAGUAACAUAGCCAAACAACGGUUUGCAUAGGAAAGGUGUCAAAGGUUAGAGGUUCAUGGCAAUAUGGGUGGGCUUGAUAAACAUGUGAUAGGUAGCGCAGCAAAGCGAUAGAACGAAGCAACUAGCAUAGCAAUGAUAGUAGUGAGAUCCAGAGUAGCGGUCAUCUUGCCUGAAAUCCCGCAAGGAAGAAGAACGAGACCAUGAAGAAGACGAACGGAUGAAACCGAACCAAGCGUAGACGAAUGAAUCCUCACGAUCGCAACGAAACAGGAACUAUCAAAAAGAAGCACACAACAUAGUAAACACACCACACAUAGACAAGACAUGAUGCACAACAAGCAUGAUGCAAGACAAGACUACAUGAAGCUACUCAUGGCAAGAGAUGAUGCAAACAAGAGCAACACAUCAAGGCAAGUUUAAAUGAGGCCGGGAACAACAUAUAACAAUUCCGGUAAGUCCUCAUAUGCAAAUUUCGAAGUUGGUCCAGAUCUGAAUAAACCUUAUGUUCAAGUUGUUAAACAGCAAUUUAAGAUGCACAAGGAUGAUCUACAUGAGAUUCUAGUCAAGUUACAUAUAAAGUUCAUUUAGUUCGGAGCUACGGCCUAGAAGAUAUGACCAAAACAAGUUAAACAUGGCAUUGAUGCAAAAUGCAUUCAAACAUCAAGCAAACAUACCAAAACAAGGAUGCAACAUCAUAAUAUGAAACUACAUGCAAUUCUAAGCAAGUUUCAUAUAGAGCACACUCAAAACGGAGCAACGGUUCAACUCAUACACGCUAUACAAGUUUAAAGGACAAGCUGUCCAAAACAGUAACUAGGCAUAUUACAAGCAUCAAAACAACAUGCUAAAGUACCACAAUAUGAAAACAAAAGGCAUGGACAUGAUGUACAGGUAAAGCAUUACAAAACAUGAACACUGAGCUAUCUCCAGAAACUACUAGAACAUGCUCAAACACACAUGGCAAGAUCGCAACUAAUAACAAUUCAGACUUCGCAGAAAAUAACAUCAGGUUGCAAUGUUCAGAGCAAGUUAUCAACAUGCUACAGGAACUUAUCAUGGCAAAAAAGGCAUGACAUGAAUCUACUAAAUGCAUAGAUCAAAAGUCCCUUACUGACCAUGAGCCAAAAAGGAUCAGAAAAUAUGAUGGCACCCAUGUAAACAUAGCAAGUUAUAUUACAGAUUCAAACAUGGCAGGAACAGAAUUAUGAAGGCAUGUUGGUGAGCUUGUGCAACUCACUACAGAGCAAUACAUGGCAUGGCAGGGCAACCAACAGUAAGAAGACAUAUUUUUGAAGCUAAGCAUGGCAAGAUCAAGUACAUAGGGUGCAUGGAACACUAGGAAAACACAUGGCAACAACUGAACUUAAUGUUAACAGGCUGACAACAACAUUAUCAAGCAACUUUGGAGCAAGUUUACAACAAGUUACGGCAAGCUAUAAAUGCAACCAGGGGCAUGGAUGGAUAGAGCAUGACAUGUAGAACAAAACAUAUUUAGUGAACAUCUCCAGAUUAUGCAUAGAAUGAUUAGUAGCAACAUGUUUACAUAGCAUCACGAAAUAACAGAUUCAGCCUAGCAAAACAGCAACAACAAUUACACUACUUAACAAGCUCAAUUCACUCACCACAAGUCAUUGCAUGACAAGAUAAGCAUAGCAUCAUCAAUAAGACAUGUUUAUGAAACAAACCAAGGCAAGAACAAGUUCAUAGCAUGCACGGAUCAACUACAACAACCUUGGCAAAAUUGAAUAACAUGUAAACAAUCUGCGAGGAAACAUUUUGAAGCAAAAGUAGAGCACGAAAAUGACAUGCUAGACUACUCCAUAAUUGCAACCAUGGGCAUGAAUGGAUAGACAAUAACCAUAUGUUCAAAACACCCUUACUGAAGUAUCUCAAAAUAUGCAUGGAUCUUUCUGUAGCAUCAAGUUUACAUGGCAUCAAAAUAACAGCAGAACAGGGACUAAAAUCAGCAACAUCAUGAUGCCUAGUUUGCAUGCUUGUGCUAGUCACCACAUUGAUCACAAAAAUACAUGGUAAGCACCUCUGUAAAGAAGACAUGUCAUAGUUCAAAGCACAUGUAGACAUCAACCUCAUAGGAUGCACACAUCAAUCAUGGAAAAAAUGACAAAUGAGCUCGUUCUGUUAACAGACAGCAGAAAACAUCAUGAAGCACACUUGCAAUGAUGAUUCAGGCAUCUAGAUGACCUCAAAUGAAAAUGAUGCAAUGGAAUGAAAUGACGUACUCGUUGAUACGAACAAUUUGACAUAUUACAUGCACGAAACGGAGCUACGGAUGCAGAGUUACGAUGCAAUGAACAUGGCAUGAAAAUGUCUAAAUAUUUCGGGGACUUAGCCGUUUUUAGGAAAAAACAGAGUGAGCGCUAGAUACUAAAUGUGGCCGAGGCGGGUUUUAGGCGGGGCUCACCAUGGGCUUCAGCCCAAGACAAAGAGGAGACAGGCCGGGGCGCGCUGGGCCAGAGCUGGGCCUCGGCGAGGUCGCGAGCCCAUGUGGCCAGCGGCCUAUCGUCGUUCUCCUCGUGCCUGAGGCGCACGAGCAAGAAGUAGGGGGCGGCGGCACCUGCAGGAAGGGCCGGCAAGGAGGUCGGGACGGCGCAGGGACGGGCAGAUCUGGCCGGCGAGUUGCCGGAUCUGGUGGUGGCGACGCGGUGACGAGCUCGGGCGGCGGAGGCACCCUGCGGGAGAGAGAGAGAGGCAGCCAUGAGUGAGAGGGAGAAGAAAGGAGAAGGAAGGAGAGGGCGGCGGGGCGCUCAUCUGCGACGGCGCGGGACGAGGAGAUGCCGGAGGGGCAGGUCGCCGGCAAGGCGGCGGCCUCCGGCGGCUUGAGCGGGGCUCGGGCGGACGGGAGGAGCCACGGGGCUCGGGCGCGAGCGUGGGCUGCGGCGGGNNNNNNNNNNNNNNNNNNNNNNNNNNNNNNNNNNNNNNNNNNNNNNNNNNNNNNNNNNNNNNNNNNNNNNNNNNNNNNNNNNNNNNNNNNNNNNNNNNNNNNNNNNNNNNNNNNNNNNNNNNNNNNNNNNNNNNNNNNNNNNNNNNNNNNNNNNNNNNNNNNNNNNNNNNNNNNNNNNNNNNNNNNNNNNNNNNNNNNNNNNNNNNNNNNNNNNNNNNNNNNNNNNNNNNNNNNNNNNNNNNNNNNNNNNNNNNNNNNNNNNNNNNNNNNNNNNNNNNNNNNNNNNNNNNNNNNNNNNNNNNNNNNNNNNNNNNNNNNNNNNNNNNNNNNNNNNNNNNNNNNNNNNNNNNNNNNNNNNNNNNNNNNNNNGCGGGCGCGAGGAGGCGACAUGGCGCGUGCGGAUUGGUCCGGGCGCGCCGGCGGCGACGCCAAGUGGCGAAGGGCGGCUGGGGAGGCGCAGAUUUCGAGGAGGAAGGAGGUGGUUGCGGCAGGAGGUAGGGGAAGAGGUCUAGGUUACCCAAAAUAGACUAGGGGUGUCCAUAUAUAGCAAAAUGGUUAGGUUAGGGGGUUUGGGGGCGUUUUGGAGCCUCCGAUCGUAAUCCGACGGAUCUGAUCGCGAGUUGGGGGGGUUGGUAGGCCUAGGUGGGCUGUGAAGAGAGGUUGGGCUGAGUGGAGAGAAGAGAGAGAGAGGCCCGGCGGCAGUUUCGAAGACCGAAACAUCCGACGAAGGUACCGGCAACGGUACAACUAUAUUUAACGGUUGGGCUAACAAAUGGACUCCGAAUGCGAUGAAACUUGGCAGGCGCUCUGUCUACACUAUAAUAAGACCGCACGACAAGUUGCAACCCAUUCCGAGAACAUUUUUAUGCCACUUAUAAAAUAAUAUUUCGGAGGUGCCGCGGGCGCGUGCGAGUGUGGUCUGGACUCCGAACGGACAACGGAGAGAAUCGGGAGGACCCGAACGGAUGCAAGUUUUAAAAAACAUGCAGAUGAAAUGCAGAUGAUGACAUGGAAAAAUGCAACACGCAAGCAAAUGACAUGGCAACGACGGCGAAUAACUGGCGGACACCUGGCGCAUCGAAACCGGGGCAUUACAAUAAUGAUGUAGAAGUUGAACCUGCUAUUAAUCUUGAUAACCCACAAUCAAAGAAUCAACGUUAUGAUAAAAGAGACUUCGUUGCUAGGAAACAUGGUAAAGAAAGGGAACCAUGGGUUCAGAAACCCACGUCUUUUCCUCCGAAACCAUCCAAGAAAAAGGAUGAUGAGGAUUUUGAGCGCUUUGCUGAAAUGAUUAGACCCAUCUUUCUGCGUAUGCGAUUAACUGAUGUGCUCAAAACAAAUCCUUAUGCUAAGUAUAUGAAAGAUAUUAUUACUAAUAAAAGAAAGAUACCUGAAGCUAAAAUUUCCACCAUGCUUGCUAAUUAUACUUUUAAGGAUGGAAUACCAAAGAAACUUGGAGAUCUGGGAGUACCUACUAUACCAUGCUCCAUUAAAAGAAAUUAUGUUAAAACUGCUUUAUGUGAUCUUGGAGCCGGUGUCAGUGUUAUGCCUCUCUCUUUAUAUCAUAGACUUGACUUGAACAAGUUGACACCUACUGAAAUAUCUUUGCAAAUGGCUAAUAAAUCAACUGCUAUACCCAUCGGUAUUUGUGAGGAUGUGCCUGUUGUGGUUGCAAACGUUACUAUUUUAACGGACUUUGUUAUUCUUGAUAUUCCCGAGGAUGAUAGUAUGUCUAUUAUUCUUGGAAGACCUUUCCUUAAUACUGCAGGGGCUAUUAUUGAUUGCACCAAAGGCAAUGUCACUUUUCAUGUUAAUGGCAAUGAGCACACGGUACAUUUUCUGAGGAAACAACCCCAAGUUUAUAGUAUCAACUCUAUUGGAAAAAUUCCAUUGAUUAUAUUUGGAGGUUUCGAAUUUCCUCUUCCUACUGUCAAGAAAAAGUAUGAUAUUCUUAUUGUUGGGGAUUUUCAUAUCCCCGUUGAGGUAACUUUGUGUCAUUCGAAAUUUCUCCGAUUCCGUGAUUAUUCGAAAUGAGUUUGUUAACAAGACUUGAUCAACCUUGUUAGUGGGUUCAUUUUGAUGAUCACGAGAUGGAUGAAACUAGAAGCACAACCUUCUGUACCCUCUUUAUAUUUUCUCUUAUUUAGUAGAAAUAAAGUAAAAUAGUAUUUUUCUGUCUGUCUCCUGACUUAUCCAUGCAAUAUAAAAAUAUCCCGAAAAUAAAAGUCCUUAGAAUGCCAUGCCAAUUUAAUAUGAUUUUUUCGGGAAUAUUUAAGAAUUUACUGUGCAAAAAUUACCACGGGGGGAGCUGCCACCUGGCCACAAGGGUGGAGGGCGCGCCCUACCCCCCUGAGCGCGCCCCCUGCCUCAUGGGCCCAUGGUGGCCCUCCUCCACUUAUUCCUGCACCCAUCUUCUUCCUCUGCCUCACACAAACACGAAAAACCAACUCAAGCACGAGUUCCAGCCCCCGUUGCUGUGAUUUUCGAUCUCCUUGCUCAAAGCACCUCUUGCAAAACUGCUUGGGGAGAUUGUUCCUUGGUAUGUGACUCCUCCAUUGGUCCAAUUAGUUUUUGUUCUAGUGCUUUAUUCAUUGCAAAUUUGUGCUGCAUAGGUGACCAUGUUCUUGAGCUUGCAUGUCAAAUUUAUAUGGUUCUAAGUAGUUCCAAUGCUUUAUAUAGGCUCUAGGCACUUGUGGGAGUUGUUACUAUCAAUUUUAUUGAAGUUGGUUCACUUUUAUUUGAAGUUACUAAAAAUUUCAGAAAUUUUUCAGAGGAAACAAUAUGCUUAGGAGGAUGUUCCAAGGUGGUCCUUCAAGGAAGCAAGGUCCCAGGCUCGCAAUAAGUGAUGCUGAUGAGGAACCACCAAGAGACGCUCCUGUGAGGCCUUGUGAAUGGCCAUCGGAAAAUUUUAUGAAUAAAGUGGGAAUCAAAGAAGAAUUUAGCACAUAUUUGAGUAACGCCGAUCUUGAGGAUUUUGAAGCUGACAAAUGCCCCCAGUAUCAUGAUCUCACAAGUUCAUUUGUGAGGAGGUUUGAGUUUUCAUCUUCGCGUAAUUCUCCUUCAGUCAUGUUUGACCUUUAUGACAAAUCGUAUACCAUGGACUUAGAGGAUUUCACUUCUGCUUGCAAACUUCCAUCUUGGGGUAAUAUCAGGGAUCCCCCUAAAUCUGAAUAUAGAGACUUUCUUGCUAGAAUAACUGUGGGGGAAUCUAGAGAUAUAACACAAGCUACUAUAGGGAGCAUUCACUUUCCUGCUAUACAUUAUUUUGCUCUCUUCAUAGGUAGAUGCAUAAAUGCUAAGGAUGAAGCAUGUCACAUGUGUGUCCCUGAUCUGAGCAUUCUCAGCAGUGUUGUGUUAGGUGACCAAUCUUAUCAUAUGGGAGCCAUUGUAGCUCGUAGGUUGCAUCAGAAUAGACAUAGCAGAGAUUUCUUUGGAGGAAUUUACGCAACCCGCUUAGCUAAUUUUCUUGAGAUAGACAUUCGUGAGGGUGAUAUGGAGUUACCCCCUUCUUAUUUAGAUUUUGAUUCUAUGGUUUCCCACUAGUUUAUUGAGAGGACCGCACCACCUCUCCAGUAUCGACUAAUCUUUGACAGACGUCGUGUAGUCCAUAUUGCUCUUCCUGUCCCUGCUUUCUUUGAUUCAUAGGCAAAAAUAAUAUAUAUUAUUACCAGAGAGGAGGCAGAUGAGUACGAAAGGAGAGCGGAGGCCGCUCGACUCCACGCUACAGCUCAGGCGGCGAUAGCCGCUGCAUCACAGUACGACCCCAGCUACACCUACGGGUAUCCGCCAGGCCAUCCCUGGCAAUAGACCAACUUAGGCCAAAAGCCUAAGCUUGGGGGAGUACGUAUUUCCCACCGACAUUUCAUUUAUGUUCACACACACACACACUCAUUGCUAGAUGCCGGUGCUCAUACUUUUUCACUGUAAUAUCCAUGCUAGUUUACUUUCUUUUUCCUACUUUCUUCUUGUGUGUUUGAUAAACUUUAAGAAAAACCAAAUAAAUAGUGAGUUUACUUUCCAUGCUUGUAGUAGAAUUAAAAAGAAAACCCAAAAAUAUUUCCCGUUCUUCUUUUACUUGUUGGGAGCUUUCCCGUGUAAAUAGUUUUUAUUUCCUUUUCCUUUCUUUGGGGGUCAAGAAUACCAUAUUGAAAAUGCUUAGUGGCUCUUAUAUGCAUGAUUGUUUAUUUAACUUAGAGCCCAUAUUACUUGUCUUCUCUUGAGUUGAAUGCUUGCAGAUUCUAGCUUAGUCCAAUGCACAUGCACUCUUAUUAUUAUACACACCGUUCGGUCGUGCAAGUGAAAGGCAAUAAUGAUGAUAUAUGAUGGACUUAUUGGGAAGAGAAAAGCUGGUAUGAACUCGACCUCUUUUGUUUUUGUAAAUAUGAUGAUUCAUCGUUCUUGAUUCAGCUAUUAUGAAGUAAACAUAUUUGCAAUGAAAUUUAGAGAUUAUAGUUGCUUGUGCCAUGCUUGAUUAGCUAUGAGUUAUAAUGGUUUACCUUGCGUGCCAACAUGCUAUUAGAAUGAUUAUGAUGUGGUAUGAUGGGAUGGUAUCCUCCUUUAAAUGAAUUGAGUGACUCGACUUGGCACAUGUUCACGCAUGUAGUUGAAUCAAAUCAACAUAGCCUUCAUGAUAUUUAUGUUCAUGGUGGAUUAUAUCCUACUCAUGCUUGUACUCGGUGUGAAUUAAUUUUAAUGCAUGUUUACGACUGUUGUCGCUCUCUCAGUUGGUCGCUUCCCAGUCUUUUGCUAGCCUUCACCUGUACUAAGCGGGAAUACUGCUUGUGCAUCCAAACUCCUUAAACCCCAAAGUUAUUCCAUAUGUGUCCACUAUACCUACCUAUAUGCGGUAUUUACCUACCGUUCCAAGUAAAUUUGUACGUGCCAAACUAUAAACCUUCAAAUAAACAUUAUGUUUUGCAUGCUCGAAUAGCUCAUAUGUCAACUAGAGCUGCCCUUAUCUUCCGUGUUAGACGGGUUAUUCUCAAGAGGAGUGGACUCCGCUCCUCAUUCAUGAGAAAAUGGCUGGUAUCCGGGAUGCCCAGUCCCAUGCUUUAUGCAAACUAAAUCAAAAUAACUGCAAACAAAACUCCCCUUGGGACCCGUUGAAUGUUGGAGGCACUCGUUGUUUCGAGCAAGCCAUGGAUUGAUGCUUGUGGAGGAAGGGGAGUAUAAACUUUACCAUACUGUUUGGGAACCGCCUAUAAUCUAUUUAGCAUGGAAGAUAUCGUCGUCUUUUAGUUGUUAUGUUGACAAUGAAAGUAUGUCGCUCAAAAUAUAAUUUAUCUCUAUUUCAAAACCGAGCUCUGGCACCUCUACAAAUCACUGCUUCCCUCUACGAAGGGCCUAUCCAUUUACUUUUAUGUUGAGUCAUCACCCUUCUUAUUAAAAAGCACCCACUGGAGAGCACACUGUCGUUUGCAUUCAUUAUUAUUGGUUUAUAUUGGGUAUGACUUGACUGGAUCUCUUUUACCAUGAAUUACAAUGUUUAGUCAGUCCUUGAUCUUUAAAGGUGCUCUGCAUUUAUGUUUUGCGGUCUCAGAAAGGGCUAGCGAGAUACCAUUUUGUUAUAUCAUGUUAUGAUUAUUUCGAGAAAGUGUUGUCAUCCGAGUUUUGCUAUUAUGGCUCGCUAGCUGAUUAUGCUAUUGAUAUGAGUAAUUGUGAGACCUACAUGUCAUUGUGAGUAUGGUUAGUUCAUAAUAAUUGCUGAAACUUGAAUGUUGGCUUUUCAUGUUUACAACAACAAGAGCAAACAGAGUUUGUAAAAGUUUUUCUUUUUCUCUUUCAAUUUGUCAACUGAAUUGCUUGAGGACAAGCAAGGGUUUAAGUUUGGGGGAGUUGAUACGUCUCCGCCGUAUCUACUUUUCCAAACACUUUUGCCCUUGUUUUGGACUCUAACUUGUAUGAUUUGAAUGGAACUAACCCGGACUGACGUUGUUUUCAGCAGAAUUGCCAUGGUGUUGUUUUUUGUGCAGAAAAUAAAAGUUCUUGGAAUGUCCUGAAACUCCACGGAACACCUUAGAAAAAAUAAAGAAAAAUCCUCGCAAAAGAUGACGACCAGGGGGCCCACACCCUGCUCAUGAGGGUGGGGGGCGCCCCCCUGGGCGCGCCCCCUACCUCGUGGGCCCCCUGGUGGCCCUCCGACGCCAACUCCAACUCCAUAUAUUGGCUUUUGGGGAGAAAAUAUCAGAGAGAAGAAAUCAUUGCAUUUUACGAUACGGAGCCGCCACCAAGCCCUAAUCUCUCUCGGGAGGGCUGAUCUGGAGUCCGUUCGGGGCUCCGGAGAGGGGGAUUCAUCGCCGUCGUCAUCAUCAACCAUCCUCCAUCACCAAUUUCAUGAUGCUCACCGCCGUGUGUGAGUAAUUGCAUCGUAGGCUUGCUGGAUGGUGAUGGGUUGAAUGAUAUUUAUCAUGUAAUCGAGUUUGUUUUGUUAGGGUUUGAUCCCUAGUAUCCAUUAUGUUCUGAGAUUGAUGUUGCUAUGACUUUGCUAUGCUUAAUGCUUGUCACUAGGGCCCGAGUGCCAUGAUUUCAGAUCUGAACCUAUUAUGUUUUCAUGAAUAUAUGUGUGUUCUUGAUCCUAUCUUGCAAGUCUAUAGUCACCUACUAUGUGUUAUGAUCCGGCAACCCCGAAGUGACAAUAAUCGGGACCACUCCCGGUGAUGACCAUAGUUUGAGGAGUUCAUGUAUUCACUAUGUGCUAAUGCUUUGUUCCGGUUCUCUAUUAAAAGGAGGCCUUAAUAUACCUUAGUCUCCAAUAGGACCCCGCUGCCACGGGAGGGUAGGACAAAAGAUGUCAUGCAAGUUCUUUUCCAUAAGCACGUAUGACUAUAUACGGAAUACAUGCCUACAUUACAUUGAUGAACUGGAGCUAGUUCUGUGUCACCCUAUGUUAUGACUGUUACAUGACGAACCGCAUCCGACAUAAUUAUCCAUCACUAAUCCGGUGCCUAUGAGUUUUCCAUAUACUGGUUCUCGCUUAUUUACUUUUCCGUUGCUACUGUUACAAUCACUACAAAAUACCAAAAACAUUACUUUUGUUGUCUUUACUUUUGUUACCAUUACCACCACUAUCAUAUUACUUUGCUACUAAACACUUUGCUGCAGAUAUUAAGUUUCCAGGUGUGGUUGAAUUGACAACUCAGCUGCUAACACUUGAGAAUAUUCUUUGGCUCCCCUUGUGUCGAAACAAUAAAUUUGGGUUGAAUACUCUACCCUCGAAAACUGUUGCGAUCCCCUAUACUUGUGGGUUAUCAGUCGUGUCGCGUGCUCCUGCCUCCCAUGGCCGGCUGUGAUGUCGCGGAAGCCUCACCGCCCCGUACUACUCCCACCGCUGGCCAGGCCAUCCCUCUACUCACCCACACCCCCUGUUAUUCUACGUCGACGACAGCCUCACACCGCAGCCGAACCAGUGAACCCUCGUACUCCUCUCCGCAUGGGCUACCACUUCUGCGUCUUCCCCGGCUCCACGUCGUCCCCUUCCUAGGCCUCGCCGUCAUCUAGACCACCGCCCUGGUGCUCUCGGUGCGGUGUGGCCAACGUGGUCAACGACCGACUUCCAUCAGAAGAGUACUGUACGUGGACAGGCUGACAGCUGGGUCCAGGCGGCCGCAAGGAAGUGCCUCCUUAUUACGCGCAAAAUAAUUAUUCCUCCACCUGACAGCAGGGACCCACUGGACGGGCCACCUUAUUUCAUGAAAAAAAACGUUUCCCCCUGACUGCUGGGACCCACCGGACGGGCCAGCGUAUUUCGCGAAAAAAACGUUCCCUACGUUGUCAGCUCGAACCCACCGGAAGUGCCUCCUUAUUACGCACAAAAAAAUGAAUACUCCCCCUGCUAGCUGGGACCCACCAUGGUGGGAGGCUGACUUGUGGGCCUACUAAGUUGACUGGGACGGGGGCCUUUGUCAACUUUAGUCAAUAUGAACGAUUCUAUCUCCAGUGACCGUACGAUGGCCAUCCAACGGCCGUAGUGCUUCUUCAACCUCUGGUGUUCUUGCUCCAGCCGCCCAAAGCAGCGCCGGUCGUGCCGCAUGCUCCUGCCUCCCGUGGCCGGCUGUGCUGCCGCGGAGGCCUCACCGCCCCCUACUAUUCCCACCGCUGGCCAGGCCCUGCGGCGACGGCAGCCUCACACCGCAACCGAUCCAGUGAACCCUCGUACUCCUCUCCGCGAGGGCUUCCACUGCCGCGUCUUCCUCGGCUCCCCUUCAUCCCCUUCCUAGGCCUCACCGUCGUCCACCGCCGUGGUGCUCUCGGCGCGGCGUGGUCAAUGUGGUCAACGACCGAUUUCCAUUGGAAGAGUACUAUACGUGGAGAGGCUGACAGCUGGGUCCACGACAGCCGCAAGGAAGUGCCUCCUUAUUACGCGGAAAAUAAUUAUUCCUCCACCUGACAGCAGGGACCCACCGGAUGUGUCACCAGUAUUUUGCGAAAAAAACGUUUCCCCUGACUGAUGGGACCCACAGGACGGGCCACCGUAUUUCAUGAAAAAAAUGUUCCCCCCGCUGUCAGCUCGGACCCACCGGAAGUGCCUCCUUAUUACGCACAAAGAAAUGAAUACCCCCUGCUAGCUGGGACCAACCUUGGUGGGAGGCUGACUUGUGGGCCUACUAAGUUGAUUGGGACAGAGGCCUUUGUCAACUUUAGUCAAUAUUUGAACGAUUCUAGCUCCAGUGACCGUAUGAUGUCCAUCCAACGGCCGUAGUGCUUCUUCAACCUCUGGUCUUCUUGCUCCAGCCGCCCAAAGCAGCGCCGGUCGUGCCGCCUGCUCCUGCCGCCCGUGGCCGGCUGUGAUGCCGCGGAGGCCUCACCGCCCCCUACUACUCCCACUGCUGGCCAGGCCAUCCCUCUACACACCCACACCCCAUGUUAUUCUGCGGCGAUGGCAGCCUCACACCGCAGCCGAACGAGUGAACCCUCAUACUCCUCUACGCUUGGGCAUCCACUGUCGCGUCUUCCCCAGCUCCGCGUCAUCCCCUUCCUAGGCCUCGCCGUCGUCCACCGCCCUGGUGCUCUCGGUGCGGCGUGGUCAACAUGGUCAAGGAAUGGCUUCCAUCGGACGUGGACUGUACGUCGAGAGGCUGACAGCUGGGUCCACGACCGCAGCAAGAAAGUGCCUCCUUAUUACACGCAAAAUAAUUAUUCCUCCACCUGACAGCGGGGACCCACCGAACGGGCCAAUGUAUUUAGCAAAAAAAACAUUUCCCCCUGUCUGCUGGGACCCACCAAUUACAUCUUCGCACGCAAGGAAGUGCGUCCGAAAAAAAAACGAUUCGCCCCCCUGACUGCUGGGACCCACCGGCUACAUCUUCGCACGCAAGGAAGUGCCUGACAGUCGGGACCCACCUGGUCCAAGCGUACGUAGCGUUGUCAUUCUGGUCGCGAACGUGUACAUACAUAUAUACUGGUGGAUGUAGAGGCGCGCACAUGUCAUAGUAGAGGCGCGCACGUAGCAUGUACACGUACGUACAGCGGCGAGGGUGCAAGAAAGAAAAUACGGCCACAUAUGUACAUACGGGCAGGGUCUCUAACGCCUAUCGCGCAUAAGUACAUGGCUGGGUUGGAAUGGAGAAACAGCGUCGUCGUCGUGUUCAUGUUCAUCGGGAGGGCUUGGACGGAACAGGCGAUGGAAACGAGGCCUGGCAUACCGCACAACAGAGGAAACGACCUUGUGUUCGACCGGCCACGUUCAAAAUGGGGUCCUCUUGAUCGGGAGGGGCCUGGUGUACCGCAAAACAGAGGAAACGGACCUCCUAUGGUUGAAACGGGGGUCUUGUUGAUCGGGAGGGGUGUGGCGUACCGCAAAACGGACGAAACGGACCUCCUACGAUNNNNNNNNNNNNNNNNNNNNNNNNNNNNNNNNNNNNNNNNNNNNNNNNNNNNNNNNNNNNNNNNNNNNNNNNNNNNNNNNNNNNNNNNNNNNNNNNNNNNNNNNNNNNNNNNNNNNNNNNNNNNNNNNNNNNNNNNNNNNNNNNNNNNNNNNNNNNNNNNNNNNNNNNNNNNNNNNNNNNNNNNNNNNNNNNNNNNNNNNNNNNNNNNNNNNNNNNNNNNNNNNNNNNNNNNNNNNNNNNNNNNNNNNNNNNNNNNNNNNNNNNNNNNNNNNNNNGGGAGGGGUGUGGCAUACCGCAAAACAGGACUCCACGGGAUACUGUUCAUCUCCACCGUCGACCUCCUCCAGCCUCCACGGGCUACCGUCGACCUCCUCCAGCCUCCACGGGCUCCUGUUCAUUUAGCCUCCACCGCGCGCUACUCCACCGGCUACUGUUCAGCCACCCCUCCACCGUCUACUGUUCAUCCAGCCCUCCACACCACGGGGUCCUAUUCAACCACCCCUCCACGGCCACCCCUCCACUAUCUACUGUUCAUCCAGCCCUCCACACCAUGGGUUCCUAUUCAUCCAGAGGCAACACCACUGCUCACUGUUCAUCCAAACCCCCUCGCAACGCUCACUGUUCAUCCCAAAGGCAGCAUCGAUCGGCUUCAGUUAGCAGCAGUAGAGAAGGAAUCGCUCCAUCGGGUUUAGUUAAUAGCCAUCGAUCAAUCGCUCGGGUUCAGUAACGUGUAGCCUGCAGUGCAAUCGCUCGGGUUCAGUUAGAGCCCAACGCCUCGCUCGGCUUUAGUUAGAGCCAACGCCUCGCACACACGCGCGUACGUACGAGAGAAACGCGCAUCGCUCGGCCCCCGACCUCCCACCGUAACCGGCAACUCCCCGAAAUUUUCCUCCCCCUCGCUUCUACCACGGUUUUUCCGUCAUGGAUGGCCCAAAGAAUGUCAUGCAGCUGCGUCUCCGGCCCGCCCAGGACGAAAAGCCCAUUUUCUGUCAUGAUUUUUUGUCAUAGAAGUAGGAGCCCACCACAUCUAUGAUGAUACCGGGUUUUGUCACAAUUAUCGUCAUAGAAGUGUCAUAUAUAUGACAGGAAAAAAAUCCGUUCGGCCCAAAAUGUCACGGAUGUGUCUUUUUUUUGUAGUGCACCUAGUAAGGAUGAAAUUAUUGGUCUUGCUUCCAUUGCUGUUCCACCAACUGAUCCGUUAGAACAAUAUUUGCUAGACCAUGAAAACGAUAUGUUUAUGCAUGAAAGGGAAGAAAUAGAUGAAGUGUUCCUUAAACAAGAACCUAUGCUGAAACAUAACCUUCCCGUUGAAAUUCUUGGGGAUCCCCCUCCACCCAAGGGUGAUCCCGUGUUUGAAAUCAAACCCUUACCUGAUAAUCUUAAGUAUGCUUAUCUUGAUGAAAAAGAAAUAUAUCCUGUUAUUAUUAGUGCUAACCUUUCAGAGAAAGAAGAAGAAAGAUUAUUGAAAACUCUGAAGAAGCACAGAGUUGCUAUUGGAUAUACUCUGGAUGAUCUUAAGGGCAUUAGUCCCACAUUAUGUCAACACAAAAUUUCAGUGGAGAAAGAUGCCAAACCAGUUAGAGAUCCUCAAAGACGAUUAAAUCCCAAGAUGAAGGAAGUGGUAAGAAAGGAGAUACUAAAGCUCCUUGAGGCAGGUAUUAUUUAUCCCGUUGCUGAUAGUGAAUGGGUAAGCCCUGUCCAUUGUGUCCCUAAAAAGGGAAGUAUUACCGUUGUUCCUAAUGAUAAAGAUGAAUUGAUCCCGCAAAGAAUUAUUAUAGGUUAUAGGAUGGUAAUUGAUUUCUGUAAGUUAAAUAAAGCUACUAAGAAAGAUCAUUAUCCUUUACCUUUUAUCGAUCAAAUGCUAGAAAGGCUAUCCAAACACACACAUUUUUGCAUUCUAGAUGGUUAUUCUGGCUUCUCUCAAAUACCUGUGUCAGCGAAGGAUCAAUCUAAAACUACUUUUACUUGCCCCUUUGGUACUUUUGCUUAUAGACGUAUGCCUUUUGGUUUAUGUAAUGCACCUGCUACCUUGCAAAAAUGCAUGAUGGCUAUAUUUUCUGAUUUUUGUGAAAAGAUUUGUGAGGUAUUCAUGGAUGACUUCUCUGUCUAUGGAUCCUCUUUUGAUGAUUGUUUGAGCAACCUUGAUCGAGUUUUGCAGAGAUGCGAAGACACUAGUCUCGUCCUAAAUUGGGAAAAGUGUCACUUUAUGGUUAAUGAAGGCAUUGUCUUGGGGCACAAGAUCUCCGAGAGAGGUAUUGAAGUUGAUAAAGCCAAAGUUGAUGCUAUUGAAAAGAUGCCAUGUCCCAAGGACAUAAAAGGUAUAAGAAGUUUUCUUGGUCACGCCGGCUUUUAUAGGAGGUUCAUUAAGGACUUUUCUAAAAUCUCUAGGCCUCUGACUAAUUUAUUGCAAAAAGAUAUUCCUUUUGUCUUUGAUGAUGAUUGUGUAGAAGCAUAUGAAACACUUAAGAAAGCUUUGAUCACUGCACCUAUUGUUCAGCCACCUGAUUGGAAUUUACCUUUUGAAAUUAUGUGCGAUGCUAGCGAUUAUGCUGUAGGUGCUGUUUUAGGGCAAAGAGUUGAUAAGAAAUUGAAUGUUAUUCAGUAUGCUAGUAAGACUCUUGAUACUACCCAGAGAAAUUAUGCUACUACUGAAAAAGAGUUCUUAGCAGUUGUGUUUGCAUGUGAUAAGUUUAGAUCUUAUAUUGUUGAUUCCAAAGUUACUACUCACACUGAUCAUGCUGCUAUUAAAUAUCUUAUGGAAAAGAAAGAUGCUAAGCCUAGACUCAUUAGAUGGGUUCUCUUGCUCCAAGAAUUUGACUUGCAUAUUAUUGAUAGAAAGGGAGCUGAGAACCCCGUUGCAGACAACUUGUCUAGGUUAGAGAAUGUUCUUGAUGACCCACUGCCUAUUAAUGAUAGCUUUCCUGAUGAACAACUAGCGGUUGUCAAUGCUUCUCAUACUGCUCCUUGGUAUGGUGAUUAUGCUAAUUGCAUUGUUGCUAAAUAUAUACCGCCUAGUUUCACAUACCAGCAAAAGAAAAAGUUCUUUUAUGACUUAAGACAUUACUUCUGGGAUAAUCCACAUCUUUAUAAAGGAGUAAUAGACGUUGUGUGCCUGAGCAUGAACAUGAACAAAUUCUACGCAAGUGUCACUCUGAAUCCUAUGGAGGACACCACGCUGGAGAUAGAACUGCACACAAGGUACUACAAUCUGGUUUUUAUUGGCCUGCUCUCUUCAAAGAUGCUCGUAAGUUUGUUAUAUCUUGUGAUGAAUGUCAAAGAAUAGGUAACAUUAGUAGACGUCAAGAAAUGCCUAUGAAUUAUUCUCUUGUUAUUGAACCGUUUGAUGUUUGGGGAUUUGAUUAUAUGGGACCUUUUCCUGCCUCCAAUGGUUAUACACAUAUUUUAGUUGCUGUCGAUUACGUUACUAAGUGGGUAGAAGCUAUUCCAACUAGUAGUGCUGAUCAUAACACUUCUAUUAAAAUGCUUAAAGAAGUUAUUUUUCCGAGGUUUGGAGUCCCUAGAUAUCUUAUGACUGAUGGUGGUUCACACUUUAUUCAUGGUGCUUUCCGUAAGAUGCUCGCUAAGUAUGAUGUCAAUCAUAGAAUCGCAUCUCCUUAUCAUCCGCAGUCUAGUGGUCAGGUAGAGUUGAGCAAUAGAGAGCUCAAAUUAAUUUUGCAAAAGACUGUGAAUAGAUCUAAGAAUUGGUCCAAAAAACUUGAUGAUGCAUUAUGGGCCUAGAGAACUGCAUACAAAAAUCCUAUGGGUAUGUCUCCAUAUAAGAUGGUUUAUGGAAAAGCAUGUCAUUUACCUCUUGAACUUGAACAUAAGGCAUAUUGGGCUAUUAAAGAGCUCAACUAUGAUUUCAAACUUGCCAGUGAGAAAAGGUUAUUUGAUAUUAGCUCACUUGAUGAAUGGAGAACCCAAGCUUAUGAGAAUGCUAAGCUUUUCAAAGAAAAAGUCAAACGCUCGCAUGAUAAAAGGAUACAAAAGCGUGAAUUUAACGUAGGAGAUUAUGUGUUAUUGUUCAACUCUCGUUUAAGAUUUUCUGCAGGAAAACUUCUCUCAAAAUGGGAAGGUCCCUACGUUAUCGAGGUGGUCUAUCGUUCUGGUGCUAUAAAAAUCAACAACUUCGAAGGCACAAAUCCGAGGGUGGUAAAUGGUCAAAGAAUUAAACAUUAUAUUUCAGGUAAUCCUAUCAAUGUUGAAACUAAUAUUAUUGAAACCAUAACCCCUGAGGAAUACAUAAGAGACACUUUCCAGAACGUUCCAGACUCCGAAAAGGCAUAGGUACAUGGUACGGUAAGUAAACCGACUCCAAAACAACUCUAAUGGCAAUUUUUAUCAGUUUAGGAUUAUUUAAGAAUUUUAGGAAGAAAGAAGUAGUCCGAAAGGGACACGAGGCUCCCACGAGAGAGGAGGCCCCCCCCCCCGUAGGGCGCGCCCCAUGUCUCGUGGGCACCUUGUGUGCCUCCCAGACUCCGUUUUCUUGUAUGUUACGUAUUCUGGUCGGUAAAAAUUCAUUAUAUAUACUCCCGAAGGUUUUGACCAUCGUAUCACGCAAAUAUCCUCUGUUUUUGUUUUGAGUUGUUCCUGUUGCAGAAUAAAGCAAGAUGUCAUCCCAAGAUUCGGAGGGGGGAGCUACAUGGUUGAUUAUAUCACAAACCCAAAGGUAUACGGGGAUGUGGAACAUUAUGGCUAGACCACGGAGGAAGAAGAAGACUAUGAUCCAAAGAGGAAGGAGGAGACAAGCUCUGAUGAAGAGGACUAUCCACUACCUCAACCUGGUGAUAUGCAUGUGGAGUUCAAUAAGUCAAGCCUCCCUAAGGUUCAAUCUAUCCCACCACGUUUUUUGCAGGACAGCAAGGUGGCACUAUGUAAAAAGAUAAUGAAACUUGAGCUCGAGAAUGAGGAUCUGAGGGAGGAAAAUUUUAGCCUCAGACGCAAGCUAGAGAAGAAAAAUGCAACAACUCCAUCAUCAACAAUUCCUACUUCACCACCUCCGAAGAAAUAAUCACAUGGGUAUGGGCACUCCCCUUGGCAACUGCCAAGCUUGGGGGAGGUGCCCCGGUAUCGUAUCACCAUCACUCUCCUAUUUUUAUCGCUCUAUUUAGUUCAAUCCUUUUAGUAGUAUCUUGAUCUAGUAGAUUGAAGUUUUGAUAUCAAGUAGUUUUGAGUUUUGCAUUGUGAUCUCUUUAUGUAAUCGAGUUCGUGUGCUAUUUAUAAUAAAGAUUAGUGUUGAGUCAAGGGCUUCGCUAUGUUGCCAUGAUCUUGAGCAAGUAGAAAGAAUAAAAGAGUUCAUAUUGAUCUUAUGGAUAGUGAUAACUUCACACAUAGAAAGUAUGAGGCAUAAAAAUUGUUGAGAGUUGAUGAACGUAGCCUUGGUCAUCGUUGAAAUUAAUAGGAAGUGAUAAGGAAAGAGGGGUUCACAUAUAAAUAUAUUAUCUUGGACAUCUUUUAUGAUUGUGAAGCACUCAUCAAGUAUGAUAUGCUAAAGGAGUUGAUGUUGGAUAAGGAAGACAACGUAAUGGUUUAUGUUUUCUGACAUCUCAGUUAAAGUAUAUUGUCAUUGACCUUCCAAAACAUGUUGAGCUUGCCUUUCCCCCUCAUGCUAGCCAAAUUCCUUGCACCAAGUAGAGAUACUACUUGUGCUUCCAAAUAUCCUUAAACCCAGUUUUGCCAUGAGAGUCCACUAUACCUAUCUAUGGAUUGAGUAAGAUCCUUCAAGUAAGUUGUCAUCGGUGCAAGCAAUAAAAAUUGCUCUCUAAAUAUGCAUGACUUAUUAGUGCAGAGAAAAUAAGCUUUGUACGAACUUGUUGUGGAAGUAAUAAAAGCGACGGACUGCAUAAUAAAGGUCCACAUACAAGGGGCAAUAUAAAGUGACGUUCUUUUGCAUUAAGAUUUUGUGCAUCAACCCUAAACGCGCAUGACAACCUCUGCUUCCCUCUGCAAAGGGCCUAUCUUUUGCUUUAUGUUUUUUACUUUAUGCUUGAGUCAAGGUGAUGCUCACCUUUCCCUUUUUCAUUUUAUCCUUUGGCAAGAUCCUCAUGUUUAAAAGAUCAUGAUAUAUAUAUCCAAUUGGAUGUAAGUUGGCAUAGGCUAUUAUUGUUGACAUCACCUAAAGGUGAAUACGUUGGGAGGCAACACAAUAAGCCCCUAUCUUUCUCAGUGUCCGGCUGAAACUCUAUAACCACAAGUAUUGCGUGAGUGUUAACAGUUGUAGGAGACUACGAGAUAGUUGAGUAUGUGAGCUUGCUGAAAAGCUCUAUUAUUGACUCUUUCUGAUGUUAUGAUAAAUUGCAAUUGCUUCAAUGACUGAGAUUAUAGUUUGUUAGUUCCCGAUGAAAUUUUUGAACCAUACUUGACAUUGUGAAUUGCUUAUUGCUUGAGCAUAGGAAAUCAUAUGACAAAAUCUAUAUAUGUUGCUGUUAUUAGAAUGAUCAUGAUGCCCUCAUGUCCGUAUUUUAUUUUUAUCAACACCUCUAUCUCUAAACAUGUGGACAUAUUUUUAGAUUUCGGCUUCCGCUUGAGGACAAGCGAGGUCUAAGCUUGGGGGAGUUGAUACGUCCAUUUUGCAUCAUGCUUUUAUAUCAAUAUUUAUUGCAUUAUGGGCUGUUAUUACACAUUAUAUCUCAACACUUAUGGCUAUUCUCUCUUAUUUUACAAGGUUUACCAUGAAGAGGGGGAAUGCCGGCAGCUGGAAUUCUGGCUGGAAAAGGAGCAAACGCUGGAAACCUAUUCUGCACAACUCCAAAAGACCUGAAACUCCACAAAACAACUUUUUGAAUUUAAUAAGAAUUUAUGAGCGAAAGAAAUAGGCCAGGGGGCCCACACCCUGUCCAGGAGACAGGAGGGCGCGCCCCCCCUGUAGGGCGCGGCCCCCUAUCUCAUGGGCCCCCUGGUGGGCCUCCGGCGUCCAUCUUCUACUAUAUCAUCACUUUUCCCCUGGAAAAAACCGUGGGCAAGCUUACGGGACGAAACUCCGCCGCCACGAGGCGGAACCUUGGCGGAAUCAAUCUAGGGCUCUGGCAGAGCUGUUCUGUCGGGGACACUUCCCUCCGGGAGGGGGAAAUCAUCACCAACGUCAUCACCAACGAUCCUCUCAUCGAGAGGGGGUCAAUCUCCAUCAACAUCUUUACUAGCACCGUCCCCUCUCAAAACCCUAGUUCAUCUCUUGUAUCCAAUCUUGUAUCAAAACCACAAAUUGGUACUUGUGGGUUGCUAGUAGUGUUGAUUACUCCUUGUAGUUGAUGCUAUUUGGUUUACUUGGUGGAAGAUCAUAUGUUCAUAUCCUUUAUGCAUAUUAUUACUCCUCUGAUUAUGAACAUGAAUAUGUUUUGUGAGUAGUUACGUUUGUUCCUGAGGACAUGGGUGAAGUCUUGCUAUUAGUAGUCAUGUGAAUUUGGUAUUCGUUCGAUAUUUUGAUGAGAUGUAUGUUGUCUUUCCUCUAGUGGUGUUAUGUGAACGUUGACUACAUGACACUUCACCAUUAUUUGGGCCUAGAGGAAGGCAUGGGGAAGUAAUAAGUAGAUGAUCGGUUGCUAGAGUGACAGAAGCUUAAACCCUAGUUUAUGCGUUGCUUCGUUAGGGGUUGAUAUGGACCCAUAUGUUUAAUGUUGUGGUUAGGUUUACCUUAAUACUCCUUUUUGUAGUUGCGGAUGCUUGCAAUAGGGGGUAAUCAUAAGUGGGAUGCUUGUCCAUGUUAGGGCAGUACCCAAGUGCCAGUCCACCCACAUAUCAAAUUAUCAAAGUACCGAACGUGAAUCAUAUGAACGUGAUGAAAACUAGCUCGACGAUAAUUCCCAAUGUGUCCUCGGGAGCUCCUUAUUCAUUAUUAGAAUUUGUCCAGGCUUAUCCUUUGCUACCUAAAGGAUUGGGCCACCUUUCUGCACUUUAUUUACUUUAUUUACUAUUUGCUCGUUACUAUUUAUCUUAUCGCAAAACUAUCUAUCAUCCACUAUUUCAGUGCUUGCAGAGAAAACCUUAUCGAAAACCGCUUAUCAUUUCCUUCUGCUCCUCGUAGGGUUCGACACUCUUACUUAUCGAAAGGACUAUGAUAGAUCACCUAUACUUGUGGGUCAUCAAGACUCUUUUCUGGCGCCGUUGCCGGGGAGCGUAGCGCUCUUGGUGAGUGGAACUUGGUAAGGAAACAUUUAUAUAGUGUGCUGAAAUUUUCUGUUACUUGUCACUAUGGAAACUAAUCCUUUGAGGGGCUUGUUUGGGGUAUCUUCACCCCGACCAGAAGAGCAAAGAGAUGCUCCUCAACCUACUGAACUUUAUGAAAAUAUUCACUUUGAGAUUCCUUCGGGUAUGAUAAAAAAACUGCUAGCUAAUCCUUUUGCAGGAGACAGAACAUUGCAUCCUGAUUUACACCUUAUCUUUGUGGAUGAAGUUUGUGGAUUAUUUAAGCUUGCAGGUAUUCCCGAUGAUGUUGUCAAAAGGAAGGUCUUCCCUUUAUCUUUGAAGGGAGAUGCAAUGACAUGGUAUAGAGUAUGUGAUGAUACGAGAUCUUGGAAUUAUAAGCAAUUGAAGCUGGAAUUUCACCAGAAGUUCUAUCCUAUGCAUCUUGUUCAUCGUGAUCGUAAUUACAUAUAUAAUUUCUGGCCUCGCGAAGGAGAAAGCAUUGCUCAAGCUUGGGGGAGGCUUAAGUCAAUGUUAUAUAGAAGAAAAGGAAAAGAAAAGGAAAAGGAACAGAAAAGAAAACCAGAAAAACCAGUAAAAGAAAAAAAACCGGUUCAGUGAACCUUCUAGAAGGUUCCCAAAACCGGCUGGUAGUGGCAGUUGUUCGCGCAAAAACUGGGCCGGCUCUUUGCGUGGCUGCUCGGUCGGUCGCAUGUGCGAAGCGCCGGCAGUUUGACGCAAAGAGCGUCAAAUAUGAUAUUCCUUUUAAACUAUGGUAUUAAGUCAAUAUUUUAGAAACAAACUUUAAAAAAUUACAAAGUUAAGUAAAAAGAAAUGGAGAGAGUUAAAAAAACGGAGAGGCAAAAAAAAAGAACGAGUGGAGCCGGUUCGACGCAGUUUUCAGCAAGCUCGCGAAACAUAUCUUUAUCUCCGGUCAUAUGAUCAGUACAUCCACUAUCAAGGACCCAUUCCUUUCCUCCUGCCAUGUAUCCCCAAAGAUUUGCCAUAAGACCAAAGUGUCUCAUUGCAUCAUCAAGAUCAUAGUCACUAUCAUCAUCCUCAUCAUAGUAUCCAUGUUCAACAUCGUCAUGUGGUGGAUCAAUUCCUAGAGAGGGUGAUUCAUUAGAUAAAUGAUUUUGACAAUGAUCAUCUUUAUGAAUUCUAAUAGCUUCGGAAAUAAUAUUGCUAAUAAUUCCAACAUCUCCUUUGGCACACAUAAGAUUUGUAAGCUCAAAUAGACAAUCACCAAACUUAGGAUCAUUGGAAUUCAUCUUACUCAAGGCAAUAGACUUAUGAAGAAUCUCAUCUAGAUUUUGUAAGGAAUAAUUUGGAAAUCGUUCCUCAAGAAAUUUCCCUAUAGUGUAGGCACACUUAAGAGUAGGCAAGAAACCUAUCGAGUUUCUAGGCAAACAUCUAGUGAUAGAACAGUUCUAAGAUUGCGAACAUGUCAAUUGACUCAUCAAGGGUAGGAUGCAUAGGAUCAACAUGAGGUGCACAAGGGCUAGUAAUGUACUUGUUCAAAUGAUAUUCAUUGAAAAUCACAAGCAUCUCAUUUUUCCACUCAUGAAAGUACUCUCCAUCAAGUAUAGGCACUCUAUGUCUAAUCCCCAAAGUAGACUCAUCCAUCUUCCUCCAAUGGUGUUUAAACCAAAGCAAUUGAGACCAAUGCUCUGAUACCAAUUGAAAGGAUCGAGAAGAGGUGUCUGGAGGGGGGUGAUUAGACCCUCAACACCCAAAGUUGGCAGCUUUUAAGUUUUUCAAGUUUAGGUGGAGUUUAAGCACAAGUUUAACCAUUCACAAUACAAAUCAAGCAAGCAUGCAAAGAGUAUAUGGGCAACGGAAAGCAAAGCAUGCAACUUGCAAGAAAGUAAAGGGAUGGGAUUGGAGUGUGCAAAUGCAAUUGGAGACGCGAAUGUUUUUGGCGUGGUUCCGAUAGGCGGUGCUAUCAUACAUCCACGUUGAUGGAGACUUCAACCCACGAAGGGUAACGGCUGCGUGAGUCCACGGAGGGCUCCACCCACGAAGGGUCCACGAAUAAGCAACCUUAUCUAUCCCACCAUGGUAUCGCCCAUGAAGGACUUGCUUCACUAGGGUAGAUCUUCAUGAAGUAGGCGAUCUCCUUGCCCUUACAAACUCCUUGGUUCAACUCCACAAUCUUGUAGGAGGCUCCCAAGUGACACCUAACCAAUCUAGGAGACACACCAAAAGGUAAUAGAUGGUGUGUUGAUGAUGAACUCCUUGCUCUUGUUCUUCAAAUGAUAGUCACCCCAACACUCAACUCACUCUCAUAGGAUUGGAUUUGGUGGAAAGAUGAUUUGAGUGGAAAGCAACUUGGGGAAGGUUAGAGAUCAAGAUUCAUAUGGUUGGAUUGGAAUAUCUUGGUCUCAACACAUGAGUAGGUGUCUCUCUCUCAGAAAAUGAGUAGUGAAAGUGUAGGCACGUUCCGAUGGCUUCCCUCACGAACGAGGAGUGGGUGGAGGGGUAUAUAUAUCCUCCACACAGAAUCUAACCGUUACACACAAUGAGGGUGGAGGGGAUGACGAUUCGAUGAGAGACGAUAACUACGAUUUUUGUGGGACUUGAACCUCACGAUCCGGCUACCAACCAUACAGGAGGACCGUACACGACUGAUAUCCACGGCAAUCACUGAACCAACUCCACAGUGUUAUCGACCGAGCCAACGGCGUGAUCAACCUAUCCACGAAGGAUUUUUCCUGCAAGCAAAUCAAAGAAUAUGCAAGAAAAUAAUAGCCAAGUAAUCUCAAAAUUGCGAAUAUGCUAGAUGGGAUUAAUCUCACAAGAUUGGGUUCCGAUAGGAUGUCUUGACGGUGGCACUAGCCGCUACGAGCAAAGACAAAUAAAAGUAGCAAUAUAGCUAAACUUCUCUAAACAAAACCCGAGUCUAAGCCCUAAUAGAUGAUGUCUAAUUAUUAAGAGUCUGCGCCGAACGAGUACGUCGACGUGUUCCAUCCGAACUGCUGGUCAAAGGAAAUUGUCCACGGGUCGGUUGGCAGGCCAAGCCGCAUGCCUUCUUGAGAAUUGGCGCGUGAGGAGACUUGGGCCAGCCCAAAGUGCCAUGGCCCACGUGGUUGAUACUGAUCAGUGGAUUCGGUCCUCUUGCACUCCACGUGACAUCGUUGAUGGAUGGUAUGGAGUGGAUGCUUCGGUGGCCAUGCAUGCAUGCAAGGAGGAUGGAGCGCAUGCAUGCAUCAAGAAUUGCUUCAUCUUGUUUUAAAACACAAUAGUCCCUGGCUUCUUUCAUUCUUUUCUUUCUGAGUACAAGUAAAUCAUAACAUGAAUGUAAUAUAAUAUUUCUGUGAGUUAAAUAAUAUGUCCAAAGGAACGAAAGUACCUAGUUAAUAAUUUGUGGUGUAAUAUUUGUAGACGUUUCUAUGAUAGCUAUGUCCACAUCACACAAUAUACCAAACUCAGUGGGACCGAAUCAGAAAACUCGGCCAGACCGAUUUAGGACAUAAUGUGACCAUUAGGCAAUUUUGAUGGGACCGAUAUGAUAAACUCGUUGGGACCGAUGUGCAAGGGUUUGGGUAAAACCUUAUCUUGGUUUGACCGAUUACACAUCUCGGUGGGACCGAUAUGGUAAUAAGCAAAACAGAGAGUUGGUCAGGAAAACUCGGUGUGACCGAUUACAUAUUUUUGGUGGGACCGAAAAUAUUGCAAUAGACAAUAGAGAGUUUGCAAGCCCAUCUUGAUGAGACCGAGAUCCCAUCGGCGAGACCAAACUGAUUAGGGUUUCUGGCAGUGGCUAUGUCAAACGAACUCGGUGGCGCCGGAUGGAUAAAAUCAGUGGGGCCGAGUUUGACUUUUGGUUUGGGACAUAUGUGGAUAUGUGAAAGUGGUUGAGAGCUUUGGAGCAUAUCACAAAGCACUUUGAGCAAGCAAGCCAUUAAGCAACACCUCAUCCCCUUUUAAUAGUAUUGGCUUUCCUAUAGACUCAAUGUGAUCUUGGAUCACUGAAAAUAGAAAAUGCAGAGUCCUGAGGUUUGAGCUUGAGCCAAUCCUUUGUCCUUGGCAUCUUGAAGGGGUUCCACAUCCUCUUGUCGAUGCCACUCCACUGUUGGACUUAUCUAAAUAUACUAGAUGGAAGUAUCAGUCCAACAAGAGAUAUGUUGACAUUAAUUACCAAAAUCACCCAGGGAGCACUUGUGCUUUCAAGAAGUCAUGAUAGAGUUUGACAACCUACCUAACAGAAUACAAGCAAAAGAACACCAACAUUCACAUAGCGUUCUAUCAAUGACCCGACUCUGGGGCAAAUAGAAACAUAGUAUGUACAUAAUUAUUUGAAAACAGUUCUGAAAAUACCUUUCAAAUAACUUUCUUAACUUCCGUGUUGCAGUUAGUUUCUGCGCCAAUUGGUGCAACGGGUCAUCUACUAGUUAAAAAAGAUCAAACUCUACAGACGGUCCGAACGAAAAAGCCGAGAACCGAGGCCUCGUUUUUUAAGGUACUAGAUGAUUACCCCGCACGUUGUUGCGGGAACUCUUAGUUGUAUGCACGUGAUAAUAUAAAUUAAAUAACUUUGCUUGCAAAGUCUAUAUAUGAUCUUAAGAUGAAAAAUUGUAAUGAAUACCGCAAUUGGAAUAUAAUUGAAGUUACAAAAAUGUGAAUUAUGAUAUCAAAUUUUCUACUAAUUGCACUGAAAAAAAUAGCGCGCUAUAGCGUAUUCAGAAUUGCCUCGCUAAAUAUAUCAGUGUACAAUGUCUCGCUAAUAGCGCGAUAUAGCACGCUAAUAGUAUAUUUUGAGGUCACCCUAUUUUGCUGUAGCGCGCUAUUUUUUUCAUUGACUAAUUGUAGUGAUAUGCCAUAAGUAAUCUACGUAUGAGUAAAACAAUCCUUAUAUCUACAUAGUUAUUAAGACCUCAUCAAAGAACAAAAACUUAAAACGAAUAUGACCAUUGUAGUAUUUUGCUAUAAUUGACGUCGAAUGAUGAAGCUCUAAUAUCACAAUGAGAACAAAUCAAAUCAAGAUCAUUUUAAGAAAAGAGUACCAAUUUAUUUUCUCUUUUUCCUAUCAACACAAAAACCAAUUCCUAUUGUCUAAAAGUAUGGGGUUGUCAAGAGCAUGAGAACUUACAUAUAGAUAAGCACCGAGGUCCAAGUUAUCCAUGUAGUUAAAAACAACAAUUACAUGCAAGCAAUUAACCAAUAAUCAUAUCGACUUGACAUACUUUUAGUUCACUAGCAUUUUUCCAUGCAAGAUACCAACGGAAAAGAGCAGUACAGAAUAGAGGUCCCUACAGAAUAUACUAAAACAAACACAUUAAUUUAGGCAAACUAAUAAAAAUAUGAUAUAAUCCAUUUAUUUACCAGAAAUUUGGUAGGUGAUCACACAUAAGCUAACUGUACACAUACUUCCAAGAACCUUACCCUAUAUUAUCUACAUAAAACCAUAAAUGAGAAGAAAAAAAAUCACUGUUAUGCAAAACGAUCAUAGAUCGUUUUCUGUCAGGGCCUAGACUACAUGACCCAUCACGAGUGAUAUUAGGUAAUUACAAAUAAUCAAGUAUCUCAUGAGACAACAAAUAUCACACGUGAGCAUCAGGUACAUGUAUGUUCCAAACCCAAGGUGAUUUGUUUCAUUUAGUGUAAGUGCAUCUAGUGCCCCUUAGUGAUUUUGGUGUAUUGAAGACUUAUAGGUUAAGGGACUAAUGUGUUUAUGAGUGUACACAGGUCUAUAAGUCUAUGAGGAGUUUGAUAUUUACAGAGAAAGUCGACCCCUAAAAAUGAAUAUCUUCGACUGAAGAUUUUGGUAUUCCUGAAGACUUUCAUGAAGACUUUGAAAGUGAAGAAAUUGGUGUGUCCGUGAAGACUUGAUAUUCAUGCGAGGAAUAUGAAGCUUGAAGACUUUCGUUUUCAUAGUUUUGUUUUUCUCUUUCUUGAGUCAUAGGAAACACCGUACUGUUAAAGGGGGUCGAGGAAAUACUAAGGAAAAAUUUCCAUGUGAUGCUCAACUCAAAAUCCUACACCUACCAAUCCCUUCGAGUGAAGCCAUUAGAAAUCUCAUACAGUUCAGUCAAUUUCUUCAGUAACAGAGACGAAGUUCUUCUGGUCACUGAGGAAUUUGAUCUGACUGAGGAGUUAGGAAUUCGCCAGUGCGGAUUGCCUACACAGUGAGGAACAUGAUAGCCCUGAGGAAUUUGAGAGUCAAAUUUCCGACUGUUGCUGUGCUACGCGCCAGCUGUCCCAAAUAUCUUAUCCACCUAACGGUCAUAUCAUUGAAGGUCAUUUAUGUCUUAUCAUGUCGGGCUGCUCCCUAGGCUAUAAAUAGCCCCCCCUACAACCACUAGCUGGUUGGCUGCUCCGAGAGAAACUGACACUUGUCAUUUGAGAGCAACCCAUCCUCCGAGGACUUUGAGUGAAAAUCAUCUAGUGAGGAAAAUCCAAACCCAAACACCCACAAACCCAAAGUGAUUGAGCAUCACUGAAGAGAUUGAUCCUGUGUGGAUCCGACGCUUGUUACCUUUGAAGACUGUGCUUCUUCCAGACGGUUAGGCGUCAUGGUCUAGAGCAUCCAAGAGGAAUUGUGGAUCGCCAAGUGACCAAAGUCUGUGAAGGUUUGGAAGUCGCCUGAAGACUUACCACGAGUGAUUGGACGGGGUCUGUGUGACCUUAGUUCAAGGAGAAUACGGUGAGGACUUGGUGUUCUGAGCUGCGUGCUCAGUGACUGGGUGUCCGGGACUGUGUGUCCUCGAGUUUAAAUACUCAGCCGCUCCAACCAGACGUACAACUAAGACAGCAGUUGGAACUGGUCUAUCAAAUCAUUGUCUUCACCAACCUUACCGGUUCUAUUUCCUCAACUCUUUUAUUUCCUCAUUACUGUGUUGAGUAGUUGUUCAUAUCUAUGUUUGAAGACUUUGACUGAAGACUUUCUCAAUUUCCUCAGUUCAAUUUCUUCAGUCUGUUUGUCUUCGUCUUGUGUUAUCCUGUGUUUACGCUUCCUAUACUCUGUGAUUGUCUUCAUUUCAUCAUGAUGACUGUGCAUGUCUUCUGUUAUGCUUACUUCUGAGUACUUAUUCCGCUGCAAGUAGUUCUUCGCUAAGGAAUUUCCUCACCAUCAAAUUCCUCAGUGAAGAAUUCAUAAAAAUCGCCUAUUCACCCCCCCCCUCUAGUCGAUAUAACGCACUUUCAUUUAGCGUAAAGCCAAAUUUCAUUUUAGGUGUGUCCAUGGGUACUACUUAUGGGUUGGAUAGAAACACAUAGUACAAUAGGGGUUCAUCUGCUAGAAUUAUGACGAAAGUCAAAACAGUUACUUCUCAAAUCUUUUUUUAGGACUCUUGUAUCAGUUUAAACUUUCUCCACUUCUGCAUUCAUGCUCUCCAGCUAUGUCAACAAAGACUACGCUAAUACCAGUAAACAGAGCUGACACCCCAAGUUGUAUGUGAAGGGCUUUGACUGUGAAGGGGUAAAUCUUGGAUGUCAUUCCUCAACUUAAUUAAGCUUCUGCUUCACCCAUCAUGCAGUCUACAAUUGCUAAACAAAUACGUACAAUAUUGGCAGGCUGAUAGAUAAUAGCCACAAAGAGAUCCACCAAUGGACUGCUGGUGGAAGUAGAUCAAAACUUCUCUGAAACAAAAGCCAUUACACAUAUCUGAAUGAAUUAUAGCAGAACAGAUACUUCAAUCCUAAUAUGUGAUGGAUAGUUAAUUACUGAUUCAAGGUCAAGUGACAUUUAGAUUUGAUAUUGUAAAAGAAAAUAGGGAAAGAAUCAUGCCUUAUUGGAUCCCAUGUACCUUGCUGACGAGAACAUUGCCGCCACUGAUACAGAGGUUCAUCUUGCACACUGCAAGGAAAUCCCACAGCUUCCACCAACGGUAGUAUUUGAUCACAGCAGCGAAAAUACUUACAUGAAAACAAAAGUGAGCAUUGCCCGCCUGGCUGGAUAGGUGUGUAUCAAUGGUGCUCGCAACUGGUAUAAACCGGAAAAAAAUCGUUCAUGAAUAACUCAACCUGAAUCAUGGAUUGCUCUCCAUAGUCUGAGCGAUAGCAGUACCAUACCCAUGCAUAUGUGCAUGCUAUAUCAAGAAAAUCAGCAAUUCCAAUAAGAUACUAAACCUAUCCUAUGGUUCGUAUCUAGAUGUUUCCCCUACUAAAAAUUCACAUCGACUUGUCAUCAGGAGCUUCCUUGCUGCAAAAUACACACAAUAAAAUAAAAAUUAAACUAGUUCGGUUCUAUCUGAAUCAAUUGAUGCCCGCACGUGGUGGAUAGCCCUGGGACUCGACACUGAAAUCAAUAGAUGGGUACCUUCACAAUCGGCAGUGGAAUCAGACUGGACAUCGCCGGAUGGUUUCCUGCAAACUAGGUCCUGCUGGAGGGCCGUAAAAUGAGGUCUCGGCCGCCGUGCCGAAUGCAGAUGAGAGCCGGGCCAUCGGUCCUGCAGAAGAGGCGUCUGACGGGAGUCUGGCCGCCGGGCCGAACGAAGAGGGUAGCCGGGGGUUGGCGCGGAAGGCAGAGGAGGCGUCGGUUGCCGCGAGUUGGAGUUGGAGGUCGAGCGGCGGUAGGCGCGGGUGGUGCCGCGCGCAGCGCAGGAUGCGGAAGAGCGCCUUGGGGGAGGAGGCGUGUGCGGAGGGGAGCCCCGGGACUGGGAGGAGGCUCGGCGGCGAGAGGUGGAGCGACAGGAAGGGGGCGAGGGGGGUGGAGGCGAGCGCGGUGGAGAAGAGGUACGUGGAAGAGAUCGACGGAUGGGCUUCUGUUGGGCUCCCUUUAUCCAUUAUUACACCAACUCGUCGUCUACAUGAAGGCCUCUUCGGUUACCAAUCCCACGAUUUCUUUUAAAACAAAUGCUGAUGUGGUGAGCUGCAUAAAGAUAAAAAAACAGUAAUUGAUGAGGUAGCAAGGCUGCUGAGGUGGAUAGGCUGCAUGUUAAGAGAAAUAUGAUAGUGGGGAUGAACUAUUUAGGUAUUAUAGAUACCAGUCUUUUAAUAAAAAACCAAAAAAAGCUGCAUCAUCAAGGAAUCAAAGAUCUAACCUGACUGGGCAUGCAAAUGCCCAAUUACCAAAUAGUUUAAUAACCCUUUUUAAUUUAUUAAUGGUUUACAUAUAAUAUUAUGUGAGGUCAAAUUUUUGGAAAAUCCAAUUAAAUAUUUCGGGUUUUGUCGCAAAUGCACCGAUUAACCGGCGACCCGACUGGCAAAAACCUGAACCAACAACCUCAUUUGCCGGUUUGGUUUUUUAAACUAUGGUGUUAAGUCAAUCUUUAGAUGGACAAACUUUAGAAAAUUACAAAAUUAACCAUGAAGUAAAAAAGAAAUGGAGAGAGUUAAAAAAACGGAGAGGCAAAAAAAAAAGAAGAAGAACGAGUGGAGCCGGUUGGCUGAGCGUGGGGCUGGAAUAUAUAGGCAUCCGACCAUCGUUUGUUUGUUAUAGAAACCCUAGCUUAAGCGGCGGCGGCCGCGAGUAUACCACACGCGAGCCUGGUUAGCAAUCUGAAUAGAGAAAAAGAGAGAGAGAGAGAGAGAGAGAGAGAGAGAGAGAGAGAGAGAGAUUGAUGGCGCGCGGCGGCGGCGGUGGAGUCGAGUUUCGGCCGCCUCCUGAGAUGGCGAUGGAAGAGAUGGAUCGGCAGCCUGUCGUUGUUUCCGAAGCAAGAAUCCUGAGGAUGGAGAUUGCGUCCCUGGUGAACUUGCUCAUCGAGAAACAAUCUGACGUUCUUUCCUACGAUCCCGAGAUCAUGAGGAAGAUCACGUCCCUGAGGAGCGAGAUCGCGUGCCAGAAGCUGGCCAGGGAGCGCAAAGCCUUGGUUACGGAGGUCAAACGCACAGUGCCGCGGAGGCGCAAAAAGUUUUAUGCAGUGCGGAGGGUCGCUGAGAAGGAGAUCAUGGCCGAUCAGGAGAGCGUGGAUCUGCCUAACUCCGAUACGCAUAGUGUGACCUCCCAAGUCAGUUGCAUCCCCGAGCAGUUGCCCGAGCCCUGCGACCAGAAGGAGAUCGACUCGGAGAAUAACAAAUCAGCUUCCAGAUUCAAAUCCAACUUCGAGCAUGUAUAUUCACCCUACGGUAUUGAGGACGAGGGAGUGCGCCUAAACCGCCAAUUCAGUCAUAUAUUGCAGCAGGCGGAUGCCUUGUGUGACGAGAUGGCAUCUAUAGCAUCUAUUCUGAGGAAAAUCAGUGUCCCCAUCAUCUCCUAUUACGAUGUCUCCGAUCUGUGUAACACAGCGCAGAGUUUAUCGAGGAUCUCCAAUAGUAUAUUGUAUAAUAGCAUGAAUGCUGAUAAACAGAUGGCGGUCCAAUAUGCUGAGGACCAGAGGACCAAGGAGGAGAUGACCGAUCAGAUGGGCAAAGGCAAAUCCAGCACCCACUGUCUUGAGAAGCAGAGGACUGAGGAAGAGGUGGAUGUAUCUAUAACAGAUUUGACUGACCAUACCGCUGAUGAUGGCCAGUUGACAGAUGAUGAGGGUGACCAUUUUGUGGGAGCAGAUUUGAUAAGUUGCCUUUCCAACCAGAUGACUGCAUACAUGGAUGAUGGCCAAUCAAGCGCCGAGACGCAUGAGUCGAGGAUGAUGGAUAAAGGCAAAUCAAUUAGUGAAGGCAAGUCAAGCAUGGAGACACAUGCAUCGAGGAUGUUGGAUAUGAUGGUGCUGGUUUCGGAUGAUAAGAGUGAGUCGGAUGGUAUGACCAACUUGUGCAAAUAUUACAAGAUGCUCGAAUUUGAGGAUGAGAAGGUGUUGGGCAAGAUGACUGCUGAGAAUUUAAGGAUGUAUUACAAAUUUCGUACGGAGCUAUUAAAGAUGGAAGCCAGCUUACGCGAGUUCCGGGAGCAGAAUGAAAAGGAUGACCUGAGGUGGGAGCAGGAUAAAAAGGACGCACUGAGCUGUUGCAGAACAGACCCGACCCCGUUCUCACUUCAGGACGCGGUAGGGGAGGAGGGGGAGGAGGAGGGGGAGGAGGAGGAGGUGACAGAAUUCACAGAAUCAGACAAAGAGGAGAUGGAGAUGGAGGACAGGUUGUUUUCUGGAAAACGUGAAGUCUGGGAAUCCGCAUGGGGAUGCUGUGGUGAAUUUGAAGACAGUAGUAAGUAAACAUGAACAUCCAUCGAAUCAUUCUCCUCUUAUUUGGCAACCAGAUUCUUCCCUUCCUUUUUUCCUUGUACAAGUAAUUCAUGUUAGAACAUGUCUAACACUUGGAUUAAUUUGGUGUCGCAGCCGCAGUGAGUCCUAUGCACUUUACACAUUGCACGCCGGGACUGAUCCCGUACGCCGCUCGCUCUGUGAGCACCUUGCAGAUCUACUCCUUGAAGAUUGUUGGAACAGAUGGAAAGUUGAAGUUACCACUCCAUGUGUAUGGUGUUGUUGCUGCCCGAGACACCGUGGACUACAACCGCAACAUUCUCUUCUUUAGGCGAAGGGAAGACUGUCAAAAACUCACUCCAGAGGUAUGUACCGUAUUCCAAAUUUCUCUCUGUUUUCCAUUUUUGUUCUUGCAUGUGUCCUUGUUCAUUCCAUUCAGCGACAAUGAUGACUAUGAUCCCUGCAGGAUCCAUUUUUGCACUUGACUGGCCCGUCCCGUGCCAUCGUGGCUGUGGACCAUGUUGACUUCGAAGUCCAACUGAAAGUAAAGGGUGCAACAAGGUCCAGCGACAGAGCAUUGAUCAGUCGUUGCUGCACUUAUUCUGGUGGUUAUCAUGAAGGUUUAGAUACCGCUCUCAUCAGCAACUGCUUUUGCACGGUAGAGUUAAGCUUGGAGCGACUCGCAAAGACAGUCCAGGCUACCACCUUAAGUGUCCGUGUUGUUGAAGGGGGACCGUGGCCUUUUGAAUAUGGUGGUCGGAUUGUGUGCUCCUCACCACCACAGGAAGUUAUGGACUCCCUGGCCAGGCAAGUUGUGUUGGUUGAUUCUCGUUCUUCUGAUGGUGGAGAAAUGCCAAUGGGCACAGAUGGCUACCUUGAUCUGUCAAGGCAUGUUGUUUCUGUAGAACUGGAAGAAAGCCUGCAAUUUGUUAUACAAGCCUACUCGCAGUCUGGUGAUGCUAUUGCUAGACAAGGUCGUGUCAAGUUCAGGGCCGAAUAUUGCAAUGUAAGUCGAGGUAUAUGUGAGAUUGGUGACUCUAAGGUGGAGAUUACUGUUGCUUGGUCCAAACUUGUUACCAAAAGGAUGGAUAUCCUCUUAGAAGGGCAUGUUUGAUGGUUCUUGUGCGUUGGAGGUUAUGGACUACAGAACCCGUUACCCAAAUUUAUCUGUUUGUCCCUUGCAUGUGGUUUGUGAAACUGCAUAACUAUUUUUGUAUUGAUAUGUCCAACUAUUUGUGUAUCUGACUAUCUGUGUCCACUUCAACUUCUUAUUAUGCUAUGUGAAGUACUAAUUCUGUUUCGAUAAUCAGCAUUAAUCCUUUGCAGAAAGCCUAGAUUUUGUGAGCCAGCCGCAAGUAAAAUGGUCUGCAUCGUCAAAUCUAUGGUUAGAGCAACUCCAAGAAAUCCCGUAUCUGUAAAAUAACAGAAAAACAUCUCCAACAAAUCAUGUAUCUGUAAAAUAACAAAAAAAUCUCCAAUAAAUCCCGUAAACAUGUAAUAAAUUUCCAGGGUCACGACGCCAUCGCCGCCUGUGCUGCGCCGCACCGCCUUGUCACGCCACCGCCGUCGCCUCGCCGCCCCCAUGACCACGACGUGUCUCGCCGGCGGCCAACGACUACCUCGCGCCUCCCUUGCUGGAGGCUGUCGUGCGUGUCACUGACUGGGGAGCCCUAGGCCAUUAUCUAGUUCUGUUUUAUGAAAAUUAAAAAUGAAAACCUAUUUUAGGGGAAGAAGUUUAUGGAAUCUGACAAAGUAGCUCUCAUGAAACUUCCCUUAAAAUUUACGAACAUCCUGUAAAACUAGUUCGGGAAGUUUCUUAGAGGAACCGAGCUGCUCUAAGAGCAACUUCAAUAGAUCCCCUGUUCACAAAAAAGCUACAUUUAGGGGAAGUUUGGGCAAAAACAAACGUCCACAACAAAAUCUGUAAACCCGGAAUAUAUUUAGGAUCCUAUAAACUCGACCGGCCCCAAGUUCCCUCUUGUUUAGAAAGAUGACCUUCCCCUAAAACGUUGGUGGGCUAAAAAAACCUGGCACUUCACCGUGCAUUCCCCCAUGCCGUCACCGCUCCGCCUCAGCACCCGCCCGCCACCAUUGCCGCCUUGCCGCCCUCGCGAUGUUGCUGCCACCUCACGUCACUACCACCGCGCCACCACCGACUUUCGGGCCCUAGGCCAUCAGAUGCGUCAAAGUUCCGGCCUGUUGGUCCCAAUCGAUUCAUUGUUGAGGCAUUUUGCCUUGGAGACAAGGAACACAUAAGGAUGCAGGCCUUGGCUAUUCCACAACUAGGUAGUCUUGUUGUGCCCAUAUGAUGUGGAUAAAAAAUGCUCCACUUAUGGACCGCACUUACGAAAACUCUCCUACGGACAGACUUGGCAGAGUCUAAUUUAUCAGUAACCCCUGGAUUUCAGGUGCGGGGCCCUCCUGUCCCUAAUCUAAUAAUGCCACUUCCAUCUGUAGAAAAAUGACUGUAAGUGUAACAUUGCUCAUGACGGAUUUAGCAGAGAUGAGGACAUUGAUUUUGUUCAUAUGCCUAUAUGGCUACAAAUCCAUAAGUUGCCAUAUUUUUAAUGCAAGAAGAACAUUGUGGAGAAACUUUUUUUGAAGCGGAGGCAAAAGCUUUGGCUCAUGUCAUUAAUAAAGAAGAAGAGAAUUGUCUUGUUAAUUAACGCAAAACCGAACAAAAACGGCACAAACACCCUCUCCGGCAGUAACACGACAACCUCGAGGGAAUACCAGCCAACCUGGCUACCAACACAAGGCGCACACACACCACCAAAGAGAGAGCCGCAAUCAAGGUUGUCCACCAGGGUCAUCGUCAUCACUCCUCCUCGAGCCGGCGACUCUGACUUCACUGAAGAAAGCCUGGUCGCAGUGGCUUCGCAAACCCACGCCGGCACAAGCCAAACAGUUGACUCUUCGCGUAGAGGACUGUCAGCUCUGAUUCUGAUGACGAGAUCUGAAGAAGAUAUAUGCAAAGCUCGCGCCGAUGAAGAUCUUCAUGACAGGACCGCCCAAUGCAGGUCAUCCUUGCCACACAAUACAUGGCAGCUCCAACUUCCAGCAACGGAAGACCAACACAAAGACCCGUCGGACAUGCUGGAACAAGCGCCGACUACCAAGUUCUUGCCGCGACCAAACCAUCACUCUUCAUCACCAUCGUUGUUGCGCAAGACAUCACACGGGAUCCACGCAUCUCCGGUUGGCCACCUACCAGCCGCGACACCGUGUGCGUCCAACCCACCAAGAAACGUGGAUGGGAGCAAGAUUUUCAAGGCGACGCCCCAAAGGAGGAAGACGACGUGAGAACAACGCCUGUCGCUUGACUGGACCGGUCUAGGAUUUCCCUCGAAAAGCUUACCUAAGGAUGGGAGAGGUCGAAGAAGACUCCGUGGCGACGCCUCCAAGGAGGAGAGCGACGCCACAGGUGUCGCCGCCGUUGUCCGGCAAGAGUCAGGCAAGCUUUCACUUAGAGCCUUCUAGACCACCAUCCCCAUUCCAUUGACGCGAGUCGGCCACUGGCCUGGACACUACGGACACGACGACCGCUGAACGAAAUAUGCCCUAGAGGCAAUAAUAAAGUUGUUAUUUAUAUUUCCUUAUAUCAUGAUAAAUGUUUAUUAUUCAUGCUAGAAUUGUAUUAACCGGAAACUUAGUACAUGUGUGAAUACAUAGACAAACAGAGUAUCCCUAGUAUGCCUCUACUAGACUAGCUCGUUAAUCAAAGAUGGUUAAGUUUCCUAACCAUAACAUGUGUUGUCAUUUGAUGAACGGGAUCACAUCAUUAGAGAAUGAUGUGAUGGACAAGAUCCAUCCAUUAGCUUAUCACUAUGAUCGUUUAGUUUAUUGCUAUUGCUUUUUCUUCAUGACUUAUACAUGUUCCUAUGACUAUGAGAUUAUGCAACUCCCAAAUACCGGAGGAAUACUUAAUGUGCUAUCAAACGUCACAACGUAACUGGGUGAUUAUAAAGAUGCUCUACAGGUGUCUCCGAUGGUGUUUGUUGAGUUGGCAUAGAUCGUGAUUAGGAUUUGUCACUCCGAGUGUCGGAGAGGUAUCUCUGGGCCCUCUCGGUAAUGCUCAUCACCAUAAGCCUUGCAAGCAAUGUGACUAAUGAGUUAGUUGUGGGAUGAUGCAUUACGGAACGAGUAAAGAGACUUGUCGGUAAUGAGAUUGAACUAGGUAUGAUGAUACCGAUGAUCGAAUCUCGGGCAAGUAACAUACCGAUGACAAAGGGAACAACGUAUGUUGUUAUGCGGUUUGACCGAUAAAGAUCUUCAUAGAAUAUCUAGGAGCCAAUAUGAGCAUCCAGGUUCCACUAUUGGUUAUUGACCGGAGAUAUGUCUCGGUCAUGUCUACAUAGUUCUCGAACCCGUAGGGCCGCACGCUUAAUGUUCGAUGGCGAUUUAUAUUAUGAGUUAUGUGAUUUGAUGUACCGAAGUUUGUUCGGAGUCCCGGAUGAGAUCACAGACAUGACGAGGAGUCUCAAAAUGGUCGAGACAUAAAUAUUCAUAUAUUGGAAGGUUACAUUCAAACACCGGAAUGGUUCGGGUCGUUUCGAAUGAGUUUUGGAGUACCUGGGGUUACCGAACCCCCCGGGAAGUUAUUGGGCCUCAUGGGCUGAUAAUCCCCAAGUGCAGGAAAUCAUCGUAGCAAUUUUCAAAGGUGGAAGUGAUAAGUAUGGAGUGUCGAACCCACAAGGAGCUAAAGGUAAGAUCAAUAUUCUCUCAAGUCCUAUCUGCCACUGAUACGACUCUACGUACACCGAACAUUUGCUUGCAACUAGAUACGAGAAAUAAAACUAUGUUGUGGGUAUGAAGAGGAUAACUUUGCAUAAUAUCGGAGAGCUAACAUAUAAAAGUAGGUGAUGUUAUCAUAAAGUUAGAAUGUAUUACUAAAUAUUAUACAUAGCGAGUGUGGAAUAAUGAUGGGUUGGUGUGCAGAAUUAUCCUAGGCAAUUGUUAACAAGACCGGUAGUCGUCAUUGCAAUUUCAUAUGAGGGAGAGGCAUAAGCCAACAUAUUUUCUCUUCUUGGAUCAUAUGCACUUAUGAUUGGAACUCUAGCAAGCAUCCGCAACUACUAAAGAUCAUUAAGGUAAAACCCAACCAUAGCAUUAAACCAUCAAGUCCCCUUUAUCCCAUAUGCCACAACCCCCUUACUCGGGUUUAUGCUUCUGACACUCAAGCAACCCACUAUAAGCGAAUCAUGAACAUAUUGCAACACCCUACAGCGGGAAUCCCUCACGCUUGCGCGACACAGAGGGCACAAUAGGACAGCACCAAAAUAAAACAUACAACUCGUACCAAUCUAGAUCAUCAAUCAACCCAAAGAUAAAAGAUAUCUACUCAAAACAUCAUAGGAUGGCAACUCAUCAUUGGAUCAUAAUAUGUGGCAUAAAGCACCAUGUUCAAGUAGGGAUUACAGCGGGGUGCGGGAGAGUGGACUGCGUAAAAGAGAUGAGGAUGGUGAUGAUGAUGGUGAUGUUGAUGAAGAAUCAACCUAAAAUCACUCUCUACUAAAAAAUGGCAUCUAUUCUCGUGAGCGCAAAGUUUCUGUUUUUUACAGCAAGAUUGCAAAGACUUCACCCAUGUCUUCCCAAAGGUUCUACUUGGCACAAACACUAAUUAAAACAUAAAACCACAUAUAACCAGAGGCUAGAUAAAUUAUUUAUUACUAAACAGUAACAAAAGGCAAGAAACAAAAAUAAAAUUGGGUUGCCUCCCAACAAGCGCUAUCGUUUAACGCCCCUAGCUAGGCAUGAUGAUUUCAAUGAUGCUCACAUAAAAGAUAAGAAUUGAAACAUAAAGAGAGCAUCAUGAAGAAUAUGACUAGCACAUUUAAAGCUAACCCACUUCCUAUGCUUAGGGAUUUUGUGAGCACACAAAUUAAGGGAACAAGAAUCAACUAGCAUAGGAAGGCAAAGCAAGUAUAACUUCGAAACUUUAAGCACAUAGAGAGGAAACUUGAUAUUAUUGCAACUCCUACAAGCAUAUAUUCCUACCUUAUAAUAAUUUUCAGUAGCAUCAUGAAUGAGUUUAACAAUACAACCAUCACAUAAAGCAUUCUUUUCAUGAUCUACAAGCAUAGAAAUUUUUCUACUCUCCUCAUAAGCAAAAUUCUUCUCAUUCGGAAUAGUGGGAUCACUAAUUCCUAAAGUUGACACUAUUCCAAACCCACUUUAGAUGAUAGUAUUAUUCAUACUCCAAAAGAUAUAAGUGAAGUUCAUGGAGCAUUCUACAAUUAAUAUAGACUAACCAAUAUCUAAGCUCAAAAUAUGUAAGUGAAGCACACGAAGCAUUCUAUAAAACCAUACUCGAAAGAUUUAAGUAAAGCACAAAGAGCAAUUCUAUAAGAUCAUACUUAAAAGAUAUAAGUGAAGCACAUGAAGUAUUCUAUAAAUCAAUGAAGGGCUAACUCAUACUAGCAUGGUUUUUAAAGAAAAAAACACAAAGGACACAAAUCAUGUGAACAAAACAAAAACCGAGGUAUACCGAUAAUUGUUGAAGAAGAAAGAUGGGAUGCCAACCGGGGCAUCCCCAAGCUUAGAUGCUUGAGUAUCCUUUGAAAUAUUGCCUUGGGCAUACCCAAGCUUGAACUCUUGCCUCUCUUUAUUCUUCUCAUAUUGAUAGCUCCUCGAUCUUCGAACACUUCAUCCACACAAAACUUUAACAAAAACUUUGUGAGAUCCUUUAGUGUAAUAAAGCAAACUACCACUUUAAGGUACUGUAAUGAACUCAUUCUUUAUUUAUAUUGGUGUUAAACCUAAUGUAUUCCAUAGAUUCAUCAAAAUAACAAAACCACAUGCAAAAAAUAGAAUCUGUCAAAAACAGGACAGUCUUUAGUAAUCUGGAAGUUUAGUAAACUUCUGUAACUCCAAAAAAUUAUGAAAUAAAUAUGAAAAUUUGAAAAAUUUGUACAGAAGUAAUGUGCAAAAAGUUUCAGAACCAUUUGACCUUCCAGUAAAAAAUGUAAAAUCACGCGCUACAGCCAAAGUUUCUGUUUUUGUUCUGCACAUAGUAAACAAGCAAUCUAAUCAUCCUAAAACCAAAGCUUGGCACAUUAUUUUUGUAAUACAAUGGAUAUAUACAAGGGGAUAAUUAUUUACAGAGAAACUUCCAUGAAAAAUUCUACAUUGUUUCCGUGAGCAUGAACACAAGUGCUCAAGGUCGACCCUCACUUCUUCAAUGCAUAACUUUCCAAUCACUUCGCUUUUUGAAAAACUUUUUUUUAGGCAUGAGAGGCAAGUAAAUUUUUUUGUAUUUACAAUCUUUUAAUUUUUUUGUAUGCUUCACCCACAACUAAACAGAAACAAAAAGGAAAAACAAAAUCUACUUAGUGAAGAAAGCAAACAAGCACACACGAGAAUAUCAACCCCAUGCUAUUGCUCCCCGACAACAGCGCUAGAAAAGAGCUUGAUAAUCCCCAAGUGCAGGGAAUCAUCGUAGAAAUUUCCAAAGGUGGAAGUGAUAAGUAUGGAGUGUCGAACCCACAAGGAGCUAAAGGUAAGAUCAAUAUUCUCUCAAGUCCUAUCUGCCACUGAUACGACUCUACGUACACCGAACUUUUGCUUCCAACUAGAUACGAGAAAUAAAACUACGUUGUGGGUAUGAAGAGGAUAACUUUGCAUGAUAUCAGAGAGCUAAAAUAUAAAAGUAGGUGAUGUUAUCAUAAAGUUAGAAUAUAUUACUAAAUACUAUAAAUAGCGAGUGUGGAAUAAUGAUGGGUCGGUGUGCGGAAUUAUCCUAGGCAAUUGUUAACAAGACCAGUAUUCGUCAUUGCAAUUUCAUAUGAGGGAGAGGCAUAAGCUAACAUACUUUCUCUUCUUGGAUCAUAUGCACUUAUGAUUGGAACUCUAGCAAGCAUCCGCAACUACUAGAGAUCAUUAAGGUAAAAUCCAACCAUAGCAUUAAAGCAUCAAGUCCCCUUUAUCCCAUAUGCCACAACCCCCUUACUCGGGUUUAUGCUUAUAUCACUCAAGCAACCCACUAUAAGUGAAUCAUGAACAUAUUGCAACACCCUACAGCGGGAAUCCCUCACGCUUGCACGACACGGAGGGCACAAUAGGACAGCACCAAAAUAAAACAUACAACUCAUACCAAUCUAGAUCAUCAAUCAACCCAAAGAUAAAAGAUAUCUACUCAAAACAUCAUAGGAUGGCAACACAUCAUUGGAUCAUAAUAUGUGGCAUAAAGCACCAUGUUCAAGCAGGGAUUACAACGGGGUGCGGGAGAGUGGACCGUGUAAAAGAGAUGAGGAUGGUGAUGAUGAUGGUGAUGUUGAUGAAGAUGAUCACCGCGGCGAUGAUUCCCCUCCUGAUGGCACUCCGGCGCCACCGAGAGAGAGGAGGAGAGGUCCUCCCCCUUGUGCUUCCUCUUCCAUGGCCUCCCCCUGGAUGGGGAGAGGUUCUCCCUCUAGUCCUUGGCCUUCAUGAAGAUGAUGGCCCCUUCGAGAUCCUUCCCCAUGGCCUCCGGUGAUGAUGGCCCCCUCCGGCAGGGUGCCAGAGAGGGCCUAGAUUGAUUUCUCGUGGCUACAGAGGCUUGCGGCGGUGGAACUUCCGAUCUAGGUUAUUUCCCGAAGGUUUCUGUAUUUAUAGGAGAGGUUGGUGUUGAUUUCACGUUAGGGGGUUCUCCUGGCUAUCCACGAGGCAGGGGGCGCGCCCCCCACCCUCGUGGGCAGCCCGGGACUCUUCUGGCCCAACUCUUUCACUCCGGGGGCUUCUUUUGGUCCAUAAAAAAUCAUCAAAAGUUGGCACGUCAAUUGGACUCCUUUUGGUAUUCCUUUUUCUGUAAAACUCAAAAACAAGGAGAAACCUAAAACUGGCACUGGGCUCUAUAUUAAUAGGUUAGUCCCAAAAAUCAUAUAAAAUAGCAUAUAAAUGCAUAUAAAACAUCUACGAUGGAUAAUAUAAUAGCAUGAAUACUUGAUAAAUUAUAGAUACGUCGGAGACGUAUCAUCGGCCUAGUGGUGGAAGAAAGGAGGCAGGCCAGGGAGUGGCGCAUGCCCCCCCUAGCCCAAUCCGAAUUGGACUAGGGUUGGGGGGGGGCCCUCCUUUCCUUCUCUUCUCCUCCUCCUCCCCCCUUGUCCUUGUGGGAAUAUGAAAGGGGGGCGGGCGAAUCCUACUUGGAGUAGGACCCCCCCUUGGGCGCGCCACACCUUGGCCGGCCUCCUCCUCCCUCCCCCCUUUAUAUGCGUGGGAAGGGGGCACCCCAAAGGCACACAAAAGUUUCUCUUAGCCGUGUGCGGAGCCCCCCUCCACAGAAACACACCUCGGUCAUAUCAUCGUAGUGCUUAGGCGAAUCCCUGCGCCGGUAACUUCACCAUCACCGUCGCCAUGCCGUCGUGCUGACGGAACUCUCCCUCGGCCUCAACUGGAUCAAGAGUACGAGGGACGUCAUCGAGCUGAACGUGUGCUGAACACGGAGGUGCCGUACGUUCGGUGCUAAGAUUGGUCGGAUCGUGAAGACGUACGACUACAUCAACCGCAUUGAUAAACGCUUCCGCUUUCGGUCUACGAGGGUACGUGGACACACUCUCCCCGCUUGUUGCUAUGCUUCUCCUAGAUAGAUCUUGCGUGAUCAUAGGAAUUUUUUUGAAUACUACGUUUCCCAACAACCGCACCAUCACCACGUCGAGGCCACCGCCUACCUCGUUGUCGACCAACACCGAUGAGCCAGAUCUGGUGACCACAUCUAACCAUGACGUAGAGCUUCAAGACGCCUCCGUCUGGAGGAUCAACUGCCACCAAAACUUGGAGGGGAGGCCGCCACCCACCCCAUCGCACCGGAGGAAAGACCGCUAACUUAAGCCUGCAUUGCUUUCCACCGUCGCCGCCCCGACGCGCACGAAAGAAAAAGCUUCCCAUCGUGUGGAGAAACUUCUGAAAGGUGCAGAUGAGAUCAUGGAUAUGCGUUUGAAUGGAAAUAUUAGGGGAUACUAUAUUCUCUUAAGGGUGAAACAUGAUAUACGUAUGCCCUUGACCAAAUAUGUAAGCAUUGUCAGAGGUAAAGAACGACAGCUAUAUCUUGUUCGCUCUGAGAAGCUCGUGAGGUACUGUAAGAUUUGCGGCCUAGUAGGUCAUGGGUUCAAGGAGUGUGGGCUCGGAAUCCAUGCAGAGAAAAAUAUAAAGUUUGGUGAUUGGAUUUAUGCAGAUGCUCCUAACAAUCCUAGGGCAUACAAUGAUGGUAGGCCAAAGGGCAUGCAUGUUGGUACACGGGCUAAGGAUUAUAUCAGUAAUCAAUAAAGGAGGGGCCGAACCUUGAAAUAAUGGAUACAACUUCGAGCCUAGUGAAAAUUCUAGGUAGUAGUGUGGCAACGGAAAAGGACUCUAUAAAGCAUUUGAAUAUGGAUGUGGUGGAGGCGAACACAAGAGCCUUUUGUGCACCAAAAGUCAUGCUAUAACUGAUGGGAGUGGGAAGGAUUUGAAAGAGAACAAUUCUCCAACUAGCAGUAAAAGCAGUAAAAGGGUGAAAGUUACCAAGGAAAGUGGAAAUGAUGAGAUAUAGGCGGCCUCCCUUGGAGAGAACCGCCGGAUGCAACGAAUAUCAUGUUGUGGAACUACGUGUGCGCGCGUGGGGGAGAGGGGGGGUGUGCAGUUUGUGAGGUAUUGGCCCUCUCUAAAGCCAAUAACCCCAAGCUUGUCUUUCUUUGUGAAACUAGACAAGCUUUAGAUAAAGUUGAGAAGUUAAGAUGGAGACUAGGUGUGAAAGGUUUCCAUGUAGUGAGUAGUGAUGAAAGAAGUGGAGGUUUGGCACUUUUCUCGGAUGAGUCUUUAUUAGUGACUGUACUUGAUGCAUGCAACAUGUACAUUGAUGUUAAUAUUUUGGAUGGUGGAUCUGGUAUUUCUUGGAGGGGGACCUUUGUGUAUGGGGAACCAAGAGUUGAAAACAUAUAGCAUAUGCGCACUACUGCGGGAUGCUGCUAACGCGACACUACAAUCAGAGACCCAUCGACAAAAUUGUGUGUGAUGCAUUAUUAAUCACAAAAGGUGGUGCAAAAAACCCAUAAAAAAUGAUACAAACUAUUUGUGAUGGCGGGGACAUCAAACACGAUUCAGAUUAGAUUUACGUGUGCGAUACAUGGCAUACAGUUCAUCUAUACAAACUGUUUGCGAUAAGCAUAACAAUAGAAGCGGUCAGCCAAAUGAAGGUGUGUGCGAUAUAUGGCAUACAGUUUACUCGGAUAAACUAUUUGUGAUUAGGAAACACAGCAAAAUUGGUCAGGCAGAUUAAGGUGUGUGCGAUAGACGACAUACAGUUCACUCGGAUGAACUAUUUCUGAUGAGCCAAGACAACAGAAACAGUUCAACUUAACAAGAUGUGUGUGAUACUGAUAACCCACAAGUAUAGGGGAUCAAUUGUAGCCUUUCUCGAUAAGUAAGAGUGUCAAACCCAACGAGGAGCUAAAGGUAGGAUUUAUAUUCUCUCAAGUUCUAUCAACCCCCAAUACAACUCUAUGAACACUUAAUGUUCGCUUUACCUAGAAAAAUAAUAAAACUAAAAGUACUUUGUAGGUGUAGUGGGAUAGGUUUGCAAGAAUAAAACUAGAUGUACUUAGCAAGAAUAAAACUAUGAGAAAAUUGCAAGAUAAUAAAGUUAGUUGUUUAGUAGAGAGAUUUUUGUCACAAGAAAGUUAUUUGUCCCUAGGAAAUCGAUAACUAGAUUGGUAAUAAUUAUUGCAAUUUUAUACGAGGGAGAGGCAUGAGCUAACAUACUGUUGUAGGGUGGAACCCUAGAUGGAGAUCUUUCAUGAAUUGGAGGGGAAAUCCCCAAGAACAAGAAGAACACGAAGAACACAAGAGAGGGAAAACACUCAAAUUGACUAGAUCCAAUCACACAUAUGCUAGAUCCAAGAACACACAAGAGGUCACAAUGAUUCAAGGACAAGAAAAGAAAGAUACAAGGUAACUAUUUCAUCCCAAUACUAUGAGGAGAGAGGUCUUGAUGAUCCUAUGAUGGGGAUCUUUCCCUAGAUGGGGGGCUUGAAUCCACUAGGGAUCAUCUCCAUAGGAGGUCUUGAUCUCCAUGGGAGAGGUCUCUCUCUCACAAGAGGAGGUACAAGGAGCAAAGUUCACUAAAUCAUGUCAUAUCCUUUUCUAUCAUUCUAAUGAACUAGGGGGGAGUUUAUAUAGUCUAGGGAUGAAUUGUGAGGGAGACGGGGAUACAAGGGUCCAAAACACAAAAGUGCACGCAGGCACGCGGAGUGGUCCGGGCACCCGGAGCAAGAUCGGCCGGGCACCCGGACCGGCCAGGGCCUCUUCUCGGGAGGUGGUAGCAGGGGGCCGGGCACCCAGGGGUUGACAGCCCGGGCACCCGGGGUGGCUGGUGGCGUCCAUGCGAGGGGGUCGGGCGCCCGGGGCCCAAGGUGCGGGCACCCGGGUCGGCGGCCUGUGGCCUGGAGGGAGGGGGCAGGCACCCGGGGCCUCAAGGCCGGGCACCCAGGGGUGGCCUGGGCCGCGGCUAGGCCAAGUGAGGCCAGGCACCCGGGGCCAGCUGGGAGCAGCGCCAUGGAGGGGCCGAGCCUCCGGGGCCAAAGUGCCUGAGCACCCGGAGUGUCCAGUGCCUCUUCUCCUUCAUCCUUCUCGCUCCUUUCCUCCUUCUUCUCGUCCGUAGGUGCUCGGGUCUUUGUGCUAGCCUCUCCAUGAUCAACACCUUUAUACCUAAUCAGGCAUAACACUUCCGUUUGAGGUAGGACCCAACUCUCUAAUGAAUUUGAGUGGAGCUCGAAGAGGAAGGAGCUGACCUCGUUCUCGAUGCUGCGUGCACGUGCUCUUGUCCUAGGUCCUCUCCGUGCUAGUGGUGGUGGUGUGACUUCCAUGGGGAUGGUCGAGGGAUGCUCCGCAUCACAUACUUUCUCUACUUGGAUCAUAUGCACUUAUGAUUGGAACUCUAGCAAGCAUCUGCAACUACUAAAGAUCAUAAGGUAAAACCCAACCAUAGCAUUAAAGUAUCAAGUCCUCUUUACUCCCAUACACAACAACCCACUUACUGAAGGAAAUAUGCCCUAGAGGCAAUAAUAAAGUUGUUAUUUAUAUUUCCUUAUAUCAUGAUAAAUGUUUAUUAUUCAUGCUAGAACUGUAUUUACCGAAAACUUAGUACAUGUGUGAAUCAUAGACAAACGGAGUGUCCCUAGUAUGCCUCUACUAGACUACCUCGUUAAUCAAAGAUGGUUAAGUUUCCUAGCCAUAGACAUGUGUUGUCAUUUGAUGAACGGGAUCACAUCAUUAGAGAAUGAUGUGAUGGACAAGACCCACCCGUUAGCUUAGCACUAUGAUCGUUUAGUUUAUUGCUAUUGCUUUCUUCAUGACUUAUACAUGUUCCUAUGACUAUGAGAUUAUGCAACUCCUGAAUACCGGAGGAACACUUAGUGUGCUAUCAAAUGUCACAACGUAACUGGGUGAUUAUAAAGAUGCUUUAUAGGUGUCUCCGAUGGUGUUUGUUGAGUUGGCAUAGAUCGAGAUUAGGAUUUGUCACUCUGAUUGUCGGAGAGGUAUCUCUGGGCCCUCUAGGUAAUGCACAUCACUAUAAGCCUUGCAAGCAAUGUGACUAAUGAAUUAGUUGCAGGAUGAUGCAUUACGGAACGAGUAAAGAGACUUGCCGAUAACGAGAUUGAACUAGGUAUGAUGAUACCGACGAUCGAAUAUCGGGCAAGUAACAUACCGAUGACAAAGGGAACAACAUAUGUUGUUAUGCGGUUUGACCGAGAAAGAUUUUCGAAGAAUAUGUAGGAGCCAAUAUGAGAAUCUAGGUUCCGCUAUUGGUUAUUGACCAGAGAUGUGUCUCGGUCAUGUCUACAUAGUUCUCGAACCUGUAGGGUCCGCACGCUUAACGUCCGAUGACGAUUCGUAUUAUGAGUUUAUGUGAUUUGAUGUACCGAAGGUUGUUCUGAGUCCCGGAUGAGAUCAUGGACAUGACGAGAGUCUCGAAAUGGUCGAGACAUAAAGAUUCAUAUAUUGGAAGGCUACAUUCGGACACCGGAAUGGUUUGGGUCGUUUCGGAUAAGUUUCGGAGUACCGGGGGUUACGGGAACCCCCCGAGAAGUUAUUGGGCCUCAUGGGCCUAGUGGUCGAAGAGAGGAGGCAGGACAAGGUGUGGCGUGUGCCCCCUAGCCCAAACCGAGUUGUACUAGGGCUAGGGGGGGUGCCCCCCUUCCUUCUCUUCUCCCUCUCCUUCCCCCCUUCUCCUUGUGGAAGUAGGAGGGGGGGGGGCAAAUCCUACUUGGAGUAGGACUCCCCCCCUUGGGCGCACCUCCUCCUGGCCGGCCUCCUCCUCCCUCCCUCCUUUAUAUACAUCUGGAGGGGGCACCCAAAGGCACAACAGACAAUCUCUUAGCCGUGUGUGGUGCCCCCACUCCACAGUUUUAUACCUCGGUCAUAUCGUCAUAGUGCUUAGGCAAAGUCCUAUGCCGGUAACUUCAUCAUCACUGUCACCAUGCCGUUGUGCUGACGGAACUCUCCCACGGCCUCAGCUGGAUCAAGAGUUCGAGGGACCUCACCGAGCUAAACGUGUGCAGAUCACGGAGGUGCCAUGCGUUCGGUACUUGGAUCGGUUGGAUUCCGAAGACGUUCGACUACAUCAACUGCAUUACUAAACGCUUCCAUUUUCGGUCUACGAGGGUACGUGGACACACUCUCCCCGCUCGUUGCUAUGCUUCUCCUAGAUAGAUCUUGUGUGAUCGUAGGAAAUUUUGUGAAAUACUACGUUCCCCAACAGUGGCAUCCGAGCCAGGUCUAUGCGUAGAUGUUAUAUGCAUGAGUAGAACACAAAGAGUUGUGGGCGAUAAUAGUCAUACUGCUUACCAGCAUGUCAUACUUUGAUUCGGCAGUAUUGUUGGAUGAAGCGGCCUAGACCAACAUUACAUGACCACGUUCAUGAGACUGGUUCUACCGCCGUGCUUCACACACAGGUGGCUAGUGGGUGUCUGUUUCUCCAACUUUAGUUGAAUCGAGUGUGACUAUGCCCGAUCCUUGUUGAAGGUUAAAACAACACACUUGACGAAAAAUCAUUGUGGUUUUGAUGCGUAGGUAAGAACAGUUCUUCCUAGAAGCCCGUAGUAGCCACGUAAAAAUUGCAACGACAAAGUAGAGGACGUACUAACUUGUUUUUGCAGGGCUUGUUGUGAUGUGAUAUGGUCAAGACGUGAUGACAUAUAAAUUGUUGUAUGAGAUGAUCAUGUUUUGUAACAGUUAUCGGCAACUGACAGGAGCCAUAUGGUUGUCGCUUUAUUGUAUGAAAUGCAAUCGCCAUGUAAUUGCUUUACUUUAUCACUAAGUGGUAGUGAUAGUCAUAGAAGCAAUAAUUGGCGAGACGACAACGAUGCUUCGAUGGAGAUGUCAAGCCGGUGACGAUGGUGAUCAUGACGGUGCUUUGGAGAUGGAUAUCAAAGUCACAAGAUGAUGAUGGCCAUAUCAUAUCACUUAUUUGAUUGCAUGUGAUGUUUAUCCUUUAUGCAUCUUAUUUUGCUUAGUACGGCGGUAGCAUUAUAAGAUGAUCUCUCACUAAAAUUUCAAGGUACAAGUGUUCUCCCUGAGUAUGCACCAUCGCGACAGUUCUACGUUCACAUACAACGGGUGCAAGCCAGUUUUGCACACGCAGAAUACUCGGGUUAAACUUGAUGAGCCUAGCAUAUGCAGAUAUGGCCUCGGAACACUGAGACCGAAAGGUCGAGCAUGAAUCAUAUAGUAGAUAUGAUCAACAUAGUGAUGUUCACCAUUGAAAACUACUCCAUCUCAUGUGAUGAUCGGACAUGGUUUAGUUGAUAUGGAUCACAUGAUCACUUAGAUGAUUAGAGGGAUGUCUAUCUAAGUGGGAGUUCUUAAGUAAUAUGAUUAAUUGAACUUUAAUUUAUCAUGAACUUAGUACCUGAUAGUAUUUUGCAUGUCUAUGUUGUUGUAGAUAAAUGGCACGUGCUACUGUUCCGUUUAAUUUUAAUGCAUUUCUAGAGAAAGCUAAGUUGAAAGAUGAUGCUAGCAACUACACGGACUGGGUCCGUAACUUGAGGAUUAUCCUCAUUGCUGCACAGAAGAAUUAUAUCCUAGAAGCAUCGCUAGGUGCAAGACCCGGUGCAGGAGCAACACCGGACGUUGUGAACGCUUGGCAGAGCAAAGCUGAUGACUACUCGAUAGUUCAGUGUGCCAUGCUUUACGGCUUAGAUCGGGACUUCAACGAUGUUUUGAACGUCAUGGAGCAUAUGAGAUGUUCUAGGAGUUGAAGUUAAUAUUUCAAGUAAAUGCCCGGAUUGAAAGAUAUGAAGUGUCCAAUGAAGUUCUACAACUGCAAAAUGGAGGAGAAUGGUUCUGUCAGUGAGCAUAUACUCAGAAUGUCUGGGUACCACAAUCACUUGACUCAACUGGGAGUUAAUCUUCCGGUUGAUAGUGUCAUUGAAAGAGUUCUUCAAUCACUGCCACCAAGCUACAAAAUCUUCAUGAUGAACUAUAAUAUGCAAGGGAUGCAUAAGACAAUUCCUCAGCUCUUCGCGAUGCUAAAGGCUACGGAGGUAGAAAUCAAGAAGGAGCAUCAAUUGUUGAUGGUUAACAAGACCAGUAGUUUCAAGAAAAAGGGCAAAGGGAAGAAGGGGAACUUCAAGAAGAACGACAAGCAAGUUGCUGCUCAAGUGAAGAAGCCGAAGUCUGGACCUAAGCCUGAGAUUGAGUGCUUCUACUGCAAAGGGACUGGUCACUGGAAGCGGAACUGUCCCAAGUAUUUGGCGGAUAAGAAGGAAGGCAAAGUGAAAGGUAUAUUUGAUAUACAUGUUAUUGAUGUGUACCUUACUAAUGCUCGUAGUAGCGCCUGGGUAUUUGAUACUGGUUCUAUUGUUCACAUUUGCAACUCGAAACAGGGGCUACGGAUUAAGCGAAGACUGGCUAAGGACGAGGUGACGAUGCGCGUGGGAAAUGGUUCCAAAGUUGAUGUGAUGCCGUCGGCACGCUAACUCUACAUCUACCUUCGGCAUUAGUUUUAGACCUAAAUAAUUGUUAUUUGGUGCCAGCGUUAAGCAUGCACAUUAUAUCUGGAUCUUGUUUGAUGUGAGAUGGUUAUUCAUUUAAAUUAGAGAAUAAUGGUUGUUCUAUUUAUAUGAGUAAUAUCUUUUAUGGUCAUGCACCCUUGAUGAGUGGUCUAUUCUUGUUCAAUCUCGAUAGUAGUGAUACACAUAUUCAUAGUAUUGAAGCCAAAAGAUAUAAGUUUAAUAAUGAUAGUGCAACUUAUUUGUGGCACUGCCGUUUAGGUCAUAUUGGUGUAAAACGCAUGAAGAAACUCCAUGCUGAUGGGCUUUUGGAAUCACUUGAUUAUGAAUCACUUGAUGCUUGCGAACCAUGCUUCAUGGGCAAGAUGACUAAGACUACGUUCUCCAGAACAAUGGAGCGAGCAACAGACUUAUUGGAAACAAUGCAUACUGAUGUAUGCGGUCCGAUGAGUAUCGAUGCUCGUGGCGGGUAUCGUUAUUUCCCGACCUUCACAGAUGAUUUGAGCAGAUAUGGGUAUAUCUACUUGAUGAAACAUAAGUCUGAAACAUUUGAAAAGUUCAAAGAAUUUCAGAGUGAAGUGAAAAUCAUCGUAACAGGAAAAUAAAGUUUCUACGAUCUGAUCGUGGAGGUGAAUAUUUGAGUUACAAGUUUGGUCUUCAUUUGAAACAAUGCGGAAUAGUUUCGCAACUCAAGCUACCCGAACACCACAGCGUAAUGGUGUGCCGAACAUCCUAACCGCACUUUAUUAGAUAUGGUGCGAUCUAUGAUGUCUCUUACUAAUAGGGAACCAUCUAAUUGUGGUUUGGCAAGAAACCCAAGUUGUUGUUUCUUAAAGUUUGGGGCUGCGAUGCUUAUGUGAAAAAACUUCAACCUAAUAAGCUCGAACCCAAAUCGGAGAAAUGUGUCUUCAUAGGAUACCCAAAGGAAACUGUUAGGUACACCUUCUAUCACAGAUCCGAAGGCAAGAUAUUCGUUGCUAAGAAUGGAUCCUUUCUAGAGAAGGAGUUUCUCUCGAAAGAAGUGAGUGGGAGGAAAGUAGAACUUGAUGAGGUAAUUGUACCUGCUCCCUUAUUGGAAAGUAGUUCAUCACAGAAAUCAGUUCUAGUGAUUCCUACAACAAUUAGUGAGGAAGCUAAUGAUUAUGAUCAUGUAACUUUUGAUCAAGUUACUACCGAACCUCGUAGGUCAAGCAGAGUAAGAUCCGCACCAGAGUGGUAUGAUAAUCCUGUUCUGGAAGUCAUGUUACUUGACCAUGACGAACCUACGAACUAUGAGGAAGCGAUGAUGAGCCCAGAUUCCGCGAAAUUGCUUGAGGCCAUGAAAUCUGAGAUGGGAUCCAUGUAUGAAAACAACGUGUGGACUUUGGUUGACUUGCCCGAUGAUCGGCAAACCAUAGAGAAUAAAUGGAUCUUCAAGAAGAAGACAGGCGCUAACGGUAAUGCUACUGUCUACAAAGCUCGAAUUGUUGCAAAAGGUUUUCGACAAGUUCAAGGAGUUGACUACGAUGAGACCUUCUCACCCGUAGCGAUGCUUAAGUCCGUCCGAAUCAUGUUAGCAAUUUCCGCAUUUUAUGAUUAUGAAAUUUUGCAAAUGGAUGUCAAAACUGCAUUCCUUAAUGGAUAUCUUAAAGAAGAGUUGUAUAUGAUGCAACCAGUAGGUUUUGUCAAUCCAAAAGGUGCUAACAAAGUGUGCAAGCUCCAGCGAUCCAUUUAUGGACUGGUGCAAGCUUCUCGGAGUUGGAAUAUAUGCUUUGAUAGUGUUAUCAAAGCAUAUGGUUUUAUACAAACUUUUGGAGAAGCCUGUAUUUACAAAAAAGUGAGUGGGAGCUCUAUAGCAUUUCUGAUAUUAUAUGUGGAUGACAUAUUGUUGAUUGGAAAUGAUACUGAAUUUUUGGAUAGCAUAAAAGGAUACUUGAAUAAGAAUUUUUCAAUGAAAGACCUCGGUGAAGCUGCUUAUAUAUUGGGCAUCAAGAUCUAUAGAGAUAGAUCAAGACACUUAAUUGGACUUUCACAAAGCACAUACCUUGAUAAAGUUUUGAAGAAGUUCAAAAUGGAUCAAGCAAAUAAAGGGUUCUUGCCUGUGUACAAGGUGUGAAGUUGAGUCAGACUCAAUGCCCGACCACUGCAGAAGAUAGAGAUAAAAUGGAAGUCAUUCCCUAUGCUUCAACCAUAGGUUCUAUCAUGUAUGCAAUGUUGUGUACCAGACCUGAUGUGUGCCUUGCUAUUAGUUUAGCAAGGAGGUACCAAAGUAAUCCAGGAGUGGAUCACUGAACAGCGGUCAAGAACAUCCUGAAAUACCUGAAAAGGACUAAGGAUAUAUUUCUUGUUUAUGGAGGUGACAAAGAGAUCAUCGUAAAUGGUUACGUCGAUGUGAGCUUUGACACUGAUCCAGAUGACUCUAAGUCACAAACCGGAUACGUAUUUAUAAUGAAUGGAGGAGCUAUAAGUUGGUGCAGUUCCAAGCAGAGCGUCGUGGUGGGAUCUACGUGUGAAGCGGAGUACAUAGCUACUUCAGAAGCAGCACAUGAAGGAGUCUGGAUGAAGGAGUUCAUAUCCGAUCUAUAUGUCAUACCUAGUGCAUCAGGUCCAAUGAAAAUCUUUUGUGACAAUACUGGUGCAAUUGCCUUGCCAAAGGAAUCCAGAUUUCACAAGAGAACCAAGCACAUCAAGAGAUGCUUCAAUUCCAUCCGCUAUCAAGUAAAAGAGGGAGACAUAGAGAUUUGCAAGAUACAUACGGAUCUGAAUGUUGCAGACCCGUUGACUAAGCCCCUUUCACGAGCAAAACAUGAUCACCACCAAGACUCCAUGGGUGUUAGAAUCAUUACUGUGUAAUCUAGAUUAUUGACUCUAGUGCAAGUGGGAGACUCAAGGAAAUAUGCCCUAGAGGCAAUUAUAAAGUUGUUAUUUUUAUAUUUCCUUAUAUCAUGAUAAAUGUUUAUUAUUCAUGCUAGAAUUGUAUUAGCCGGAAACUUAGUACAUGUGUGAAUACAUAGACAAACAGAGUGUCCCUAGUAUGCCUCUACUAGACUAGCUCGUUAAUCAAAGAUGGUUACGUUUCCUAGCCAUAGACAUGUCUUGUCAUUUGAUGAACGGGAUCACAUCAUUAGAGAAUGAUGUGAUGGACAAGACCCAUCCGUUAGCUUAGCACUAUGAUCGUUUAGUUUAUUGCUAUUGCUUUCUUCAUGACUUAUACAUGUUCCUAUGACUAUGAGAUUAUGCAACUCCCGAAUACCAGAGGAACACUUAGUGUGCUAUCAAACGUCACAACGUAACUGGGUGAUUAUAAAGAUGCUCUACAGGUGUCUCCGAUGGUGUUUGUUGAGUUGGCAUAGAUCGAGAUUAGGAUUUGUGACUCCGAUUGUCGGAGAGGUAUCUCUGGGCCCUCUCGGUAAUGCACAUCACUAUAAGCCUUGCAAGCAAUGUGACUAAUGAAUUAGUUGCAGGAUGAUGCAUUACGAAACGAGUAAAGAGGCUUGCCGGUAACGAGAUUGAACUAGGUAUGAUGAUACCAACGAUCGAAUCUCGGGCAAGUAACAUACCGAUGACAAAGGGAACAACAUAUGUUGUUAUGCGGUUUGACCGAGAAAGAUUUUCGAAGAAUAUGUAGGAGCCAAUAUGAGAAUCUAGGUUCCGCUAUUGGUUAUUGACCAGAGAUGUGUCUCGGUCAUGUCUACAUAGUUCUCGAACCUGUAGGGUCCGCACGCUUAACGUUCGAUGAUGAUUCGUAUUAUGAGUUUAUGUGAUUUGAUGUACCGAAGGUUGUUCGGAGUCCCGGAUGAGAUCACGGACAUGACGAGGAGUCUCGAAAUGGUUGAUACAUAAAUAUUCAUAUAUUGGAAGGCUAGAUUUGGACACCAGAAUGGUUCGGGUCAUUUUGGAUAAGUUUCAGAGUACCAGGGGUUACCGGAACCCCCCGGGAAGUUAUUGGGCCUCAUGGGCCUAGUGGUGGAAGAGAGGAGGCAGGCCAAGGUGUGGCGCAUGCCCCCCUAGCCCAAACCUAAUUGGACUAGGGCUAGAGGGGCCGCCUCCCCCCUUUCCUUCUCUUCUCCCUCUCCUUCCCCUUCUCCUUGUGGAAGUAGGAAAGGGGUGGGGGCGAAUCCUCUUGGAGUAGGACUCCCUCCCUUGGGCGCGCCUCCUCCUGGCCGACCUCCUCCUCCCUCCCUCCUUUAUAUACAUGGGGAGGGGGCACCCAAAGGCACAACAGACAAUCUCUUAGCCAUGUGCGGUGCCCCCCUCCAAAGUUUUACACCUCGGUCAUAUCGUCGUAGUGCUUAGGCAAAGCCCUGCGCCGGUAACUUCAUCAUCACCAUCACCAGGCCGUCGUGCUAACAAAACUCUCCCAGCUGGAUCAAGAGUUCGAGGGACGCACCGAGCGGAACGUGUGCAGAUCGCGGAGGUGCCGUGCGUUCGGUACUUGGAUCGGUUGGAUCAUGAAGACGUUCGACUACAUCAACCGCGUUACUAAAUGCUUCCGCUUUUGGUCUACGAGGGUACGUGGACACACUCUCCCCGCUCGUUGCUAUGCUUCUCCUAGAUAGAUCUUGCGUGAUCGUAGGAAUUUUUUUGAAAUACUAAGUUCCCCAACACUUACUCGGGUGUAAGCUUCACUCUGGCCACCCACCAUAAGUGAAUCAUUAACUAUUGCAACACCAUACAACGGGAAUUCCUCACGCUUGUGCGACACGGAGAGCACCAUAGGACAUCACCAAAUAAAACACACAACUCAAACCAAUCACGAUCAUCAAUUAACCCAUAGGACAAAAUGGAUCUACUCAAACAUCAUAGGAUAGCCACAUAUCAUUGGAUAAUACUAUAUAGCGUUGAGCACCAUAUUUAAGUAGAGAUUACAGCAGGGAGAAGAUGUGUUACACCGCUGCAUAGAGGGGAAGAAAGUUGGUGUUGACGGUAGCGAGGUUGUUGGCGUAGAUCGCCGUCACGAUCCUUGCCCCGGCGGCACUUCGGUGCCACCAGGAGAGAGGGGGAGAGAGCCCCCUCCUUCUUCUUCCUCCUUGAUCCCCCCCUCUAGAUGGGAGGAGAGUUCCCCUCUGGUCCUUGACCUCCAUGGCGGUAGGGGGGCGGGAUCCCCUCUGAGAUUGGAUCUAUCUCUCUAUUUCUCUUCUGUUUCGCGACCCUAAUUAUGGCCUUUCACUGUUUCUUAAAUACCUAGAGAUCCGUAACUCUGAUUGGGCUAAUAUUUUAACAUUAUUUUUUUCCAUAUAUAAGCUUCCUUUCGGCCGAAGGACACCUCCAACCAACCUACGGGUGGCCACAAGCUCGCCAGGCGUGCCCUGGGUAGGAGGGUCAGCCCCUUAAGCUUGUGGGACCCUAGGGCAUCAUCUCGGGUUGUGAUGUAGGGUAGAACCCUAGAUGCCCGAUCUUUCUCGAAAUGGAGGGGAUCCCACGAAGAACACGAGGGGAAAUUUGUCGUCUGUGAGCCGACAACAAAGCAACCAUAUAGGCCAGCCCAGUGCCCCCCAGGUUGCACAGGUGGCUGCCACAUGGCAGCUUUGCCAUUUGAUGGCUGAUGGCAAAGCUCUUUGACGUCUGCCAGCUGACGGCAAAGAGCCUGUAUAGCCUUGUUUUUCUGUUUUUUCUUAAAUUCAUUAAAUUUCACAGAAUUUUAUAUAUAUAUAUAUACACACACACACAUUUGAAAAUACUUUCAACAAGCAUACCAACACAUGAAUCGUGAAGAGAGGAAGAAACACGAGGGGAAGAACGAGAGAAAUCACUCAAACCAACAAGAUUUGAUUACCCAUGUGCUAGAUCCUCGAAACACAAAGAGAUACACGAUCCAAAUCAAACAAAGGGGAUACAAGAGGUAACUAGUUCAUCUCCAUGAGGAGGUCUUGAAGGGGUCCACCCGUGAGGGGGUCUUGAAUCCAAGCAUGGAUCUUCUCUGAAGAGGUCGCGGUCUCUCCGAUGUAGUAGAACCAAGUGGAUGAGCUAAGCUCUGUCUCUAAAAUGAGCUAAUCCUUGGCUAACCCUCAAAUGGUGGAGGUGCAGGAGUAUAUAUAGUCUAGGGUCACGAAGGGGUAAGUGAGGGGCGAAGGGGUACAUGGGCCUCGGGCCCAUUACACUAUGCGCAGACAGGCGUCGGACGUCCGACGGGUGUCGGUCGUCCGGUCGCUCGCAGGCGACCAGUCGUCCGGAGGAGGCCGGACUUCCGAUGUUUCGGCUCGGUUGAGGUGGCACCGGAUUUCCGAACGAUGUUGGUCAUCCGGUGGCUGAUGGUUGUCGGACGUCCGACCACUAUAGCUUUCGUCGGAUCGUCCAUCUGGCUGGUGGGGACUCCAGGCGUCGGACGUUCGGUAGUGUCCGGUAGUACGGUGGUUGUCGGAUGUCCGAUAGCUGUAGCUUCCUGGCAGCUCCUUCUCUUGCUCCUCACGCUUGGUGUACUCGCCAUCUUGUCCACGAUCUUCCUCUUGGUUCCUAGUCAUGCAUAGUACAUAUGUUUGAGGUAGUAGCUAUGUCUCACAUGUGGAAAGUGAUAGUUCAGAGAGGAGCGAGUUAACCUUGUGUCCAAUGGCGUAUACUUGAGGUCUCAUCUUAUGUCCUCUUGGGGCUUGGGGUGUAAACAUAGUGUACAUGGGGAUGAUCGUAGGAUGCUCUGCAUCAUUGGGUGUAGCGGCAUCAUCACUGUCGCCUAUGAUGAGAAGGAAGCGGUCUGCUCUCUUGAGCACGCCUACCGGGCCGCAACGGUCGAAAACUCCGAUGGCGAGCGUGACGUCGCGCCUCCUGAGGCUACCUCCCACGAAGAAGAAGUAGCUCCUCCCUAAGAGCCAUCCUGACACAAAGAAGCCCGUCGAUGGCGCCUCAGACUCCGCGCCUGCCGCCGGGUGAUACGUCCAUUUUGCAUCAUGCUUUUAUAUCAAUAUUUAUUGCAUUAUGGUCUAUUAUUACACAUUAUAUCUCAACACUUAUGGCUAUUCUCUCUUAUUUUACAAGGUUUACCAUGAAGAGGGGGAAUGCCAACAGCUGGAAUUCUGGAUGGAAAAGGAGCAAACGUUGGAAACCUAUUCUGCACAACUCCAAAAGACCUGAAACUCCACGAAACAACCUUUUGGAUUUAAUAAGAAUUUAUGAGUGAAAGAAAUAGGCCAGGGGGCCCACACCCUGUCCAGGAGACAGGAGGGCGUGCCCCCUAUCUCCUGGGCCCCCUGGUGGGCCUCCGGUGUCUAUCUUCUGCUAUAUCAUCACUUUUCCCCUGGAAAAAAUCGUGGGCAAGCUUACGGGACAAAACUCCGCCGCCACGAGGCGGAACCUUGGCGGAAUCAAUCUAGGGCUCUGGCGGAGCUGUUCUGCUGGGGACACUUCCCUCCGGGAGGGGGAAAUCAUCACCAACGUCAUCACCAACGAUCCUCUCAUCAAGAGGGGGUCAAUCUCAUCAACAUAUUCACCAGCACCAUCCCCUCUCAAAACCCUAGUUCAUCUCUUGUAUCCAAUCUUGUAUCAAAACCACAAAUUGGUACCUAUGGGUUGCUAGUAGUGUUGAUUACUCCUUGUAGUUGAUGCUAUUUGGUUUACUUGGUGGAAGAUCAUAUGUUCAGAUCCUUUAUGCAUAUUAUUUCUCCUGUGAUUAUGAACAUUAAUAUGCUUUGUGAGUAGUUACGUUUGUUCCCGAGGACAUGGGUGAAGUCUUGCUAUUAGUAGUCAUGUGAAUUUGGUAUUCGUUCGAUAUUUUGAUGAGAUGUAUGUUGUCUUUCCUCUAGUGGUGUUAUGUGAACGUCGACUACAUGACACUUCACCAUUAUUUGGGCCUAGAGGAAGGCAUGGGGAAGUAAUAAGUAGAUGAUGGGUUGCUAGAGUGACAGAAGCUUAAACCCUAGUUUAUGCGUUGCUUCGUUAGGGGUUGAUAUGGACCCAUAUGUUUAAUGCUGUGGUUAGGUUUACCUUAAUACUCCUUUUUGUAGUUGCGGAUGCUUGCAAUAGGGGUUAAUCAUAAGUGGGAUGCUUGUCCAUGUUAGGGCAGUACCCAAGUGCCGGUCCACCCACAUAUCAAAUUAUCAAAGUACCGAACGCGAAUCAUAUGAACGUGAUGAAAACUAGCUCGACGAUAAUUCCCAAUGUGUCCUCGGGAGCUCCUUCUUCAUUAUUAGAAUUUGUCCAGGCUUAUCCUUUGCUACCUAAUGGAUUGGUCCACCUUGCUGCACUUUAUUUACUUUAUUUACUAUUUGCUCAUUACUAUUUGUCUUAUCGCAAAACUAUCUAUCACUUACUAUUUCAGUGCUUGCAGAGAAAACCUUAUCGAAAACCGCUUAUCAUUUCCUUCUACUCCUCGUUGGGUUCGACACUCUUACUUAUCGAAAGGACUAUGAUAGAUCCCCUAUACUUGUGGGUCAUCAAGACUCUUUUCUGGCGCCAUUGCCGGGGAGCGUAGCGCUCUUGGUGAGUGAAACUUGGUAAGGAAACAUUAUAUAGUGUGUUGAAAUUUUCUGUUACUUGUCACAAUGGAAACUAAUCCUUUGAGGGGCUUGCUUGGGGUAUCUUCACCCCAACCAGAAGAGCAAAGAGAUGCUCCUCAACCUACUGAACUUUAUGAAAAUAUUCACUUUGAGAUUCCUUCGGGUAUGAUAGAAAAACUGCUAGCUAAUCCUUUUGCAGGAGACGGAACAUUGCAUCCCGAUUUACACCUUAUCUUUGUGGAUGAAGUUUAUGGAUUAUUUAAGCUUGCAGGUAUUCCCGAUGAUGUUGUCAAAAGGAAGGUCUUCCCUUUAUCUUUGAAGGGAGAUGCAAUGACAUGGUAUAGGCUAUGUGAUGAUACGAGAUCUUGGAAUUAUAAGCGAUUGAAGUUGGAAUUUCACCAGAAGUUCUAUCCUAUGCAUCUUGUUCAUCAUGAUCGUGAUUACAUAUAUAAUUGUUGGCCUCGCGAAGGAGAAAGCAUCGCUCAAGCUUGGGGGAGGCUUAAGUCAAUGUUAUAUUCAUCCCCAAUCAUGAUCUCUCUCAGGAAAUGAUUAUUCAGAACUUUUAUGCUCGGCUUUCUCUUGAUAAUCGCAACUUGAUCGAUACUUCCUGUGCUGGUUCCUAUAUGCUGAAGACUAUUGAUUUAAAAUGGGACUUAUUGGAAAGAAUUAAACGCGACUCUGAAGAUUGGGGUUCCGACGAUGGUAAGGAGUCAGGUAUGACACCUAAGUUCGAUUGUGUUAAAUCUUUUAUGGAUACCAAUGCUUUCCGUGGAUUUAUCUCUAAGUAUGGACUUGACUCUGAGAUAGUAGCUACUUUUUGUGAAACUUUUGCUACUCACAUUGAUCUCCCUAAAGAGAAGUGGUUUAAAUAUAAACCUCCUGUUGAAGUGAAAGUAGUUGCACCUAUUACAGUCGAAGAAAAGACCAUUACAUAUAGUGAUCCUAUUAUUCCUACUGCUUAUGUUGAAAAACCUCCUUUUCCUGUUAGGAUAAAAGAUCAUGUUAAAGCUUCGACUGUUGUUCGUAAGAGUAAUACUAGGACUUAUACACCUCCUGAGCAAAUUAAUGUUGAACCCGGUAUUGCUAUGAUUAAAGAUCUCUUGGAUGAGGACUUAGAUGUGCAUGUUAUCUCUUUCUUGGGUGAAACUGCUAAUAUUGCUAGACCCGAUACUAAGACACGUAGACCUGUUGUAGGCACACCUGUUAUUUAUGUUAAAAUAGGAGAUCAUUGUUAUCAUGGCUUAUAUGAUAUGGGUGCUAGUGCUAGUGUAAUACCUUAUGAUCUUUAUAAAGAAAUUAUGCACGAUAUUGCACCUGUUGAAUUAGAAGACAUUGAUGUUACUAUUAAGCUUGCUAAUAGGGACACCAUUAAACCUAUUGGGAUUGUUAGAGAUGUUGAAGUCUCGUGUGGGAAGAUUAAAUACCCUGCUAAUUUUCUUGUUCUUGCUUCCCCACAAGAUGAUUUUUGUCCCAUUAUUUUUGGUAGACCCUUCUUGAAUACUGCUAGUGCUAAGAUUAAUUGUAAAAGGAAGGUCGUCACUGUUGGCAUAGAUGGUAUGUCUCAUGAGUUCAAUUUUGCUAAGUUUAGUAGACAACCUCGUGAAAGGGAACCACCACUACAAAAAAACACACUUCCGUGAUGAUACGUGUUUGUCACAGUAGGUCGCGUUUUUUGUCAUGCAUGUACAUCCAUGACAAAUUUAUGACAGAAUCGAGAUAGUCAUACCUGUGUUGUCGUAGAAGUGUUCGAUGACAUUACCAAAAUUAUCAUUACGGAAGUGUCCACUUCCAUGACGAUAAAUCGCGCGUCACAGAAGUGCUUUCGUCAAGGGUGACCGACAUGUGGCAUCCACCACAACGGAACGCCGUUAAGCUAUCGGGUCGGGUUUUGGAUCCGAUAACCCGUUAACAGCCCCGACCAAUGGGGAUUUUCCACGUGUAAAAUCAUCAUUGGCUGGAGGAAACACGUGUCGGCUCAUUGUUGGGACACAUGUCAUCCACUCAUUGGACAGAAGGCGCCUAUGAUACGUCGACACGUGGCACGGCCCAACAGAGGCCCAUUCCUGUGAAAAGGCCGGCCCGUUUAACUUGGUCAAAAGGUGACGGCCCAGCCCAUGGAAAGCCUGUUAAUGGCCUGUUCGCAUAUAGCCCAUUUACAGCCCGCUAUCCCAAGGCCCGUUGCGCCCUAUCCGAAUUAGGCCCAGUAGCGUCAUCUGGGCCAUCCAAUAUGAUUCCAGCCCGUUUUCACUUCUGGCCCAUGUAUGGCCCAUGACAUCUUUUGGCCCAUAUGAGGCCCUAUGUAACUCUUGGCCUAUUAACGGCCCGUGGUGAAACUAGCCCGCAAUGAACAGUGUAUUACUUUAGACCCAUUAACGGCCCGUGGUGAAACUGGCCCGUAAUGAACAGUGUAUCGCUUUAUACCCAUUAAGGGCCCGUUAUUCAGUUGGGCCGUUUACAGCCCAUGUUAUCUUUCGACCUUCUUAGAGCCCAUUUAUUCUUGGGCUUAUUUGCAGCAUUCGGUUACUUAAGGCCCGUUACUGUCAUUUUCUGCUUGUGGGCCAAAUUCAGCCCGUCAUUACAGUCGCCCCGUUUGUGGUUCGUUAGUCUGUUGGGCCAUUUUCAUAGCAUCACCAAAUACGGCCUAUUAACAGCCCGUUAUGGUCAGCCAAUAAAACAUAUGAUUUCCAUUAUAGGCCCGUCUACGGCCCAUUAAAGGCCAGUACAAGACCCAUAAAUGAGUCGGCGGCCCAUGGAUCCUACGUGAUGUAGAAGGCCCAUGGAUCCUGCGAGACGUAGAAGGCCCAUGGACACUGCGAGACGUAGAAGGCCCAUGGACACUGCGAGAUGUAGAAGGCCCAUGGAUCCUAUGAGACGUAGAAGGCCCAUGGAUCCUACGAGACGUAGAAGGCCCAUGGUCGGGCGAGUUGGCCCCCGUUUGAACGAUAUAGCAUAUUCAAAGAAUUAUCCUACUCAAUACUAUCACCUCUAAAAAGUAUACACUAUACAACAAAGAGAUCAAGGCAUAGAAAGGUAGAAUAAUCCUACACUAUACAAUAAAGAAAUUACAGCCAAUUACACCCACUGGGCAUUAUGGUACGACACAGGUGAUAAUAAAGCAUACACAAAUAGCAAAUUACACACUGGGCAAAUAUGGCUCAUACAUCAUGGACGUGCAUCAACUUAACUCCAUUUGAACUAUAAUCUCUUCAGAAAAUAGGAUUGGCCGGAUUCAGAUAGCACAAAUUUCAGUCUGCAAAAUCUCCAAUUCCUUCCUUGUUACAUCGGUGUCUUGUUUCAUUUUUUGACUCCUGCAUCUAAUACCUGCAUGUCCAGUCUCAACUUGUUGAUUAUACAUUGACAAUCAUGUAAACGUUGUCUUGCCACCUCUAGUUGAUGCUCGAGAACAUCAGCACAUUCCAAUUUCAAUCCAUAAUCAUUCGGUAACAGCCAUGCCGCACUGCUCGCAGACUUUUGUGUUGAUGUCACUUCAUCCUGAAAUGUUUCUGUAAGUACACAUGACUAGGGCAAAAAUAUAAUUACAACAGUGAAGCGAACAAGACACUAUUUUGUACUACAUGGCAAAACAGGACUAACAAUAAUGUUACAUGUCACUUUCACAAAAAAAAUGUUACACGUCAUGAAGCAUAAGCAGGUGAUAUUUUAAAAAUUAUAAAAAAGAUAGUCUGUGCAGCCUGCAUACAGAAAUCCCUCUUAGCUCACCAGAGGAGCAUGAUGUUGGGGCCCAAUCAAAAACAUAGACAAGUUACAAAUUUAGACAAAACAUUGCGUAUAAGUAAGCAAGCAGUUGGCCAUUUGUACCUCAAUUAAAGUCUUAGGGAGCAUAAUGAACAGCAGAGGGUUUCAUACAAACAUACUACAACAGGCAAAACUAUGCAAUCAUUAGCAUAGUAUAAACUAGAUUGUGAGCCUCAUGCAAUAAUAGUUGGCUAAUAGACUUCAAAGCUUCAGGCACACUUCGGCAGAGUAAUUAAAUGGUAAGGCCUUUAAUCAUGUCAACUAAUAGUGAUACAAGUACCGAACAUCAGGCACAAUUAUUUGGGCAUCUCAUUAAGUGAGGACAAAUAAAGCAAUUGAAAAUAGAAAAUUAACUAUGCCUGAAACAAACAAGGAAUUGAACUGUUGAGUUGCAUACAGUGACUUACCUUAGUAGGUUGAAGAGGCUCAGCGCAGCUCCUACUUCUCUUGCAAGGCUCCUUCCUAACAUCUUGUACUUGGAAAUCCUCAAUCUUAUCUUCAUUGCACCCCCUCUGCAAGGUGACACAAACUAGUUACUCGUCUCCUUGGAAGAUAAAUAUGCAUACUUUCCAGUCUGUGAACACAAAAGGAUGAGAUUAUAACAAAACAACACCACAUAAUGAAACAUGCCGCAUCUCUUGCACUUGCAAACAAUGAAAUGAGCAUUUACUAUGUCUGCACUAUGUAAAAACUAGGCAUACCUUUGAACUGGAUCUCCAGGUACUCUUGGAGAGCCUACUGUAGUGUACAGCCAAACCUUUAUUCACCUAUGAGUUAGACAAGGCCCCACUACAGCAGCCCUUAGUGUUUAAAUCGUUGACAAGCUCUGUUAGAGUGUUAGGUCAAGAACAACAAGUAAUCAAAGCAAACAUUCCUAGUAUGGCUGGCUGAUGCAAACAAGCAAUUGAAUAGAUGUGUGAGCAAAUCUUACAUAUCAAGAAAAGAAGCAAAGAAGGAGGCUUAAAGACCAUCACUUGACUGACCAGAUUUAAGGGGCAUUUAAACAUCAUAUGCAACGUAUGAACUAACAUAAACAUUGCAUAUUCCAGAUUCUACAAUGGAAUGCACAUGUAUUAGGUUAUGCCAUGUAUGAUGAUGCCUAAAUGUACAUAUAGCAUGCAUGAGUGAUUCAUGAUUGCAUGCACAAUUGAAUUGCAGGUUAAGGGCCAGUUCGAUUCCGCCUUUUCAGGGUAUAUUGUCAAAAUAAGCCAUAAAAGAUGUAAAGAAGUCAUUUUUGAGUUAUGGGCUUGGGCUUAACUAAUUUCGCUUUGGAGGGGGGUGAUUCGGGUAGAACCUCACUAAAAAUUGAAGGGAAGGGGAAUAGUGAAAUGACUCUGUUGUCUGCCUAUAUUACACUCAAAAUGCAACUGCUGACGCUAGUGUCACACCUGACCCUCAAGUAAAAACAAACACGCAAGCAUUCAUUGCCUUGCUCGCUUGCAUCUCCUCUCCCCUUUCCCUCUACCUCGAUCCCUUGCCUGCAGCACUAGGGUUCCUCCAGCCAACCGUCGCCACUGGUCCCAUCUGGCCUGGUCCUCGACGAUGCUAUGUCCAGCUAGGCUACAUGGCCGGCAGGUAGGGGCAAAUCUCCCUGGCUGCUCCUCCCUCUGGCGCCACCCCUCAUUCUCAUGGUCUCUAGCAGCUGCUCCACUUUGGUUCGUCCAACGUACUACUCCAGUGGGCGCUGCACAACUACGGCUGAUGCCACACUGUGGCAGAAGGCACCUUGUUACCCCUCCCCUCCUCCCAGGCCAUGGUGUUGAGGUGCUGUUGAAGGAUGAGCAUAUCCAACAAGGUGAGGAUAUCCUCUGAUUUUUUGCCAAAUUUUCAUUCUGAUCCUCUACACGAUGAAUUGCUAUGAGCUGCUUCUGCUGCUGCUAUAUGAUGCAUUGCUAUGAGCUGCUCCUGCUACUGCUAUAUGAUGAAUUGCUAUGAGCUGCUGAUGUUGUAUGAUGAGUUGCUAUGAGCUGCUGCUGCUGCUAUAUGAUGAAUUGCUAUGAGCUGCUGCUGCUGCUAUAUGAUGAGUUGCUACAAGCUGCUCCUGCUACUGCUAUAUGAUGAAUUGCUAUGAGCUGCUCCUGCUGCUGCUAUAUGAUGAGUUGCUAUGAGCUGCUGCUGGUAUAUNNNNNNNNNNNNNNNNNNNNNNNNNNNNNNNNNNNNNNNNNNNNNNNNNNNNNNNNNNNNNNNNNNNNNNNNNNNNNNNNNNNNNNNNNNNNNNNNNNNNNNNNNNNNNNNNNNNNNNNNNNNNNNNNNNNNNNNNNNNNNNNNNNNNNNNNNNNNNNNNNNNNNNNNNNNNNNNNNNNNNNNNNNNNNNNNNNNNNNNNNNNNNNNNNNNNNNNNNNNNNNNNNNNNNNNNNNNNNNNNNNNNNNNNNNNNNNNNNNNNNNNNNNNNNNNNNNNNNNNNNNNNNNNNNNNNNNNNNNNNNNNNNNUGCUGGUAUAUGAUGAAUUGCAGACUGCUGCUGCUGUAUGAUGAGUUGCUAUGAGCUGCUGCUGCUAUAUGAUGAGUUGCUACAAGCUGCUGCUGCUGCUGCUAUAUGAUGAAUUGCUAUGAGUUGCUCCUGCUGCUGCUAUAUGAUGAAUUGCUAUGAGCUGCUGCUGGUAUAUGAUGAAUUGCAGACUGCUGCUGUUGUAUGAUGAGUUGCUAUGAGCUGCUGUUGCUGCUGCUAUAUGAUGCUUUCAGGUGGUGCUGCUAUAUGAUAACAACCAGCCACUUGGACCAUCGAAUUUCAACAAAUAAUUGUUCUUCAUUUAAAUGUGGGUCCUGCGUUCUUCGUUUAAAUUAGGCAAUGGGAUCUCUAUGGAAAACAUUGACCGAAGUAGAUUGUGCCAAGUAGAUGGUAUCUUUGUAUUUGCAUUUUGAGCAAAUAGUGAUGGUCUGUUUUCCUAUCAUAUUAAUUACUGUACUGGGUUCAAUUUGUGAUGUUUGCAAGUCAAAUUAAUUUCCAUAUGUGCAGCAAAAUGAAAUAUAUAUAUAUAAUGCAAUCUAGACUUUCCACUGAUCAUACCAAAGAUAAGCUGAAAACGCAAUGAAAAGAACUGGUUGGUGUAUUACAUGGAGCUUAUAUUCACAUGUGCUUAUUUUCUUAGGAUAACUCGUAAUAACUGUCCCUAAGAAACUUGGCUAAUAGAACUGGCAUACAAAUAACAUGUCACGAUGAUUGCAAUGGAGGAGUGACGUACCAUAGAACACUGUAUAGGCUCACCGCUGCCUCUCCUUUUUUUGCGAUGUUCCAUGAAAUUGCCACAUACAUCUUGUACUUUUUCAUUGUGUAACCCUAUCUGCAAGUUGACACGGCUAAUUUCAGACAUCUCUACAUGAUACUACAUUGCAUAUCCCUUGCGCAUAUUUAAACCACCAAUUAACGAUUGUGUGCGUACCAUAAACUAGCCAUGACUCUGUAUGCUGGACUGGCAAGCACUCUAAGGGAGCCUAAUAUAGGGCACUGGAAUUCCUACAUGCCACCUACGUUUUGUGUAAUGUACUGCCCCUGUUCCUAAAUAUAUGUCUUUGUAGAGAUUCCAGUAUGGACCACAUAUCGAUGUAUAUAGAUACAUUUUCGAGUGUAGAUUCACUCAUUUUGCUCCGUAUGUAGCCUAUAGUGGAAUCUCUAGAAAGACUUAUAUUUAGGAACGGAGGUAUGAGGUAGUAUCAUGUAUGACAUCUACAUAUCUAAUUUAGCAGCGAGUAGUAGAAAUCAUUGUCUGCACAAAGGGAUUACUGGUCGAAAAUCCUAGCAAAGCACGCUGGCAGGCACAGAACAAUACAAGAGAGAGAGAGACACGCUUACAAGAUCAUAGCAAUGCCUCAGUCUAGGAUCUUGGUUGGCCAAGCUGUUAGAUCCAGAAGAAACAUUGUCCUUGUAGUUUCUGCCAGCUGCAUAACAGGUAACAGCGACCGGUUAGUAUAUUUGAAGUACAUUGGGCAGGUGAUGCUGGACGGGUUUAAAGGUGACAAGUACCUAGGCCGUGGCGGGUGCUUGGCAUCUCUCCAGACGGUGGGAAUCCGGUUAGAAACGUCGAGGGUGAUGACGCUGCGCUGGCUGUCGGGGUCCGGUAAGGAGAUCUAGAACCGUCGAGUAGGUUGUUUGUGGAGCGGCUCCGGUAGGGUGGACUACGGUGUGGGCGAAGCGGAUCUAUAGCCAUGGACGAGGGCGUAGGUGAAGCUGCUCCGGUGGUAGGGUUAAGGAUGGUGUCGACGACGCGGAUCUGCGGCCGUGGACGGGGUGUUAGAAGCUGCUCCGGUGGUUGGGUUAAGGAUGGUGUCGACGAUGCGGAUCUGCGGCCGUGGACGGGGCGUCAGAAGCUGCUCCGGUGGUUGGGUUAAGGGUGGUGUCGAUGAUGCGGAUCUGCGGCCGUGGACGGGGCGUCAGAAGCUGCUCCGGUAGGUUAGAUGAGGGUGCGAGGAAGCGGAUCUGAGGCCGUGGACUUGUGAGUUGGCAAAGCGGCCCCGGUAGGGUUGAGAAUGGUAUAGGCGAAGCUACUCCGGUAGGGUUGACGCUGGUGUCGGCGAAGCAGCUCCGGUAGGGUUGAGGAAGGUGUCGGCGAAGCGCCUCCGGUAGGGUUGAGGAAGGUGUCGGCGAAGAGGAUCAGAGGCCGUCGACGGGGGCGUCGGUGGGGCGGCUCCGGGGGGUGUGGACGAAGCGUCUCCGGUGGGGAGUACGAAUGAGCCGCUGCAGAUGCGCAACGGUUGACGAGAGUACCGGCGAAGCAGAUCUGGUGCCGUGGACAAGGCCGACACUGAAUGGGCUGUGGUAUAGUGGUGGAUGAGCAGUCUACUUGUUUCUAGGGGAGGUGGGAGGGGUAGAUUCGGCCGCAGAAGCAGAUCCGGCAAGGUGGACGUCGCUGGAAGUGAAUGGGCUAUGGUACGCCGGUGGAUGAGCAGUCUAGGGUUUCAAGAGGGGAGGGGAGAAAGGGCGAUGAAGUACGGACGGCGUGAUGUAAGAUGCUCUGGUGCUGUGGAGUUAGUCGUUUUUGCGGGAGGGGGGGAGAGGAAAUGGGGUUGGCGUGUAGUGGGGGGAACUGGAAGUUACCAAAGCAGCCCCGACCUAUCAUGUAGAUGAGGGUGGUAUUGUAACUGUUGGUCUCCGUGCACCAAGGACAAAAUGGGGAUUUCACAUGCUAAAGACUAAGGUGGCGGAAAUUUUAGAAGGAGGCGGGAGAUUUUGCCGCCCGCGGGAUCGUUCGUAUCCAGUUUCAACUAAUUUUGGCCCGUGCUAGCGGGAAGGUCAUGCUAGACUGUUUACACGGGGCACACGUCAGCAGUUAAUAACUGGUGUGAAGUCCACCCCCCAAAAAAAGACAAUAACUCGGGAUGAUGCGCCGAUAACUUGGACGUUCACACGGGUGCGGCCAAUCUUACGGGUGUAGUGGCGCGUUCACAGGAAAAGGGAUCAAACGCUCAGCCUAUGUAUUUAUCGUGUAAAUAGAUAAUUUAGUGCCAUUGGUUAUUUACUUUAAACAUAAUGCAUUGACGUGUUAGUGUAGAGGCGCACAAAAAGAAAUGGAUAUUGUAGUUAGCUACUUAAAAGUGUUACCUCAUAUGAUUACAUAGCCUCCAUUUCAUAAAUUGCGUAACUGUUGAAUUCAUAUAUGAAUAUUACAUAUAUAUUACUUCAAAAUAGAAACUUAAAUCAUCCAAGACUAAUGAAUUUGAAUGCAAGAGUAACAAUGGUGCAUGUGCAUGAUAGCUACAUUGGUUGUUUGAAGAAACAUCACUGUAACUUUGGCAUGCACAACUGACAAAGGUUUAUUUAAAUAGAAAAAAAUGUGAUAUGUGAGUGUCCAAUCUUUAUAGCGUUGAAUCGAUAUUGUACCUUUGGCCAUGAUACGAAGUAGAUAUUGACUUAUGUUCAAGCGAUGCAAGUCCACGGUCGCUAGAUAGUGAUACGUGAAUGAAUUGUGCAAUCUCUCACACACGCAUACAUAUCUCAUUUCUUUGUGGGCAUUGGAAUCACACACGCGCACUUCAUGUAUUUAUCUCCCUCCGUCAGGGUUAAAUUCGUCUUUCUACCCUAUCCUACAAGUCUCUCACACAGAAACACACACGCUCUCUAUGUCUAACACGCCCACCCCUUUAAUUCCGCCCACCCACAACCACUAAUGUCUCAAAGUAUAAUAAUGUCUCUCACACAUAUGCUAUCUACCUAUCCCUUAAUAUAGCUAGAUAUGUGUCACACAAACUCCUUCUCCCUACUAGCAAGAUGCCCAUGUGUGUUGCUCGGAACAACAAGAUGCAUUUGUAUGAGAAGUUCAUCUUGUGGGGGAAAAGGAUGAACGAGGGAAUGCCUUAUUUGCAAAUGCGGAGAGGGGUGUGGGUAUCUUUUUGCAAAAUUGCCAUAUUUUCCUUCAUGUCCGUUGGAUAUAAAUCGGAUGGCCUAUAUUGCAGGAUGGCAGGAACACCAUUAUCACCAACUCAGUUUUUUAUAAGAGUAGAGAUAUGUGAGUGUCACUGCCCCCUCCCCCCCCCCACACACACUUCCCAACACCGAAGGAGUAGGGUGACACCUCGAUCUUGAUACUAAUCUAUCAACUGGCUUCUCUCUCAAACAUACACACACACACUACCCGGCACCGAAGGAGUAGGGUGACACCUCAAUCUUGAUACUAAUCUAUCGACUGGAUUCUCUCUCAAACACACACACACACACACUACCCGGCACUGAAGGAGUAGGGUGGCACAUCGAUCUUGAUAAUAAUCUAUCGACUCCUCUUUCAAACACACACACACACACACACACACACUCUCGCUAGUUGUGCCUCUGUGCCUAGCGCGCACACUCUUGAUACGUCUUUCUCUCCCUCACCCCCCCUAACAAUGACAGCAGAAGGGUGACAACUCGAUCUGAUCAUAAUCUGCCAAUUGGUUUCUCUCUCAAACAUUGUGUCUCGGUGCCUCGCUCAGUAGCCCCCUCGAUAUGUAGACUUCUUGCGCGCGCACAACUGUAGUGACGAUGACGCUGAACCCAGUGUGCCUUGUUUUUACCGGCCUCAUUUGAUAGUUUUCACCAUGUUUUCUGUUAAUUAACAAGGCAACCUUUUCUUUGUUACUACUCCCUCCAUUCCAAAAUAGAUGACUCAACUUUGUACUAACUUUAGUAUAAAGUUGGGUCAUCUAUUUUGGAACGGAGUGAGUACUAGUGAAUCUGAAAUCAUUUGGGGCAGACAUAAAACAUAUCACUUCAACCCAAUUAUCACAGCAACCACUUUAAAAGAAAUUAGCUAGCUGCCUGUGCGUUGCACGGAACAUCAAGAUGCAUUUGUAUGAGUAGUUUAUCUUGUGAGAGAAAAGGCCGAACGAGGGAAGGCCUUAUUUGCGAACAUGGAGAGACGUGUGGGUAUAUUUUUGCAAAAUUGCCAUAGUUUCUUUCCUAUCUGUUAGAUAUAAAUCCGAUGGCCUAUAUUGCAGGAUGGCACGCACACCAUCAUCACCAACUCUGUUUUCUACUCCGUCCGUCCGAAAAUACUUGUCAUCAAAAUGGAUAAAAAUAGAUGUAUCUAAAACUAAAAUACGUCUAGAUACAUUUCCUUUUAUCCAUUUUGAUGACAAGUAUUUCCGGACGGAGGGAGUAUUUGUAUUUUUAGAGAUUUCAACAAGUGACUAUGACCGGACCUUACCAACAUACUCAAAAAAGUAGUCCAUAAUUUUGAUGUUACCCUCUUUUUUUGACGGUGCAAUGCCAUCUGGAUACCUCAUAAAUAAAUCAAGGACAAAUCUGACCCCUUCCUGAAAAGACAUACGUAGCAAAAUGAGUGAAUCUACACUCUAAAAUAUGUCUACAUACACAUCCGUAUGUGGUAGUCCAUUUGAAAUCUAAAAAAGAUAAAUAUUUAGGAACGAAUGGAGUAUAUAUAAGAGUAGACAUGGAGAUAUAUCUCCAGCAUGGUCUACAACAAAAAUGUGCUGGGCUGGUUAGCGCCGGAUGCUCGCAAUGCGAUGACAUGAGUUUGAAUUCCGUCUUUUAACUUUAGAUUUGUAUAUUAUAUAUUACUCUACUUAUUUAAUAUAUACUUCUUUCGGUACUGUACUGACAGUGGAACCCACAGAGUGCUUAGAAUAUUAAGGAUGGACUUGUUUCUUUUUAACUUUCUGUACGAAGCUGUAGCCACCCAGCAAGUCACAUGUACACUGUACAUGCAAUUAACUUUUUAUAGAGGGACAAUCAUACAGGCAAUUAACUCAAAUGGAUUGGAUGUCACUCUAUUAUUUCCAGCAUAAAGAGCAUCUCCAACGGCAACCGGCAAAUUUCCUCCCGCUUCCUUCCGCGGAGGACGACAUAAAACGCCAGCGACAUACAUUUUUAAAACUCUAACCAACCAGAUGAAAUUCAUGCAAACACGGAAUGAUUUCAUAUAAGCAUGAAGGAUUUCGUAUAAAAAGCCGGAUCUUCAUAUAAACAUGAUGGAUUUCAUUACAUUUACAUGAACUAAGAGGUGCCAAUCCGGCUCUCUUGUAUAAUUAAUACUCCCUCUGUCCGGAAAUACUUGUCCUAGAAAUUGAUAUAUCUAGACUUAUUUUAGUUCUAAAUGGCCACCCGCGGAUCCCUUUGUCUUCCUCAUGUCCGUUAGACACUUGCGGGGUCGACGAAGGUCCUCGGAAGAGACGAAGCAGCAAAGAAACCACCUGAAUCCGCGGUCGUCGCCUUGGCGGUGGCCUUCAUGGGUCCCAAGUGGCGGCAGCCUCCCGUGUUCUACUUCUCCUCGAUGAUGGCGGCAGACAGGGAGAAGCUGGCCACCGACUGGUCGCUCUCCACGCACCCGGCUUUUGUCUCUGCCUGCAUGGCGCUGCUGCAGGCACGGGAGGCGCGCCCACAGACACGGGAGGCGCGGCCACCGUAGACACUGGUGGCGCGGUACGACGCGACAGCGAUGGCGCCCGUACCGGCGUGCUCGCCGCCGUGCCGGCGUGGAGCAACUCGCCACUCCUCAUCGAGCUGAACUGGAGCGGCGAGUUGCUGAACCACGCGCCUGCUUGGGGCGGCAACUGGCUCCGUCGGGCCAAGCGAGGUUGGUGAAGCACCGAGCGGCCUCGGCCGUAUCCGGAGGGCUCGGCGGGCCACCCAGCCGGGUAAUAUGCCGGAGAACGGCUCAUCGGAAGCCAUCGGAAGGGUGGAUAAAAUGGUGAAGGAGGAGAUGGGGGAGCGGCGGAGGGGUGCGAUUCUUGCCCGUUGUCUGUCUGGCCUCAUGUAAAUAGAGGGCGGAUGGUAGGAGCUUGGCCGGCGCCUGGCCUCGUUUAAACUGAGGGCGGACGAGAGGAGCUCGGCCGGUGUUGCGUUUAAUUCCGGCCCUCUCAUGAACGGAAGUGUGGCCGGAGUAGGACUCUCGGUUUGCAUGCGGGUUUAACGGAGAGGUUUAAUGGAGGCGCCGGGCGUGCAGCGGGCGACACGGUACUAUUCGAUUUGACCACAUUAAUGAGACGUCAAAUCACAAAGGCCCUCGCCUCUCGUGAAACCGACCGAGAUAGACUGCCCCACCCUCUAGCCUUUUAAAAAAUGUAUAUACUCCACUUUUGUACAGUAGUAGUAUCGAUGGAUUGCGCCAUGGAGCAAAACUUGAAAUUAAAAAAAAGGUGGUACAUAUAGAGAGCGCUCGUGAACUAUGUGUCAUACAUGGCAAUAAAUAAAGUACUACAUGAUACUUAUAUGAUACAUCGCAGGAGUACUAAGUAUUAUUAAUACAGUUUUGCUAGAACUCAUCUAGAUGAGAUAUAAUUUGGUCUCAUUCAUCUUUUAUAGCCAUUGGAUGUGAUGCUAUAAGAUGCGUGUGUGCUGACGUGGGUUGUAUUUGUUCUUGUGCAACGAACUGACCACUGCAUGUCAUGUUUGAUAAUUUCAAGUCAUUAAAAGCAUACAAGCCCCACAUCUCUUCUUGGUUGAUUCCUUUAUUUAUGUCAAAAAAUAAGAAACAACGUGAGAGUUAAUGCACCACGCCUAUGUGUUAGACUAGCCACAAUGGUGAGUAACAUACACUAGUAACAUACACAUAUCCCUAGACUAUGUUACUACCUUCAUAGUGGGUACUACCUCCGUCCUGGUUUAUAGGUCCCUUUUAUAGUUUGUGCCAAAUUUUGACUAAAGAUUUAACUAACAAAAUAUUAAUGCAUGUCAAGAAAAAUUAUCUAAUUGGAUUCGUCUUUGAACAUAGUUUUGAAAAAUAUAAUGUUUGGUGACAUGCAUGAACAUUUUCUUAGUUUAGUCUAUGGUCAAAAUUUGGCACGAAAUACAAUGGGGACCAAUAAACUCGGACAGAGGUAGUAGUAACAUAAGUGUGGUAACAUGCAAAGCUUCAUUUAUUAGGUUAUAGACUCAUAUUGCAUUGGGACAUGUGAUGUUACAGUAACUAGCUAAGUUAUUAUAACUACCUCUCUCCUCAUUAACUCACUGCCAGAGUUGGACUCGAUGUUACUGCUGAAGUUACUCCCACGGUGGCUAGUCUUACUAGUAUUUGGUUUUCGUAAGAUGACUUAUAAUACUCAGGCUGGUCGUAAUGAUAGUAUCAUAGCUAGUAUCAUGCAUGCCAACUAGGCAAUUUUGAUGAGGUGUCGUAGCAUUAAAUGAAGAAAGAGAGGGUGUAGUAUCAUAUCAUGAUACCGUAUCAUAUUAAAUGUUAUGCUACUUUGUGUCAUGCAUGGAAAUAAAUAUAGUACUACAUGAUACUAAUAUAUGAUACUAUGCAUUAGGGAGGUAGUAUCAUACACUAGUAUCAUAUGCAUGAUACUAGUAUAUGAUACUCCCCAUUACAACCAGCCUCACCUAGAUGGAAGGAGUAUUCGAUUUGACAGCGGGUGGCGCAGUUCCCGAUACGCCUUUAAUGCAGACGAGGGAGGGAGUAGCGGUUCCCGAUAUGUUGAACGACCAAUGCAUCCUCCUUCAAUUAAUGCAUGAGGGAAGUAAUGGGAGGAGGUCCGGGAAAAGAGGCUGCACGAUGUGAAUGCAACGGAGUUUGCCCUCAUUGCCCUCAUAUAAAGGCGCCCCUCCUCCAUUCCAAUGCAUCUGCCACAUCGUACGCACCUAAGCACUUGCCUAAGCACCUACACUAAGCGCAAAAGAGCUCGCUCCAGACCCAUGGCGGCGAUGCGUGUGAGCGGCCAGCGGCUGUGCCAGAUGGUCCACGACGCCGGCCUGCGGCAUGGCACCGAGGAUUGUCUCCAGACGGUGUUGAAGACCGGCUGGUGGAUGGCCGCCGUCGACGCCAACUACGACUCUCGGUUGGACCAGAUGAUCGUUGCCACCAGCAACAAGUUCACCGUCCUCAAGAAGCUCGCGGACGACAUCGCCGUACUCCUCCAGCCCGCGCGCCCGGGCUCCUCAUUGCCUGCCACCCUAAUCGGCCUCCAUGGUCGGAACCUCUUUCAAGCACUGGUGGCCCUGCGACUGCCCGCCGACGCCACAAAGAAUGUCCACCUGGAGGUCGCGCUCGCCGCGAGGCACCUCGCUCUGCAAGAAUUCGUCGACCUACACAUCCACGCGUAUGAGCAAAUCAUGUACAUAGGUAUCUACAAGGCCAGUGAGGACGCUACGACGUUGGCCUUCCUCAACCGGCUGGAAGCCUUGGAUGCCUUUGUUGAGAAGCUCCUCGACCUCGCCACAAAAGCCGCCGCUCCUUAGCCGCCAUAUGGUGGCCCAGCACACUACGUUGAGGAGGAGGAGGUCGUACGUUCGUGGAUCCAUCUUUCUUCUUGCCUUCUGUAACCACCACUGCGAUUGCAUCAUCGUGGCCUUAAUUCUUAUUGUGCUGUUGCAUUCUCGUUCCAGUCAAUACCGACAUGUGCGAUCCCUUUGCUUAAUUAUAUGCAUCACUGUAGCUAGUACUCCAUCCAUCAAUUUAUAAGUUGUGCUUACCUUUUCCAUCAACUUCGUGCAACGCGCGGGCAUCUUGCUAGAAACACUAGAAUAUGUCUAUAUAAUCCGUAUGUGAUAGUCCAUUUGAAAUCUCAAAAAAGACAAAUAUUUAGGUACGGAGGGAGUAAUAUAUUAGGAGUAUAUCAAAACAAUAGUGAUUUCUUUCAAGUUUGUGAACAAAUACUAGUAUUCUACUACUUUGGAUCCGUCGCAACGCACGGGCACAUUGCUAGUAAAAGGAAAAGGCCUACAACGUUUGCGUCGCACCCCCACAUGCCCGGGAAUCGGGAGUACAACACGACCCGUCUGGCACGACACAUAGCUUAGGGAAGGCGUGUUGCCUACAACCUAGCAUUUUCACUUUCAUGUGGGACCGCCCGUUGAGCAAACCGACACCUCGCCCGCCGCCGGGUUGGAAAACAGAAACAAGGGGAAGAUCUAGCUGUAGCACGGAAGCCAAGAAAUUUUGUGUCAGACGGGGCUCGUUGAUAGAGUAGGAGCAUUCCGUAUUAGUACCACUCCUACCAAGUUUGUACUCCUAAUACUAUUAUAUUACUAGUACUACCACUAUACAACUAGUAGAUACGUGCACGGCACAACAUCGUAGGAACAAAAAAGGGAAGAUCUUGUUUUGGGUGAUUUAUCUUUUUUUCAAUCAACGCAGUAUGAAUAAUAUGAUGUGAGGGGCACCCAUGAAGCUUAUGUGGCUUUGUUGCAUGGCUACGGAAGGUUAGAGAAAAAUAAAUAGAUAAUGUGUUUAGAGUGCACUCCACUAAAUAGAUAUACUUUGGAUCCAUUGCAACAGACCGGCACAUCUAUAUCUAUACCCCCUAUAUAGUGUGUGAAAAACUUUGGAAGUUGGUCGUUGGAUGAAGCCAAUCCGACGGUACAAAGAUGGCAAAUCCGAGCACUACUGGCCAUUGGAUAUCAUCCACCAGAUUCUGCCACAUGUAUAAUCUAGAAGACUCCAUGGUCGAACUUAAUUCAUGACUAACUUUGCCACAACUAAGCUCAGGCAAAGUUAUUAAUAAGUUCUUCAAAAUGAGAGCCACAAGUUGGCAAGCCUAAGGGAAUCUUGUGACAUUUUUUGUGUGUAUGUCAUGUGGGGCCAGUGUGGCUUGCCUAAGGUGUGGCUUGAAUCAAACACUCACCUAAGUUAAUCAAACUUGCCUAACCUUACAUUCCACGAAAUUUUGCCACAAGUUGGCAAUCCUAAGGGAAUCUUGCCACAUUUUUUUGUGUGUAUGUCAUGUGGGGCCAGUGUGGCUUGCCUAAGGUGUGGCUUGAACCAAACACUCACCUAAGUUAAUCAAACUUGCCUAACCUUACAUUCCACCAAAUUUUGCCACAUGUUAGAAUCCAGAAAACUCCACAUGUAGAAGCAUAAUGCACGAACCACCAGAAUCUCAUGCGUGCAAUGCACGUGUACCUUCCUACUAGUACUAGUAGUAGUAAGAAAAAAUUCCAGUUUUGGCACGAGCUCGUACUGCGGGAGCACCACAAGGCCUACCGCAGGAGUUACAUUUUCCUCUCGAGGCCCACAGGACCGAACUUCAGUGGCUUAGUGCCCGGCCUAUGAGUCAAUGACAUGUGGGCCUUAAAUGAGGCUGGCCCACAUGUCAUUCUCAUGGUGGUGGCGUGGUUCGCGACUCACUCGUUUGAGAUGAACCGGCCGGUGGUGGCGUGUCCUUGGCGAGGGUACCACAGCUGGGCGUCGGGGCAUUACGAGGCAUAGAUGGCCACACCGACGGGUACUACCUGUAGUACAUAAGUACUCCAGCUGAGGAUUGAUGCCCGGGAUGAAAUGUGUCACAGCCGCUGGAUGAAAAUUUGAUGGUGUGGGAGUACGGAUCGGAGCACAGCAGCGGAGCAGGCAAACCGCGUCCAAUCGGGUGUGUAUAUGGUAGAAAGUUGAUGGUCGCCGCAGUUCAGCUGGCCGCCAUGUCAUGCACACAAAGGCAGAGGAGCGGUGGGGCCGAGAGGGAUGAGGGGCACGAACAAUGCUACCAUUCUGUCACUGACAUGUGGGACCCAUAAGCGUGGGUCCCACCUGUCAGCGAAGGAAAGGCAGGGCAAGGCAGUGAUAGCCACGUCAGAGGAUCCAUGUCCACAUCGGGGGACGUCGUGCCGUGGGUUGGAGUGGCGUCGUGGGAAUCGCGUGUGGGUGUGGCAGUGGUAGAAACAAGAAACGUGAUGGUCGACGUGGUUCAACUUCCCUGGACAAGCUGUCAUGUCUGCUGACACAUGUAUAUCAAAACUAGAGUGUUUAUAUUUCAAGCAUGUGAACAAGUAUUAUUCUACUAGUUUGGAUCCAUUGCAAUGCACGGGCCAACACAUUGGUAGUAGUAGUGUCCAUCUCUAUCUCUAGAGGCCCUCCCUUGUUCAUCCUUUUCUCUCACAAGAUAAACUACUCAUACAAAUGCAUCUUGAUGUUCCAUGGAACGCACGAGGAUGUUUCCUUGCGGGUCUCUCCAACACGGCGUGGUCGUAGUUGCAAGUUGACGCCCCUUGAGAUGCCGACGUCGAGGGGCACUCGGAUUUCCUCCGAUGAGUAGGUAAGAUGAGUUUGAUCACAUAGUAAAUGCAUUCUAAAGACUACUUCCGUGUCCAUUUCCUAAUUCUCCCCCUACCCACUGUUUCACAGGCUAGGCUCGGUGCGAGUGGAGAUUGGCUUGCAUAUGUAUGGGAGGGUACCAACAUCAAUUUGCACAACAUUUACAACGGUGACACCGUUCCCGUAGAACCUUUGUCAAACAUUGGGAUCAGCCAUGCAACGGGCCACCGCAUGAAUUGGUACGAUGGAACCACGAUGAGAUUGAAUAAAAGAUAGCACGAACCUUGCACAUGGUGGUCAAAGGCAGACCAUGCUGUCUGCGGCCGAUUUGUUGCCGUACGAGUAGGAAGACAUUGUGCUCCUUUCUAACCGCAUCUUCGCGGUGACAAACCAGGGGACUUAUUUUGUAUGGGACACAUCCUAUGAUAUACUCCCUCUCUCCCAGUUUAUUUUUUUGAAUCUUUUCGUUUUAUAAGUUUCAAAUUCAAAUUUAGAGCUCCCCAUCACAUGUUGAGAUUACAAUGUCCAUUAAAUUGUUGCGUGCAUGUAUAGUAAAGAAACAAAUCUCGAGUUUGGCACGAGUUCGUGCUGCGGGAGCACCACAAGCCCUGGCGCAGGAGUUACAUUUCCCUCUCAGGGCUGUCGGGACUGAGCUUCAGCGCCUUACUACACCUACCUUUGAGUUAAUAACAUGUGGAACCGAUAGGUGACUGGUCCACAUGUAAUGCUCCCGAAGGCAGAGGGGCAGUGGGGCCAAGAGGGGUGAGCCACAGGUCGGGGGACAUGUGGUUUCAUGGAUUCGAGCGGCGUCGUGGGAAUCGCGGGUGGUUGUGGUAGAAACUUGAUGCUCGCCGCAUUUUAGGUGGCCCACAUGUCAUGCACACAAAGGCAGAGGGGCGGUGCAGCCGAGAGGGGUGAGGCCCACGUCGGGGGGCGUGGUGCCGUGGGUUGGAGAGGCGUCGUGGGAAUCGCGAGAUGAAACGUGAUGGUCGCCGUAGUUGAACUUCCAUGGACAAGCUGUCAUGUCUACGGACACAUGCACUGUAUACUGAUCACUGGAAGGAGUAGCAGAGAAAGCUAUAUAUGCGGAUAAAUAGUUCCUUAUAGUCAAGCGGACCCACGCUACUACUCUGUUCCAAAGACAUGCACACCAUCGAAAUAGUCCAUCUAUAUCAAUAUACACCGAGAGGGAAUAAUUUUUUUACAAGAGAGGAAAUAGUUCAUCCAUCCAUAAUGCCCUCCUGCUGGUGCAGCGUUUUCUUCUUCUUCUUCUUCUUCUUCUUCUUCUUCUUCUUCUUCUUCUUCUUCUUCUUCUUCUUCUUCUUCUUCUUCUUCUUCUUCUUCUUCUUCUUCUUCUUCUUCUUCUUCUUCUUCUUGUUCUCAUUAUCUGUGGGAGACGGCUUCGCAACAAGCUCUUUGGACCUUGCAGCUAUCUCGAAACUCACAUGGGCAUCGAGGGCAGCAUAUUUUAUCCACUCGUACGUCAAGGGAUAAUUCUCCCAUCUAGACGACCUUAAUGCCACCGUCUCGUCACCCUUCUAAAGAUUUGUACCGAGCACAAAAUUUGCUACGUCGAAUAGGGAUGGUGUCUGUUUAGCACAAUCUUCUACAGGAAUUUUGAUUCUGGUUUGUAGGUCAGCAAUGCUUUUCAAAUCAAGGUUGUAUGGCUCUAGCUUCUGUUUGUCCCCUUCGAUGGCUGCCCCACAGAAGUAUACGUCCUCCCGAGACAAGAAAUCGUGAAGCUCACCUGGUAUGGAGGGCGAGUGUAUGAUGUGGUACACCAAAACAUCAUCUUCGAGGCACAGCUGAAGGACGACGGCGCGCUGGAUCUUCCCAGGGGCACGCUCCAUGUACUCUGCGUCGAGACCGAUGACCCUCGUCUCUACCUUUUUGAGGGAGUUGGAUACAUUGUUGAUCCACUGCCGAACAACCCUUGGGUGGACGGUGACGGUGGCAAUGAUGCGCAUCGAGCCUUCGACGAGGACAUGUUGGACGCUAAAAACCUGCAUCUCGAUCUCUUUUGCCAUUUGGAACCGCUGGAACGGAGGGCUAUGGUUUGGAGAAUUAGGAUUAGAUGGCUAGUCUAACUAAAGUAGUAGAUGAUUAUUUAAAGAGGUUAGAACAAUGAGAACGUAGUGGGGUUUGGAUGCAAAUGAAGACAAAGGGGAGGUGAAGAAGCCGAGGCGAAUCGGUUCCCGAUGGAGAAGUAAAUGGGAGAAGUGGCGUGCAGGCAGUUGAUUAGACGGCUAGGUAGACUAAACGAAAAGGCUAUGCGGGUAGACUGAGGAGUCAUACCUGUUCGUGUACGUGCCCAUCCUUCCUUAUAGGUGGGACCUAUGCAAACAGAUAAAAAAAUGUGUCGUAGCUUUUUUUUUUGAGCCCGUGAGUGGGAGACACGACAUUCUGUGGUUAAGGAAUACUCCCUCCGUUUAGGUGAGUAUAAGUCACCUUAUGAAAAUCAGGUUUUCCCAAAACCUUUAGGCGUGGAGCAUUAACUUCCUGCUCGAUCCCCUCCCAGCCUCGUUAGCCAGCGUUCUCUUCCUCUGCUGCCGCGUUCUACCUUUCCAUUUUUUCCUCUUCUCAAGUGUGGAACGAUCUGCAUGCCGUCCUUGAUGCACCAGAACGACCACUCCAUGCAUCGCGAUAGGGCGUUGAUUGGGCAUGCAUGAGAAUUUGGUUCUGCUCGCAAUAUGGAUGAUACCUGAACGAUGAAGUGAACAGGCAUGCUAGCACGGGAGACCUAUUUCCGCUAUACAAUACUGGAGUACUCAUGUUCCUACUAGUAGUAGUAGUAGUAGUACAACUGUGGUACACUUGAUGGUCAAAAUACUAUUCAUCCGGUCCUCACAGUGAAGUGACAACACCCUGCGCCUUACACUAGUCCAGGCGAGGCGGCGUGUUCGGGUUACCAAAGUCAGCCUCACCCUGUGCACUGUGCAGUCUGUCACCGCUGAUGUACAGCACAUUGGCGCCUCGCCUCGUCUCCCUCUCCGCUCCCAUAGCACCACUCCAUCUCCAUCUCCUUCUCCGUCUCUGUCUCCAUCUUACUGUGCCCCCGUGUACCGUCGCCUCACUCGCCUCCCCCAGUACCACUAUUCCCUUGCUAGCCGCUCCAGCACCGACAUCCUUCUCCCCCGUAAACAAAGCCCCCUUCCAAACUCCACCAUGGCCGAACGCGAACCGUGCAACAUCCAUAUGAGCCGCGAUUGGAGCAAUCUCCCCAGUGACAUCCUCGACCUCUGUUGUUCGUGUAUGGAUAUGUUGACCGCCCUGCGGCUGGCUGCAUGCUCGAGGGACACGCACACGACCAUCGUCGAAGCGAGGCCUAAGCUUUUCAAGACACCCUGCUUGCUGCUAUCUGGUCUUGCGAGAUUGGCUCACCAUGAUACAGAGGCGUGCACGAUGCCCCUCGACUUCAAUCCGAUCUCCAUUAGCCGAAACUUCUUUGCAGGUAUGUAGUGUGUCGCCGUACAUCAUUUCCAUCGACAUCGAUCCGAUCACCAUCGCCCGAAACUUCUUGGCAGGUAUGUACUGGGUCGGCAUGAACUCCCACUGGAUGGCUGCCUUCAGAGAAGACGGUAAAAAGUUGGUGCUCGUGAACUUCCAGACCUCCCAUGAGAUUAUCCUUCCUCCAUUGGAUUAUAUAGAGUAUUACCAUCGCGGUCCAAGUCAUCUAGAUUACUACGUCAGUUGGAUGGACCUUGUUUUGCAGAAGAUUGUAAUCUGCCAAGUACCCACACGAGAUGCGAAUUAUGCAGACUUCAAGCUAAUUGCCUUGUUCGACCGUGGACUCGCCUAUCUUUACGCCGGUGCCUUUUUUAGCUGGAGACAACUCGGCUCGCAAUGGAUCAUCGUCAAAGCUGAUACACACUUAUGUGAUGCUAUUGAACACAAUGGCAUCAUCUACGCGAUCGACAAAGUAGAUGGCACCACGUAUUGCUGGGACGACGCGUGUAAGUUGUUUCCGUCUCAUGUUAAUGAUGACGCCAUGACAUUGUUUGAACUUUUUUGAUGAUUGGCAUAUCCCUGUUUGAGCAGAAUUUGAGUAGAACUAUGGCAAUAUAUUAGAGACGCCGUAAAUCAGCUAUAUUUGGAAUGAGUUAAUUGAUGCUAUUGUGACCAUGUCAUUACAGCCAAUUUGUACCCUGAAUAAUGAAACGGUUAGGAAUAUAUGGAUAUUAUCCUUAUUUUACAGUAAUCUAUAUACUAGUACUAAAUAUGAGUGUGCAUCAAUGGCCAUGUUAGUAUCCUCAUUUUCAUGAUGUAGAAACAUGCACCACACUAUUGGUUUCAUCUAACCAUACAUUAGGGAAGUAAAUAUGCAUAUGGAGAACUCUAUAUUUGGAAGUAGUGAAAUCCUGCAAUGCUUACCAUGUGUACAUACCUAUAUUCGCCCUUCAGCAAUCAAUGACUAGAAUAAUAUCCUCACAAAUUUUUUGCCCACAGAACACGAGUAUAUAACAAUGCAUGGUCUGUUAGUUACCUUGAAGAAUUUGUUUGUGAGGACAGAACAUGAUUACAUAACAUGCAUGACAUGGUAGUUUCCUAUGAAGAAUCGAUUGAGAGAUAACAUGAGUAUAACCAUGCAUGGCACUUCUAUAUUUUCGAACCCAGUAUACAUUUCCCUGUAUUUUCCUCCCAGUUCCAAUAGGGACAUAUCAAUGCGGUUUCUUGCAUUAUCCUACUACUCUGAACAAUGCUGAUCUUACAUUAACAAUGCUUGUCCUUUUUGAUAUGAUGCAGUGUCCCUACAGUUACUGCCCCUUGUAAUUACACCACCUUUGCCAAAAACAGGGAAGCACAACUGGUUCCUCGCUCGAUCAGACGACGGCAAAAGACUGAUGAUCAUUCGGACACAUGAGCCGGAAAAGUUAUAUUGCAAAAAAAACAUUGUAUACAAGCAUCAUGUAAUACGUGAGUAUCCGGACAGUGGUUGUUAUGUCUAUGAGCAGGAUACCAGCUUGUUGGGGCCUUUAGGAUUUUUUAGUUGGAGGCGAGUAAAUAGCCUUGGUUCACACUCUCUGUUUCUCGGACUCAAUUAUCCGAUUAACCAGGAGAUCACCGUUGGCAAGGACCUUGAUGGCAGAGAGGCUCUGUUUGCUAUGGAAAACUGUGUCUACACGGCGAGCCCUAGGAGUUCGGGAGCAUACUCCCCUGAUUGUCAACGAUACAGCCUGCAGCCAAAAGAAGGUGAGAAUGACAAAGGCAUCCGGAUUAACUUUGAUCCUUGGAUGUCUCAAUUACGACAGGCAGUGAUGUGGUUCAAGCCUUCAGGUUGAUAGGUAAUUGGGAUGUUGCAUCGAAAGGGUGGAGUACUGGUGUCUCCGGAUCACUGGUCGCUGAAGCGGGGCUGCAAAUUAUGAUGGUGUUGGAUCAUCUCUUCGAAUGACUUUGUUGUCUUUGCUGCUGGUUCUGGAUGGGUAGUUCUUUCUUUUGUUAUGCAUAUUCCUUGUCAUUUGGUAAUCCUCGUCUAUGUCACUCUUUCUAUGUAAUAGUUGCUUCUGUUUAGAAUGUCAUUCUCAUCUAGAUCAUGAGAGUCUGAGCGCUGCAGAUGGGUACUUUUGGUGGUGUAGCAAGACUUCUUAAGAACUAUCAUGUCUUGCUGUUUAUGUCAGUAGUAGUCACUAGUCAGUGUUUGAAUGUUGUAUAUAUCGUUGUUUCGAACGGUUUAUUGUCUCGAACUAUUGGUGGGCUAAAUGAGGGCAUCACCAUUCUCCAGUGUUCAGAGUAUAUCUCCUUUUUUCAAGUUAUAUAAUUUGAGCUCACUGUCUUUUCGAUGAUGUACACUUGUUUGGGCCAGUGAGGUUGCGUUGAAUAUGGGCCGAGUAGUAACGCAAUGCCAAACAGGUCAAUUAUGACUCUCGGGCCCGGCUCUCAAAAGAUCCUGAAAAAAGGCCGGGCUCUCCAAAAAAGAAAGAAUAAGGACUCUUAGGCCGACGUGUGGGCGCCACCGGUGUUUUCGUGCCCUUGCGCGCCGAGAGCAUAUUGGCGCGUGCUCGAAAUUCAUGCUAGCUUUUCAUCCCCAGUCUACCGCCCCUCCCCCACCUCUGGAAUCUCGAUUCCUACUCCGGUUCCCCCAAGUCCCCCUCAUGUACUCCCUGUACUCAAGCGCACUAUCAUGUCGCCGGUCAACACGGAUCUCCGAGCCGGAGAUCCUGAGGUCCGUCCUGCCUUCGGUCACUGCGUGCUGUUGCUCAACAGUGGCAUGGCAGCGCUUGACGACCAGUUUGUCGGCAAAGUGCUGAUGGUAACCAUCAACAGCGACCGGCCUCCCGUCUUGCCGGAUGACCUUGUCAAAGCUCUUGGCAUUGCCCACAGCAUCCAAAUAAGUGACUUGCUCGUCGAAGUCUGUCUGCCACCGGCUGAUUUCUUCGUCAGGUUCCGAACAACUUUCAACUACAGUCGUGUGUUCGAAUCUUCCCGGCGUUUGUUCUGCGAUGGCGCGCUGGUGAGCUUUGAUCGGUGGCACCCAGGAUGGGGCUCGGUGCCCUCUGAGCUUGAGUUUUUAACAAAGCUUACCUUCCACGGCAUGCCUCGACGUGCUUGGAACAACGAGUCCAUGAACGAGCUUAUCAACGACCUUGGAGGUGAGCUCGUAAGUAUGUUUGUUCCUCCAGACAGCUGGGCUCUGACGGUUAUGGCAUGGAUGAAGAAGCCGUCCACCAUACCGAAGGUGAUUGGUGUUGAGAUACCGGUGCAGGAACUGGGGUUGUACUAUUUGUCGCCACCAAGGCCGCCGCGGACCACGUUAGGGACGUACCUUUAUCGAGUGUUCGUGCAUGUCGAAGAAGUGGUCAAUCCAUCAAUCGAAGUCCUGCCGCCCCCGCUGGUGCCAGGGUCCGUCGACGACGUCCAUUACAGGAGUCAACGUCAGACUUUCCCCGUGUUGCUCGGAACGAUGGAUGGCACAGGGCCUACUCCAUCACGCGGCGGAGGCCACUGCUUCUUUGGGAGAAGAGGCAGGGCUGGCUGCCUGGAUGUGCUCUAAUUUGAGGUAACAACUGAAUCUUGUCACAUAGUACUAGUUAAAUCCGAGCUAUGGGUCUGAAGCACUGAUAUGCCAGUACAUUUGAUUGUGACCUGUUCUAAUUUUGUACCUGAACUUUUUUAGAAAGGGCUAUACGUCAACUUAAUGUGCUAGCAGAACUUAUUGUGUUGUCUGUUUGUUUUCUUUGCACAACAUUCAAGAUAUUUCCCCGUCAUUUAUAAAGACGAUGAACCGUUAUGUACGACUUCGUUGGUUUCAACAUAGCCCUUCCCUUAGCGAUCCACUGCUUCCAUCCUAAUUGUGCCGCCUGCGUGAAAUUUUUGUAUGUAAGUUCAGUGUGCUAUGAUGUUCUAUAUGAUUGUGUCAACUAUAUAAGUUUUUACUGAGCAUCAGCAAUGCAUAUGGCUGAAAGAUGUAUUUACGAGCAUCGAUCGAUGGGUCUCUCUCUCUCUCUCUCACACACACACACACACACACACACACACACGCACGCACACACACAUGCGCGCACACGCACAAGUGGGACCCGUUGAAUUAUUUAUUUGCUUGUGACAACUUUUAAUUAGGUUCCAUUGUAAUCUAACUUUUUUCUUAAGUUAUUAGUUGAGCUCAGUGACUUCAAAAAGUUGUACAGAAGCCUUGUUAGGGCCUUUCCGGCGUCCCUGAAUGUGGCUGAGUAACCAUGUUAGGUUGUACUAUACUACACAUGCCUUUUUUUCAACAUCAGCAAUGCAACUGGGCCAACAGUUGUACACAAUAUCCGGGUCAACUUGUUAUCCGACCUGCUGGGCUGCAAAGUUUCCUAGGAGGUAUGCAUUAGGCUUAACAAGAAAAUGGACUUCAAGAAAUAAUAAAUGGGAUGUAAUUAUAAUAACUAGGCAAUUACUAUGCACCAAACACGUAAUUAGUUUGAAAAAUAUAUUAUUUUUGGAAUUUGGAAAUUUUAAUUUCAUUACUUGUUGCGCGCAAUAUUUCAUUGGAUUUUAACGUGAUACAACUUUAUUUUGAAAUUAUAUUUAACCUGACUAGAAAUUUCGGAUAAAAUUAUUUCGGAUCCCAUCAAAAUGUGGGAAUUUUUUUUGAAUUCUAUUUUGAGCGGUUGUUUGAAAUUAUUAAUCAUUGUCCUACCUAGAAGUUGGGCUAUACUUUUAACAAACCCGUAAAUGGGUUGUAGUAAAUUCCAUUAAAAUUGAAAAUGGGUUGUACAUUCUUACAAAUCCCAAAUGGGCUAUAUGUUCUCUGCCAAAUCCGAGCUGUGGGCCUACUAAUUUGACGCGUACCAAGGGCUUUGUCAACUUAGUCAAUAUAAACGAUUCUAGGUGCAGUGAUCGUACGAUGUCCAUCCAACGGCCAUAGUGCUUCUUUAACCUCUGGUCUUCUUGCUCCAGCCACCCAAAGCAGCGCCGGUCCUUGAUACGUCUCCAUCGUAUCUACUUUUCCAAACACUUUUGCCCUUGUUUUGGACUCUAACUUGUAUGAUUUGAAUGGAACUAACCCGGACUGACGCUGUUUUCAGCAGAAUUGCCAUGGUGUUGUUUUUUGUGCAGAAAAUAGAAGUUCUCGGAAUGUCCUGAAACUCCACGGAACACCUUAGAAAAAAUAAAGAAAAAUCCUCGCAAAAGAUGAAGACCAGGGGGCCCACACCCUGCUCACGAGGGUGGGGGGCGCCCCCCCCCUGGUGGCCCUCCGACGCCAACUCCAACUCCAUAUAUUGGCUUUCGGGGAGAAAAAAACAGAGAGAAGAAAGCAUUGCGUUUUACGAUACGGAGCCGCCGCCAAGCCCUAAUCUCUCUUGGGAGGGCUGAUCUGGAAUCCGUUUGGGGCUCCGGAGAGGGGGAUUCAUCGCCGUCGUCAUCAUCAACCAUCCUCCAUCACCAAUGCGUGAGUAAUUGCAUCGUAGGCUUGCUGGACGGUGAUGGGUUGGAUGAGAUUUAUCAUGUAAUCGAGUUAGUUUUGUUAGGGUUUGAUCCCUAGUAUCCAUUAUGUUCUGAGAUUGAUGUUGCUAUGACUUUGCUAUGCUUAAUGCUUGUCACUAGGGCCCGAGUGCCAUGAUUUCAGAUCUGAACCUAUUAUGUUUUCAUGAAUAUAUGUGUGUUCUUGAUCAUAUCUUGCAAGUCUAUAGUCACCUACUAUGUGUUAUGAUCCGGCAACCCCGAAGUGACAAUAAUCGGGACCACUCCCGGUGAUGACCAUAGUUUGAGGAGUUCAUGUAUUCACUAUGUGCUAAUGCUUUGUUCCGGUUCUCUAUUAAAAGGAGGCCUUAAUAUCACUUAGUUUCCAAUAGGACCCCGCUGCCACGGGAGGGUAGGACAAAAGAUGUCAUGCAAGUUCUUUUCCAUAAGCACGUAUGACUAUAUACGGAAUACAUGCCUACAUUACAUUGAUGAACUGGAGCUAGUUCUGUGUCACCCUAUGUUAUGACUAUUACAUGACGAACCGCAUCCGGCAUAAUUAUCCAUCACUAAUCCGGUGCCUACGAGUUUUCCAUAUACUGAUUCUCGCUUAUUUACUUUUCCGUUGCUACUGUUACAAUCACUACAAAAUACCAAAAACAUUACUUUUGUUGUCUUUACUUUUGUUACCAUUACCACCACUAUCAUAUUACUUUGCUACUAAACACUUUGCUGCAGAUAUCAAGUUUCCAGGUGUGGUUGAAUUGACAACUCAGCUGCUAAUACUUGAGAAUAUUCUUUGGCUCCCCUUGUGUCGAAUCAAUAAAUUUGGGUUGAAUACUCUACCCUCGAAAACUUUUGCGAUCCCCUAUACUUGUGGGUUAUCAAGACCUUUUUCUGGCGCCGUUGCCGGGGAGCAUAGAUCUAUUCUUUGAGUCACUUGGGAUUUAUAUCUGCUGGACACUAUGAAGAACUUGAAAGAUGAUCGAACUACUAUUUUGCCCUCAACUACGAGGGGAGGUAAGGGACUGCCAUCUAGCCUUGCACUAGAUUCUCCUUCUGUUAUGAGUAAUUUGCGACACCUAAACCUACUACUGCUAUUGAUUCUAAUAUGUCGCAUGUUAUUGAUGAUGCCACUUCUGCUAUGCAUGAUACUUAUGAUGAAACUACUUCUAUGCUUGAUACAACUGUGCCACUUGGUGAAUUUCUUGAUGAGCAAAUUGCUAGGUCUAGAGAAAGAGAAAUUAUUGAACCUGAACACGAUGAUGCUAGUGAUGAUGAACCUAUGCCUGCUAUUCCUGAGGGUUAUCUUUUUGAUGUUGAAUCUUCAGCAGCUAUUCUUGCUUGCCAGGAUAGACGUGAACUUAAGAGGUUGCUAGUUAAAUGGAGUAAAGAAUCUUUUAGAGAUAGAAUGAGACCCGACCCUGCUUUUGCUACUUCACCUAUCUGUGUGCCUGAUCAGGAUUAUUAUGAUUUUUCUGUUGAUCCAGAUAUAGUUACUUUGGUUGAAUCUGAUCCCUUUUAUGGCUAUGAAUCUGAAACUAUUGUGGCACAUCAUACUAAGUUAAAUGAUAUAGCUUCCCUAUUUACUAAUAAUGAGAGAUCGCGCUACCUUUAUUUACUCAAAAUAUUUCCGUUCUCAUUAAAGGGUGAUGCUAAGAUAUGGUAUAAUUCUCUUGAUCCUGGUUGUGUGCAAAGUCCCCAGGAUAUGAUUUAUUACUUCUCUGCUAAAUAUUUCUCUGCUCAUAAGAAACAAGCUGCUUUGAGGGAAAUAUACAACUUUGUGCAAAUUGAAGAAGAGAGUCUCCCACAAGCUUGGGGGAGGCUUCUCAAGUUACUUAAUUCUUUGCCUGAUCAUCCUCUUAAGAAACCUGAAAUAUUUGAUAUCUUUUAUAAUGGACUAACUGAUGCUUCCAAAGAUUACCUGGAUAGUUGUGCUGGUUCUCUUUUCAGGGAAAGAACACCGGAUGACGUUGAAAUUCUAUUGAAUAAUAUGUUGGCAAAUGAAAAUAAUUGGGCACCUCCCGAGCUACCUCCUGAGCCAGUUCCUGAGCCAAUUACUGAGCCUAUUCCUAAACCAACUCCGAAGAAGAGAGGUGUUCUAUUUCUCAGUCCCGAAGAUAUGCAAGAGGCAAAGAAAUCUAUGAAAGAAAAAGGUAUUAAAGCUGAAGAUGUUAAGAAUUUACCUCCUAUUGAAGAAAUACAUGGUCUUAAUUUACCGCCUGUUGAAGAAGUAUAUGAUCUCAAUUACUUAUUUAAUGAAGAACCUCCCGAUAUCCCGACACAGGUAGUAAAGGUAAAUUCUCUCUAUAGAUAUGAUAAAGCUGAAGUCCCUCCUACUAAAAUUGCUAGUCAGAGCUUGGAUGAGUUUGAUGACUUUAUGUUUAAGAAAGAUGACUUUAAUGCUUAUUUUGGUAGACAAUUAAAACAGAAUACCUUUAUGAUUAAACGCUUGGGUGAUUAUAUGGCUGAUAUUAAAGGUGAACUUAAACUUGUUAGCAAACAUGCUUCUAUGGUUACCACUCAAGUAGAACAAGUACUUAAAGCUCAGAAAGAAGUGCUUGAUGAAAUGAAUAGUAAGAAAAAUGAUUAUGCUGUUAGAGUGGCUACUAGAACUGGUAGAAUGACUCAGGAACCUGUGUAUCCUGAAGGCCACCCUAAGAGAAUCGAGCAAGAUUCUCAGAGAAACAAUAUUGAUGUACCUAGUUCUUCUAAGAGGAAGAAAAAGAAAAAUGAUAGGACUUUGCAAACUUCUAGUGAACCUAUUGUUGAACCACCUGAGAAUCCAAAUGGUAUCUCUAUUUUUGAUGCUGAAACUCAAUCAGGUGAUGAACCUGAACCUAGUGAUAAUGUUAAUGAUAAUGUUCAUGUUGAUGCUCAACCUAGUAAUGACAAUUGUCACGCCCAAUAUGCGACCCUAUCCAAAAGGAACUCGAAGGUCCCACCAAGGAUAGACCCGCAUAUUGAAACGCUUUUGCAAGGUGGAUAUCAUUACAUCAACAUUACAUAAUAGAUGGGGAUACAUACACGAGGCAUACAAUGCCACAUGAAUACAACAUCACAAUACAAAAGAGCAUCAUCCGACUACGGAUGAAACACAAACAGAAACUCACACAACAUCCACCCUGCUAGCCCAGGCUGCCGACCUGGAACCUAUCCCUGAUCGAAGAAGAAGCAGAAGAAGAACUCCAAAACAAGCAAACAUCACUCUCGCGUCAUGAUCAUCGCACAACCUGUACCUGCAACUGUUGUGGUAGUAAUCUGUGAGCCACGAGGACUCAGCAAUCCCAUUACCAUGGGUAUCAAGACUAGCAAAGCUUAAAGGGAAAGGAAGGGGUAAAGUGGUGAGGCUGCAGCAGUGACUAAGCAUAUAUGGUGGCUAACAUACGCAAAUAAGAGCGAGAAGAGAGCAAGCGGAACGGUCUUGAAGCUAGCAAUGAUCAAGAAGUGAUCCUGAACUCCUACUUACGUCAAACAUAACCCAUAAACCGUGUUCACUUCCCGGACUCCACCGAUAAGAGACCAUCACGGCUACACACGCGGUUGAUGCGUUUUAAUUCGGAUCUGGUGUCAAGUUAUCUACAACUGGACAUUAACAAAUUCCCAUAUGCCUAUAACCGCAGGCACGGCUUUCGAAAGAUUAUACCCUGCAGGGGUGUCCCAACUUAGCCCAUGACAAGCUCUCGCGAUCAAUGAAGGAUAUACCUUCUCCCAGGAAGACCCGAUCAGACUUGGAAUCCCGGUUUACAAGACAUUUCGACAAUGGUAAAACAAGACCAGCAAGACCGCCCGAUGCACCGAGAAUCCCGAUAGGAGCUGCACAUAUCUCGUUCUCAGGGCAACACCGGAUGAGACAUGCUACGAGUAAAACCAGACUUCGAGUUUCCCCAAGGUGGCCCCGCAGGCGGCUCGGUUCGGACCAACACUUAGACAAGCACUGGCCCGGGGGGGGCUAAAAUAAAGAUGACCCUCGGGUUGGCCAACCCAAGGGAAAGGUAUAGGUGAUGGUGAGGCAAAUGGUAAAAUCAAGGUUGGGCCUUGCUGGAGGAGUUUUAUUCAAAGCGAACUAUCAAGGGGGUCCCAUAAAUCACCCGACCGCGUAAGGAACGCAAAAUCCGGGAACAUAACACCGGUAUGACGGAAACUAGGGCGGCAAGAGUGGAACAAAACACCAGGCAAAAGGCCGAGUCUUCCACCCUUUACCAAGUAUAUUGAUGCAUUAAUAAUAUAAGAGAUAUUGUGAUAUCCCAACCAAAAUCCUGUCCACCAUGGAGCAAUCUUCAACUUCACCUGCAACUAGCAACGCUAUAAGAGGGCUGAGCAAAGCGGUAACAUAGCCAAACAACGGUUUGCAUAGGAAAGGUGUCAAAGGUUAGAGGUUCAUGGCAAUAUGGGAGGGCUUGAUAAACAUGUGAUAGGUAGCGCAGCAAAGCGAUAGAACGAAGCAACUAGCAUAGCAAUGAUAGUAGUGAGAUCCAGGGUAGCGGUCAUCUUGCCUGAAAUCCCGCAAGGAAGAAGAACGAGACCAUGAAGAAGACGAACGGAUGAAGCCGAACCAAGCGUAGACGAACGAAUCCUCACGACCGCAACGAAACAGGAACUAUCAAAAAGAAGCACACAACAUAGUAAACACACCACACAUAGACAAGACAUGAUGCACAACAAGCAUAAUGCAAGACAAGACUACAUUAAGCUACUCAUGGCAAGAGAUGAUGCAAACAAGAGCAACACAUCAAGGCAAGUUUAAAUGAGGCCGGGAACAACAUAUAACAAUUCCGGUAAGUCCUCAUAUGCAAAUUUCGAAGUUGGUCCAGAUCUGAAUAAACCUUAUGUUCAAGUUGUUAAACAGCAAGUUAAGAUGCACAAGGAUGAUCUACACGAGAUUCUAGUCAAGUUACAUAUCAAGUUCAUUUAGUUCGGAGCUACGGCCUAGAAGAUAUGAGCAAAACAAGUUAAACAUGGCAUUGAUGCAAAAUGUAUUCAAACAUCAAGCAAAGACACCAAAACAAGGAUGCAACAUGAUAAUAUGAAACUACAUGCAAUUCUAAGCAAGUUUCAUAUAGAGCACACUCAAAACGGAGCAACGGUUCAACUCAUACACGCUAUACAAGUUUAAAGGACAAGCUGUCCAAAACAGCAACUAGGCAUAUUGCAAGCAUCAAAACAACAUGCUACAGUACCACAAUAUGAAAACAAAAGGCAUGGACAUGAUGUACAGGUAAAGCAUUACAAAACAUGAACACUGAGCUAUCUCCAGAAACUACUAGAACAUGCUCAAACACACAUGGCAAGAUCGCAACUAAUAACAAUUCAGACUUCGUAGAAAAUAACAUCAGGUUGCAAUGUUCAGAGCAAGUUAUCAACAUGCUACAGGAACUUAUCAUGGCAAACAAAGGCAUGACAUGAAUCUACUAAAUGCAUAGAUCAAAAGUCCCUUACUGACCAUGAGCCAAAAAGGAUCAAAAAAUAUGAUGGCACCCAUGUAAACAUAGCAAGUUAUAUUACAGAUUCAAACAUGGCAGGAACAGAAUUAUGAAGGCAUGUUGGUGAGCUUGUGCAACUCACUACAGAGCAAUACAUGGCAUGGCAGGGCAACCAACAGUAAGAAGACAUAUUUGUGAAGGUAAGCAUGGCAAGAGCAAGUCCAUAGGGUGCAUGGAACACUAGGAAAACACAUGGCAACAACUGAACUUAAUGUUAACAGGCUAACAGCAACAUUAUCAAGCAACUUUGGAGCAAGUUACAGCAAGCUAUAAAUGCAACCAGGGACAUGGAUGGAUUGAGCAUGACAUGUAGAAAAAAACAUAUUUAGUGAACAUAUCUAGAUUAUGCACAGAAUGAUUAGUAGCAACAUGUUUACAUAGCAUCACGAAAUAACAGAUUCAGCCUAGCAAAACAGCAACAGCAAGUACACUACUUAACAAGCUCGAUUCACUCACCACAAGUCAUUGAAUGACAAGAUAAGCAUAGCAUCAUCAAGAAGACAUGUUUAUGAAACAAACCAAGGCAAGAACAAGUUCAUAGCACGCACGGAUCAACUACAACAACCUUGGCAAAAUUGAAUAACAUGUAAACAAUCUGCGAGGAAACAUUUUGAAGCAAAAAUAGAGCACGAAAAUGACAUGCUAGACUACUCAAUAAUUGCAACCAGGGGCAUGAAUGGAUAGAAAAUAACCAUAUGUUCAAAAUACCCUUACUGAAGUAUCUCAAAAUAUGCAUGGAUCUCUCUGUAGCAUCAAGUUUACAUGGCAUCAAAAUAACAGCAGAACAGGGACUAAAAUCAGCAACAUCACGAUGCCUAGUUUGCAUGCUUGUGCUAGUCACCACAUUGAUCACAAAAAUACAUGGUAAGCACCUCUGUAAAGAAGACAUGGCAUAAUUCAAAACACAUGUAGACAUCAACCUCAUAGGAUGCACACAUCAAUCAUGGAAAAAAUGACAAAAGAGCUCGUUUUGUUAACAGACAGCAGAAAACAUCAUGAAGCACUCUUGCAACAAUGAUUCAGGCAUCUAGAUGACCUCAAAUGAAAAUGACGCAAUGGAAUGAAAUGAAGUACUCGUUGAGGCGAACAAUUUGACAUAUUACACACACAAAACGGAGCUACGGAUGCAGAGUUACGAUGUGAUGAACAUGUCAUGAAAAUGUCUAAAUAUUUCGGUGACUAGCCGUUUUUAGGAAAAAACAGAGUGAGCGCUAGAUACUAAAUGUGGCCGAGGCGGGUUUUAGGCGGGGCUCACCAUGGGCUUUGGCCCAAGACAGAGAGGAGACAGGCCAGGGCGCGCUGGGCCAGAGCUGGGCCUCGGCGAGGUCGUGGGCCCAUGUGGCCGGCGGCCUGUCGUCGUUCUCCUCGUGCCUGAGGCGCACGAGCAAGAAGCAGGGGGUGGCGACACUGCAGGGAGGGCCGGCGAGGAGGUCGGGACGAUGCGGGGACGGGAAGAUCCGGCCGGCGAGUCGCCGGAUCCGGUGGUGGCGACGCGGUGACGAGCUCGGGCGGUGGAGGCACCCUGCGGGAGAGAGAGAGAGAGAGGCAACCAUGAGUGAGAGGGAGAAGAAAGGAGAAGGAAGGAGAGGGCAGCGGGGCACUCAUCUACGGCGGCGCGGGACGAGGAGAUGCCGGCGGGGCAGGUCGCCGGCGAGGCGGCGGCCUCCGGCAGCUUGAGCAAGGCUCGGGCGGAUGGGAGGAGCCACGGGGCUCGGGCGCGAGCGUGGGCUGCGGCAGGCCCAGAUCCGGCCCGGGGCGGGCCGGUUGCGGGCUUCCGUGGGCCGCGGCGGCUGGGAGGCGCGGGGUGAGGUGGCGAUGCCACAUGGCGGCGGGGCAGUGGCUGGCGGGCGCGAGGAGGCGACAUGGCACGUGCGGAUUGGUCCGGGCGCACCGGCGGCGACGCCAAGUGGCGAAGGGCGGCUGGGGAGGCGCGGAUUUCGAGGAGGAAGGAGGUGGCUGUGGCAGGAGGUAGGGGAAGAGGUCUAGGUUACCCAAAAUAGACUAGGGGUGUCCAUAUAUAGCAAAAUGGUUAGGUUAGGGGGGUUUGGGGGCGUUUUGGAGCCUCUGAUCGUAAUCCGACGGAUCUGAUCACGAGGGGGUUUGGCAGGCCUAGGUGGGCUAUGAAGAGAGGUUGGGCUGAGUGGAGAGAAGAGAGAGAGAGGCCCGGCGGCAGUUUCGAAGACCGAAACAUCUGACGAAGGUACCGGCAACGGUACCGCUAUAUUUAACGGUUGGGCUAACAAAUGCACUCCGAAUGCGAUGAAACUUGGCAGGCGCUCUGUCUACACUAUAAUAAGACCGCACGACAAGUUGCAACCCAUUCCGAGAACAUUUUUAUGCCACUUAUAAAAUAAUAUUUCGGAGGUGCCGCGGGCGCGUGCGAGUGUGGUCUGGACUCCAAACGGACAACGGAGAGAAUCGGGAGGACCCGAACAGAUGCAAGUUUUGAAAAACAUGCAGAUGCAAUGCAGAUGAUGACAUGGCAAAAUGCAACACGCAAGCAAAUGACAUGGCAACGACGGCGAAUAACUGGCGGACACCUGGCGCAUCGAAACCGGGGCGUUACAACACUCCUCCACUAACAAGAGAUCUCGUCCCGAGAUCUUAGGACCGAGACGGAAGAGAAAAAGGGAUGAGGUGAAGCAAUAACUCAAGAGAAGAAGCAAAUAAUCGACAGCACUCGAGAAGAAGAGAGGAACGACGAGAAUGACGAGAAUCAAAAGCUCACGGAAUCAGAUAGACUAUGAAACCACUCCGGUUAAAACGAGAUAAGAAACGAAUAAGACUGAAAGGAUUUAGGUAGCACUCCGGUUAAACAUGGAAAGAAAAGAACAAGAACUUUACCCAAUGAGAUGGCACUUGACGAGAUGACCAACGCAAUGCCUCCGGAAGACUUGAAAGAAUUGAAUGAAAAGAACUUAGAAGGAAGGAUUGAAUGGAGUUGUUGAGAAAAUCAACAACGAAAAGAAUAAGUUUGUUGUGGACUUAUGGAAAACCUCUCAAAAAUUAUGAGGUGAUAACCUACCACAAAUAGAAAAGAUUAAAUAGCUGGGGAGAACGAAGAAAUGCAAAACUCCACUUCAAAAGGAUAUGGAUGAUUAAUUGCACUUCAAGAUGCAAGAAGAAAAGAUAUCUGAAUUCCACCAACAAAAUCUUGAUGUACUCUUGAAGAAUGAAUUAAAUCGUGACGAACCACCAUGAAGAACUCCGGUGACAAAAGGAUGACGAGAUAAAAUGAAAGAUGAAAGGAUAAGAUUAAGCCUUGGGAUGAUUUAGAUGGAGGUUCCGACGAAAUGACUGAGGAAAUUGAACUCCGGAAAAGAAAAGAUGAAGACACUUGGAACUAGAAUUUAUUCAUUAAGAACAAACUCCGAAGGAAAGGAUUACUCACUUGGAUGAAAUAAGAAUAAGAUUUAUUGUAUGCUUAUCCUCCACCAAUUUAAAUUGAUGACUAACAAUGGAUUUCGCAUACUACUUAUUCUUCUUGAAAAAGGAUUGAGAAGUGACAUAUCGCAAACUUGAGAAGGUCUUCAUUAACCACCGGUAGGAUUGGGAAGAACGAAAGAAUUAAAAUGAUAAUCAAAGAAAAAGAAUCUUGAACGAACCACCGUAAAAAUUCGGAAAAGAUUGAAGAAAGAGAGUGAAUCACCGGGAAGAAACAAUAUGUUUGAGGGGGAUUUAGAUGCAAAAGAACAAAUAGAUCAUGAGCUGAUAAAGAAUACUUGAACGAAGCACCGGGAUAAAUAGAGAACGAUAGCUAGAAUGAUGGCCUCUGGAUGAAAAGAAAUGGAAAAAACAACUCCUGACAUACUCCGGAUGGUUAAGAAAAGAAUAUCUGACAAAUGGAAUAAUCCCCGAGGAUAACAUGAAGCUAGAACCACGAAACUUCGAGAGAACGGACACGGUUUAAGAGGAACUCUUCUUCGGUCUUCAAAAGACGACGGGAAACACCACCAAAAUUAUUGAGAUACUCCGGGAGAAUGAAAAAGAGGAAGGGUUGAACCAACAAUGAAAAGAGUUUGAAAACGAUCUUGGAGAAGGCAUCUGACUGAUGAAAUUCAUUCUUAUGUCACACUUUGAAAAGAAUUGAGAAUAACUCUGAGGGAAUUAGAAGAGUCAGGUAAGAUCCUGGGAAAAGACCCGUGGGUUAGGGCCCACUAAAAUAGAACACCGUUGGAAAGGGAUGUUGAACAGAUAGGUGAAGCACUGGAAUGAUCGAAAUAUUUGACUGAGGUGACAACCUUGAAUUAAUUGGAACACAGACGAAUCUCGUGAGAUGUCUUGAGCACUCCGGAAGGAUAAACUGGCGAGAGGCGAACGAGCAAGCAGAACACUAGAUCCAAAUAAAAGAAUAUGAUCAACCUCAAAAACUUGAAUUGGGUCCACCAGAAAAGAGAUGAAGAAUGUCGAACGAAACGAGAAUUCACCGGUUGAAAUAAUUGACGAAAGACUGAAGGGUUCUGCACGAAUGAAAUAGAUUGUCGAGAGAGACUCAGACUCCGGGAAGAAGAGAGUGGGAGGGCGGGAAAACAAAAUCAACUUGGAAGGGGAAAUCGACGAAUAUCUUGAAGAGAAAACACCGGUUGAAAACAUUGAGGAGAGAGAGAAAAAACUUCACACGAGUAGGAUGGAUACUCGAUUACAGACUCUGGUUCCGAGAAGAAGAAGGUGUGGGCGGGUGGGAAAAGAAAACAACUGAGGAUUGAACUCAAAGAUGAAGAGGCUUGAGUCAACUUGACAUGAAAUGCACCGGAUGAAAAGAGCUGAGAACCAACGAUCGGAAAACCAACUGCAUGAUCCUAAGGAAAAAUUUGAAGGGGAAGAGGAGUAGUUCAAAACACCUACGUCAAGAUUCCUCACCAGAGCGACGAAGGGGGCUGAGGAGUAAAAAGAAUUCCUACUCUCCGAUAUAACUAGACUUCGAAAAUAGUUUUCUUCUAGACUCAACAACGGCCAAACUACACGAUCAAUCAAGGGGGCUCCUAGGGUCGGUCGAGGCUCCGAUACCAACUUGUCACGCCCAAUAUGCGACCCUAUCCAAAAGGAACUCGAAGGUCCCACCAAGGAUAGACCCGCAUAUUGAAACGCUUUUGCAAGGUGGAUAUCAUUACAUCAACAUUACAUAAUAGAUGGGGAUACAUACACGAGGCAUACAAUGCCACACGAAUACAGCAUCACAAUACAAAAGAGCAUCAUCCGACUAUGGAUGAAACACAAACAGAAACUCACACGACAUCCACCCUGCUAGCCCAGGCUGCCGACCUGGAACCUAUCCCUGAUCGAAGAAGAAGCAGAAGAAGAACUCCAAAACAAGCAAACAUCGCUCUCGCAUCAUGAUCCUCGCACAACCUGUACCUGCAACUGUUGUGGUAGUAAUCUGUGAGCCACAAGGACUCAGCAAUCCCAUUACCAUGGGUAUCAAGACUAGCAAAGCUUAAAGGGAAAGGAAGGGGUAAAAUGGUGAGGCUGCAGCAGCGACUAAGCAUAUAUGGUGGCUAACAUACGCAAAUAAGAGCGAGAAGAGAGCAAGUGGAACGGUCGUGAAGCUAGCAAUGAUCAAGAAGUGAUCCUGAACUCCUACUUACGUCAAACAUAACCCAUAAACCGUGUUCACUUCCCGGACUCCGCCGAGAAGAGACCAUCACGGCUACACACGCGGUUGAUGCGUUUUAAUUCGGAUCUGGUGUCAAGUUAUCUACAACUGGACAUUAACAAAUUCCUAUCUGCCUAUAACCGCAGGCACGACUUUCGAAAGAUUAUACCCUACAGGGGUGUCCCAACUUAGCCCAUGACAAGCUCUCGCGAUCAAUGAAGGAUAUACCUUCUCCCAGGAAGACCCGAUCAGACUCGGAAUCCCGGUUUACAAGACAUUUCGACAAUGGUAAAACAAGACCAGCAAGACCGCCUGAUGCGCCGACAAUCCCGAUAGGAGCUGCACAUAUCUCGUUCUUAGGGCAACACUGGAUGAGACAGGCUACGAGUAAAACCAGACUUCGAGUUUCCCCGAGGUGGCCCUGCAGGCGGCUCGGUUCGGACCAACACUUAGACAAGCACUGGCCCGAGGAGGGCUAAAAUAAAGAUGACCCUCGGGUUGGCCGACCCAAGGGAAAGGUAUAGGUGACGGUGAGGCAAAUGGUAAAACCAAGGUUGGGCCUUGCUGGAGGAGUUUUAUUCAAAGCGAACUGUCAAGGGGGUCCCAUAAAUCACCCGACCGCGUAAGGAACGCAAAAUCCGGGAACAUAACACCGGUAUGACGAAAACUAGGGCAGCAAGAGUGGAACAAAACACCAGGCAAAAGGCCGAGUCUUCCACCCUUUACCAAGUAUAUAGAUGCAUUAAUAAUAUAAGAGAUAUUGUGAUAUCCCAACCAAAAUCCUAUCCACCAUGGAGCAAUCUUCAACUUCACCUGCAACUAGCAACGCUAUAAGAGGGCUGAGCAAAGCGGUAACAUAGCCAAACAACGGUUUGCAUAGGAAAGGUGUCAAAGGUUAGAGGUUCAUGGCAAUAUGGGAGCGCUUGAUAAACAUGUGAUAGGUAGCGCAGCAAAGCGAUAGAACGAAGCAACUAGCAUAGCAAUGAUAGUAGUGAGAUCUAGGGUAGCGGUCAUCUUGCCUGAAAUCCCGCAAGGAAGAAGAACGAGACCAUGAAGAAGACGAACGGAUGAAGCCGAACCAAGCGUAGACGAACGAAUCCUCACGAUCGCAACGAAACAGGAACUAUCAAAAAGAAGCACACAACAUAGUAAACACACCACACAUAGACAAGACAUGAUGCACAACAAGCAUGAUGCAAGACAAGACUACAUGAAGCUACUCAUGGCAAGAGAUGAUGCAAACAAGAGCAACACAUCAAGGCAAGUUUAAAUGAGGCCGGGAACAACAUAUAACAAUUCCGGUAAGUCCUCAUAUGCAAAUUUCGAAGUUGGUCCAGAUCUGAAUAAACCUUAUGUUCAAGUUGUUAAACAGCAAGUUAAGAUGCACAAGGAUGAUCUACACGCGAUUCUAGUCAAGUUACAUAUGAAGUUCAUUUAGUUCAGAGCUACGGCCUAGAAGAUAUGAGCAAAACAAGUUAAACAUGGCAUUGAUGCAAAAUGCAUUCAAACAUCAAGCAAACACACCAAAACAAGGAUGCAACAUGAUAAUAUGAAACUACAUGAAAUUCUAAGCAAGUUUUAUGUAGAUCACACUCAAAACGGAGCAACGGUUCAACACAUACACGCUAUACAAGUUUAAAGGACAAGCUAUCCAAAACAGCAACUAGGCAUAUUGCAAGCAUCAAAACAACAUGCUACAGUACCACAAUAUGAAAACAAAAGGCAUGAACAUGAUGUAUAGGUAAAGCAUUAUAAAACAUGAACACUGAGCUAUCUCCAGAAACUACUAGAACAUGCGCAAACACACAUGGCAAGAUCGCAACUAAUAACAAUUCAGACUUCGCAGAAAAUAACAUCAGGUUGCAAUGUUCAGAGCAAGUUAUCAACAUGCUACAGGAACUUAUCAUGGCAAACAAAGGCAUUACAUGAAUCUACUAAAUGCAUAGAUUCAAAGUCCCUUACUGACCAUGAGCCAAAAAGGAUCAGAAAAUAUGAUGGCACCCAUGCAAACAUAGCAAGUUAUAUUACAGAUUCAAACAUGGCAGGAACAAAAUUAUGAAGGCAUGUUGGUGAGCUUGUGCAUCUCACUACAGAGCAAUACAUGGCAUGGCAGGGCAACCAACUGUAAGAAGACAUAUUUGUGAAGCUAAGCAUGGCAAGAGCAAGUCCAUAGGGUGCAUGGAACACUAGGAAAACACAUGGCAACAACUGAACUUAAUGUUAACAGGCUGACAACAACAUUAUCAAGCAACUUUGGAGCCAGUUUACAACAAGUUACAACAAGCUAUAAAUGCAACCAGGGGCACGGAUGGAUAGAGCAUGACAUGUAGAACAAAACAUAUUUAGUGAACAUCUCCAAAUUAUGCAUAGAAUGAUUAGUAGCAACAUGUUUACAUAGCAUCACGAAAUAACAGAUUCAGCCUAGCAAAACAGCAACAACAAGUACACUACUUAACAAGCUCGAUUCACUCACCACAAGUCAUUGCAUGACAAGAUAAACAUAGCAUCAUCAAGAAGACAUGUUUAUGAAACAAACCAUGGCAAGAACAAGUUCAUAGCAUGCACGGAUCAACUACAACAACCUUGGCAAAAUUGAAUAUGUAAACAAUCUGCCAGGAAACAUUUUGAAGCAAAAGUAGAGCACGAAAAUGACAUGCUAGACUACUCCAUAAUUGCAACCAGGGGCAUGAAUGGAUAGACAAUAACCAUAUGUUCAAAACACCCUUACUGAAGUAUCUCAAAAUAUGCAUGGAUCUCUCUGUAGCAUCAAGUUUACAUGGCAUCAAAAUAACAACAGAACAGGGACUAAAAUCAGCAACAUCACGAUGCCUAGUUUGCAUGCUUGUGCUAGUCACCACAUUGAUCACAAAAAUACAUGGUAAGCACCUCUGUAAAGAAGAAAUGGCAUAGUUCAAAACACAUGUAGACAUCAACCUCAUAGGAUGCACACAUCAAUCAUGGCAAAAAUGACAAAUGAGCUUGUUCUGUUAACAGACAACAGAAAACAUCAUGAAGCACUCUUGCAAUGAUGAUUCAGGCAUCUAGAUGACCUCAAAUGAAAAUGAUGCAAUGGAAUGAAAUGAAGUACUCGUUGAGGUGAACAAUUUGACAUAUUACACGCACGAAACAGAGCUACGGAUGCAGAGUUACGAUGUGAUGAACAUGGCAGGAAAAUGUCUAAAUAUUUCGGGGACUUUGCCGUUUUUAGGGAAAAAACAGAGUGAGCGCUAGAUACUAAAUGUGGCCGAGGCGGGUUUUAGGUGGGGCUCACCAUGGGCUUCGGCCCAAGACAGAGAGGAGACAGGCCGGGGCGCGCUGGGCCAGAGUUGGGCCUCGGCGAGGUCGCAGGCCCAUGUGGCCGGUGGCCUGUUGUCGUUCUCCUCAUGCCUGAGGCGCACGAGCAAGAAGCAGGCGGCGGCGGCACCUGCAGGGAGGGCCGGCGAGGAGGUCGGGACGGCGCGGGGACGGGCAGAUCCGGCCAGCGAGUCGCCGGAUCCGGUGGUGGCGACACGAUGACGAGCUCGGGCGGCGGAGGCACCCUGCGGGAGAGAGAGAGGCAGCCAUGAGUGAAAGGGAGAAGAAAGGAGAAGGAAGGAGAGGGCGGCGGGGCGCUCAUCUACGGCGGCGCGGGACGGGGAGAUGCCGGCGAGGCAGGUCGCCGGCGAGGCGGCGGCCUCNNNNNNNNNNNNNNNNNNNNNNNNNNNNNNNNNNNNNNNNNNNNNNNNNNNNNNNNNNNNNNNNNNNNNNNNNNNNNNNNNNNNNNNNNNNNNNNNNNNNNNNNNNNNNNNNNNNNNNNNNNNNNNNNNNNNNNNNNNNNNNNNNNNNNNNNNNNNNNNNNNNNNNNNNNNNNNNNNNNNNNNNNNNNNNNNNNNNNNNNNNNNNNNNNNNNNNNNNNNNNNNNNNNNNNNNNNNNNNNNNNNNNNNNNNNNNNNNNNNNNNNNNNNNNNNNNNCGGUGGCUGGGAGGCGCGGGGUGAGGUGGCGAUGCGACAUGGCGGCGGGGCAGUGGCUGGCGGGCGCGAGGAGGCGACGUGGCGCGUGCGGAUUGGUCCGGGCGCUCCGGCGGUGAUGCCAAGUGGCAAAGGGCGGCUGGGGAGGCGCGGAUUUCGAGGAGGAAGGAGGUGGCUGCGGCAGGAGGUAGGGGAAGAGGUCUAGGUUACCCAAAAUAGACUAGGGGUGUCCAUAUAUAGCAAAAUGGUUAGGUUAGGGGGGUUUGGGGGCGUUUUGGAGCCUCCGAUCGUAAUCCGACGGAUCUGAUCGCGAGGGGGGUUGGCAGGCCUAGGUGGGCUGUGAAGAGAGGUGGGGCUGAGUGGAGAGAAGAGAGAGAGAGAGGCCCGCGGCAGUUUCGAAGACCGAAACAUCCGACGAAGGUACCGGCAACGGUACCGCUAUAUUUAACGGUUGGGCUAACAAAUGGACUCCGAAUGCGAUGAAACUUGGCAGGCGCUCUGUCUACACUAUAAUAAGACCGCACGACAAGUUGCAACCCAUUCCGAGAACAUUUUUAUGCCACUUAUAAAAUAAUAUUUCGGAGGUGCCGCGGGCGCGUGCGAGUGUGGUCUGGACUCCGAACGGACAACGGAGAGAAUCGGGAGGACCCGAACGGAUGCAAGUUUUGAAAAACAUGCAGAUGAAAUGCAGAUGAUGACAUGUCAAAAUGCAACACGCAAGCAAAUGACAUGGCAACGACGGCGAAUAACUGGCGGACUCCUGGCGCAUCGAAACCGGGGCAUUACAAUAAUGAUGUAGAAGUUGAACCUGCUGUUGAUCUUGAUAACCCACAAUCAAAGAAUCAAUGUUAUGAUAAAAGAGACUUCGUUGCUAGGAAACAUGGUAAAGAAAGGGAACCAUGGGUUCAGAAACCCAUGCCUUUUCCUCCGAAACCAUCCAAGAAAAAGGAUGAUGAGGAUUUUGAGCGCUUUGCUGAAAUGAUUAGACCCAUCUUUCUGCGUAUGCGAUUAACUGAUGUGCUCAAAACAAAUCCUUAUGCUAAGUAUAUGAAAGAUAUUAUUACUAAUAAAAGAAAGAUACCUGAAGCUGAAAUUUCCACCAUGCUUGCUAAUUAUACUUUUAAGGAUGGAAUACCAAAGAAACUUGGAGAUCUGGGAGUACCUACUAUACCAUGCUCCAUUAAAAGAAAUUAUGUUAAAACUGCUUUAUGUGAUCUUGGAGCCGGUGUCAGUGUUAUGCCUCUCUCUUUAUAUCGUAGACUUGACUUGAACAAGUUGACACCUACUGAACUAUCUUUGCAAAUGGCUAAUAAAUCAACUGCUAUACCCAUCGGUAUUUGUGAGGAUGUGCCUGUUGUGGUUGCAAACAUUACUAUUUUAACGGACUUUGUUAUUCUUGAUAUUCCCGAGGAUGAUAGUAUGUCUAUUAUUCUUGGAAGACCUUUCCUUAAUACUGCAGGGGCUGUUAUUGAUUGCACCAAAGGCAAUGUCACUUUUCAUGUUAAUGGCAAUGAGCACACGGUACAUUUUCUGAGGAAACAACCCCAAGUUUAUAGUAUCAACUCUAUUGGAAAAUUUCCAUUGAUUAUAUUUGGAGGUUUCGAAUUUCCUCUUCCUACUGUCAAGAAAAAGUAUGAUAUUCUUAUUGUUGGGAUUUUCAUAUCCCCGUUGAGGUAACUUUGUGUCAUUCGAAAUUUCUCCGGUUCCGUGAUUAUUCGGAAUGAAUUUGUUAACAAGACUUGAUCAACCUUGUUAGUGGGUUCAUUUUGAUGAUCACGAGAUGGAUGAAACUAGAAGCACAACCUUCUGUACCCUCUUUAUAUUUUCUGUUAUUUAGUAGAAAUAAAGUAAAAUAGUAUUUUUUCUGUCUGUCUCCUGACUUAUCCGUGCAAUAUAAAAAUAUCCCGAAAAUAAAAGUCCUCAGAGUGCCAUGCCAAUUUAAUAUGAUUUUUUUAGGAAUAUUUAAGAAUUUACUGUGCAAAAAUUACCACGGGGGGAGCUGCCACCUGGCCAUGAGGGUGGAGGGCGCGCCCUACCCCCCUGAGCGCGCCCCCUGCCUCGUGGGCCCAUGGUGGCCCUCCUCCACUUAUUCCUGCACCCAUCUUCUUCCUCUGCCUCACACAAACACGAAAAACCAACUCAAGCACGAGUUCCAACCCCCGUUACUGUGAUUUUCGAUCUCCUUGCUCAAAGCGCCUCUUGCAAAACUGCUUGGGGAGAUUGUUCCUUGGUAUGUGACUCCUCCAUUGGUCCAAUUAGUUUUUGUUCUAGUGCUUUAUUCAUUGCAAAUUUGUGCUGCAUAGGUGACCAUGUUCUUGAGCUUGCAUGUCAAAUUUAUAUGGUUCUAAGUAGUUCCAAUGCUUUAUAUAGGCUCUAGGCACUUGUGGGAGUUGUUACUAUCAAUUUUAUUGAAGUUGGUUCACUUUUAUUUGAAGUUACUAAAAAUUUCAGAAAUUUUUCAGAGGAAACAAUAUGCUUAGGAGGAUGUUCCAAGGUGGUCCUUCGAGGAAGCAAGGUCCCAGGCUUGCAAUACGUGAUGCUGACGAGGAACCACCAAGAGACGCUCCUGUGAGGCCUUGUGAAUGGCCAUCGGAAAAUUUUAUGAAUCAAGUGGGAAUCAAAGAAGAAUUUAGCACAUAUUUGAGUAACGCCGGUCUUGAGGAUUUUGAAGCUGACAAAUGCCCCCAGUAUCAUGAUCUCACAAGUUCAUUUGUGAGGAGGUUUGAGUUUUCAUCUUCGCGUAAUUCUCCUUCAGUCAUGUUUGACCUUUAUGACAAAUCGUAUACCAUGGACUUAGAGGAUUUCACUUCUGCUUGCAAACUUCCAUCUUGGGGUAAUAUCAGGGAUCCCCCUAAAUCUGAAUAUAGAGACUUUCUUGCUAGAAUAACUGUGGAGGAAUCUAGAGAUAUAACACAAGCUACUAUAGGGAGCAUUCACUUUCCUGCUAUACAUUAUUUUGCUCUCUUCAUAGGUAGAUGCAUAAAUGCUAAGGAUGAAGCAUGUCACAUGUGUGUCCCUGAUCUGAGCAUUCUCAGCAGUGUUGUGUUAGGUGACCAAUCUUAUCAUAUGGGAGCCAUUGUAGCUCGUAGGUUGCAUCAGAAUAGACAUAGCGGAGAUUUCUUUGGAGGAAUUUACGCAACCCGCUUAGCUAAUUUUCUUGAGAUAGACAUUCGUGAGGGUGAUAUGGAGUUACCCCCUUCUUAUUUAGAUUUUGAUUCUAUGGUUUCCCACUUGUUUAUUGAGAGGACUGCACCACCUCUCCAGUAUCGACUAAUCUUUGACAGACGUCGUGUAGUCCAUAUUGCUCUUCCUGUCCCUGCUUUCUUUGAUUCACAGGCAAAAAGAAGAUAUAUUAUUACCAGAGAGGAGGCAGAUGAGUACGAAAGGAGAGCGGAGGCCGCUCGACUCCACGCUACAGCUCAGGCGGCGAUAGCCGCUGCGUCACAGUACGACCCCAGCUACACCUACGGGUAUCCGCCAGGCCAUCCCUGGCAAUAGACCAACUUAGGCCAAAAGCCUAAGCUUGGGGGAGUACGUAUUUCCCACCGACAUUUCAUUUAUGUUCACACAUACACACACUCAUUGCUAGAUGCUGGUGCUCAUACUUUUUCACUGUAAUAUCCAUGCUAGUUUACUUUCUUUUUCCUGCUUUCUUCUUGUGUGUUUGAUAAACUUUAAGAAAAACCAAAAAAUUAGUGAGUUUACUUUCCAUGCUUGUAGUAGAAUUAAAAAGAAAACCCAAAAAUAUUUCCCGUUCUUCUUUUACUUGUUGGGAGCUUUCCCGUGUAAAUAGUUUUUAUUUCCUUUUCCUUUCUUUGGGGGUCGAGAAGACCAUAUUCAAAAUGCUUAGUGGCUCUUAUAUGCAUGAUUGUUUAUUUAACUUAGAGCCCAUAUUACUUGUCUUCUCUUGAGUUGAAUGCUUGCAGAUUCUAGCUUAGUCAAAUGCACGUGCACUCUUAUUAUUAUACACAUCGUUCGGUCGUGCAAGUGAAAGGCAAUAAUGAUGAUAUAUGAUGGACUUAUUGGGAAAAGAAAAGCUGGUAUGAACUCGACCUCUUUUGUUUUUGUAAAUAUGAUGAUUCAUCGUUCUUGAUUCAGCUAUUAUGAAGUAAACAUAUUUGCAAUGACAUUUAGAGAUUAUAGUUGCUUGUGCCAUGCUUGAUUAGCUAUGAGUUAUAGUGGUUUACCUUGCGUGCCAACAUGCUAUUAGAAUGAUUAUGAUGUGGUAUGAUGGGAUGGUAUCCUCCUUUAACUGAAUUGAGUGACUCGACUUGGCACAUGUUCAUGCAUGUAGUUGAAUCAAAUCAACAUAGCCUUCAUGAUAUUUAUGUUCAUGGUGGAUUAUAUCCUACUCAUGCUUGUACUCGGUGUGAAUUAAUUUUAAUGCAUGUUUACGACUGUUGUCGCUCUCUCAGUUGGUCGCUUCCCAGUCUUUUGCUAGCCUUCACCUGUAUUAAGCGGGAAUACUGCUUGUGCAUCCAAACUCCUUAAACCCCAAAGUUAUUCCAUAUGUGUCCACUAUACCUACCUAUAUGCGGUAUUUACCUGCCGUUCCAAGUAAAUUUGUACGUGCCAAACUCUAAACCUUCAAAUAAACAUUAUGUUUUGCAUGCUCGAACAGCUCAUAUGUCAACUAGAGCUGCCCUUAUCUUUCGUGUUAGGCGGGUUAUUCUCAAGAGGAGUGGACUCCGCUCCUCAUUCACGAGAAAAUGGCUGGUAUCCGGGAUGCCCAGUCCCAUGCUUUAUGCAAACUAAAUCAAAAUAACUACAAACAAAACUCCCCUUGGGACCCGUUGAAUGUUGGAGGCACUCGUUGUUUCAAGCAAGCCAUGGAUUGAUGCUUGUGGAGGAAGGGGAGUAUAAACUUUACCAUACUGUUUGGGAACCGCCUAUAAUCUGUUUAGCAUGGAAGAUAUCGUCGUCUUUUAGUUGUUAUGUUGACAAUGAAAGUAUGCCGCUCAAAAUAUAAUUUAUCUCUAUUUCAAAACCGAGCUCUGGCACCUCUACAAAUCCCUGCUUCCCUCUGCGAAGGGCCUAUCCAUUUACUUUUAUGUUGAGUCAUCACCCUUCUUAUUAAAAAGCACCCGCUGGAGAGCACACUGUCGUUUGCAUUCAUUAUUAUUGGUUUAUAUUGGGUAUGACUUGACUGGAUCUCUUUUACCAUGAAUUACAAUGUUUAGUCAGUCCUUGAUCUUUAAAGGUGCUCUGCAUUUAUGUUUUGCGGUCUCAGAAAGGGCUAGCGAGAUACCAUUUUGUUAUAUCAUGUUAUGAUUAUUUUGAGAAAGUGUUGUCAUCCGAGUUUUGCUAUUAUGGCCUGCUAGCUGAUUAUGCUAUUGAUAUGAGUAAUUGUGAGACCUACGUGUCAUUGUGAGUAUGGUUAGUUCAUAAUAAUUGCUGAAACUUGAAUGCUGGCUUUUCAUGUUUACAACAACAAGAGCAAACAGAGUUUGUAAAAGUUUUUCUUUUUCUCUUUCAGUUUGCCAACUGAAUUGCUUGAGGACAAGCAAGGGUUUAAGCUUGGGGGAGUUGAUACGUCUCCGCCGUAUCUACUUUUCCAAACACUUUUGCCCUUGUUUUGGACUCUAACUUUUAUGAUUUGAAUGGAACUAACCUGGACUGACGUUGUUUUCAGCAGAAUUGCCAUGGUGUUGUUUUUUGUGCAGAAAAUAAAAGUUCUCGGAAUGUCCUGAAACUCCACGGAACACCUUAGAAAAAAUAAAGAAAAAUCCUCACAAAAGAUGAAGACCAGGGGGCCCACACCCUGCUCAUGAGGGUGGGGGCGCCCCCCUGGGUGCGCCCCCUACCUCAUGGGCCCCCUGGUGGCCCUCCGACGCCAACUCCAACUCCAUAUAUUGGCUUUCGGGGAGAAAAAAAUCAGAGAGAAGAAAUCAUCGCAUUUUACGAUACGGAGCCGCCACCAAGCCCUAAUCUCUCUCGGGAGGGCUGAUCUGGAGUCCGUUCGGGGCUCCGGAGAGGGGGAUUCGUCGCCGUCGUCAUCAUCAACCAUCCUCCAUCACCAAUUUCAUGAUGCUCACCGCCGUGUGUGAGUAAUUGCAUCGUAGGCUUGCUGGACGGUGAUGGGUUGGAUGAUAUUUAUCAUGUAAUCGAGUUUGUUUUGUUAGGGUUUGAUCCCUAGUAUCCAUUAUGUUCUGAGAUUGAUGUUGCUAUGACUUUUUUAUGCUUAAUGCUUGUCACUAGGGCCCGAGUGCCAUGAUUUCAGAUCUGAACCUAUUAUGUUUUCAUGAAUAUAUGUGUGUUCUUGAUCAUAUAUUGCAAGUCUAUAGUCACCUACUAUGUGUUAUGAUCCGGCAACCCCGAAGUGACAAUAAUCGGGACCACUCCCGGUGAUGACCAUAGUUUGAGGAGUUCAUGUAUUCACUAUGUGCUAAUGCUUUGUUCUGGUUCUCUAUUAAAAGGAGGCCUUAAUAUCCCUUAGUUUCCAAUAGGACCCUGCUACCACGGGAGGGUAGGACAAAAGAUGUCAUGCAAGUUCUUUUCCAUAAGCACGUAUGACUAUAUACGGAAUACAUGCCUACAUUACAUUGAUGAACUGGAGCUAGUUUUGUGUCACCCUAUGUUAUGACUGUUACAUGACGAACCGCACCCGACAUAAUUAUCCACCACUAAUCCGGUGCCUAUGAGUUUUCCAUAUAUUGGUUCUCGCUUAUUUACUUUUCCAUUGCUACUGUUACAAUCACUACAAAAUACCAAAAACAUUACUUUUGCUGUCUUUACUUUUGUUACCAUUACCACCACUAUCAUAUUACUUUGCUACUAAACACUUUGCUGCAGAUAUUAAGUUUCCAGGUGCGGUUGAAUUGACAACUCAGCUGCUAAUACUUGAGAAUAUUCUUUGGCUCCCCUUGUGUCGAAACAAUAAAUUUGGGUUGAAUACUCUACCCUCGAAAACUGUUGCGAUCCCCUAUACUUGUGGGUUAUCAAUCGUGUCGCGUGCUCCUGCCUCCCGUGGCCGGCUGUGAUGCCGCGGAGGCCUCACCGCCCCGUACUACUCCCACCGCUGACCAGGCCAUCCCUCUACUCACCCACACCCCCUGUUAUUCUGCGGCGACGACAGCCUCACACUACAGCCGAACCAGUGAACCCUCGUACUCCUCUCUGCGCGGGCUACCACUUCUGCGUCUUCCCCGGUUCCACGUCGUCCCCUUCCUAGGCCUCGCCGUCGUCCAGACCACCGCCCUGGUGCUCUCAGCGCGGCGUGGUCAACGUGGUCAACGACCGACUUCCAUCGAAAGAGUAUUAUACGUGGACAAGCUGACGGCUGGGUCCAGGCGGCCGCAAGGAAGUGCCUCCCUAUUACGCGCAAAAUAAUUAUUCCUCCACCUGACAGCAGGGACCCACUGGACGGGCCACCUUAUUUCACGAAAAAAACGUUUCCCCCUGACUGCUGGGACCCACCGGACGGGCCAGCGUAUUUCAUGAAAAAAACGUUCCCUGCGCUGUCAGCUCGAACCCACCGGAAGUGCCUCCUUAUUACACACACAAAAAUGAAUACUCCCCCUGCUAGCUGGGACCCACCAUGGUGGGAGGCUGACUUGUGGGCCUACUAAGUUGACUGGGACGGGGGCCUUUGUCAACUUUAGUCAAUAUGAAUGAUUCUAGCUCCAGUGACCGUACGAUGGCCAUCCAACGGCCGUAGUGCUUCUUCAACCUCUGGUGUUCUUGCUCCGGCCGCCCAAAGCAGCGCCAGUCAUGCCGCAUGCUCCUGCCUCCCGUGGCCGGUUGUGCUGCCGCGGAGGCCUCACCGCCCCCUACUAUUCCCACCGCUGGCCAGGCCCUACAACGACGGCAGCCUCACACUGCAGCUGAUCCAGUGAACCCUCGUACUCCUCUCCGCGAGGGCUUCCACUGCCGCAUCUUCCUCGGCUCCCCGUCGUCCCCUUCCUAGGCCUCACCGUCGUCCACCGCCGUGGUGCUCUCGGCGCGGCGUGGUCAAUGUGGUCAAUGACCGAUUUCCAUCGGAAGAGUACUGUACGUGGAGAGGCUGACAGCUGGGUCCACGGCAGCCGCAAGGAAGUGCCUCCUUAUUACGCGGAAAAUAAUUAUUCCUCCACCUGACAGCAGGGACCCACCGGAUGGGUCACCAGUAUUUCGCGAAAAAAACGUUUCCCCUNNNNNNNNNNNNNNNNNNNNNNNNNNNNNNNNNNNNNNNNNNNNNNNNNNNNNNNNNNNNNNNNNNNNNNNNNNNNNNNNNNNNNNNNNNNNNNNNNNNNNNNNNNNNNNNNNNNNNNNNNNNNNNNNNNNNNNNNNNNNNNNNNNNNNNNNNNNNNNNNNNNNNNNNNNNNNNNNNNNNNNNNNNNNNNNNNNNNNNNNNNNNNNNNNNNNNNNNNNNNNNNNNNNNNNNNNNNNNNNNNNNNNNNNNNNNNNNNNNNNNNNNNNNNNNNNNNNNNNNNNNNNNNNNNNNNNNNNNNNNGAAGUGCCUCCUUAUUACGCACAAAAAAAUGAAUACCCCCUGCUAGCUGGGACCAACCUUGGUGGGAGGCUGACUUGUGGGCCUACUAGGUUGAUUGGGACGGAGGCCUUUGUCAACUUUAGUCAAUAUUUGAACGAAUCUAGCUCCAGUGACCGUACGAUGUCCAUCCAACGGCCGUAGUGCUUCUUCAACCUCUGGUCUUCUUGCUCCAGCCGCCCAAAGCAGCGCCGGUCGUGCCGCCUGCUCCUGCCGCCCGUGGCCGGCUGUGAUGCCACGGAGGCCUCACCGCCCCCUACUACUCCCACCGCUGGCCAGGCCAUCCCUCUACGCACCCACACCCCCUGUUAUUCUGCGGCGAUGGCAGCCUCACACUGCGGCAGAACGAGUGAACCCUCAUACUCCUCUACGCUUGGGCAUCCACUGCCGCGUCUUCCCCGGCUCCGCGUCGUCCCCUUCCUAGGCCUCGCCGUCGUCCACCGCCCUGGUGCUCUCGGCGCGGCGUGGUCAACAUGGUCAAGGAAUGGCCUCCAUCGGACGUGGGCUGUACGUGGAGAGGCUGACAGAUGGGUCCACGACCGCAGCAAGGAAGUGCCUCCUUAUUACGCGCAAAAUAAUUAUUCCUCCACCUCACAGCGGGGACCCACCGAACGGGCCACCGUAUUUAGCAAAAAAACGUUUCCCCUGUCUGCUGGGACCCACCAAUUACAUCUUCGCACGCAAGGAAGUGCGUCCGAAAAAAGAACGAUUCGCCCCCCUGACUGCUGGGACCCACCAGCUACAUCUUCGCACGCAAGGAAGUGCCUGACAGUCGGGACCCACCUGGUCCAAGCGUACAUAGCGUUGUCAUUCUGGUCGCGAACGUGUACGUACAUAUAUAUUGGUGGAUGUAGAGGCACGCACGUGUCGUAGUAGAGGCGCGCACGUAGCAUGUACACGUACGUACAGCGGCGAGGGUGCAAGAAAGAAAAUACGGCCACGUAUGUACAUACGGGCAGGGUCUCUAACGCCUAUCGCGCAUACGUACAUGGCUGGGUCAGAACAGAGAAACAACAUCGUCGUCGUGUUCAUGUUCAUCGGGAGGGCUUGGACAGAACAGGCGAUGGAAACGAGGCCUGGCAUACCGCACAACGGAGGAAACGACCUUGUGUUCGACCGACCACGUUCAAAACGGGGUCCUGUUGAUCGGGAGGGGCCUGGCGUACCGCAAAACAGAGGAAACGGACCUCCUACGGUUGAAACAGGGGUCCUGUUGAUCGGGAGGGGUGUGGCGUACCGCAAAACGGACGAAACGGACCUCCUACGGUCGAAACAGGGGUCCUGUUGAUCGGGAGGGGUGUGGCGUACCGCAAAACAGGACUCCACGGGAUACUGUUCAUCUCCACCGUCGACCUCCUCCAGCCUCCACGGGCUACCAUCGACCUCCUCCAGCCUCCACGGGCUCCUGUUCAUUCAGCCUCUACCGCGCGCUACUCCACCGGCUACUGUUCAACCACCCCUCCACGGGCACCCCUCCACCGUCUACUGUUCAUCCAGCCCUCCACACCAUGGGGUCCUAUUCAACCACCCCUCCACGGCCACCCCUCCACUGUCUACUGUUCAUCCAGUCCUCCACACCACGGGUUCCUGUUCAUCNNNNNNNNNNNNNNNNNNNNNNNNNNNNNNNNNNNNNNNNNNNNNNNNNNNNNNNNNNNNNNNNNNNNNNNNNNNNNNNNNNNNNNNNNNNNNNNNNNNNNNNNNNNNNNNNNNNNNNNNNNNNNNNNNNNNNNNNNNNNNNNNNNNNNNNNNNNNNNNNNNNNNNNNNNNNNNNNNNNNNNNNNNNNNNNNNNNNNNNNNNNNNNNNNNNNNNNNNNNNNNNNNNNNNNNNNNNNNNNNNNNNNNNNNNNNNNNNNNNNNNNNNNNNNNNNNNNNNNNNNNNNNUCAGUUAGCAGCAGUAGAGAAGGAAUCGCUCCAUCGAGUUCAGUUAACAGCCAUUGAUCGAUCGCUCGGGUUCAGUAACGUGUAGCCUGCAGUGCAAUCGCUCGGGUUCAGUUAGAGCCCAACGCCUCGCUCGGCUUCAGUUAGAGCCAACGCCUCGCACACACGCGCGUACGUACGAGAGAAACGUGCAUCGCUCGGCCCCCGACCUCCCACCGUAACUGGCAACUCCCAUAAAUUUUCCUCCCCCUCGCUUCUACCAUGGUUUUUCCGUCAUGGAUGGCCCAAAGAAUGUCAUGCAGCUGCGUCUCCGGCCCGCCCAGGACGAAAAGCCCAUUUUCUGUCAUGAUUUUUUGUCAUAGAAGUAGGAGCCCACCACAUCUAUGAUGAUACCGGGUUUUGUCACAAUUAUCGUCAUAGAAGUGUCAUAUGUAUGACAGGAAAAAAAUCCGUUCAGCCCAAAAUGUCACGGAUGUGUCUUUUUUUUGUAGUGCACCUAGUAAGGAUGAAAUUAUUGGUCUUGCUUCCAUUGCUGUUCCACCAACUGAUCCAUUAGAACAAUAUUUGCUAGACCAUGAAAACGAUAUGUUUAUGCAUGAAAGAGAAGAAAUAGAUGAAGUGUUCCUUAAACAAGAACCUAUGCUGAAACAUAACCUUCCCGUUGAAAUUCUUGGGGAUCCCCCUCCACCCAAGGGUGAUCCCGUGUUUGAACUCAAACCCUUACCUGAUAAUCUUAAGUAUGCUUAUCUUGAUGAAAAAGAAAUAUAUCCUGUUAGUAUUAGUGCUAACCUUUCAGAGAAAGAAGAAGAAAGAUUAUUGAAAACUCUGAAGAAGCACAGAGCUGCUAUUGGAUAUACUCUGGAUGAUCUUAAGGGCAUUAGUCCCACAUUAUGUCAACACAAAAUUUCAGUGGAGAAAGAUGCCAAACCAGUUAGAGAUCCUCAAAGACGAUUAAAUCCCAAGAUGAAGGAAGUGGUAAGAAAGGAGAUACUAAAGCUCCUUGAGGCAGGUAUUAUUUAUCCCGUUGCUGAUAGUGAAUGGGUAAGCCCUGUCCAUUGUGUCCCUAAAAAGGGAGGUAUUACCGUUGUUCCUAAUGAUAAAGAUGAAUUGAUCCCGCAAAGAAUUAUUACAGGUUAUAGGAUGGUAACUGAUUUCCGUAAGUUAAAUUAAGCUACUAAGGAAGAUCAUUAUCCUUUACCUUUUAUCGAUCAAAUGCUAGAAAGGCUAUCCAAACACACACAUUUUUUCAUUCUAGAUGGUUAUUCUGGCUUCUCUCAAAUACCUGUGUCAGCGAAGGAUCAAUCUAAAACUACUUUUACUUGCCCUUUUGGUACUUUUUCUUAUAGAUGUAUGCCUUUUGGUUUAUGUAAUGCACCUGCUACCUUUCAAAGAUGCAUGAUGGCUAUAUUUUCUGAUUUUUGUGAAAAGAUUUGUGAGGUAUUCAUGGAUGACUUCUCCGUCUAUGGAUCCUCUUUCGAUGAUUGUUUGAGCAACCUUGAUCGAGUUUUGCAGAGAUGCGAAGACACUAGUCUCGUCCUGAAUUGGGAAAAGUGUCACUUUAUGGUUAAUGAAGGCAUUGUCUUGGGGCACAAGAUCUCCGAGAGAGGUAUUGAAGUUGAUAAAGCCAAAGUUGAUGCUAUUGAAAAGAUGCCAUGUCCCAAGGACAUAAAAGGUAUAAGAAGUUUUCUUGGUCACGCCGGCUUUUAUAGGAGGUUCAUUAAGGAUUUUUCUAAAAUCUCUAGGCCUCUGACUAAUUUAUUGCAAAAACAUAUUCCUUUUGUCUUUGAUGAUGAUUGUGUAGAAGCAUUUGAAACACUUAAGAAAGCUUUGAUCACUGCACCUAUUGUUCAGCCACCUGAUUGGAAUUUACCUUUUGAAAUUAUGUGCGAUGCUAGCGAUUAUGCUGUAGGUGCUGUUUUAGGGCAAAGAGUCGAUAAGAAAUUGAAUGUUAUUCAGUAUGCUAGUAAGACUCUUGAUACUGCCCAGAGAAAUUAUGCUACUACUGAAAAAGAGUUCUUAGCAGUUGUGUUUGCAUGUGAUAAGUUUAGAUCUUAUAUUGUUGAUUCCAAAGUUACUAUUCACACUGAUCAUGCUGCUAUUAAAUAUCUUAUGGAAAAGAAAGAUGCUAAGCCUAGACUCAUUAGAUGGGUUCUCUUGCUCCAAGAAUUUGACUUGCAUAUUACUGAUAGAAAGGGAGCUGAGAACCCCGUUGCAGACAACUUGUCUAGGUUAGAGAAUGUUCUUGAUGACCCACUACCUAUUAAUGAUAGCUUUCCUGAUGAACAAUUAGCGGUUGUCAAUGCUUCUCGUACUGCUCCUUGGUAUGGUGAUUAUGCUAAUUGCAUUAUUGCUAAAUAUAUACCGCCUAGUUUCACAUACCAGCAAAAGAAAAGGUUCUUUUAUGACUUAAGACAUUACUUCUGGGAUAAUCCACAUCUUUAUAAAGGAGUAGAUGGUAUUAUUAGAUGUUGUGUGCCUGAGCAUGAACAGGAACAAAUUCUACGCAAGUGUCACUCUGAAUCCUAUGGAGGACACCACGCUGGAGAUAGAACUGCACACAAGGUACUACAAUCUGGUUUUUAUUGGCCUGCUCUCUUCAAAGAUGCUCGUAAGUUUGUUAUAUCUUGUGAUGAAUGUCAAAGAAUAGGUAACAUUAGUAGAUGUCAAGAAAUGCCUAUGAAUUAUUCUCUUGUUAUUGAACCGUUUGAUGUUUGGGGCUUUGAUUAUAUGGGACCUUUUCCUGCCUCCAAUGGUUAUACACAUAUUUUAGUUGUUGUCGAUGUUACUAAGUGGGUAGAAGCUAUUCCAACUAGUAGUGCUGAUCAUAACACUUCUAUUAAAAUGCUUAAAGAAGUUAUUUUUCCGAGGUUUGGAGUCCCUAGAUAUCUUAUGACUGAUGGUGGUUCACACUUUAUUCAUGGUGCUUUCCGUAAGAUGCUCGCUAAGUAUGAUGCCAAUCAUAGAAUCGCAUCUCCUUAUCAUCCGCAGUCUAUUGGUCAGGUAGAGUUGAGCAAUAGAGAGCUCAAAUUAAUUUUGCAAAAGACUGUGAAUAGAUCUAGAAAGAAUUGGUCCAAAAAACUUGAUGAUGCAUUAUGGGCCUAGAGAACUGCAUACAAAAAUCCUAUGGGUAUGUCUCCAUAUAAGAUGGUUUAUGGAAAAGCAUGUCAUUUACCUCUUGAACUUGAACAUAAGGCAUAUUGGGCUAUUAAAGAGCUCAACUAUGAUUUCAAACUUGCCGGUGAGAAAAUGUUAUUUGAUAUUAGCUCACUUGAUGAAUGGAGAACCCAAGCCUAUGAGAAUGCUAAGCUUUUCAAAGAAAAAGUCAAACGCUCGCAUGAUAAUAGGAUACAAAAGCGUGAAUUUAACGUAGGAGAUUAUGUGUUAUUGUUCAACUCUCGUUUAAGAUUUUCUGCAGGAAAACUUCUCUCAAAAUGGGAAGGUCCCUACGUUAUCGAGGAGGUCUAUCGUUCUGGUGCUAUAAAAAUCAACAACUUCGAAGGCACAAAUCCGAGGGUGGUAAAUGGUCAAAGAAUUAAACAUUAUAUUUCAGGUAAUCCUAUCAAUGUUGAAACUAAUAUUAUUGAAACCAUAACCCCUGAGGAAUACAUAAGAGACACUUUCCAGAACGUUCCAGACUCCGAAAAGGCAUAGGUACGUGGUACAGUAAGUAAACCGACUCCAAAACAACUCUAAUGGCAAUUUUUAUCAGUUUAGGAUUAUUUAAGAAUUUUAGGAAGAAAGAAGUAGUCCGAAAGGGACACGAGGCUCCCACGAGAGAGGAGGCCGCGCCCCCCCUGUAGGGCGCGCCCCCUGUCUCGUGGGCACCUUGUGUGACUCCCGGACUCCGUUUUCUUGUAUAUUACGUAUUCUGGUCGGUAAAAAUUCAUUAUAUAUACUCCCGAAGGUUUUGACCACCGUAUCACGCAAAUAUCCUCUGUUUUCGUUUUGAGUUGUUCCUGUUGCAGAAUAAAGCAAGAUGUCGUCCCAAGAUUCGGAGGGGGAGAGCUACAUGGCUGAUUAUAUCACAAACCCAAAGGUAUAUGGGGAUGUGGAACAUUAUGGCUGGACCGCGGAGGAAGAAGAAGACUAUGAUCCAAAGAGGAAGGAGGAGACAAGCUCCGAUGAAGAGGACUAUCCACUACCUCAACCUGGUGAUAUGCAUGUGGAGUUCAAUAAGUCAAGCCUCCCUAAGGUUCAAUCUAUCCCACCACGUUUUUUUGCAGGACAGCAAGGCGGCACUAUGUAAAAAGAUAAUGAAACUUGAGCUCGAGAAUGAGGAUCUGAGGGAGGAAAAUUUUAGCCUCAGGCGCAAGCUAGAGAAGAAAAAUGCAACAACUCCAUCAUCAACAAUUCCUACUUCACCACCUCCGAAGAAAUAAUCACAUGGGUAUGGGCACUCCCCUUGGCAACUGCCAAGCUUGGGGGAGGUGCCCCGGUAUCAUAUCACCAUCACUCUCCUAUUUUUAUUGCUCUAUUUAGUUCGAUCCUUUUAGUAGUAUCUUGAUCUAGUAGAUUGAAGUUUUGAUAUCAAGUAGUUUUGAGUUUUGCAUUGUGAUCUCUUUAUGCAAUCGAGUCCGUGUGCUAUUUAUAAUAAAGAUUAGUGUUGAGUCAAGGGCUUUGCUAUGUUGCCAUGAUCUUGAGAAAGUAGAAAGAAUAAAAGAGUUCAUAUUGAUCUUAUGGAUUGUGAUAACUUCACACAUAGAAAGUAUGAGGCAUAAAAAUUGUUGAGAGUUGAUGAACGUAGCCUUGGUCAUCGUUGAAAUUAAUAGGAAGUGAUAAGGAAAGAGGGGUUCACAUAUAAAUAUAUUAUCUUGGACAUCUUUUAUGAUUGUGAAGCACUCAUUAAGUAUGAUAUGCUAAAGGAGUUGAUGUUGGACAAGGAAGACAACGUAAUGGUUUAUGUUUUCCGACAUCUCAGUUAAAGUAUAUUGUCAUUGACCUUCCAAAACAUGUUGAGCUUGGCUUUCCCCCUCAUGCUAGCCAAAUUCCUUGCACCAAGUAGAGAUACUACUUGUGCUUCCAAAUAUCCUUAAACCCAGUUUUGCCAUGAGAGUCCACUAUACCUAUCUAUGGAUUGAGUAAGAUCCUUCGAGUAAGUUGUCAUCGGUGCAAGCAAUAAAAAUUGCUCUCUAAAUAUGCAUGACUUAUUAGUGCAGAGAAAAUAAGCUUCGUACGAACUUGUUGUGGAAGUAAUAAAAGUGACGGACUGCAUAAUAAAGGUCCACAUACAAGGGGCAAUAUAAAGUGACGUUCUUUUACAUUAAGAUUUUGUGCAUCAACCCUAAAUGCGCAUGACAACCUCUGCUUCCCUCUGCAAAGGGCCUAUCUUUUGAUUUAUGUUUUUACUUUAUGCUUGAGUCAAGGUGAUGCUCACCUUUCCCUUUUUCAUUUUAUCCUUUGGCAAGAUCCUCAUGUUUAAAAGAUCAUGAUAUAUAUAUAUCCAAUUGGAUGUAAGUUGGCAUAGGCUAUUAUUGUUGACAUCACCUAAAGGUGAAUACAUUGGGAGGCAACACAAUAAGCCCCUAUCUUUCUCAGUGUCCGGCUGAAACUCUAUAACCACAAGUAUUGCGUGAGUGUUAACAGUUGUAGGAGACUACGAGAUAGUUGAAUAUGUGAGCUUGCUGAAAAGCUCUAUUAUUGACACUUUCUGAUGUUACGAUAAAUUGCAAUUGCUUCAAUGACUGAGAUUAUAGUUUGUUAGUUCCCAAUGAAGUUUUUGAACCAUACUUGACAUUGUGAAUUGCUUAUUGCUUGAGCAUAGGAAAUCAUAUGACAAAAUCUAUAUAUGUUGCUGUUAUUAGAAUGAUCAUGAUGCCCUCAUGUCCGUAUUUUAUUUUUAUCGACACCUCUAUCUCUAAACAUGUGGACACAUUUUUCAAUUUCGGCAUCCGCUUGAGGACAAGCGAGAUCUAAGCUUGGGGGAGUUGAUACGUCCAUUUUGCAUCAUGCUUUUAUAUAAAUAUUUAUUGCAUUAUGGGCUGUUAUUACACAUUAUAUCUCAACACUUAUGGCUAUUCUCUCUUAUUUUACAAGGUUUACCAUGAAGAGGGGGAAUGCCGGUAGCUGGAAUUCUGGCUGGAAAAGGAGCAAAUGCUGGAAACCUAUUCUACACAACUCCAAAAGACCUGAAACUCCACAAAACAACCUUUUGAAUUUAAUAAGAAUUUAUGAGCAAAAGAAAUAGGCCAGGGGGCCCACACCCUGUCUAGGAGACAGGAGGGCGCGCCCCACUGUAGGGCGCGGCCCCCUAUCUCCUGGGCCCUCUGGUGGCCCUCCGGCGUCCAUCUUCUGCUAUAUCAUCACUUUUCCCCUGGAAAAAACCGUGGGCAAGCUUACAGGACGAAACUCCGCCGCCACGAGGCGGAACCUUGGCGGAAUCAAUCUAGGGCUCUGGCAGAGUUGUUCUGCCGGGGACACUUCCGUCCGGGAGGGGGAAAUCAUCACCAACGUCAUCACCAACGACCCUCUCAUCGAGAGGGGGUCAAUCUCCAUCAACAUCUUUACUAGCACCAUCCCCUCUCAAAACCCUAGUUCAUCUCUUGUUAUCCAAUCUUGUAUCAAAACCACAAAUUGGUACCUGUGGGUUGCUAGUAGUGUUGAUUACUCCUUGUAGUUGAUGCUAUUUGGUUUACUUGGUGGAAGAUCAUAUGUUCAGAUCCUUUAUGCAUAUUAUUACUCCUCUGAUUAUGAACAUGAAUAUGCUUUGUGAGUAGUUACAUUUGUUCCUGAGGACAUGGGUGAAGUCUUGCUAUUAGUAGUCAUGUGAAUUUGGUAUUCGUUCGAUAUUUUGAUAGAUGUAUGUUGUCUUUCCUCUAGUGGUGUUAUGUGAACGUUGACUACAUGACACUUCACCAUUAUUUGGGCCUAGAGGAAGGCAUGGGGAAGUAAUAAGUAGAUGAUGGGUUGCUAGAGUGACAGAAGCUUAAACCCUAGUUUAUGCGUUGCUUUGUUAGGGGUUGAUAUGGACCCAUAUGUUUAAUGUUGUGGUUAGGUUUACCUUAAUACUCCUUUUUGUAGUUGCGGAUGCUUGCAAUAGGGGUUAAUCAUAAGUGGGAUGCUUGUCCAUGUUAGGGCAGUACCCAAGUGCCGGUCCACCCACAUAUCAAAUUAUCAAAGUACCGAACGUGAAUCAUAUGAACGUGAUGAAAACUAGCUCGACAAUAAUUCCCAAUGUGUCCUCGGGAGCUCCUUCUUCAUUAUUAGAAUUUGUCCAGGCUUAUCCUUUGCUACCUAAAGGAUUGGGCCACCUUUCUGCACUUUAUUUACUUUAUUUACUAUUUGCUCGUUACUAUUUAUCUUAUCGCAAAACUAUCUAUCAUCUACUAUUUCAGUGCUUGCAGAGAAAACCUUAUCGAAAACCGCUUAUCGUUUCCUCCUGCUCCUCGUAGGGUUCGACACUCUUACUUAUUGAAAGGACUAUGAUAGAUCCCCUAUACUUGUGGGUCAUCAAGACUCUUUUUUGGCGCCGUUUCCGGGGAGCGUAGCGCUCGUGGUGAGUGGAACUUGGUAAGGAAACAUUUAUAUAGUGUGCUGAAAUUUUCUGUUACUUGUCACUAUGGAAACUAAUCCUUUGAGGGGAUUGUUUGGGGUAUCUUCACCCCAACCAGAAGAGCAAAGAGAUGCUCCUCAACCUACUGAACUUUAUGAAAAUAUUCACUUUGAGAUUCCUUCGGGUAUGAUAGAAAAACUGCUAGCUAAUCCUUUUGCAGGAGACGGAACAUUGCAUCCCGAUUUACACCUUAUCUUUGUGGAUGAAGUUUGUGGAUUAUUUAAGCUUGCAGGUAUUCCCGAUGAUGUUGUCAAAAGGAAGGUCUUCCCUUUAUCUUUGAAGGGAGAUGCAAUGACAUGGUAUAGACUAUGUGAUGAUACAAGAUCUUGGAAUUAUAAGCGAUUGAAGUUGGAAUUUCACCAGAAGUUCUAUCCUAUGCAUCUUAUUCAUCGUGAUCGUAAUAACAUAUAUAAUUUUUGGCCUCGCGAAGGAGAAAGCAUCGCUCAAGCUUGGGGGAGGCUUAAGUCAAUGUUAUAUAGAAGAAAAGGAAAAGAAAAGGAAAAGGAACAUAAAAGAAAACCAGAAAAACCAGUAAAAGAAAAAAACCGGUUCAGUGAACCUUCUAGAAGGUUCCCAAAACCGGUUGGUAGUGGCAGUUGUUCGCGCAAAAACUGGGCCGACUCUUUGUGUGGCUGCUCGGUCGGUCGCAUGUGCGAAGCGCCGACAGUUUGACGCAAAGAGCGUCAAAUAUGAUAUUCCUUUUAAACUAUGGUAUUAAGUCAAUAUUUUAGAAACAAACUUUAAAAAAUUACAAAGUUAAGUAAAAAGAAAUGGAGAGAGUUAAAAAAAUGGAGAGGCAAAAAAAAGAACGAGUGGACCCGGUUCGACGCAGUUUUCAGCAAGCUCGCGAAACAUAUCUUUAUCUCCGGUCAUAUGAUCGGUACAUCCACUAUCAAGGACCCAUUCCUUUCCUCCUGCCAUGUAUCCCCGAAGAUUUGCCAUAGGACCAAAGUGUCUCAUUGCAUCAUCAAGAUCAUAGUCACUAUCAUCAUCCUCAUCAUAGUAUCCAUGUUCAACAUCGUCAUGUGGUGGAUCAAUUCCUAGAGAGGGUGAUUCAUUAGAUAAAUGAUUUUGACAAUGAUCAUCUUUAUGAAUUCUAAUAGCUUCGGAAAUAAUAUUGCUAAUAAUUCCAACAUCUCCUUUGGCAUGCAUAAGAUUUGUAAGCUUAAAUAGACAAUCACCAAACUUAGGAUCAUUGGAAUUCAUCUUACUCAAGGCAAUAGACUUAUGAAGAAUCUCAUCUAGAUUUUGUAAGGAAUAAUUUGGAAAUCGUUCCUCAAGAAAUUUCCAUAUAGUGUAGGCACACUUAAGAGUAGGCAAGAAACCUAUCAAGUUUCUAGGCAAACCUCUAGUGAUAAAACAGUUCUAAGAUUGCGAAUCAUGUCAAUUGACUCAUCAAGGGUAGGAUGCAUAGGAUCAACAUGAGGUGCACAAGGGCUAGUAAUGUACUUGUUCAAAUGAUAUUCAUUGAAAAUCACAAGCAUCUCAUUUUUCCACUCAUAAAAGUACUCUCCAUCAAGUAUAGGCACUCUAUGUCUAAUCCCCAAAGUAGACUCAUCUAUCUUCCUCCAAUGGUGUUUAAACCAAAGCAAUUGAGACCAAUGCUCUGAUACCAAUUGAAAGGAUCGAGAAGAGGUGUCUAGAGGGGGGUGAUUAGACCCUCAACACCCAAACUUGGCAGUUUUUAAGUUUUUCAAGUUUAGGUGGAGUUUAAGCACAAGUUUAACUAUUCACAAUACAAAUCAAGCAAGCAUGCAAAGAGUAUAUGGGCAGCGGAAAGUAAAGCAUGCAACUUGCAAGAAAGUAAAGGGAUGGGAUUGGAGUGUGCAAACGCAAUUGGAGACGCGAAUAUUUUUGGCAUGGUUCCGAUAGGUGGUGCUAUCGUACAUCCACGUUGAUGGAGACUUCAACCCACGAAGGGUGACGGCUGCGCGAGUCCACGGAGGGCUCCACCCACGAAGGGUCCACGAAUAAGUAACCUUGUCUAUCCCACCAUGGCCAUCGCCCACGAAGGACUUGCCUCACUAGGGUAGAUCUUCAUGAAGUAGGCGAUCUCCUUGCCCUUACAAACUCCUUGGUUCAACUCCACAAUCUUGUAGGAGGCUCCCAAGUGACACCUAACCAAUCUAGGAGACACCACUCUCCAAAAGGUAAUAGAUGGUGUGUUGAUGAUGAACUCCUUGCUCUUGUUCUUCAAAUGAUAGUCACCCAACACUCAACUCACUCUCAUAGAAUUGGAUUUGGUGGAAAGAUGAUUUGAGUGGAAUGCAACUUGGGGAAGGCUAGAGAUCAAGAUUCAUAUGGUUGGAUUGGAAUAUCUUGGUCUCAACACAUGAGUAGGUGGCUCUCUCUCAGAAAAUGAGUAGUGAAAGUGUAGGCACGUUCCGAUGGCUUCCCUCACGAAUGAGGAUAGGGUGGAGGGGUAUAUAUAGCCUCCACACAAAAUCUAACCGUUACACACAAUGAGGAUGGAGGGGAUGAAGAUUCGAUGAGAGACGAUAACUACGAUUUUUGUGGGACUUGACCCUCACGAUCCGGCUACCAACCGUACAGGAAGGACCGUACACGAUUGAUAUCCACGGCAAUCACUGAACCAACUCCACGGUGUUAUCGACCGAGCCAACGACGCGAUCAACCUAUCCACGAAGGAUUUUUCCUGCAAGCAAAUCGAAGAACAUGCAAGAAAAUAAUAGCCAAGCAAUCUCAAAAUUGCGAAUAUGCUAGAUGGGAUUAAUCUCACAAGAUUGGGUUCCGAUAGGAUGUCUUGACGGUCGCACUAGCCGCUACGAGCGAAGACAAAUAAAAGUAGCAAUAUAGCUAAAUUUCUCUAAACAAAACCCGAGUCUAAACCCUAAUAGAUGACGUCUAUUUAUUAAGAGUCGACGUCGAACGAGUACGUCGAUGUGUUCCAUCCGGACUGCUGGUCGAAAGAAAUUGUCCAUGGGUCGGUUAGCAGGCCAAGCUGCAGGCCUUCUUGAGAAUUGGCGCGUGAGGAGACUUGGGCCAACCCAAAGUGCCAUGGCCACGUGGCUGAUACUGAUCAGUGGAUUCGGUCCUCUUGCACUCCACGUGACAUCGUUGAUGGAUGGUAUGGAGUGGAUGCUUCGGUGGCCAUGCAUGCAUGCAAGGAGGAUGGAGCGCAUGCAUGCAUCAAGAAUUGCUUCAUCUUGUUUUAAAACACAAUAGUCCCUGGCUUCUUUCAUUCUUUUCUUUCUGAGUACAAGUAAAUCAUAACAUGAGUGUAAUAUAAUAUUUAUGUGAGUUAAAUAAUAUGUCCAAAGGAAUGAAAGUACCUAGUUAAUAAUUUGUGGUGUAAUAUUUGUAGACGUUUCUAUGAUAGCUAUGUCCACAUCACACAAUAUACCAAACUCAGUGGGACCGAAUCAGAAAACUCGGCCGGACCGAUUUAGGACAUAAUGUGACCAUUAGGCAAUUUUGGUGGGACCGAUAUGAUAAACUCGGUGGGACCGAUGUGCAAGGGUUAGGGUAAAACCUUAUCUCGGUUUGACCGAUUACACAUCUCGGUGGGACCGAUAUGGUAAUAAGCAAAACGGAGAGUUGGUCAGGCAAACUCGGUGUGACCGAUUACAUAUUUCUGGUGGGACCGAAAAUAUUGCAAUAGACAACAGAGAGUUUGCAAGCCCAUCUCGGUGAGACCGAGAUCCCAUCGGUGAGGCUAAACUGAUUAGGGUUUCUGGCAGUGGCUAUGUCAAAUGAACUCGGUGGCGCCGGAUGGAUCAAAUCGGUGGGGCCGAGUUUGACUUUUGGUUUGGGACAUAUGUGGAUAUGAGAAAGUGGUUGAGAUAUUUGGAGCAUAUCACUAAGCACUUUGAGCAAGCAAGCCAUUAAGCAACACCUCAUCCCCUUUUAAUAGUAUUGACUUUCCUAUAGACUCAAUAUGAUCUUGGAUCACUGAAAAUAGAAAAUGCAGAGUCAUGAGGUUUGAGCUUGAGCCAAUCCUUUGUCCUUGGCAUCUUGAAGGGGUUCCACAUCCUCUUGUCGAUGCCACUCCACUGUUGGACUUAUCUGAAAUAUACUAGAUGGAAGUAUCAGUCCAACAAGAGAUAUGUUGACAUUAAUUACCGAAAUCACCCAGGGAGCACUUGUGCUUUCAAAAAGUCACGACAAAGUUUGACAACCUACCUAACAGAAUACAAGCAAAAGAACACCAACAUUCACAUAGCGUUCUAUCAAUGACUCGACUCUGGGUCAAAUAGAAACACAGUAUGUACAUAAUUAUUUGAAAACAGUUCUGAAAAUAUCUUUCAAAUAAUUUUCUUAACUUCCAUGUUGCAGUUAGUUUCUGCGUCAAUUGGUGCAAUGGGUCAUCUACUAGUUAAAAAAGAUCAAACUCUACAGAUGGUCCGAACAAAAAAGCCGAGAACCGAGGCCUCGUUUUUUUAGGUACUAGAUGAUUACCCCACACGUUGUUGCGGGAACUCUUAGUUGUACGCACGUGAUAAUAUAAAUUAAAUAACUUUGCUUGCAAAGUCGAUAUAUGAUCUUAAGAUGAAAAAAUUGUAAUGAAUACCGCAAUUGGAAUAUAAUUGAACUUUCAAAAAUGUGAAUUAUGAUAUCACAUUUUCUACUAAUUGCACUGAAAAAAAUAGCGCACUAUAACAUCGCUAAUAGCACGCUAUAGCGUAUUGAGAAUUGCCUCGCUAAAUAUAUCGGUGUACAAUGUCUCGCUAAUAGCGUGAUAUAGCACGCUAAUAAUAUAUUUUGAGGCUAAUAAUAUAUUUUGAGGUCACCCUAUUUUGCUGUAGCGUGCUAUUUUUUUCAUUGACUAAUUGUAGUGAUAUGCCAUAAGCAAUCUACGUAUGAGUAAAACAAUCCUUAUAUCUACAUAGUUAUUAAGACCUCAUCAAAGAACAAAAACUUAAAACGAAUAUGACCAUUGUAGUAUUUUGCUAUAAUUGACGUCGAAUGAUGAAGCUCUAAUAUCACAAUGAGAACAAAUCAAAUCAAGAUCAUUUGAAGAAAAGAGUACCAAUUUAUUUUCUCUUUUUCCUAUCAACACAAAAACCAAUUCCUAUUGUCUAAAAGUAUGAGGUUGUCAAGAGCAUGAGAACUUACAUAUAGAUAAGCACCGAGGUCCAAGUUAUCCAUGUAGUUAAAAACGACAAUUACAUGCAAGCAAUUAACCAAUAAUCAUAUCGACUUGACAUACUUUCAGUUCACUGGCAUUUUUCCAUGCAAGAUACCAACGGAAAAGAGCACUACAGAAUAGAGUUCCCUACAGAAUAUACUAAAACAAACACAUUAAUUUAGGCAAACUGAUAAAAAUAUGGUAUAAUCCAUUUAUUUACCAGAAAUUUGGUAGGUGAUCACACAUAAGCUAACUGUACACAUACUUCCAAGAACCUUACCCUAUAUGAUCUACAUAUAACCAUAAAUGAGAAGGAAAAAAAUCACUGUUAUGCAAAACGAUCACAGAUCGUUUUCUAUCAGGGCCUAGACUACAUGACCCAUCACCAGUAAUAUUAGGUAAUUACAAAUAAUCAAGUAUCUCAUGAGACAACAAAUAUCACACGUGAGCAUCAGGUACAUGUAUGUUCCAAACCCAAGGUGAUUUGUUUCAUUUAGCGUAAAGCCAAAUUUCAUUUUAGGUGUGUCCAUGCGUACUACUUAUGGGUUGGAUAGAAACACGUAGUACAAUAGGGGUUCAUCUGCUAGAAUUAUGACGAAAGUCAAAACAGUUACUUCUCAAAUCUUUUUUCUAGGACUCUUGUAUCAGUUUAAACUUUCUCCACUUCUGCAUUCAUGCUCUCCAGCUAUGUCAACAAAGACUACGUCAAUACCAGUAAACAGAGCUGACACCCCAAGUUGUAUGUGAAGGGCUCUCACUGUGAAGGGGGUAAAUCUUGGAUGCCAUUCCUCAACUUAAUUAAGCUUCUGCUUCACCCAUCCUGCAGUCUACAAUUGCUAAACAAAUACGUACAAUAUUGGCAGGCUGAUAGAUAAUAGCCACAAAGAGAUCCCCCAAUGGACUGCUGAUGGAAGUAGAUCAAAACUUCUCUGAAACAAAAGCCAAUACACAUAUCUGAAUGAAUUAUAGCAGAACAGAUACUUCAAUCCUAAUAUGUGAUGGAUAGUUAAUUACUGAUUCAAGGUCAAGUGACAUUUAGAUUUGAUAUUGUAAAAGAAAAUAGGGAAAGAAUCAUGCCUUAUUGGAUCCCAUGUACCUUGCUGACGGGAACAUUGCCGCCACUGAUACAGAGGUUCAUCUUGCACACUGCAAGGAAAUCCCACAGCUUCCACCAGCGGUAGUAUCUGAUCACAGCAGCGAAAAUACUUACAUGAAAACAAAACUGAGCAUUGCCCGCCUGGCUGGAUAGGUGUGUAUCAAUGGUGCUCGCAACUGGUAUAAACCGGAAAAAAAAUCAUUCAUGAAUAACUCAACCUGAAUCAUGGAUUGCUCUCCAUAGUCUGAGCGAUAGCUGUACCGUACCCAUGCAUAUGUGCAUGCUAUAUCAAGAAAAUCAGCAAUUCUAAUAAGAUAAUAAACCUAUCCAAUGGUUCGUAUCUAGAUGUUUCCCCUACUAAAAAUUCACAUCGACUUGUCAUCAGGAGCUUCCUUGCUGCAAAAUACACACAAUAAAAUAAAAAUUAAACUGGUUCGGUUCUAUCUGAAUCAAUUGAUGCCCGCACGUGGUGGAUAGCCUGGGACUCGACACUGAAAUCAGUAGAUGGGUACCUUCACAAUCGGCAGUGGAAUCAGACUGGACAUCGCCGGAUGGUUUCCUGCAAACUAGGUCCUGCCGGAGGGCCGUAAAAUGAGGUCUCGGCCGCCGUGCCGAAUGCAGAUGAGAGCCGGGCCAUCGGUCCUGCCGAAGAGGCGUAUGACGGGAGUCUGGCCGCCGAGCCGAACGAAGAGGGUAGCCGGGGGUUGGCGUGGAAGGCAGAGGAGGCGUCGGUUGCCGCGAGUUGGAGUUGGAGGUCGAGCGGCGGUAGGCGCGGGUGGUGUCGCGCGCGGCGCAGGAUGCGGAAGAGCGCCUUGGGGGAGGAGGCGUGUGCGGAGGGGAGCAGCGGGACCGGGAGGAGGCUCGGCGGCGAGAGGUGGAGCGGCAGGAAGGGGUCGAGGGGGGUGGAGGCGAGCGCGGUGGAGAAGAGGUAUGUGGAAGAGAUCGACGGAUGGGCUUCUGUUGGGCUCCCUUUAUCCAUUAUUACACCGACUCGUCGUCUACAUGGAGGCCUCUUCGGUUACCAAUCCCACUAUUUCUUUUAAAAUAAAUGCUGAUGUGGUGAGCUGCACAAAGAUAAAAAAAACAGUAAUUGAUGAGGUAGCAAGGCUGCUGAGGUGGAUAGGCUGCAUGUCAAGAGAAAUAGGAUAGUGGGGAUGAACUAUUUAGGUAUUAUAGAUACCAAUCUUUUAAUAAAAAACAAAGAAAAGCUGCAUCAUCAAGGAAUCAAAGAUCUAACCUGACAGGGCAUGCAAAUGCCCAAUUACCAAAUAGUUUAAUAACCCUUUUUAGUUUAUUAAUGGUUUACAUAUAAUAUUAUGUGAGGUCAAAUUUUUGGAAAAUCUAAUUAAAUAUUUCGGGUUUUUGUCGCAAAUGCACCGAUUAACCGGCGACCCGACUGGCAAAAACCUGAACCAACAGCCUCAUUUGCCGGUUUGGUUUUUUAAACUAUGGUGUUAAGUCAAUUUUUAGAUGGACAAACUUUAAAAAAUUACAAAAUUAACCAUGAAGUAAAAUAGAAAUGGAGAGAGUUAAAAAAACGGAGAGGCAAAAAAAAAAGAACGAGUGGAGCCGGUUGGCUGAGCGUGGGGCUGGAAUAUAUAGGCAUCCGACCCUCGUUUGUUUGUUAUAGAAACCCUAGCUUAAGCAGCGGCGGCGGCGGCGGCGGCGAGUAUACCNNNNNNNNNNNNNNNNNNNNNNNNNNNNNNNNNNNNNNNNNNNNNNNNNNNNNNGGAGAGGCAAAAAGAAAAAAAAAAGAACGAGUGGAGCCGGUUGGCUGAGCGUGGGGCUGGAAUAUAUAGGCAUCCGACCAUCGUUUGUUUGUUAUAGAAACCCUAGCUUAAGCGGCGGCGGCGGCGGCGAGUAUACCACACGCGAGCCUGGUUAGCAAUCUGAAUAGAGAAAGAGAGAGAAAGAGAGAGAGAGAGAGAGAGAGAGAGAGAGAGAGAGAGAGAGAGAGAUUGAUGGCGCGCGGCGGCGGCGGCGGAGUCGAGUUUCGGCCGCCUCCUGAGAUGGCGAUGGAAGAGAUGGAUCGGCAGCCUGUCGUUGUUUCCGAAGCAAGAAUCCUGAGGAUGGAGAUUGCGUCCCUGGUGAACUUGCUCAUCGAGAAACAAUCUGACGUUCUUUCCUACGAUCCCGAGAUCGUGAGGAAGAUCACGUCCCUGAGGAGCGAGAUCGCGUGCCAGAAGCUGGCGAGGGAGCGCAAAGCCUUGGUUACAGAGGUCAAACGCACAGUGCCGCGGAGGCGCAAAAAGUUUUAUGCAGUGCGGAGGGUCGCUGAGAAGGAGAUCAUGGCCGAUCAGGAGAGCGUGGAUCUGCCUAACUCCGAUACGCAUAGUGUGACCUCCCAAGUCAGUUGCAUCUCCGAGCAGUUGCCCGAGCCCUGUGACCAGAAGGAGAUCGACUCGGAGAAUAACAAAUCAGCUUCCAGAUUCAAAUCCAACUUCGAGCAUGUAUAUUCACCCUACGGUAUUGAGGACGAGGGAGUGCGCCUAAACCGCCAAUUCAGUCAUAUAUUGCAGCACGCGGAUGCCUUGUGUGACGAGAUGGCAUCUAUAGCAUCUAUUCUGAGGAAAAUUAGUGUCCCCAUCAUCUCCUAUUACGAUGUCUCCGAUCUGUGUAACACAGCGCAGAGUUUAUCGAGGAUCUCCAAUAGUAUAUUGUAUAAUAGCAUGAAUGCUGAUAAACAGAUGGCGGUCCAAUAUGCUGAGGACCAGAGGACCAAGGAGGAGAUGACCGAUCAGAUGGGCUAAGGCAAAUCCAGCACCCACUGUCUUGAGAAGCAGAGGACUGAGGAAGAGGUGGAUGUAUCUAUAACAGAUUUGACUGACCAUACCGCUGAUGAUGGCCAGUUGACAGAUGAUGAGGGUGACCAUUUUGUGGGAGCAGAUCUGAUAAGUUGCCUUUCCAACCAGAUGACUGCGUACAUGGAUGAUGGCCAAUCAAGCGCCGAGACGCAUGAGUCGAGGAUGAUGGACAAAGGCAAAUCAAUUAGUGAAGGCAAGUCAAGCAUGGAGACACAUGCGUCGAGGAUGUUGGAUAUGAUGGUGCUGGUUUCUGAUGAUAAGAGUGAGUCGGAUGGUAUGACCAACUUGUGCAAAUAUUACAAGAUGCUCGAAUUUGAGGAUGAGAAGGUGUUGGGCAAGAUGACUGCUGAGAAUUUAAGGAUGUAUUACAAAUUUCGUACGGAGCUAUUAAAGAUGGAAGCCAGCUUACGCGAGUUCCGGGAGCAGAAUGAAAAGGAUGACCUGAGGUGGGAGCAGGAUAAAAAGGACGCACUGAGCUGUUGCAGAACAGACCCGACCCCCUUCUCACUUCAGGACGCGGUAGGGGAGGAGGGAGAGGAGGAGGAGGUGACAGAAUUCACAGAAUCAGACAAAGAGGAGAUGGAGAUGGAGGACAGGUUGUUUUCUGGAAAACGUGAAGUCUGGGAAUCCGCAUGGGGAUGCUGUGGUGAAUUUGAAGACAGUAGUAAGUAAACAUGAACAUCCACCGAAUCAUUCUCCUCUUAUUUGGCAACCAGAUUCUUCCCUUCCUUUUUUCCUUGUACAAGUAAUUCAUGUUAGAACAUGUCUAACACUUGGAUUAAUUUGGUGUCGCAGCCGCAGUGAGUCCUAUGCACUUUACACAUUGCACGCCGGGACUGAUCCCGUACGCCGCUCGCUCUGUGAGCACCUUGCAGAUCUACUCCUUGAAGAUUGUUGGAACAGAUGGAAAGUUGAAGUUACCACUCCAUGUGUAUGGUGUUGUUGCUGCCCGAGACACCGUGGACUACAACCGCAACAUUCUCUUCUUUAGGCGAAGGGAAGACUGUCAAAAACUCACUCCAGAGGUAUGUACCGUAUUCCAAAUUUCUCUCUGUUUUCCAUUUUUGUUCUUGCAUGUGUCUUGUUCAUUCCAUUCAGCGACAAUGAUGACUAUGAUCCUUGCAGGAUCCAUUUUUGCACUUGACUGGCCCGUCCCGUGCCAUCGUGGCUAUGGACCACGUUGACUUCGAAGUCCAACUGAAAGUAAAGGGUGCAACAAGGUCCAGCGACAGAGCAUUGAUCAGUCGUUGCUGCACUUAUUCUGGUGGUUAUCAUGAAGGUUUAGAUACCGCUCUCAUCAACAACUGCUUUUGCACGGUAGAGUUAAGCUUGGAGCGACUCACAAAGACAGUCCAGGCUACCAUCUUAAGUGUCCGUGUUGUUGAAGGGGGACCUUGGCCUUUUGAAUAUGGUGGUCGGAUUGUGUGCUCCUCACCACCACAGGAAGUUAUGGACUCCCUGGCCAGGCAAGUUGUGUUGGUUGAUUCUCGUUCUUCUGAUGGUGGAGAAAUGCCAAUGGGCACAGAUGGCUACCUUGAUCUGUCAAGGCAUGUUGUUUCUGUAGAACUGGAAGAAAGCCUGCAAUUUGUUAUACAAGCCUACUCGCAGUCUGGUGAUGCUAUUGCUAGACAAGGUCGUGUCAAGUUCAGGGCCGAAUACUGCAAUGUAAGUCGAGGUAUAUGUGAGAUUGGUGACUCUAAGGUGGAGAUUACUGUUGCUUGGUCCAAACUUGUUACCAAAAGGAUGGAUAUCCUCUUAGAAGGACAUGUUUGAUGGUUCUUGUGCGUUGGAGGUUAUGGACUACAGAACCCGUUACCCAAAUUUAUCUGUUUGUCCCUUGCAUGUGGUUUGUGAAACUGCAGAACUAUUUUUGUAUUGAUAUGUCCAACUAUUUGUGUAUCUGACUAUCUGUGUCCACUUCAACUUCUGAUUAUGCUAUGUGAAGUACUAAUUCUGUUUCGAUAAUCAGCAUUAAUCCUUUGCAGAAAGCCUAGAUUUUGUGAGCCAGCCGCAAGUAAAAUGGUCUGCAUCGUCAAAUCUCAGGUUAGAGCAACUCCAACAAAUCCCGUAUCUGUAAAAUAACAGAAAAAAACAUCUCCAACAAAUCAUGUAUCUCUAAAAUAACAAAAAAUCUCCAAUAAAUCCGGUAAACAUGGAAUAAAUUUCCAGGGUCAUGGUGCCACCGCCGCCUGUGCUGCGCCGCACCGCCUUGUCACGCCACCGCCGUCGCCUCGCCGCCCCCAUGACCACGUCUCGCCGGCGGCCACCGACUACCUCGCGCCUCCCUUGCCAGUGGCUGUCGUGCGUGUCACUGCCUGGGGAGCCCCAGGCCAUUAUCUAGUUCUGUUUUAUGAAAAUUAAAAAUGAAAACCUAUUUUAGGGGAAGAAGUUUAUGGGAUCUGACAAAGUAGCUAUCGUGAAACUUCCCUUAAAAUAUACGAACAUCCUGUAAAACUAGUAGUUCGGGAAAUUUCUUAGAGGAACCGAGCUGCUCUAAGAGCAACUUCAAUAGAUGCCCUGUUCAUAAAAAAGCUACAUUUAGAGGAAGUUUGGGCAAAAACAAACAUAAAAAAGCUACAUUUAGGGGAAGUUUGGGCAAAAACAAACGUCCACAACAGAACCUGUAAACCCGAAAUAUAUUUAGGAUCCUAUAAACUCGACCGACCCCAAGUUCCCUCUUGUUUAGGAAGAUGACCUUCGCCUAAAACGUUGGUGGGCUAAAAAAAACCCUGACACUUCACCAUGCAUUCCCCCACGUCGUCACCGCUUCGCCUCAGCACCUGCCCGCCACCAUUGCCGCCUUGCCGCCCUCGCGAUGUUGCUGCCACCUCGCGUCACUACCACCGCGCCACCACCGACUUUCGGGCCCUAGGCCAUCAGAUGCGUCAAAUUUUCGGCCUGUUGGUCCCAAUCGAUUCAUUGUUCAGGCGUUUUGCCUUGGAGACAAGGAACACAUAAGGAUGCAGGCCUUGGCUAUUCCACAACUAGGUAGUCUUGUUGUGCCCAUAUGAUGCGGAUAAAAAAUGCUCCACUUAUGGACCACACUUACGGAAACUCUCCUACGGACAGACUUGGCAGAGACUAAUUCAUCAGUAACCCCUGGAUUUCAGGUGUGGAGCCCUCCUGUCCCUAAUCUAAUAAUGCCACUUCCACCCGUAGAAAAAUGAUUGUAAGUGUAGCAUUGCUCAUGACGGAUUUAGCAGAGAUGAGGACGUUGAUUUUGUUCAUAUGCCUAUAUGGCUACAAACCCAUAAGUUGCUAGAUUUUUAAUGCAAGAAGAACAUUGUGGAGAAACUUUUUUUGAAGCGGAGGCAAAAGCUUUGGCUCAUGUCAUUAAUAAAGAAGAAGAGAAUUGUCCUGUUAAUUAACGCAAAACCGAACAAAAACGGCAAAACACCCUCUCCGGCAGUAACACGACAACCUCGAGGGAAUACCAGCCAACCUGGCUACCAACACAAGGCGCACACACACCACCAAAGAGAGAGCCGCAAUCAAGGUUGUCCACCAGGGUCAUCGUCAUCACUCCUCCUCGAGCCAGCGACUCUGACUUCACCGAAGAAAGCCUGGUCGCAGUGGCUUCGCGAACCCACGCCGGCACAUGCCAAACAGUUGACUCUUCGCGUAGAGGACUGUCAGCUCCGAUUUUGAUGAAGUGAUCGGAAGAAGAUAUAUGCAAAGCUCGCGCCGAUGAAGAUCUUCAUGACAGGACCGCCCAACGCAGGCACAAUACACGGCAGCUCCGACUUCCAGCAAUGGAAGACCAACACAAAGACCCGUCGGACAUGCUGGAACAAGCGCCGACUACCAAGUUGUUGUCGCGACCAAACCAUCACUCUUCAUCGCCAUCGUUGUUGCGCAAGACAUCACACGGGAUCCACGCAUCUCCGAUUGGCCACCUACCAGUCGCGACACCGUGUGCGUCUAGCCCACCAAGAAAUGUUGAUGGGAGCAAGAUUUUCAAGGCGACGCCCCAAAGGAGGAGGACGACGCCCGUCGCUUGACCGGACUGGUCUAGGAUUUCCCUUGAAAAGCUUACCCUAACGAUGGGAGAGGUCGAAGAAGACUCCGUGGCGACGCCUCCAAGGAGGAGAGCGAUGCCACAGGUGUCGGCGCCGCUGUCCGGCAAGAGUCGGGCAAGCUUUCACUUGGAGCCUUCUGGACCACCAUCCCCAUUCCAUUGACGCAAGCCGGCCCACACUUCCACUAGCCUGCACUGUCAGGACCCCGACUCAAUGCCACAUCGAUCUAGCAUGUAACACCUCAUAUCACUUUGCGGCCUCACGCACGGUAUUCCCACGGGUGUCGCCUUACCUUAGCCCGGGACCGUUUGCGCCUUUUGGCACACGUAUAUGACGGUGUCGCUAGCAUCCAUAUGAUAAGGAGCCCGGGCUGACAUGGCUAGUCGUAAACCCAAAGUGGCACAGACUUACAGGGACAGGCAUUCAUGACCCAGCAUCGAACGUGUCGGUCAUCAGCGAGUGAAUCCAGGCUGUAGCACUGGGCUAGCAGGACUCCGGUGAACCGGGCUGUAGCGGGCUAACAGGACUCCGGUAUUCAUCGCGUGACAUUUCCCCGAAGGGACAGACACAGGAACGAAGAAGGACACAUGCCGGCCAGCCUGAGUGUUCCGGAGCAGUAGCAAGCUACCAAGGCUCAAUGGAAACACUAGGAGACAUUUCCCGGUAAGAGAUGCUACUAAAGAUAAACAACUAGAUGGUCAGAUCCCACACAUACCAAGCAUUUCAAUAGCAUACACACAAUAUGCUCGAUAUGUGCAAAUACAACAUGGCAUCACAACAUGACUCUACGACUCAAGUAAUUUAUUCAAUAGGCUCCGAGGAGCGAGAUAUUACAAACAUGGGUCUCAUGACCCAACAAUCAGAGCAUACAAGUCAAAGCACAUGCGGAAGCUUAACAUGUCUGAGUACAGACAUCUAUAAAUGAAAAAGGCUGAGAAGCCUGACUAUCUACCAAUCCUGCCGAGGCACAAGAUCGUAGCUGAGGUAACAAGCUAAACGUCGAAGACCACGCGGAAUUACUAGUGAGACUGAAGUCUCUCUGCAAAAACAUAAAAUAGGCAAACGUGAGUACAAAUGUACCCAGCAAGACUUACAUCAGAACUAUCUACAUAUGCAUCAUUAUCAACAAAGGGGUGGUGGGGUUUAACUGCAGCAAGCCAGCUUUGACUCGGUGGCUAUCCUAAACUACGACUGCAAUGUAACUCUUUUGAGGUGGCGCACACGAGUCCACAUAUUCACCAACCAAUACACCACUAUGGAUCCGCUCCCGUCUCCCUACGAGAACGCCAUCCAUAGCACUCACGCUUAUCUUGCGUAUUUUAGAGUAUCCACUUUCACUUGUCUAUGAACUGAUAUAAGCAACCCAGAAGUCCUUUUCCGCGGACACGGCUAUUCGAAUAGAUCAUAUUAACCCUGCAGGGGUGUACUUCUUCAUACAUGUUUCCACCACUUAGCGUCUGCACACGACAUGUGCUCGGCAGACUUCAAGCGAAAGCCGACAUGGGUGUAGACCACGACCUACCUAAACACUCAAGUCUCUAGUCCAGGUUUAUCGCCUAUUCGGGUUCCAUCCAUGAGGAGAUCCGGCCGGAGUUUCGCUCACAGCCCCAAACGAUGUGAACAGGGUUCCCGAGACACCAAACGGGCGCCCGGUACACCGUGCCACGUGCCUACCGCAUCACAGCCCACCCCUACGGUCAGCGCUGCGCACGGCCUCCAGCAUACUACAAACACCAGAAACUACUUGCAACUCCUGGACAGAGGACAAGGGUGAUUAAGAAGCCGAGAGGGUCCAUUGGUUUCGGGCCCAAUGCGUGGUAGUAGCUGAAUCAUGGAUCACAAACACAGAACUCAGUUCCUGAGGACGGCUGCAAUGAGACAACCCACCAUGUACUCCUACAUGGCCUCUCAUCGCUACCUUUACCAAAUCGUGUUCACACACUUAGCUCACACACAGUAGGACAUGUUCACACGCCUCUGAUUCAUCCCCGAUGAAUCAGACCUGACUCAACUCUAAGCAGUAGCAGGCAUGACAAACAAACAUGAAGGAGUAGGCACAACAGGGCUCAAACAACUCCUACUCAUGCUAGUGGGUUUCAUCUAAUUACUGUGGAAUGACAGGUCAUGCAGAGGAUAAAGGGGUUCAGCUACCGCAGCAAGUAAUAGAUGAAUCGAUGUUGUCCUAAUGCAGUAAAAGAGAGCAGGAGCGAGAGAGUAGGAUUGUAUCGGAAUGAACAAGGGGGUUUUGCUUGCCUGGCACUUCUGAAGAUAACAUUGAGUCUUCGUCAGUGUCAACGAUCACAUCAUCGGUAUCACGUCUAUCGAGAGGGGACAAAUACCGGCAACAUAGAAGGGAACACAAUCAAUGCAAUGCACAAUAUGAUGCAUGAUCAUGACAUGGCAAAAUGAAUGUGUUUUGAGCUAAUGCAACUAGCAACAGAUUAAAUGAAGUUGGUUUGAAUACAAGAUUCAAAUUUAAACUCCAUAUGUGAUUAUUCAAAUGCCAUUUAAUUGAUUUGUGCUAAACAGCAGCUAUAAGUUGUUCUAACAUGCAUGAAAAUGGUACAGAUGGAUUCCUUGAAUUUUUCUGAUAAUUUUCAUAUAUAAUUUAUUUAAUUUGGAGUUACAGUUAAUUUUCUAUGAUUUAUUGAAGUUUAGGGCAUUUUCUGAAAAUAAUAAAUCAUUUAAGAAUUAUUUAAAUUCCAGAAAGGAAUUAUUGCGUCAUCAUGACCUCAUAGUGACGUCAGCAGGUCAACGGGGCAGGUUUAGGUCAAACCUGACCAGUGGGGUCCACUGGUCAGUGACUGGGGCUGAUUAGUGUCGCUGACAUGUGGGCCCAGUCAACAGCCACGUCAGCUUAGUCAAAGCUGACGCGUGGGGCCACUAGGAUUAGUUAAAAACUAAACAGAAACUAAUCUAGGAUUAAUUAGCAGGUGGUGCCCUGCUGUCAGUGUCACAGGGUUAAUUAGCAGGGUCAAAUCCCGGGUCAGUGGGGUCAAACCCACCAGCGACAUGACGCCGGCGAGGCCCGAGACGGCGGCGCGAGCCGGAAACGCGCUACAGGGCACGGGCGAGGCUGUGCUUGGGCUCGUUGGAGAGCCCUUGCUGGUGCGCAUCGAAUGGUGGUGGUGGCCGUGCCUGUGGUGGCCGGUACCGACGACGGCGAGCUCGUGAGCGGCGGCCGGAGUUCGGCCAACGGCGGGUUAGGCGAUGCAGGGCGCUAGGGGAGGCGUUGGUGCGUGCUACGUGCUCCUGGUGAGGUGUGGAGCACGAUGGUGUGCCCAGCUUCGAGCCACAGUGGCUCUGGCCACGACGGCGACGAGGCACGGCCGUGGUGGAAGAUGGAGCUAGGGGACGAAAUCAGGUGCGGGGAGUGAGGGGAAGAGAAGAGGAGCUCACGGGGAGUCGGACGAGACGCUGAGUGGGCUCGGGGACGUCCUGUCGGUGGCGAAUCGAACGGCGGCGAUUGCCGGCCGUGGCGAUGAAGAUGGCGGUGNNNNNNNNNNNNNNNNNNNNNNNNNNNNNNNNNNNNNNNNNNNNNNNNNNNNNNNNNNNNNNNNNNNNNNNNNNNNNNNNNNNNNNNNNNNNNNNNNNNNNNNNNNNNNNNNNNNNNNNNNNNNNNNNNNNNNNNNNNNNNNNNNNNNNNNNNNNNNNNNNNNNNNNNNNNNNNNNNNNNNNNNNNNNNNNNNNNNNNNNNNNNNNNNNNNNNNNNNNNNNNNNNNNNNNNNNNNNNNNNNNNNNNNNNNNNNNNNNNNNNNNNNNNNNNNNNNNNNNNNNNNNNNNNNNNNNNNNNNNNNNNNNNNNNNNNNNNNNNNNNNNNNNNNNNNNNNNNNNNNNNNNNNNNNNNNNNNNNNNNNNNNNNNNNNNNNNNNNNNNNNNNNNNNNNNNNNNNNNNNNNNNNNNNNNNNNNNNNNNNNNNNNNNNNNNNNNNNNNNNNNNNNNNNNNNNNNNNNNNNNNNNNNNNNNNNNNNNNNNNNNNNNNNNNNNNNNNNNNNNNNNNNNNNNNNNNNNNNNNNNNNNNNNNNNNNNNNNNNNNNNNNNNNNNNNNNNNNNNNNNNNNNNNNNNNNNNNNNNNNNNNNNNNNNNNNNNNNNNNNNNNNNNNNNNNNNNNNNNNNNNNNNNNNNNNNNNNNNNNNNNNNNNNNNNNNNNNNNNNNNNNNNNNNNNNNNNNNNNNNNNNNNNNNNNNNNNNNNNNNNNNNNNNNNNNNNNNNNNNNNNNNNNNNNNNNNNNCACCAGGUGGGGCGCUAGGUGGGCUGCAGGUAAGUGGCCCAGGUAGGCUUCUGUUCUUUUUUUAUUUCUGUUCUGUUUUUUUAUUUAAUCUUUUGCCACUGUUUUGAAAUAAAACAAAUUCAAAGACAGUGACAAAAUUCCCCUGAACAUUUUAUUUAGCACAAUGGAAUUAUACCAAAGCACAUAAAAAUGUUUCAGUUAUUUGAACAUAUAUUCAGUAAUAUUUGGAUAUAAGUUCAAAUUCAAAAUAGUAUUGAUUUAAAUUCAAAGUCCCAAAAUAAAUCCUUUUAAAAUGUUCAUUAUUUUUGGUUUGGAUCAAAACCCUUGCCAAAAAUAUUAAACAUCUAAGAAGAGCACUUUGGAGCAAUGAAUGAGAUUUCUAGGGUUUUUGCCCCUCUUUUAUUAAAUUUUUGAGGCUUCCAACAAUCCUCAACUCAUGUUUCAGAAAUUUAAAUAUGAUGCCUGGAUGAAGAUGCAACUAUUUACAAACAAUAUUCUAGGGCUGUGACAACUCACCCCCACUAAACAAAAAUCUCGUCCCGAGAUUCAAGCGUAGGGUAAGGUGAAGGGGGAACGCAAACUAGUACAAUCUUCACGAUCCAGGUUGCACUUCAUAGGAACGUUGAUUCGAUCACCAUCUUUGUCUUGUCGUCUUGUUCUGAGAACUCCAAUUGACAUGACAAUGAGAGGAAAGGGAAACUCUAGCAGGAUCGAUCUUCUAGAAGACCGAACAACUCACGGAAUGAGACAUAGAGCCAUCUCUCGGGUUGAGACACGAGAUACACAUCAAGAGGGGUGGAAAGAAACGGAUGACGAAGGUUCACUAGGUGGACAACAAUUUCACGCUUAAGAAGGUGGUAAACGAUUGCCCACGUAGCGAGGAGUUGAGUUGCCAUGAUACGACGACAAAACAUCCUGGAGGAGGGUGAUUCGUAGAUUAUUGCCUUAAGUGGCAAAAAGAAUUACCUUUGAUUCAAAGAUCAUUGAAACUCUUUAUACCAGCCUAAGGCAAUCACAAGCGAUCAUUUGGAGGGGGUCGGUAGAAUGGCAUACUCGGACUUGGAUGAUGUGGAUUACCUUGUUGAAGACAACGUAAUGGACGAGUUUGCUUAUCACCGGAAAUGGAAGAGACCCAUGGUAGAAUGGCACAAUGGCGGUGCAAGCUAGGAACAAAAUGCAAAUGCUAGGAAUGAUUCUGGUAACUGGGGAAGAACCCAACAAUAGAGAGUGGAUUCACUGUUUGAAAGGGUCAUAGCAUUGCCGAGGGAACUGAGAGCAAACCCAGUUAGUGCCAAUGGUAACACGUAGCGCUUGUGCGUGCUCUGAAGAACUUGAGCAUUUCCAUAUUCAUCAAGGUUUUACCAACAUCCGUGUCAAGGAUCCUGGCAACACAACUUGCUACCAUGAUGAAUGAUGAUGGAUGAUGCAGAUGCAAAGGAAGAUAACACUUCUCAGAUUUCUUCUUAGCGAGGCCAAGGAAAUAAAAUCUGGAUGAUCGACCGAGAGACAUUUAGCACUCCGCUUCUAAUGUUCUCCUUGAUGUGCUAGUGUAUCCCAUUCAUAGAUAUGGUUUGACAACUAGAACAUCAAGUAAAAGGUCGGACUUCGGGAGCAAUAGAAUCCAUAAGGAACAGUUACGGAGGUAAAUCCUACGAAAUCCUUAUGGGGAGGUGGCCAACUUCUUCAAUCAAGAUACUACAAUAAUAGGUCUUUCGGCUGGGUGGUGCUGGCCACGAAAUCCACCUUACCAGUUAUCGAGGAACCAAUAUUAUAGUUCUUGGGGAAAUGUUCCAACCAUCAUAUCUGCCUGAGAUUCAGAUCUGGUUGGUGUCAGAAUAUUCCAGACCCAUCGAGUCUAGGAAGAAAAAUGAAAGUUUGCAACACAAAUCGACGAGAUGACGUUGCGGGAUUCUCGAGAGAUGAACUACGAUAGCAAGCUCCAAAACAUGAGCUGGUUCUACUACAAACAUGUGAACACGUUGUCCCAGACAAGCAUGACCACAAAGUAGUCUUAUAAUAAAACACUACCGAGUUCAGGAGGGGGAACCAUCAUUAAUGACAUCGAAGUCUCCACGCGUGGAAGUCCAAAGAGUUCACCUUGGACAGACUCCUUUAUCUUUGAACAACUCAAUCAGUGGCUUGGUGUGCUCGGAACACAUAUGGAAUGAAGGUUGCAAGUCUCCAGACCACAGAAUACUUCGCACGUAUGCAUGACUGACUUGGGAUGAUUCCAGAGGAAGCAAAACUAACUUUCUCAAAUCCAUGGCGGCAACUUUCACCAAAUGCACGUGUAUAAGAGGAAGUCACUCCUUUCAUCAAACAAAUACUUCAUGAGCUAGCAUGAAGAAAAUGUCUUCAAAAGUUUCCAACACUAGCUUAAUGUUCAACAAAAUCAUGGAGGAGAUAAGGAUGUUGUCAAUGGGCUCAACAACAAUUCAUCUGGGUUUCCUUUUAAAAGGAAUUCCAUAGUUAAGUGAACAAGUGAUAGCAUGGGUCAGACCCAAAAGAUAUAAUGGUGUAUACUCGAGGGAUCAACCACGAGUAAGACAACAUUACGAAUAUCGUUGGUUCUGGUCUGAUUGGAUGAUAGCCCACACUCAAUCACAGGAUUGAUAAGACAAUAGGUCCAGCAACUGAUCACAGGGACCAAUCGAUGAAGAUAUCAUCUUUCUUCAACACACACUACACAAGAAUAUCCCUUUGGGACGAACUAAGUCAGGCAAGCUUUUAUCUUCCAACCCUCCAAGUUGUUGUCUAGCUUAACCAACUAGCUCAGGGAUAUCCAACACAGAUUCUUGGAGAAGGGUGGUUCACAAGAAACCAACUUGAUCACGAGCUCAACACAGCGGUUAGGUGACAACCUGGUAAUACUUCCAAGAAGAUCCUCGGAAAAUCACGAACCACCGAUAUAUUACUAAGCUCGAGAACAAUCUUGCUUUUGAGGGCAAGACGAUAUGAUCAAAUGAGUGAGGACUUGACAAGAUCCUAACUCAUCAAUCGAAGGGUGCACCGGAAAUAAGGACUAGAUAGCACGAUAAGUCUUAGAAUGAUGAUUCAAGAACCAACACGCUAAGAAUGAAAUUAUUAUCCUUUAACUACCAAGCAACAGAGUUGCUAGCAGUAUUGAUUUCACACGCCAUGAUUCAUUUGUCGGCAUUCCGGUUACAAUAACACAGGAACCGAGGAAUGAACAAUGAUGGCAAAAGUAUCACUGUACCAAGAGUUCAUAGGAUGGUGUGCAAUUCCUAUAACAAUCCCGAUAUAAAAGAUGGUAAUACUCCAAGGUAGAACAGAGCAAAAGCUGGAUUGGCAUUUGAUCUGCGGAAUACAACUACUUUGACCCAAUCCUAGAUAUGGAUGAGGUACUGGAGUUUGUUUCUCCUACUCAUUCCGCGAUAGAAUGGCUUGACAGACCACAAAAGUAAUAGGCAUCGAUAAACGAACGCACGCAUACUGUUGACUAUCAAUUGAUAGGCGAGGGUCGGAAACAACUAAGAUGGGACAACUCAAAAGAACAUAUGAUUUUCUGAGUUGUGGAUGCAUGGAUUAGCAUGUCGAACGAAGUUCAACAUAUUUCUUCCGGAUAACCCAUGCAGAAAGGUAGAACUGGCAGAGCCACAAUAUAUAAUGGAGAACUCAUCAAGAAUAAUCCCGUUGUGAUAUUUCAGUUCAACGAGGAACUUCUGCCAUAAGUAGUUCAUGGUAUUUGGAAGAAGAAGAUACCACGGACUUCAAGGACUAUCGCAAAGGUUACUAAUAUCCUAAAGGCACUAGCAAUUACUAUCAACAUGAAGUAGGUAGAGUGAAUCUCGGGUUCAGAACCCAGGAGUAGAAUACCUACUACUAAGUAGCAUCACGGGAUGCUUUCGAGAAUAAAGGCCAGAAUCUCACACUGGGAACACAGAUCAUGGCUCGACCACUAGAUGAUCCCCUAAGCACUUAGGGUCAUAAUAAUAAUUCCAACAUAUAUGUCAAGGCAAUAAUUAUCUCAACACACCGAUUAGUGUGGUUAAUCUGGCCCAAAGGAACAUCGAGGCGGGAGGAAGGAAUUUGCAAAUUGCUUCAAACUAUUUAGAAACCUGGGAUGACUCGGACAGCAUAACGGCUAUAAUUGCUCAAAAAGAUUUGAGACAAUCACAAAAUGGUGGCAUAACCACUCAGGAGCACAAUAUCAAGGUUUCGAGAUCAAUAGUUAACAUACAGAAGAUAAUAGGAACUGAACUGAGGCUUGAAUCAACAAUCUUAUAAGUCUACGAAUUAGUAACACGUGAUCCUGAUAGAAAGAAGAGAUAGCCUAGUUCUUAAUCCCCGUAGAAGAGAAGAUGAUGACUCAGAUCAGAAGGCCAUGAGGUAUAAGGAGUAAAAAGAGCCUUACGUUCCAUCCCACAAUCAAUUCCCUUAUAUAACUAAAGAAUUUCUAGACUCGACUUCGACCAAUUUGGCUUGGUAAUCCUAUAGGCAGUCAAGCUCUGAUACCAACGCUGUUAGGACCCCGACUCAAUGCCACAUCGAUCUAGCAUGUAACACCUCAUAUCACUUUGCGGCCUCACGCACGGUAUUCCCACGGGUGUCGCCUUACCUUAGCCCGGGACCGUUUGCGCCUUUUGGCACACGUAUAUGACGGUGUCGCUAGCAUCCAUAUGAUAAGGAGCCCGGGCUGACAUGGCUAGUUGUAAACCCAAAGUGGCACAGACUUACAGGGACAGGCAUUCAUGACCCAGCAUCGAACGUGUCGGUCAUCAGCGAGUGAAUCCAGGCUGUAGCACUGGGCUAGCAGGACUCCGGUGAACCGGGCUGUAGCGGGCUAACAGGACUCCGGUAUUCAUCGCGUGACAUUUCCCCGAAGGGACAGACACAGGAACGAAGAAGGACACAUGCCGGCCAGCCUGAGUGUUCCGGAGCAGUAGCAAGCUACCAAGGCUCAAUGGAAACACUAGGAGACAUUUCCCGGUAAGAGAUGCUACUAAAGAUAAACAACUAGAUGGUCAGAUCCCACACAUACCAAGCAUUUCAAUAGCAUACACACAAUAUGCUCGAUAUGUGCAAAUACAACAUGGCAUCACAACAUGACUCUACGACUCAAGUAAUUUAUUCAAUAGGCUCCGAGGAGCGAGAUAUUACAAACAUGGGUCUCAUGACCCAACAAUCAGAGCAUACAAGUCAAAGCACAUGCGGAAGCUUAACAUGUCUGAGUACAGACAUCUAUAAAUGAAAAAGGCUGAGAAGCCUGACUAUCUACCAAUCCUGCCGAGGCACAAGAUCGUAGCUGAGGUAACAAGCUAAACGUCGAAGACCACGCGGAAUUACUAGUGAGACUGAAGUCUCUCUGCAAAAACAUAAAAUAGGCAAACGUGAGUACAAAUGUACCCAGCAAGACUUACAUCAGAACUAUCUACAUAUGCAUCAUUAUCAACAAAGGGGUGGUGGGGUUUAACUGCAGCAAGCCAGCUUUGACUCGGUGGCUAUCCUAAACUACGACUGCAAUGUAACUCUUUUGAGGUGGCGCACACGAGUCCACAUAUUCACCAACCAAUACACCACUAUGGAUCCGCUCCCGUCUCCCUACGAGAACGCCAUCCAUAGCACUCACGCUUAUCUUGCGUAUUUUAGAGUAUCCACUUUCACUUGUCUAUGAACUGAUAUAAGCAACCCAGAAGUCCUUUUCCGCGGACACGGCUAUUCGAAUAGAUCAUAUUAACCCUGCAGGGGUGUACUUCUUCAUACAUGUUUCCACCACUUAGCGUCUGCACACGACAUGUGCUCGGCAGACUUCAAGCGAAAGCCGACAUGGGUGUAGACCACGACCUACCUAAACACUCAAGUCUCUAGUCCAGGUUUAUCGCCUAUUCGGGUUCCAUCCAUGAGGAGAUCCGGCCGGAGUUUCGCUCACAGCCCCAAACGAUGUGAACAGGGUUCCCGAGACACCAAACGGGCGCCCGGUACACCGUGCCACGUGCCUACCGCAUCACAGCCCACCCCUACGGUCAGCGCUGCGCACGGCCUCCAGCAUACUACAAACACCAGAAACUACUUGCAACUCCUGGACAGAGGACAAGGGUGAUUAAGAAGCCGAGAGGGUCCAUUGGUUUCGGGCCCAAUGCGUGGUAGUAGCUGAAUCAUGGAUCACAAACACAGAACUCAGUUCCUGAGGACGGCUGCAAUGAGACAACCCACCAUGUACUCCUACAUGGCCUCUCAUCGCUACCUUUACCAAAUCGUGUUCACACACUUAGCUCACACACAGUAGGACAUGUUCACACGCCUCUGAUUCAUCCCCGAUGAAUCAGACCUGACUCAACUCUAAGCAGUAGCAGGCAUGACAAACAAACAUGAAGGAGUAGGCACAACAGGGCUCAAACAACUCCUACUCAUGCUAGUGGGUUUCAUCUAAUUACUGUGGAAUGACAGGUCAUGCAGAGGAUAAAGGGGUUCAGCUACCGCAGCAAGUAAUAGAUGAAUCGAUGUUGUCCUAAUGCAGUAAAAGAGAGCAGGAGCGAGAGAGUAGGAUUGUAUCGGAAUGAACAAGGGGGUUUUGCUUGCCUGGCACUUCUGAAGAUAACAUUGAGUCUUCGUCAGUGUCAACGAUCACAUCAUCGGUAUCACGUCUAUCGAGAGGGGACAAAUACCGGCAACAUAGAAGGGAACACAAUCAAUGCAAUGCACAAUAUGAUGCAUGAUCAUGACAUGGCAAAAUGAAUGUGUUUUGAGCUAAUGCAACUAGCAACAGAUUAAAUGAAGUUGGUUUGAAUACAAGAUUCAAAUUUAAACUCCAUAUGUGAUUAUUCAAAUGCCAUUUAAUUGAUUUGUGCUAAACAGCAGCUAUAAGUUGUUCUAACAUGCAUGAAAAUGGUACAGAUGGAUUCCUUGAAUUUUUCUGAUAAUUUUCAUAUAUAAUUUAUUUAAUUUGGAGUUACAGUUAAUUUUCUAUGAUUUAUUGAAGUUUAGGGCAUUUUCUGAAAAUAAUAAAUCAUUUAAGAAUUAUUUAAAUUCCAGAAAGGAAUUAUUGCGUCAUCAUGACCUCAUAGUGACGUCAGCAGGUCAACGGGGCAGGUUUAGGUCAAACCUGACCAGUGGGGUCCACUGGUCAGUGACUGGGGCUGAUUAGUGUCGCUGACAUGUGGGCCCAGUCAACAGCCACGUCAGCUUAGUCAAAGCUGACGCGUGGGGCCACUAGGAUUAGUUAAAAACUAAACAGAAACUAAUCUAGGAUUAAUUAGCAGGUGGUGCCCUGCUGUCAGUGUCACAGGGUUAAUUAGCAGGGUCAAAUCCCGGGUCAGUGGGGUCAAACCCACCAGUGACAUGACGCCGGCGAGGCCCGAGACGGCGGCGCGAGCCGGAAACGCGCUACACGGCACGGGCGAGGCUGUGCUUGGGCUCGUUGGAGAGCCCUUGCUGGUGCGCAUCGAAUGGUGGUGGUGGCCGUGCCUGUGGUGGCCGGUACCGACGACGGCGAGCUCGUGAGCGGCGGCCGGAGUUCGGCCAACGGCGGGUUAGGCGAUGCAGGGCGCUAGGGGAGGCGUUGGUGCGUGCUACGUGCUCCUGGUGAGGUGUGGAGCACGAUGGUGUGCCCAGCUUCGAGCCACAGUGGCUCUGGCCACGACGGCGACGAGGCACGGCCGUGGUGGAAGAUGGAGCUAGGGGACGAAAUCAGGUGCGGGGAGUGAGGGGAAGAGAAGAGGAGCUCACGGGGAGUCGGACGAGACGCUGAGUGGGCUCGGGGACGUCCUGUCGGUGGCGAAUCGAACGGCGGCGAUUGCCGGCCGUGGCGAUGAAGAUGGCGGUGAUGGCGUGGCUACAGGGCACCCGGCGUCGCAUGCGUCGUGGUGGAGCUUCAUGGGGUCGGGACGGAGCUCAGGGGUGUGGAGAGGGAGCGAGGGGGUGGCUGUGGCCGCGAGGGAGCUCGUCGGUGACGGCGGCUCCGUUCGGUCCAGGCGGAAGAGAGGGAGCAGAGGAGGGAGGGUCGAGGGGGGAGAGUGAGCGAAACGGUCAGCGGGAUCGGGACGGCCUGCGGGAGUCGUCCACGCGGCCAGGGGCUCGUCGGCAAGCAGGAGGUGGCCGCGCGGCCGUGCGCGUGCGAGCACGCAGCUGCUUCGGGGCGAGGGGAGGAAGACGACGGAGGGCUGCAGUGGUGGGCUGGGCCGGCUUCUGCUGGGCCACCAGGUGGGUGGGCCUCAGGUAAGCGUCGGGUAAGUUUUCUCUGCUCUGUCUUUUACUUAUUGUUUUCUAUUUUUUUCUGCAGCUUUGUGGCUUUAUUAAAAAUACUAAAUCAACCCCAAAAAUCAUGCAACUGCUCAUGACCACUGUUAGAAAUAUAUCCUACAGUAAACAUUUCAGUUUGGGAUUAUUUGAGCAUUUAAAAUAUUUUAUAGUAUUUAAAUGCCCAAAUGCAAAUAAGUAAUGAUUUAAAUUCAAAGUCCCAAAAAUAAAUCCUUUUAAAAUGUUCAUCAUUUUUGGUUUGGAUCAAAACCCUUGCCAAAAAUAUUAAACAUCNNNNNNNNNNNNNNNNNNNNNNNNNNNNNNNNNNNNNNNNNNNNNNNNNNNNNNNNNNNNNNNNNNNNNNNNNNNNNNNNNNNNNNNNNNNNNNNNNNNNNNNNNNNNNNNNNNNNNNNNNNNNNNNNNNNNNNNNNNNNNNNNNNNNNNNNNNNNNNNNNNNNNNNNNNNNNNNNNNNNNNNNNNNNNNNNNNNNNNNNNNNNNNNNNNNNNNNNNNNNNNNNNNNNNNNNNNNNNNNNNNNNNNNNNNNNNNNNNNNNNNNNNNNNNNNNNNNNNNNNNNNNNNNNNNNNNNNNNNNNNNNNNNNNNNNNNNNNNNNNNNNNNNNNNNNNNNNNNNNNNNNNNNNNNNNNNNNNNNNNNNNNNNNNNNNNNNNNNNNNNNNNNNNNNNNNNNNNNNNNNNNNNNNNNNNNNNNNNNNNNNNNNNNNNNNNNNNNNNNNNNNNNNNNNNNNNNNNNNNNNNNNNNNNNNNNNNNNNNNNNNNNNNNNNNNNNNNNNNNNNNNNNNNNNNNNNNNNNNNNNNNNNNNNNNNNNNNNNNNNNNNNNNNNNNNNNNNNNNNNNNNNNNNNNNNNNNNNNNNNNNNNNNNNNNNNNNNNNNNNNNNNNNNNNNNNNNNNNNNNNNNNNNNNNNNNNNNNNNNNNNNNNCACCAGGUGGGGCGCUAGGUGGGCUGCAGGUAAGUGGCCCAGGUAGGCUUCUGUUCUUUUUUUAUUUCUGUUCUGUUUUUUUAUUUAAUCUUUUGCCACUGUUUUGAAAUAAAACAAAUUCAAAGACAGUGACAAAAUUCCCCUGAACAUUUUAUUUAGCACAAUGGAAUUAUACCAAAGCACAUAAAAAUGUUUCAGUUAUUUGAACAUAUAUUCAGUAAUAUUUGGAUAUAAGUUCAAAUUCAAAAUAAUAUUGAUUUAAAUUCAAAGUCCCAAAAUAAAUCCUUUUAAAAUGUUCAUUAUUUUUGGUUUGGAUCAAAACCCUUGCCAAAAAUAUUAAACAUCUAAGAAGAGCACUUUGGAGCAAUGAAUGAGAUUUCUAGGGUUUUUGCCCCUCUUUUAUUUAAGUUUUUGAGGCUUCCAACAAUCCUCAACUCAUGUUUCAGAAAUUUAAAUAUGAUGCCUGGAUGAAGAUGCAACUAUUUACAAACAAUAUUCUAGGGCUGUGACAUGCACACUCCCGACACGGCGACCGCAGAAGGAAAUAUGCCCUAGAGGCAAUAAUAAAGUUGUUAUUUAUAUUUCCGUAUAUCAUGAUAAAUGUUUAUUAUUCAUGCUAGAAUUGUAUUAACUGGAAACUUAGUACAUGUGUGAAUACAUAGACAAACAGAGUAUCCCUAGUAUGCCUCUACUAGACUAGCUCGUUAAUCAAAGAUGGUUAAGUUUCCUAACCAUAAACAUGUGUUGUCAUUUGAUGAACGGGAUCACAUCAUUAGAGAAUGAUGUGAUGGACAAGACCCAUCUGUUAGCUUAGCACUAUGAUCGUUUAGUUUAUUGCUAUUGCUUUCUUCAUGACUUAUACAUGUUCCUAUGACUAUGAGAUUAUGCAACUCCCAAUACCGAAGGAACACUUAAUGUGCUAUCAAACGUCACUACAUAACUGGGUGAUUAUAAAGAUGCUCUACAGGUGUCUCCGAUGGUGUUUGUUGAGUUGGCAUAGAUCGAGAUUAGGAUUUGUCACUCCGAGUGUGGGAGAGGUAUCUCUGGGCCCUCUCGGUAAUGCUCAUCACUAUAAGCCUUGCAAGCAAUGUGAUUAAUGAGUUAGUUGCGGGAUGAUGCAUUACGGAACGAGUAAAGAGACUUGUCGGUAACGAGAUUGAACUAGGUAUGAUGAUACCGACGAUCGAAUCUCGGGCAAGUAACAUACCGAUGACAAAGGGAACAACGUAUGUUUGUUAUGCGGUUUGAUCGAUAAAGAUCUUCAUAAAAUAUAUAGGAGCCAAUAUGAGCAUCCAGGUUCCACUAUUGGUUAUUGACCAGAGAUGUGUCUCGGUCAUGUCUACAUAGUUCUCGAAUCCGUAGGGCCGCAUGCUUAAUGUUCGAUGACGAUUUAUAUUAUGAGUUAUGUGAUUUGAUGUACCAAAGUUUGUUCAGAGUCCCGGAUGAGAUCACAAACAUAACGAGGAGUCUCAAAAUGGUCGAGACAUAAAGAUUCAUAUAUUGGAAGGUUACAUUUGGACACCGGAAUGGUUCGGGUCGUUUCGGAUGAGUUUCGGAGUACCUGGGGUUACCGGAACCCCCCGGGAAGUUAUUGGGCCUCAUGGGCUGAUAAUCCCCAAGUGCAGGGAAUCAUCGUAGCAAUUUCCAAAGGUGGAAGUGAUAAGUAUGGAGUGUCGAACCCACAAGGAGCUAAAGGUAAGAUCAAUAUUCUCUCAAGUCCUAUCUGCCACUGAUACGACUCUACGUACACCGAACGUUUGCUUCCAACUAGAUACGAGAAAUAAAACUAUGUUGUGGGUAUGAAGAGGAUAACUUUGCAUAAUAUCAGAGAGCUAAAAUAUAAAAGUAGGUGAUGUUAUCAUAAAGUUAGAAUAUAUUACUAAAUAUUAUAAAUAGCGAGUGUGGAAUAAUGGUGGGUCGGUGUGCGGAAUUAUCCUAGGCAAUUGUUAACAAGACCGGUAGUCGUCAUUGCAAUUUCAUAUGAGGGAGAGGCAUAAGCUAACAUAUUUUAUCUUCUCGGAUCAUAUGCACUUAUGAUUGGAACUCUAGCAAGCAUCCGCAACUACUAAAGAUCAUUAAGGUAAAACCAAACCAUAGCAUUAAAGCAUCAAGUCCCCUUUAUCCCAUACGCCACAACCCCCUUACUCGGGUUUAUGCUUCCGUCACUCAAGGAACCCACUAUAAGCGAAUCAUGAACGUAUUGCAACACCCUAGAGCGGGAAUCCCUCACACUUGUGCGACACGGAGGGCACAAUAGGACAACACCAAAAUAAAACAUACAACUCGUACCAAUCUAGAUCAUCAAUCAACCCAAAGAUAAAAGAUAUCUACUCAAAACAUCAUAGGAUGGCAACUCAUCAUUGGAUCAUAAUAUGUGGCAUAAAGCACCAUGUUCAAGUAGGGAUUACAUCGGGGUGCGGGAGAGUGGACCGUGUAAAAGAGAUGAUGAUGGUGAUGGUGAUGAAGACGAUCACCGCGGCAAUGAUUCCCCUCCCGAUGGCACUCCAGCGCCACCGAGGGAGAGGAGGAGAGGUCCUCCCCCUUGUGCUUCCUCCUCCAUGGCCUCCCCCAUGGAUGGGGAGAGGUUCUCUCUCUGGUCCUUGGCCUUCAUGGCGAUGAUGGCCCCUCCGGGAUCCUUCCCCAUGGCCUUCGGUGAUGAUGGCCUCUUCCGGCAGGGUGCCAGAGAGGGCCUAGAUUGAUUUCUCAUGGCUACAGAGGCUUGCGGUGGUAGAACUUCCGAUCUAGGUUAUUUCCCGAAGGUUUCUGUAUUUAUAGGAGAGGUUGGCGUUGAUUUCACGUUAGGGGGGGGGGGGUCUCCGGGUUGUCCACGAGGCAGGGGGCGCGCCCUAGGAGGGUGGGCGCGCCCCCCACCCUCGUGGGUAGCCCGGGACUCUUCUGGCCCAACUCUUUCACUCCAGGAGCUUCUUUUGGUCCAUAAAAAAUCAUCAAAAAUUGGCACGUAAAUUGGACUCCGUUUGGUAUUCCUUUUCUGUAAAACUCAAAAACAAGGAGAAAACAUAAACUGGCACUGGGCUCUAGGUUAAUAGGUUAGUCCCAAAAAUCAUGUAAAAUAGCAUAUAAAUGCAUAUAAAACAUCUACGAUGGAUAAUAUAAUAGCAUGAAUACUUCAUAAAUGAUAGAUACGUCGGAGACAUAUCAGCAUCCCCAAGCUUAAUUCCUGCUCAUCCUCGAGUAGGUAAAUGAUAAAAGAAAUAGUUUAUGAAGUGUGAAUGCUAGCAGGUGCACAAGUUUGAUCAAUGAUAAUUUCAAUAACCUUUUCUAGCAUCAUUAUAUGUCAUAACACUAGCUCUCUCAUAAAACUUUUCAUGAUCAAGUAACAAGCUAUUCACAUGUUAAAGUAUAGAUCAUAAACUUUCUUGAAAACUAACAAACAGUGCUUUUAGUCAUCAAACAACUGCAAUUCAUCUUAUUUUCAGGAAGGGUCUAUGUAAGAGCUUUGAUUUAGCAAAUCCCACAUAAUCAACUAUCAUAUAGUAUUUCACAAUUGCUAACACUCAUGUGAUAUUUAUGGGUUCAAAGUUUUAAUUGGACACAGAGAAAUAUAGGGGCUUAUAGUUUUGCCUCCCAAUCCUUUUACCUCAAGGGUAAAGUCAACAAUAAUAGUUCAUGGUAACUUACAUCCAAUUGGAUAUAUAUAUCAGGAUCUUUCCAAUACAAUGCGCUUGCCAAAGGAUAAAAUGUAAAAAGGAAAGGUGAAGAUCACCAAGACUCUUGUAUAAGGUAAAAGACAAGAAUAAAAGAUAGGCCCUUCGCAGAGGGAAGCAGAGGUUGUCACGUGCUUUUAAGGUUGGAUGCACAAAAUCUUAAUGCAAAAGAACGUCACUUUAUAUUGCCUCUUGUGAUAGAGACCUUUAUUAUGCAGUCCGUUGCUUUUAUUUCUUCACUAUCACAAGUUCUUAUAAAGCUUAUUUUCUUCGCACUAAUAGAUCAUACAUAUUUAGAAAGCAAUUUUUAUUGCAUGCACCGAUGACAACUUACUUGAAGGAUCUUACUCAAUCCAUAGGUAGGUAUGGUGGACUCUCAUGGCAAAACUAGUUUAAGGGAUAUUCGAAAGCACAAGUUGUAUCUCUUACUUGGUGCAAAGAAUUUGGCUAGCAUGAGGGGGAAAGGCAAGCUCAGCAUGUUGGAUAAUCCAUGACAAUAUACUUUAUUUCGGAUAUAAGAAAACAUAACCCAUUACGUUGUCUUCCUUGUCCAACAUCAACCUUUUAGCAUGUCAUAUUUUAAUGAGUGCUCACAAUUACAAAAGAUGUCCAAGAUAGUAUAUUUAUAUGUGAAAUAUCUCUUCCUUCAAUAUUCUUUCAUGAAUUGUUCAAGUGACCAAUUCUGCGUUUGCUAACUUUCAAUAAGUUUACUACCUAUAUUUAUUAGGUGUGAAGUCAUUACUCCCCAUGGUAUAAGCAUAUGAAACAUAUAUAAAUUCAGAUUUAUGAUAUUCAAUUCAUUCAACCAUUUACUCAUAGGAUUUACGUGAAACACGUGAGUAAAUGACAAACUACUCCAAAAAGAUAUAAGUGAAGAACACUGAGUAGUCAAAUAAUUAACUAGCCAUGGGAGGAUUCUUUUUCAUUCAAGAUUUAAGAUCCAAUGAUUUUAUUAAAAUAGCAAGUAAAAUUGAAAAUACGCUGCAAGCAAAACACAUAUCAUGUGACGAAUAAAAAUAUAGCUCCGAGUAAAGUAUACCGAUAGUUUUGAAGACGAAAGAGGGGAUGCCUUCCGGGGCAUCCCCAAGCUUAGGCGCUUGAGUAUUCCUUGAAUAUUACCUUUGGGUGCCUUGGUAAUCCCCAAGCUUAGGGUCUUUCCGCUCCUUGUUCUUCUCAUAUCAAUAUCUCACCCAAAUCUUGAAAACUUCAAUCACACAAAACUUAACGGAACUUCGUGAGAUAGGUUAGUAUGAUAAAGAGCAAACCAUUCAUUUUGGUACUGUCAAAGACAAGGUUCAUAAUUGUUCUCACACAAUGCCUACUGUACCAUACCAUUUCUACAAUUUAUAUUGAGAAAUAUAAGCAAUAGAAACUAGAAAACAAGCAAACUAUGCAAUGAAAACAGAAUCUGUCAGAAACAGAACUGUCUGUAAUGAUCUGAACAGCAACCAUACUUCUGCUACUCAAAAAAUUAUAAAAUAAAUUGGUGGACGUGAGGAAUUUUUCUAUUAAUCAUCUGCAAAAAGAAUCAACCUAAAACCACUCUCUAGUAAAAAAUGGCAUCUAUUCUCGUGAGCACAAAGUUUCUGUUUUUUACAGCAAGAUUGCAAAGACUUCACCCAUGUCUUCCCAAAGGUUCUGCUUGGCACAAACACUAAUUAAAACAUAAAACCACAUCUAACCAGAGGCUAGAUGAAUUAUUUAUUACUAAACAGUAACAAAAGGCAAGAAACAAAAAUAAAAUUGGGUUGCCUCCUAUCAGUGUCAAAACCGGCGGAUCUCGGGUAGGGGGUCCCGAACUGUGUGUCUAGGCGGAUGGUAACAGGAGACAAGGGACACGAUGUUUUACCCAGGUUCGGGACCUCUUGAUGGAGGUAAAACCCUAUGUCCUGCUUGAUUGAUAUUGAUGAUGUGGGUAUUACAAGAGUAGAUCUACCACGAGAUCAAGGAGGCUAAACCCUAGAAGCUAGCCUAUGGUAUGAUUGUUGUUCAUCCUAUGGACUAAAGCCAUCCGGUUUAUAUAGACACCGGAGAGGGCUAGGGUUACACAGAGUCGGUUACAAUAGUAGGAGAUCUACAUAUCCGUAUUGCCAAGCUUGCCUUCCACGCCAAGGAAAGUCCCAUCCGGACACGGGACGAAGUCUUCAAUCUUGUAUCUUCAUAGUCUUGGAGUCCGGCCGAUGAUGAUAGUUCGACUAUCCAGACACCCCCUAGUCCAGGACUCCCUUAGUAGCCCCUGAACCAGGCUUCAAUGACGCCGAGUCCGGCGUGCAUAUUAUCUUCGGCAUUGCAAGGCGGGUUCCUCCUCCGAAUAAUUUAUAGAAGAUUGUGAACACCAGGAUAGUGUCCGGCUCUGCAAAAUAAAUUCCACAUACCACCGUAGAGAGAAUAAUAUUUACACAAGUUCAAUCUGCUGACGUAUUUUGUGGUGUGACGUCACACCACUACCAAGCCUUUACUCGAAUUGUUUUUAUUGUACCACCUCAGCGCGUUUAGCGAAGCGGUUUCCUUGGCACGUCUUGUCGAAGCAGAGAUCGUGUUCCCCUUAUUCUGGGAUUCCCAUCAAUACGGACGUGGGUAACCCAACCGCGCCAUUGAUUGCGGCGCUUGGGAGAUAAGCGAGUUUUAUCAGGCCGGUGGGGACGUAUGGUUUCGUCCGCCCAUAUAAGGGGAUAAAGAUCCAACCAUUUUACCUACGCCUUCUUCCUCCUUUGCUUUAUCCAUCUCCGUGAACUCGAGCUCCAUCGCCCAAGUCCGCACAUCUCACCUCAACCUUCUCCAACUAUGUACGGAGCGGGAGGCAAGUGGAUGGCCUCCUCCGUUACGGAGGGGCACAUCCAGAAGCUGCGCAACGCCGGAUAUCUGUCCAGCGACAUCUUGCACUGGCUCCCCGACGAGGGGGAGCUCAUCCCCACCCCCAGGCCCCAUGAGAGGGUAGUAUUCCUUUCCCAUUUCCUCCGCGGACUGGGCUUCCCACUCCAUCCCUUUGUCCGGGGGCUCAUGUUCUACUAUGGCCUGGAUUUCCAUGAUCUGGCCCCGAAUUUCAUCCUCAACAUCUCGGCGUUUUCGUCGUGUGUGAGGCCUUCCUCUGCAUCCAGCCCCACUUCGGCUUGUGGCUCAAGACCUUCAGUGUCAAGCUGAAGGUUGUGAAGGGCAGCCAAGCAGAGUGCGGAGGCGCCAUGGUGGGCAAGAUGCCCAACGUUACUUGGCUCGAGGGCACCUUCGUGGAAACCAUUAAGGGGUGGUAAUCGGGGUGGUUCUACAUCACCGAGCCGCGUGACCCUGAAUGGGCAGCGGCCCCCGAAUUCAGAUCUAGCAUCCCCAUACGGCUCACCUCCUGGAAAGAGAGUGGCCGGACAUGGGGUGAUUCGGAGGAGCUGACCGGACUUCAAGCGUGCAUCCAAAAGCUAGUGAACAAGAAGCUCAAGCUUGUCAACGCAGUCCAGGUCAUGCUCAUCCGCCGGAUUCUCCCGUGCCAACAACGGGACUUCAAUAUGUGGGAGUUCGAUCCGGCGCAGCACCAGACUUUGAGCGGGAUCUUCGACACUAUGUACGAAGAGGCCUGGAGGGUGCUGUUUAAGGGCGCCGAGGCUCCCGCAUCCGCUACCGAAGAUCGCGGAUUCAGCUCGCAGCGUCCAGCUAGCGAGGUAAGCUAUUUUGCCCUUUACGGGACACUUGUUUUCCAUAGUUUGACUCUAUGCGGGAUCUAAACUCCCUCUCUUUUGACAGGACUGGCUGAAGAAGGCCGAGCAGACUAUCUGUCCGGCCCCUUUGCCAGAAGACCCAGCGGACGCCCGCUUAACGGGGCUGCUGGCUAUGGCACCCCAUGUGGUGCCGGAGAAGAAGGCCAAGAAGAAGGCCACGGGCACUCGAAAGAGUUCCCGUUUUCAGGUGUCAUCGGAUGAUGACACCGAGGCGGACUCCUCCCAUGAAGGCGAGGAGGAGAAGAAAGAGGCCUCUCCCCUAGUGGGGGGAGGGAAGAAAAGGAAGGCCUCCCCAACGAGGGAGGCCGAAGGGUCCAAGAAGGGAAGGACUCUUCCCCUGGACUGUUCUGCCAACGCCGGCGACGACGACGAGGACUAGCCUCCAAGGGCCAAGCCCCUGGCGAGAUCGUAAGUAUCCGGACUCCCGAAUAACUUCAUGAUUUUUCUUUUCGCCACAUGGUGUCUUUCUAAUGCCGCAUACAACCCUGCAGUCCGCCCAAGGAUGAUCUUCCCGCUUCAUCGAGCGGGUCCUUGGGUGCGUCGGAUAUGGAUUCCCUUCCGACCGCCUCCUCCCCCCGUGUUGCGGAUGAUGCCGAGGUGGGAUCCCGGGAAGGGACCUGCCAGGAGGAGGAGACCCCGGAGGUGCCGCAGGGCAACCUCCCGGACUUUGCACCGGACUCCGCACCGGAACCUGUAGUGGCUCCGGAGUCCGGCGGGUGGCCCCUUCGUAAGAAGGGCAAGACCGUGACGCCGGCGGCCUCCGUCCAACCGGAGGCGCCGGAUAGCUUGCUGGAGGCGCUCAACGGCGCUUCCAUCGAAGAGGAACACCGCACCGUCAUGAGUGUGGUGAUUCAGAAGGUUCAGCUCGCCAAGAGCGGGCUGACCGAAGCCUGCAGCAGCCUUCUAACAGGCUUUGAGGUAAGAAUUUUGAUAUAUGUAAAACAGUACCGCAUAGACAGUAGCCCCUGAUGCUCGGUUCGGUGUUCGGAAAGAAAAGCCGGACUGAGGAUCUAAAAAGAUAUACGCAGGAGUCAUAAAAAAUAUGUCAAUAUGGGAUUGCAGGCUAUGCUGCUGACCUCUGCCGCACUGACUGCGGAGGUCAAUACUUUAAAGCAAAGCCUCGAGCGGUCCGAGAACGAGCUCGGCCGUGCCAAGAAGCAGCUCGAGGACAAGGAAGGUGAGUAACACCUUUAAAAUUGUACCUUACAGAAAAGGAUUUUGUUGCAAGAAGAAUGACAGGGAUAACAUGGGUAUUGCAGGGGCCACGAACGAGGUGGCGACCCUGAAGGAGGUGGUGUCCGCGGCCGAACGUAAUGCGGCCGCGGAGCGCGCCGAGCGAGAGAAGCAGGAGGCGCGGGUGGCGGAGGUACAGCAAGAGCUCUAGGCUCUCAUGGAAAAACAUGAGAGUUUGGAGCACGACUCGAAGACUCGAGAGUCCGAGCUUGCAUCGGCUCUUGAGAGUGCCAAAGCUGCUAAGGCCGAAGCCUACAAGGCCCUCCAGGAAAUCGAGGCGUUGAAGAAAAUAGCGGUGGGUAAGGCAUUUUUCAUGCAAAGUAAGCAUGUGAGUGUGAAUUACCUAUCACUUACCCGAAUUCGGAGCUCUCCAGGAGCGUUCGCAGAUUUGCCCCGCAACGUGUCCGAUGCUGCCGCUUUCUAUAGGGCCGAGGAGGGGAGCUCGACGGAGAAGGUCUUCUGGUCUCAAUAUGCUGAGGCUGGACAGCCGGUGCCCCUUAGCGACCAGCUGAAGCAGCUGGUCGAGCUCCACAAGGUGGCUGAACAGGCCAUGAAGGGCCUCAUAGUUCGGCUGUGGCCCAAGGAGGCCAUGCCUGGGAGCUACUUCGGCUUGGUGCGGUGGCUGGUGGAUGCGUGUCCAUGGGUUGAAGUCAUCAAGCACUCCGCCUGUAUUGAAGGUGCCCGUCGGGCCCUUGCCCGCGCAAAGGUGCAAUGGGGCAAGAUGGAUGCUGAGAAGCUUGUGACGAACGCGCCACCGCCGGGCAAGGAGUAUCGCACGCCCGAGAUGUAUUAUAAGAGUGUCCUGAAGGGUGCCCGCAUUAUUGUGGGUGAGUGCUCCAAAGAUGUAAUAUUUGAGUAGACUCACAUUUCGUUAUCCUGUGCGCUGAAAACUUUGUUCAUAUGCGCUAAGCAACGCUUGUUAAUUUAAAAUAUUACCUUCUAUGCGACCGUUUAUCAAAUCUGAGAGAUGGCAAGUCGUCGGCUUCAGCCCCCAUGCCACGAGUGCUGGGGUGUUCGGGAUAAAUUUGAGCACUCUUGUUCCCAUUUUUGGGUCCAUCUAGGGAGGCGCUCAACACAACGAACCAGGCAACCGGACUUAUAAUGCUUGAACACUCUCACUUAGCCAUAGAAUUCUAUAAUUUUAAAUUUCGGCGAAGCCCCUAGUGUUCGGAAGGCCGAAUUUGGGGCGCUAUCCACGCCUGGGCCGGACAAAGCCGGUUCCUCGCUCUAAGCGGCAUAAGUCUUUAGGGACUCGAAAAAAAUCUCUCGAACAGUGACCGGCUCUCGCCUCAUCAUGACGGUCAGUUUUAGCUUUCUCCACUGAGGCGCUCACCCAGCUCAACUGGGGCGCAAUCGCAGUGGUUCUCCCAGUGCUACCUUAGCCGAUACAACGGAACGUAAGGUACCAAAACAUGGGAGCCGGGCAAACCCAACUAUUGACCCAAGACAUGAUUUGGAGCCGAUGCAUAUAAUGCUAUAAGUUCGGGGUGCCGCACUUGUGAAAGUGUUCGGACUUAUCACACCAUGUUGCGGGAAACAUAAGCCCCUGGUGUAUUUAGCCGUACCAAAGUGUACGGAUGCAACAUGUCAUAAAUGAACGUAUGUAUAAGAAAGAAAUGCAAUGAUAAGCAAAAAGGUGCUGCAUUGUUUAUUCAAGAAAUACUGCUGCGAUAAGCAAGGGAUGGGACUAUUAAACAUGUCCCCCUCCAGGGGUAGGCUGCGGAAUGGUGUAUAAAACAGAUUUAAUGCUCGUAAUGGAGACCACCUGGAUAUUCGUCGUAGCCUUUCUCCUUCCCUGGCUGUUGCAUCGUGAGUUCGGCAGGUCUACUGCCGGACAGGGCCUCUGAUGAACGGAGUCCUGUGGGUAAAAAAAGAAAAAGAGAAAAAAAAGAAUGACACACUUGAGAGCCCCUGGUGUGGUUAAGCCGCAUUCUGGGCCUAUCGUGGUCGUGUCCCUCCCCCUAUGCCCAUGGUAUCUCCAGAGCGUAAUGAUGUACGCGAAAGACCAGUCUUGCAAUUUUACAAGGGCUGGGGUUGGGGCCACAUUGCUACGUGUGCUCGGAACGUGCCAGGUGGUCUUGUUGUAGGUUACUCCGGGCGUGUUUAGCCGUGUCCGGUUGCUUAACGGCCGGACUCAAGAAUUGCCUUAAGAGGCUGCACUGUACUUCUGCCGCGAGAGCCGCUGUAUGUUCCUCCGUUCAGAGAGAGUGUUCAGUGUUUCCAUUGACCGUGAUGACUCCUCGAGGGCCUGGCAUCUUGAGCUUGAGGUAUGCGUAGUGCGGCACCGCGUUGAACUUUGCAAACGCGGUACGUCCGAGCAGAGCAUGAUAGCCGCUGCGGAAUGGAACUAUGUCGAAGAUUAACUCCUCGCUUCGGAAGUUAUUCGGGGAUCCGAAGACCACUUCCAGUGUAACUGAGCCUGUACAAUUGGCCUCUACCCCUAGUAUGACGCCUUUAAAGGUCGUCUUUGUAGGUUUAAUCCUUGAGGGGUCUAUGCCCAUUUUGCACACUGUAUCCUGAUAAAGCAGGUUCAGGCUGCUGCCGCCGUCCAUCAGGACUCUGGUGAGGUGAAAUCCAUCGACGAUUGGGUCUAAAACCAAUGCGGCGAAUCCGCCGUGGCGGAUGCUGGUGGGGUGGUCCCUUCGAUCAAAAGUGAUCGGGCAGGAGGACCAUGGGUUGAACUUCGGGGCGACUGGCUCCAUCGCGUAUACAUCCCUGAGUGCACGCUUUCGCUCCCUUUUGGGUAUGUGGGUUGCGUAUAUCAUGUUCACCGUCCGCACUUGUGGGGGGAAACCCUUCUGUCCUCUAUUGUUCGGCGGUCGGGUCUCUUCCUCGUCAUCGCUAUGCAGCCCCUUGUCGUUGUUUUCGGAAAUUAGUUUGCCUGCCUGCUUGAAUACCCAACAGUCCCUGUUGGUGUGGUUAGCUGGCUUUUCGGGGGUGCCGUGUAUCUGGCACGAGCGAUCGAGUAUUCGGUCCAAAUUGGAUGGACCCGGAGUAGUUCUUUUGAAUGGCUUUUUCCGCUGACCGGGUUUAGAGCCUCUGAAUCCGGCAUUGGCUGUCGUAUCCUCACUAUUGUCGCCGUUAAUGCGGCGUUUGUUCUUGUUGCGACGCGACCUGCCAUUGCGGUCCUUGAUAUCCGGACUGCCAAAAUUUUUGCUGAGGUUGUUGCUGCGGGCUAGCCAGCUGUCCUCUCCCGCGCAGAAGCGGGUCAUGAGUGAUGUGAGGGCUGCCAUGGAUUUCGGCUUUUCCUGUCCCAGGUGCCGGGCAAGCCACUCGUCGCGGAUGUUAUGUUUGAAGGCUGCAAGGGCCUCCGCAUCCGGACAGCCGACGAUUUGAUUUUUCUUAGUUAAGAACCAUGUCCAGAAUUGUCUGGCCGAUUCGUCUGGCUGCUGAAUUAUAUGGCUUAGGUCGUCAGUGUCUGGUGGUCGCACAUACGUGCCCUGGAAGUUAUCAAGGAAUGCGGCUUCCAGGUCCUCCCAACUCCCAGUUGAUUCUGCUGGCAAGCUGUUAAGCCAAUGCUGAGCUGGUCCUUUAAGCUUGAGUGGGAGGUAUUUGAUGGCAUGGAGAUCAUCACCGCGGGCCAUGUGGAUAUGAAGGAGAUAGUCUUCGAUCCAAACCGCGGGGUCUGUUGUGCCAUCAUAAGAUUCAAUAUUCACGGGUUUAAACCCUUCUGGGAUUUGAUGAUCCAUUACUUCAUCUGUGAAACAUAGUGGGUGUGCGGCGCCUCUGUAUUGGGCUAUAUCCCGACGAAGCUCAAAAGAGCUUUGUCUACUGUGUUCGGCCCGGCCGGACUUGCUGUGUCCGGUGCGACGGUUGUCGUCAUGUAUCAUGGGGCGCCCACGCGAUCCGUAGAUCGAUCUUGGUUGUCUUGCCUUAUCCUCCAAUAUAUCUCGCAAGUCCAGAGCGUUCCCCUGUGGUCUUGUGCUUUUCGAGCGAUGCCGGGGUACGGUUCUAGUGGAGGGCCUAGAGGCCUCUCUGUCGCGGCCACGGGGUGGUCGGUCAGCCGUAUCGUGCUCUGGUGAUGCGGGUUUAUAUGCCUCCUCCUCUAAUCGGGGGAGCAGCUUGCGUUUAGGGUAGCUUUUGGAGGGGCGUUCGAGCUCAUGCUCUUUGGCCGCAAGGACUUCAGUCCAUCUGUCGGCUAGCAGAUCUUGAUGAGCUCUAAGCUGUUGCUGCUUUUUCUUGAGGCUGUUUGCCGUGGCCAUAAGCCUGCGUUUAAAUCGCUCUUGUUCGACGGGAUCCUCAGGCACGACAAAUUCGUCGUCAUCGAGGCUUGCCUCGUCUCCGGAGGGAGGCAUAUAAUUAUCAUCCUCUACCUCUUCGUCUGCCGCUCUCUCAUGAGGGCUGGCUUCUCCGCCCUCCUGUGCUCAAUCUUGCUGGAGGGGGUUGCCUUCCGCACUGUCUGGGGUAUUAUUAUCUCCGGUGCCGGAAUCUCCAUUCUUGCUGUGGUGGGAUUUAGAGCGGCGCCGCUGACGCCGACGCUUGGGCUGUUUCUUGGAGGGGUCAUCCUCCGCUGUUCCUUCGCCAUUCCCAUCCUUUGGGAUAUCCACCAUGUAUAUGUCGUAUGAUGAGGUGGCUUUCCAGUGCCCAGUAGGCGCUGGUUCUUGGUCGUCUCCGGCAUCGUCGUCCAUACCGUCGAUGUCUUUGGAGUCGAAGUCUAGCAUGUCGGUUAGAUCGUCGACAGUGGCUACUAAGUGGGUGGUGGGUGGGCUUUGAAUUUCUUCAUCGUCCGCAUCCCAACCGUCCCGACCACAGUCCGGCCAGGGCUCUCCUGAUAACGAGAGAUACUUUAGCGAACUCAAGAUGUCGCCGAAAGGUGAGUGUUGAAAGAUGUCCGCAGCGGUGAACUCCAUGAUCGGCGCCCAAUCGGAUUCGAUUGGAGGGGGCGCGGGAGGUUCGGAGUCCGGCAAGGAGUCCGGCGCCUCGGAGUCACGAGCUUCACGAGGGACAAGGUCAGUAUUCGGCUCCAUCACCGUAGAGGUUGCAGCCCCCGAGGCGGUGUCUAGCCACCCGUCCUCGAUCUGCGCAGUCGGCUCCGAAUUGAGGGUCGGAGCAGACUCGUGUGCAGCCUCCAGGGCACUGUCCGGCUGCAGAGCUAAAUCAUGCCCAUCGUGACAGUGCGGCGCGCUCGGCUGUGGUUCGAAUCCAUCGAAGAUCAAGUCUCCGCGGAUGUCAGCCGUGAAGUUCAAACUUCCAAAUCUGACCUGGCGGCCAGGGGCGUAGCUUUCGAUCUGCUCUAGAUGGCCAAGCGAAUUGGCCCACAGUGCAAAGCCGCCGAAUACGAAGAUCUGUCCGGGGAGAAAGGUCUCACCCUGGACUGCGUCGUUGUUGAUGAUCGAAGAAGCCAUCGAGCCUAUCGGUGAUGACACAGAGGAACUCUCAAUGAAAGCACCAAUGUCGGUGUCAAAACCGGCGGAUCUCGGGUAGGGGGUCCCGAACUGUGCGUCUAGGCGGAUGGUAACAUGAGACAAGGGACACGAUGUUUUACCCAGGUUCGGGCCCUCUUGAUGGAGGUAAAACCCUACAUCCUGCUUGAUUGAUAUUGAUGAUGUGGGUAUUACAAGAGUAGAUCUACCACGAGAUCAAGGAGGCUAAACCCUAGAAGCUAGCCUAUGGUAUGAUUGUUGUUCGUCCUAUGGACUAAAGCCAUCCGGUUUAUAUAGACACCGGAGAGGGCUAGGGUUACACAGAGUCGGUUACAAUAGUAUGAGAUCUACAUAUCCGUAUUGCCAAGCUUUCCUUCCACGCCAAGGAAAGUCCCAUCCGGACACGGGACGAAGUCUUCAAUCUUGUAUCUUCAUAGUCUUGGAGUCCGGCCGAUGAUGAUAGUUCGGCUAUCCGGACACCCCCUAGUCCAUGACUCCCUCACCUCCCAACAAGCGCUAUAGUUUAACGCCCCUAGCUAGGCAUGAUGAUUUCAAUGAUGCUCACAUAAAAGAUAAGAAUUGAAACAUAAAGAGAGCAUCAUGAAGAAUAUGAGUAGCACAUUUAAACCUAACCCACUUCCUAUGCUUAGUGAUUUUGUGAGCACACAAAUUAAGGGAACAAGAAUCAACUAGCAUAGGAAGGCAAAGCAAGUAUAACUUCGAAACUUUAAGCACAUAGAGAGGAAACUUGAUAUUAUUGCAACUCCUACAAGCAUAUAUUCCUACCUUAUAAUAAUUUUCAGUAGCAUCAUGAAUGAGUUUAACAAUACAACCAUCACAUAAAGCAUUCUUUUCGUGAUCUACAAGCAUAGAAAUUUUUCUACUCUCCUCAUAAGCAAAAUUCUUCUCAUUCGGAAUAGUGGGAUCACUAAUUCCUAAAGUUGACACUCUUCCAAACCCACUUUAGAUGAUAGUAUUAUUGAUACUCCAAAAGAUAUAAGUGAAGUUCAUGGAGAAUUCUACAAUUAAUAUAGACUAACCAAUAUCUAAGCUCAAAAUAUGUAAGUGAAGCACACGAAGCAUUCUAUAAAACCAUACUCAAAAGAUUUAAGUAAAGCACAAAGAGCAAUUCUGUAAGAUCAUACUUAAAAGAUAUAAGUUAAGAACAUGAAGUAUUCUAUAAAUCAAUGAAGGGCUAACUCAUACUAGCAUGGUUCUUAAAGAAAAAAAAACACAAAGGACACAAAUCAUGUGAACAAAACAAAAACCAAGGUAUACCAAUAAUUGUUGAAGAAGAAAGAUGGGAUGCCAACCGGGGCAUCCCCAAGCUUAGAUGCUUGAGUAUCCUUUGAAAUAUUUACUUGGGGUGCCUUGGGAAUCCCCAAGCUUGAACUCUUGCCUCUCUUUAUUCUUCUCAUAUUGAUAGCUCCUCGAUCUUCGAACACUUCAUCCACACAUAACUUUAACAAAAACUUUGUGAGAUCCCUUAGUGUAAUAAAGCAAACUACCACUUUAAGGUACUGUAAUGAACUCAUUCUUUAUUUAUAUUGGUGUUAAACCUACUGUAUUCCAUAGAUUCAUCAAAAUAAGCAAACAACAUGCGAAAAAUAGAAUCUGUCAAAAACAUGACAGUCUGUAGUAGGCUGGAAGUUUAGUAAACUUCUGUAACUCCAAAAUUUAUGAAAUAAAUAUGAAAAUUUGAACAAUUUGUACAUAAGUAAUGUGCAAAAAGUUUCAGACCCAUUUGACCUUCCAGUAAAAAAGGUAAAAUCACGCGCUACAGCCAAAGUUUCUGUUUUUGUUCUGCACAUAGUAAACAAGCAAUCUAAUCAUCCUAAAACCAAAGCUUGGCACAUUAUUUUUAUAAUACAAUGGAUAUAUACAAGGGGAUAAUUAUUUACAGAGAAACUUCCAUGAAAAAUUCUACAUUGUUUCCGUGAGCAUGAACACAAGUGCUCAAGGUCGACCCUCACUUCUUCAAUGCAUAACUUUCCAAUCACUUCUCUUUUUGAAAAACUUAUUUUUAGGCAUGAGAGGCAAGUAUUUUUUUUGUAUAUACAAUCUUUUAAAUUUUUUGUAUGCUUCACCCACAAUUAAACAGAAACAAAAAGGAAAAACAAAAUCUACUUAGUGAAGAAACCAAACAAGCACACACGAGAAUAUCAACCCCACGCUAUUGCUCCCCGGCAACAGCGCCAGAAAAGAGCUUGAUAAUCCCCAAGUGCAGGGAAUCAUCAUAGCAAUUUCCAAAGGUGGAAGUGAUAAGUAUGGAGUGUCGAACCCACAAGGAGCUAAAGGUAAGAUCAAUAUUCUCUCAAGUCCUAUCUACCACUGAUACGACUCUACGUACAUUGAACGUUUGCUUCCAACUAGAUACGAGAAAUAAAACUAUGUUGUGGGUAUGAAGAGGAUAACUUUGCAUGAUAUCGGAGAGCUAAAAUAUAAAAGUAGGUGAUGUUAUCAUAAAGUUAGAAUAUAUUACUAAAUAUUAUAAAUAGCGAGUGUGGAAUAAUGAUGGGUCGGUGUGUGGAAUUAUCCUAAGCAAUUGUUAACAAGACCGGUAGUCGUCAUUGAAAUUUCAUAUGAGGGAGAGGCAUAAGCCAACAUACUUUCUCUUCUUGGAUCAUAUGCACUUAUGAUUGGAACUCUAGCAAGCAUCCGCAACUAGUAGAGAUCAUUAAGGUAACAAUCCAACCAUAGCAUUAAAGCAUCAAGUCCCCUUUACCCCAUACACCACAACCCCCUUCCUCGGGUUUAUGCUUCUGUCAGUCAAGCAACCCACUAUAAGCAAAUCAUGAACUUAUUGCAACACCCUGCAGCGGGAAUCCCUCACGCUUGCGCGACACAGAGGGCACAAUAGGACAGCACCAAAAUAAAACAUACAACUCGUACCAAUCUAGAUCAUCAAUCAACCCAAAGAUAAAAGAUAUCUACUCAAAACAUCAUAGGAUGGCAACACAUCAUUGGAUCAUAAUAUGUGGCAUAAAGCACCUUGUUCAAGUAGGGAUUACCGCAGGGUGCGGGAGAGUGGACCGUGUAAAAGAGAUGAGGAUGGUGAUGAUGAUGGUGAUGUUGAUGAAGAUGAUCACCGCGGUGAUGAUUCCCUUCCCGAUGGCACUCCGACGCCACCAAGAGAGAGGAGGAGAGGUCCUCCCCCUUGUGCUUCCUCCUCCAUGGCCUCCCCCCUGGAUGGGGAGAGGUUCUCCCUCUGGUCCUUGGCCUUCAUGGCGAUGAUGGCCCCUCCGGGAUCCUUCCCCAUGGCCUCCGGUGAUGAUGGCCUCCUCCGGCAGGGUGCCAGAGAGGGCCUAGAUUGAUUUCUCGUGGCUACAGAGGCUUGCGGCGGUGGAACUUCCGAUCUAGGUUAUUUCCCGAAGGUUUCUGUAUUUAUAGGAGAGGUUGGUGUUGAUUUCACGUUAGGGGGUUCUCCGGGCUGUCCACGAGGCAAGGGGGCGCGCCCCCAUCCUCGUGGGCAGCCCAGGACUCUUCUGGCCCAACUCUUUCACUCCGGGGGCUUCUUUUGGUCCAUAAAAAAUCAUCAAUAAUUGGCACGUCAAUUGGACUCCGUUUGGUAUUCCUUUUCUGUAAAACUCAAAAACAAGGAGAAACCAAAAACUGGCACUGGGCUCUAUAUUAAUAGGUUAGUCCCAAAAAUCAUAUAAAAUAGCAUAUAAAACAUCUACGAUGGAUAAUAUAAUAACAUGAAUACUUCAUAAAUUAUAGAUACGUCGGAGACGUAUCAUGGGCCUAGUGGUGGAAGAAAGGAGGCAGGCCAGGGAGUGGCGCGUGCCCCCCUAGCCCAAUCCGAAUUGGACUAGGGUUGGGGGGGGGGCGUCCUUUCCUUCUCUUCUCCUCCUCCUCCCUCCCUUCUCGUUGUGGGAAUAUGAAAGGCGGGCGGGCAAAUCCUACUUGGAGUAGGACCCCCCUGGGCGCGCCACACCUUGGCCGGCCUCCUCCUCCCUCCCCCCUUAUAUACGUGGGAAGGGGGCACCCCAAAGGCACACAAAAGUUUCUCUUAGCCGUGUGCGGCGCCCCCCUCCACAGAAACACACCUCGGUCAUAUCAUCGUAGUGCUUAGGCGAAUCCCUGCGCCGGUAACUUCACCAUCACCAUCGCCACGCCGUCGUGCUGACAGAACUCUCCCUUGGCCUCAACUGGAUCAAGAGUACGAGAGACGUCAUCAAGCUGAACGUGUGCUGAACACGGAGGUGCCGUCCGUUCGGUGCUAAGAUCGGUCGGAUCGUGAAGACGUACGACUACAUCAACCGCGUUGAUAAAUGCUUCCGCUUUCGGUCUAUGAGGGUACGUGGACACACUCUCCCCGCUCGUUGCUAUGCUUCUCCUAGAUAGAUCUUGCAUGAUCGUAGGAAAUUUUUGAAUACUACGUUCCCCAACAUCCGCACCAUCACCACGCCAAGGCCACCGCCUACCUCAUUGUCGACCAACACCGAUGAGCCAGAUCUGGCGACCACAUCUAGCCAUGACUUAGAGCUUCAAGACGCCACCGUCUGGAGGAUCAACUGCCACCAAAACUUGGAGGGGAGGCCGCCACCCACCCCAUCACACCGGAGGAAAGACCGCCAACUUAAGCCUGCAUUGCUUUCCGCCAUCGCCGCCCCAACGCACACGGAAGAAAAAGCUUCCCGUCGCGUGGAGAAACUUCUGAAAGGUGCAGGUGAGAUCAUGGAUAUGCGUUUGAAUGGAAUUACCAGGGGAUACUAUAUUCUCUUAAGGGUGAAACAUGAUAUACGUAUGCCCUUGACAAAAUAUGUAAGCAUUGUCAGAGGUAAAGAAUGACAGCUAUAUCUUGUCCACUAUGAGAAGCUCGCGAGGUACUGUAAGAUUUGUGGCCUAGUAGGUCAUGAGUUCAAGGAGUGUGGGCUCGGAAUCCAUGCAGAGAAAAUAUAAAGUUUGGUGAUUGGCUUUAUGCAGAUGCUCCUAACAAACCUAGGGCAUACAAUGAUGGUAGGCCAAAGGGCAUGCAUGUUGGUACACAUGCUAAGGAUUAUAUCAGUAAUCAAUGAAGGAGGGGUCAGACCUUGAAAUAAUGGAUACAACUUCGAGCCUAGUGAAAAUUUGAGGUAGUAGUGUGGCAACGGAAAAGGACUCUAUAAAGCAUUUGAAUAUGGAUGCGGUGGAGGCGAACACAAGAGCCUUUUGUGCACCAAAAGUCAUGCUAUAACUGAUGGGAGUGGGAAGGAUUUGAAAGAGAACAUGUCACACCCUGAUUUUCAUGCCACUACACUUAAGCUAACAAUCAUGAUAAAAUGUGGUUUGACAAAAACUUUUGAGUGUUUUGGACCUUGCCUUGAUUGUUUUUUUGUUUGUUGUUUGCAAGUGCUCUAACAAUAAAAUAAAUCCUCCAACUCUUAUACUCCUUCUCCUUGAUCCAAAAACCUUUCCCAAUGAUCAUGCCAUGUGUAUAGGACAUAAAAAUAAUUUCUUGCAAAAAAAUUCGGCCAAAUAGUGUUUUCAAAAAUUAGUUUUUCAAAAACCCCUGAAUUGAGGUUUGCACUGCAAGUACUUAUUAAGGGCAGUAAAAAUGUUUCCAAAAAUAUAUUUGACUCCUAUUAGAUAUAGGAUACCUAGAAACCACAAAAUAUAAUUUUAAAAGUUAUUUUCCUAUUUUAUUUAAAAGCUCUUUCUUAAGGCCAGAAAUGGUCUUUAAUAGGGAAAAAUUAUUUUAUUGUUUUAAAAAUAUUUUUCAAAAUUUAGGAAAACUCAUAGGACAUAUAUUGUCCAUAUAUAAGAGUUUCAACACAUGGUCAUGUUCAAAAGAUUGGUCAAAUCCCUCAAAAACCCUUUCUGGAUAUUUCAAGUUUUUGAAAUAUUUACAAAGGAAAUAUUCUCCAAAAAUUCCAAGCAAAUUCUAGCAUGUCACAUAUGACAUGUUUGAUGAGCUUGACAAGUAUCAUGUCAUGGAGAAUAAUAUAACUCUAUGAAAUCCCCUCAAGACCAUUUCUGUCCAUUUUGAAGUUUGAGCAACUUUACAUUGCCAAACAUGCCCAAAUGUUCUCAAACCUUGUGAACAUGCUCAAAUGGUCUAAUAAUUCAUCUAGACCAAAUGGCACAAGUUGGAGAACAAGUUAACUUGAUCAAAGUGCCCCAAAACCCUUCCUGUCCAGAACUAAAUUUGAACAACUCUACAUUGGCAACUUUCUUCUUUUGAUCUCAACUUUUGUGGACAUGUUCAGAGCCUCAAAUGAUGACACUACACCAAGUGGUGCAUCAAGGAGAACAGAUUUGCAUGACUAAAUCUUGGAGAGUCCAUUUCUGCUGAUUUCUAGGGUUUACAAAAGUUGCAUUGGCAACUUUUCCCAAAUGAACUCAAUCUUGGUGGAACCUCUUAUUUGCUCAUACCAUUUGACCCUGUCAAGCCUCAUGACAAAUGGAGAUCAACUACUUGCCCAAACCAAUAUCAAACACCUUCUGCCAUUUUACUAGAACCCCUGUUUUGACCACUUCCACUCUUCUCCAUGGCCUCAACUUUUUACCACAGCCCUUCCUAGUCCCCUUGCACCUCCAGUAGCAAUGGCAAAUCCACAACUCAAUUAUUGUAGGGGUAAAACCCCACUUUCUCUCUUUGGACAGCCCAUUUCCCUUUCUCCCUCAACCUCUCUCCUCUCCUACUGUCUGUCCAGGGCAUCCAAGGCCCUCUCCCCUUUGUUUACUCCUCCCUAAACAACCUAGACAUAAGUGGCCGUGCCCUACAAGCCAAAGGCAUGCCCUGGCAUGCAAUUGGCAUGCUCCAGAGCGCGCUACAGUGCACACCCGCAUUGUAGCCGCCCCGUUCCAACCACCUCCGGCCACCUCGGGCCUCCCCAGCGCGCCCGACGAUGCGCCUCGAUGUCCGCAACACACCACCGUGCUGCCCCCUCCUCUCUCUUCCUCAUGCUGCCUCCUCUCGCACGCGCACCGGCCGCCCGAGAGCUCCAAUGGGCAGCCUCACACGCGCGAUGCCUCUGACCCGUCCCCACUCCCUCUCUCUCUUCCUGGCGCCCUACUCCACGCCCACGAGCGUCACAGACAACCCCGAGCCUCCUCCCGUGGCCACCGCGGCCAUUUCCGUGGGUGCCCAUAGGCCGCGUCUACGGUGAGCCGUGGCCUCGCCAUAUAAGGCCGUUCCAGACCCUCCUCGCUGCUCCAUUUGCUCCCUCUCCCUCCCGAGCAUCCUCUGGACCAAGCCAUUCCUCUUCUUGUGUCCUCCUUGCAUCUCCAUGGCCAGAGCAAUGCCGCCGGCCUCCGCCUAAAUUCGCGCCACUGAGAGCCCCUCCUCCCCACCUCUUUGUUCCAGAGCAGCACCAGCACCACCACAAACUCUCCCCGCGCACCAUUUUCUCCUUCCCGUGGUCGCCUUGCCGUGCCCAAACAUCGCCCGAAACCCCGUCCGCCGGCGUCAAGACCACUGUCAUCUCGGUCCUCCCCAGCCUGCGUGAGAUCCAUGGAUGGGCUCGGCUUGACCUCCCGAGUCCGUUGGUAUGCCGACCGCCGCCGGGGACGGCCGGAAUUGGCGGGAAGGGCGCCAGCACCUUGCUUGGCCAGCCUCCCCUGCUCCUCCUCUGUUUUGAGCGGGAGGUAGGAGGAGGGCCUGCCAGCGGGACCCGCCUGUAAGUGGUUAAGGCCCCGGGCCCCUCGGGUAAGUGGAGACGGCCUCCGCUGAAUACGUCUGCCCGGAGCGAAGGCGUACUCCAGGGAGUAUGCCAUCGACGUCGCCUGGGCACCCCGCGCGGCUGAUGCCACUGGGCCGGCCCACGUCUAUAUCUCGCCUACGUGCAUGAUAAGGUUAAGCCCAUUUCCUUUUUCUUUUUCCACUCAACUUCAAAAAUCCAUAAAUAAUCCAGCAGAGCUCCAAAUUUGAUGAUUCAAAUUUUCAGAGACUCCAUAAAUCAAGUCCUAUUUAAUAGGCCACAGUGGACAUUUUUGUUUUCCUUAGUUUUCACUGAACCUUUUAAAAAGGUCAUUUAUCCACAUAAGUCCACUUCAAAAAUCCAUAUUAUAAUCAUUUCAACUCCAAAUCCAAUGAAACGAAUUUCUGGAUGUUUCUAAAAUCAUGCCUGAAUUAAUGGGGUACUUUUACUCAUUUUUAUAAAAUGGCAUUCUGUGUACAACUUGUGGAUCCAUCAAAUCCAUUGAUUCCAUCAUAUUGAAAUGUUUAGAAAUAGCCAUUGAUCCACUUCCGAUGAAAUCACCUUGGUCAUUCCUCAUAUGACCAGAGGUAUCCUAGAAAAAUCCAACUCAUAUUUUUAGAGCACUUUUAUUUUGCCUUGUUGUGUUGCUUAUUGUGAUUGCUUCCGACGUUAGUUGAUGAAGUAGACGGAGUAUUUGGAGAAGGACCAGAAGAUUUCAAGAUUCUGAUGAACCAGGCAAGCAACCCUUUGACCAUGUCUAUGAAACCCUUUUUAUGCAUGUCAUAUAGCACCAUAUUGUUGUUGUAACGCAAUCAUGAUGUGGUGGUAACCACUCUGAUGGUUUUCCACCGUACUUCCUCGUUGAUACUUGCAUUGUGCAUGACCCUACCUCCUUAUGAGGAUUAUGCCGGUGGGAGUAGAUAGGAUGCUAAAGUAGAAGCUACGCAAAAGGGACGGGAAUAUGCAUGACCCGUCGGGUGCCACUUAUGCCCGAGGGAGAUGAUGAGAUGGGUAACCACUUGAUGAUGAAGUGGUGUACCGAGGCAAGUGUGUGUUGUUUUCAAAACGGAUUGGUUUAAGUUGCGACCGUUAUCCAACCUUACAUGCGCAACCACUCUACCCUUAUAUGGGAAAGGGCAUUAUUGAUUACCUAGGUCGAUACUAGCUUGGAGCCCACAUUACUAGUGACGGGGGAGAGUUGGUGCUCUCUCUCGGGACGGGGUCGUGCCAGGUAGGGCGGCCAUGCCUGUCUUUACAGGGCACCGGAUACACCAUUGUGUCCCCUCUCGGAUGUUACGAUCUCGAGUGAGUCUCGUAUGAUGUACAUCGUGAGGAUACGGAACAACGAGUGGACUCCUUGUUAGUGUCGUCUAGGGAAAGGUAGUGAUCGGGUGCUUACCCCGGGUACUUGAGGUAUCACGGGUCGUGGAUGACACGGAAGUUCCCCGGAUCUUGUGGGUACAGUGUGCAACCUCUGCAGAGUGUAAAACUAUUCGGAUAGCCAUGUCCACGGUCAAGGACAGUUGGGUAACCGCUCUUGGGCUACGUCCACGUGUUUACAAACCAGUGUGUGUGUUUGGAUAACUACUCGGGUCAAGUCAAAGGACUUGACAUGAUUGAGAUGGGUUGGUGCCCACUCUAUUUAUGUUGAUACCUGUAACCUGUCCUCAUGGUUACUUGAAUUCUCUUGAUGCAUGUCUUACAAGUUGUUGAACAUGUCAUUGCACUCAAAACUAGAUUUCUGCAAAAAAUUACCUAUAUCAUGCAUUGUUGUAUCUUGAACCAAAAUAUGGGUUGCUUGCGAGUACAUUCAAAGUACUCAUUGGCUUGCCACUGGUUAUUUAAUUGACCGGGCAUGGGAGAACCAGAGUUCAAAGAAGAGUUCUUUGGAGAUGAACAUGCGAACUAGGACGCUUUCCCAGUCAGAAUGCCUCUAGGGUUAAGGCGGAUGGCAUGGGUCCAAGUUAUCGACGAGGAUUUCCGCUGCAAUGUUAUACUCAAGACUUGACCAUAAUGGUCCUACUUCUGUAAUACGGUACGUGUGGAUGUAAGCCUCUUGUUAUUCAGCUUUUGUGUGUUCAGUGAGCAUUGAUCUCUGGGAUCACUGUACACGUGCAUUCGGUGAUCACGACUUAUGAGUCGGGGUCCCCACAGAGCUGGUAAGAGCCAUCCUGACUGUAGGAAGCCUUAGUUAGCAUGGUCGUUAGUUAGGGUAAAACUAUUUCCAAAACAACUACUAGUUUUCAAAACUAUCUAUACUUCUCUUCCCUUCUCAGUUUUUCGAAAACUAAGGUAUACUUUCCUUAUUAAUCUCUUCCCCUUCAAAACCUUUGGUCGCUAGAACCCUUAUGCCCCUGACCACUGGAUUCCUUGUAAUCCUCGUGGAUAAUCUAGAAGGAAGAUGCCUUGCCAGACGUUCACCCACAUCUCCUAAACACAAGAUUGGCGACACCACAACAAGACGAUACCAACAGAAGAUACAUCCUCAAGGAAUGAGGACCUGAAGACCCAGGAGAUGGUGACACCCUUGACACUGCCCCAAGAUGAUGCAACCUUAGCCUACGAUGAUCAGGGCAUAUGAUAUGCAAGAUCAUGAUAUACAUCACUAAUAGAGUAACCCUGUCACUACCGUUGUUGUAUCGGCAACCACCGGUGGAUGAGAACCUAGCCAUUUGGUCCGCCUCACUAUAGUGAGCAGGAAAACGGUUCUCUUCAUCCCCCGCUCUCGGUGACGAUAUUGUCAACAAUGUGUCCGACAGAUUGGGCCUCUAUUAUGCCUUGUUAAUGUCAUUGCAUAAAGGAGUGCCACCUGGAACCGCCAACACCUUAAAAAGGUAGAAGUGAUCGUCAUGAUUAAGAAGACAAGAGAAGAUCAAGUCAAUGCCAGCCACGAGGAUCCACCUUCACCCCAUCACCUCAUCAGGCGAGAAGUUGUCGAAGAUUCUUCAGGCUCAACCCGGAUUGUUUCAUCGAACAACUACAAGAGACGUAGCAACACCUGAGGAAAACUCAGAAGACUGCAUGAGGCACAAGGCACGACUACUUAGUCCAAGAACCCCUAGGGUAGGAUGAGUCGUGUACCCCCUAUGCACAAGCGAGUUCGUAUGAUGGUUCGAAUAGAACCAUGAUUGUGUGAUGCUUGUUUUUAUUGUUUGUGUUUUUAUAUAAGUUGCACUUUUGCCUUAGGCAGCAUGUAUGCAACUAUAUCACCUAUCUUAUCUUAAUGAAAUUGUGUGCGGUCUUUUGGAACUUGUUUGUUUGCACUUGCACCAUAAAACCCCCUUUAGGCAUCCCUCCUAUAUGCUACCUUUCCCUCUCAUCUCUCUCCUCAACUGAAGACAAGCAAGACAAGAUACACCAUGGAUUGCACCUUGGCGACCCACAAGCGCUGAAGACUUUUGCUACAACCUCCUCCACCAAGUGCAACCCCGUAUGUUUACACCUCAAGACUAGAACCCUAUCCCUAGACCCUACAGGACUUCACGAGAUACCCCAGCUCGAAACCUUAACCAUGAUCUUAACCUACAGAAUCACAAGAGAACCAGUUAAGCCUCUGUAAACCUUGCACAACACUGGGUUCAUUAGGGAACUAGUGGACAUGGUGAACAAGCACAUUAUCAUCCUAAGAUAGCACCAAAACUGACGAUGCCAUAGGGAAGACCAAUUUAAGGAUAUAGGAACAAAGGAUAAAUGACUUGAUGAGUUUAUAUCAGUGACCUUGAGGAAUUAUUUGAGACUCUUCGGAGGAUCAUAAGGCUUUCAUGUUGAUAGAUGAACUUGGUGGGAUCAUGAUUAUAGAGUAGCAUAGCUUUCAUUACCCUGAGUAAAUUGGAUUUAUAGGACAAUUAUGGUCGCAAGAUGAAAUUCUUGGAAGUUUUUGGAUUUAACUUAGCCAUGGGAUAUUGAUAGGAGACAGUUGAUAUUACGUAAAUGACUUGGGGGAACAUGUAGGGAUUCUCGUUGGACACAAGAUUUGGAUUUAAGUAGCUAAUUCUAGUUGAAUAUAGAUGCUGAGCAUUUCUACAUGGUUCGGAGUAAAUUGGAUUUAGAUUAAUGAUCACGAUCAUGAUACCAUGUUUCUCGGUGGACGAUAAACCAGGAGAUUAGAUUAAUUGUGAGAGUUUAUUUAGGGAUCUAUAUAUGCUUGACCUUGGAGUUACUUGACCAUGAUAAUGGAAAUUGGUGGACUGACUAUAGUAGAGAUAGCCUUUUCAAGUGUUCGGGGAUUAUAGGAACUUUAGGAGAUCAUGUGGAACACCAGCAUAGGCGUUGGAUUUGUAGAAUUAAUGGAUUAUGUAGUGAUUAAUGGAAGUUAACGGAUUUGUUUGAGUUGAUUCAUAGGAAGGAAACAAGAUUUUGGAGUGGCAUACGACGUGUUUCCUUAGAAUAGAGAUGCACUAAGAUGGACCUUGGAAGAAUAGGCUGAGCACUUGGAUGGUGGAUAUUAAAUCCAAGCUUGUAUGCUCUACCCAUGGAUUUUUAGGGGUAGCCACACACAUGAGUUUGGGGAUUGAAGACAUAUACGAUUUUGUUAGACCUCCUCUCGAGAGUCAUGAGGAUAUGAAUCACAUGAGUGAUGAUUGGAGUUGACCUAUACGAAAUGAUACUAUCAGUGAUAUGAUGUGAUUUGUUUAAAGGACUAGAUAGCACAAUUGGCAUCUCAGAAACUAUGCUCAAGGAUGGGAUGAUAAACACCCACUCGCACACUAGAAUCCUUGAAACUCUUAAGCCCUACCAAGCCACAACAUGGUCGGAUCAUGACCAUGGGCUUGACUCUAGGUCGAGAAGACCUUGGCCAAAACUCAACCGUGACCAUCAUCAAUGCCCCAUCCCACUUUAUGUACCCCAUGAACAAGUCUUCAUGGAGUACUUGGACAGGUUGAUUGUCAUCUAUAUUUUGUGGCCUACUUGUUCACCCGAAGACGGAAAAAGAGCCGUUCAGCUAGUACAGGAACAUUCGAAGACCGCCAUGCCAAGGAGGAAGAACUACCACCAUCAUCAAGAAGUAAACAUCCGCGUUGAAGACCAGGUGUAUUUGCAAGCCACUCCUCUCUAAGGAACCAAGCAUUUCCAUGACAAGGAGACCUACACCAAGAUUCAUCGGCCCCCUUCGAGAUCACUCCAAGAUUUAACAACCCCCUCUGAGAUCACUACGAGACAAAGAGAAGACAGUUACCAGCUGGAGUUGCCACCUGAGUUACCCACUAUGCACAACGUUUUCCCACACAACACAACCUCGGGAGUGUUUCCAACUUCCUAACUCUAGCCCAACCUCUACAAGGACAUCGAUCACCAAGCCAUCGAUCCCCAGCCCAACUUGACCUACGCGAAAAACCCCUUAGCAACCUGGAUCAAGCAGAGCGUCAUGCACGAAGCCACACCAUCAAGUACUUCAAGCUCAAUGGAGCUCUACACGGAGGCAGAAGCAACAUGAGGACUUGAAGACUACCCUAGAUCCAAGUUUCUAUAUCCCUUUCCGCGCCUAGUUUGGGAAUCUCGGGGACGAGAUUCUUGUAAGGGGGGUAGGUCUGUCACACCCUGAUUUUCAUGCCACUACACUUAAGCUAGCAAUCAUGAUAAAAUGUGGUUUGAUAAAAACUUUUGAGUGUUUUGUACCUUGCCUUGAUUGUUUUUUUUGUUUGUUGUUUGCAAGUGCUCUAAAAAUAAAAUAAAUCCUCCAACUCUUAUACUCCUUCUCCUUGAUCCAAAAACCUUUCCCAAUGAUCAUGCCAUGUGUAUAGGACAUAAAAAUAAUUUCUUGCAAAAAUAAUUUGGCCAAAUAGUGUUUUCAAAAAUUAGUUUUUCAAAAACCCCUGAAUUGAGGUUUGCACUGCAAGUACUUAAUUAAGGGCAUUAAAAAUAUUUCCAAAAAAAUAUUUGACUCCUAUUAGAUAUAGGAUACCCAGGAACCACAAAACUAUAACUUCAAAAGUUAUUUUCCUAUUUUAUUUAAAAGCUUUUUCUUAAGGCCAGAAAUGGUCUUUAAUAGGGAAAAAUUAUUUUAUUGUUUUAAAAAUAUUUUUCAAAAUUUAGGGAAACUCAUAGGACAUAUAUUGUCCAUAUAUAAGAGUUUCAAUACAUGGUCAUGUUCAAAAGAUUGGUCAAAUCCCUCAAAAACCCUUUCUGGAUAUUUCAAGUUUUUGAAAUAUUUACAAAGGAAAUAUUCUCCAAAACUUCCAAGAAAAUUCUAGAAUGUCACAUAUGACAUGUUUGAUGAUCUUGACAAGUAUCAUGUCAUGGAGAAUAGUAUAACUCUAUGAAAUCCCCUCAAGACCAUUUCUGUCCAUUUUGAAGUUUGAGCAACUUUACAUUGCCAAACAUGCCCAAAUGUUCUCAAACCUUGUGAACAUGCUCAAAUGGUCUAAUAAUUCAUCUAGACCAAAUGGCACAAGUUGGAGAACAAGUUAACUUGAUCAAAGUGCCCCAAAACCCUUCCUGUCCAGAACCAAAUUUGAACAACUCUACAUUGGCAACUUUCUCCUUUUGAUCUCAACUUUUGUGGACAUGUUCAGAGCCUCAAAUGAUGACACUACACCAAGUGGUGCAUCAAGGAGAACAGAUUUGCAUGACUAAAUCUUGGAGAGUCCAUUUCUACUGAUUUCUAGGGUUUACAAAUGUUGCAUUGGCAACUUUUCCCAAAUGAACUCAAUCUUGGUGGAACCUCUUAUUUGCUCAUACCAUUUGACCCUGUCAAGCCUCAUGACAAAUGGAGAUCAACUACUUGCCCAAACCAAUAUCAAACACCUUCUGCCAUUUUACUAGAACCCCUGUUUUGACCACUUCCACUCUUCUCCAUGGCCUCAACUUUUUACCACAGCCCUUCCUAGUCCCCUUGCACCUCGAGUAGCAAUGGAAAAAUCCACAACUCAAUUAUUGUAGGGGUAAAACCCCACUUUCUCUCUCUGGACAGCCCAUUUCCCUUUCUCCCUCAACCUCUCUCCUCUCCUACUGGCUGUCCAGGGCGUCCAAGGCCCUCUCCCCUUUGUUUACUCCUCCCUAAACAACCUAGACAUAAGUGGCCGCGCCCUACAAGCCAAAGGCAUGCCCUGGCAUGCAAUUGGCGUGCUCCAGAGCGUGCUACAGUGCACACCCGCACUGUAGCCGCCCCCUUCCAACCACCUCCGGCCACCUCGGGCCUCCAUAGCGCGCCCGACGAUGUGCCUCAGCGUCCGCAACACGCCACCGUGCUGCCCCCCUCCUCUCUCUUCCUCCUGCUGCCUCCUCUCGCAUGCGCACCGGCCGCCCGAGAGCUCCAAUGGGCAGCCUCACACGCGCGAUGCCUCUAACCCGUCCCCACUCCCUCUCUCUCUUCCUGGCGCCCUACUCCAUGCCCACGAGCGUCACAGACAACCCCGAGCCUCCUCCCGUGGCCACCGCGGCCAUUUCCGCGGGUGCCCGUAGGCCGCGUCUACGGUGAGCCGUGGCCUCGCCAUAUAAGGCCGUUCCAGACCCUCCUCGCUGCUCCAUUUUCUCCCUCUCCCUCCCGAGCAUCCUCUGGACCAAGCCAUUCCUCUUCUCGUGUCCUCCUUACAUCUCCAUGGCCGGAGCAAUGCCGCCGGCCUCCGCCUAAAUUCGCGCCACUGAGAGCCCCUCCUCCCCACCUCUUUGCUCCAGAGCAGCACCAGCACCACCACAAACUCUCCCCGCGCACCAUUUUCUCCUUCUCGUGCUCGCCUUGCCGUGCCCAAACAUCGCCCGAAACCCUGUCCGCCAGCGUCAAGACCACUGUCAUCUCGGUCCUCCCUAGCCUGCGUGAGAUCCAUGGAUGGGCUCGGCUCGACCUCCCGAGUCCGUUGGUAUGCCGACCGCCGCCGGGGACGGCCGGAAUCGGCGGGAAGGGCGCCAGCACCUUGCUUGGCCGGCCUCCCCUGCUCCUCCUCUGUUUUGAGCGGGAGAUAGGAGGAGGGCCUGCCAGUGGGAUCCGCCUGUAAGUGGUUAAGGCCCCGGGCCCCUCGGGUAAGUGGAGACGGCCUCCACUGAAUACGUCUGCCCGGAGCGAAGGCGUACUCCAGGGAGUACGCCAUCGACGUCGCCUGGGCACCCCGCGCGGCUGAUGCCACUGGGCCAGCCCACGUCUAUAUCUCGCCUGCGUGCAUGAUAAGGUUAAGCCCAUUUCCUUUUUCUUUUUCCACUCAACUUCAAAAAUCCAUAAAUAAUCCAGCAGAGCUCCAAAUUUGAUGAUUCAAAUUUUCAGAGACUCCAUAAAUCAAGUCCUAUUUAAUAGGCCACAGUGGACAUUUUUGUUGUCCUUGGUUUUCACUGAACCUUUUAAAAAGGUCAUUUAUCCACAUAAGUCCACUUCAAAAAUCCAUAUUAUAAUCAUUUCAACUCCAAAUCCAGUGAAACCAAUUUCUGGAUGUUUCUAAAAUCAUGCCUGAAUUAAUGGGUACUUUUACUCAUUUUUAUAAAAUGGCAUUCUAUGUACAACUUGUGGAUCCAUCAAAUCCAUUGAUUCUAUCAUAUUGAAAUGUUCAGAAAUAUCUGUUGAUCCACUUCCAAUGAAAUCACCUUGGUCAUUCCUCAUAUGACCAGAGGUAUCCUAGAAAAAUCCAACUCAUAUUUGUAGAGCACUUUUAUUUUGCCUUGUUUUGUUGCUUAUUGUGAUUGUUUCCGACGUUAGUUGAUGAAGUAGACGGAGUAUUUGGAGAAGGACUAGAAGAUUUCAAGACUCUGAUGAACCAGGCAAGCAGCCCUUUGACCAUGUCUAUGAAACCCUUUUUAUGCAUGUCAUAUAGCACCAUGUUGUUGUAACGCAAUCAUGAUGGGGUGGUAACCACUCUGAUGAUCUGCCACCGUACUUCCUCGUUGAUACUUGCAUUGUGCAUGACCCUACCUCCUUAUGAGGGUUAUGCCGGUGGGAGUAGAUAUGAUGCUAAAGUAGAAGCUACGCAAAAGGGACGGGAAUAUGCAUGACGAAGGAGACAAAGUGUUUUCAAAGGACUUUUCGAAAACCCCGUCGGGUGCCACUUAUGCCCGAGGGAGAUGACGAGAUGGGUAAGCACUUGAUGAUGAAGUGGUGUUCCGAGGCAAGUGUGUGUUGUUUUCAAAACGGAUUGGUUUAAGUUGCGACCGUUAUUCCAACCUUACAUGCGCAACCACUCUACCCUUAUAUGGGAAAGGGCAUUAUUGAUUACCUAGGCCGAUACUAGCUUGGAGCCCACAUUACUAGUGACGGGGGAGAUUUGGUGCUCUCUCUCGGGACGGGGUCGUGCCAGGUAGGGCGGCCAUGACUGUCUUUACAGGGCACCGGAUACACCAUUGUGUCCCCUCUCGGAUGUUACGAUCUCGAGUGAGUCUUGUAUGAUGUACAUCGUGAGGAUAUGGAACAACGAGUGGACUCCUUGUUAGUGUCGUCUAGGGAAAGGUAGUGAUCGGGUGCUUACCCCGGGUACUUGAGGUAUCACGGGUCGUGGAUGACACGGAAGUUCCCCGGAUCUUGUGGGUACAGUGUGCAACCUCUGCAGAGUGUAAAACUAUUCGAAUAGCCGUGUCCACGGUCAAGGACAGUUGGGUAACCGCUCUUGGGCUACGUCCACGUGUUUACAAACCAGUGUGUGUGUUUGGAUAACUACUCGGGUCAAGUCAAAGGACUUGACGUGAUCGAGAUGGGUUGGUGCCCACUCUAUUUAUGUUGAUACCUGUAACCUGUCCUCAUGGUUACUUGAAUUCUCUUGAUGCAUGUCUUACAAGUUGUUGAACAUGUCAUUGCACUCAAAACUAGCUUUCUGCAAAAAUUUACCUAUAUCAUGCAUUGUUGUAUCUUGAACCAAAAUAUGGGUUGCUUGCGAGUACAUUCAAAGUACUCAUUGGCUUGCCAUUGGUUAUUUAAUUGACCAGGCAUGGGAGAACCAGAGUUCGAAGAAGAGUUCUUUGGAGACGAACAUGCGAACUAGGACGCUUUCCCAGUCAGAAUGCCUGUAGGGUUAAGGCAGAUGGCAUGGGUCCAAGUUAUCGACGAAGAUUUCCGCUGCAAUGUUAUACUCAAGACUUGACCAUAAUGGUCCUACUUGUGUAAUACGGUACGUGUGGAUGUAAGCCUCUUGUUAUUCAACUUCUGUGUGUUCAGUGAGCAUUGAUCUCUGGGAUCACUAUACACGUGCAUUCGGUGAUCACGACUUAUGAGUCAUGCCCCCACAGAACAAUUCUCCAACUAGAAGUACAAGCAGUAAAAGGGUGAAAGUUACCAAGUAAAGUGGAAAUGAUGAGAUAUAGGCGGCCUCCCUUGGAGAGAACCGCCGGAUGCAAUGAAUAUCAUGUUGUGGAACUACGUGUGCACGCGUGGGGGAGAGGGGGGGGGUUGUGCAGUUUGUGAGGUAUUGGCCCUCUCUAAAGCCAGUAACCCCAAGCUUGUCUUUCUUUGUGAAACUAGACAAGCUUUAGAUAAAGUUGAGAAGUUAAGAUGGAUACUAGGUGUGAAAGGUUUCAAUGCAAGGAGUAGUGACGAAAGAAGUGGAGGUUUGGCACUUUUCUCGGAUGAGUCUUUAUUAGUGACUGUACUUGAUGCAUGCAACAAGUACAUUGAUGUUAAUAUUCUGGAUGGUGGAUCUAGUAUUUCUUGGAGGGGAACCUUUGUGUAUGGGGAACCAAGAGUUGAAAACAUAUAGCAUAUGUGCACUACUGCAGGAUGCUGCUAACGCGACACUACAAUCAGAGACCCAUCGACGAAACUGUGUGUGAUGCAUUAUUAAUCACAAAAGGUGGAGUAAAAAACCCAUCAAAAUGAUAGAAACUAUUUGCGAUGGCGGGGACAUCAAACACGAUUCAGAUUAGAGUUACGUGUGCGGUACAUGGCAUACAGUUCAUCCAUAAACUAUUUGCGAUAAGCAUAACAAUAGAAGCGGUCAGCCAAAUGAAGGUGUGUGUGAUAUACGGCAUACAGUUUACUCGGAUAAACUAUUUGUGAUUAGGAAACACAGCAGAAUUGGUCAGCCAGAUUAAGGUGUGUGCGAUAGACGGCAUACAGUUCACUCGGAUGAACUGUUUCUGAUGAGCCAAGACAACAGAAACAGUUCAACUUAACUAGAUGUGUGUGAUACUGAUAACCCACAAGUAUAGGGGAUCAAUUGUAGCCUUUCUCGAUAAGUAAGAGUGUCAAACCCAACGAGGAGCUAAAGGUAAGAUUUAUAUUCUCUCAAGUUCUAUCGACCCCCAAUACAACUCUAUGAACACUUAAUGUUCGCUUUACCUAGAAAAAUAAUAAAACUAAAGUACUUUGUAGGUGUAGUGGGAUAGGUUUGCAAGAAUAAAACUAGAUGUACUUAGCAAGAAUAAAACUAUGAGUAAAUUGCAAGAUAAUAAAGUUAGUUGUUUAGUAGAGAGAUUUUUGUCACAAGAAAGAUAUUUGUCCCUAGGCAAACGAUAACUAGAUCGGUAAUCAUUAUUGCAAUUUUAUACGAGGGAGAGGCAUGAGCUAACAUACUGUUGUAGGGUGGAACCUAGAUGGAGAUCUUUCACGAAUUGGAGGGGAAAUCCUCAAGAACAAGAAGAACACGAAGAACACAAGAGAGGGAAAACACUCAAAUUGACUAGAUCCAAUCACACAUAUGCUAGAUCCAAGAACACACAAGAGGUCACAAUGAUUCAAGGCCAAGAAAAGAAAGAUACAAGGUAACUAGUUCAUCCCAAUACUAUGAGGAGAGAGGUCUUGAUGAUCCUAUGAUGGGGAUCUUUCUCUAGAUGGGGGGCUUGAAUCCACUGGGGAUCUUCUCCAUAGGAGGUCUUGAUCUCCAUGGGAGAGGUCUCUCUUUCACAAGAGGAGGUACAAGGAGCAAAGUUCACUAAAUCAUGUCAUAUCAUUUUCUAUCCUUCUAAUGAACUAGGGGAGGUGUUUAUAUAGUCUAGGGACGAAUUGUGAGGGAGAGGGGGAUACAAGGGUCCAAAACCCAAAAGUGCACGCAGGCACGCGAAGUGGUCCGGGCACCCGGAGCAGGAUUGGCUGGGCACUCGGACCGGUCAGGGCCUCUUCCCAGGAGGUGGUAGCAAGGGGCCGGGCACCUGGGGGUUGACAGUCCGGGCACCCGGGGUGGCUGGUGGUGGCCAGGCAAGGGGGUCGGGCGCCCGGGGCCGAAGGUGCGGGCGCCCGGGACGGCGGCCUAUGGCCUGGAGGGGGGGGGGGGCAGCGCCAUGGAGGGGCCGAGCCUCCGGGGCCAAAGUGCCCGACCACCCGGAGUGUCCAGUGCCUCUUCUCCUUCAUCCUUCUCACUCCUUUCCUCCUUCUUAUCGUCCGUAGGUGCUCGGGUCUUUGUGCUAGCCUCUCCAUGAUCAACACCUUGAUACCUAAUCAUGCAUAACACUUCUGUUUGAGGUAGGACCCAACUCUCUAAUGAAUUUGAGUGGAGAUCGAAGAGGAAGAAGCUCACCUCGUUCUCGAUGGUGCGUGCACGUGCUCUUGUCCUAGGUCCUCUCUGUGCUAGUGGUGGUGGUGUGACGUCCCUGGGGAUGGUCAAGGGAUGCUCCGCAUCACAUAAUUUCUCUACUUGGAUCAUAUGCACUUAUGAUUGGAACUCUAGCAAGCAUCUACAACUACUAAAGAUCAUUAAGGUAAAACCCAACCAUAGCAUUAAAGUAUCAAGUUCUCUUUACUCCGAUACACAACAACCCACUUACUGAAGGAAAUAUGCCCUAGAGGCAAUAAUAAAGUUGUUAUUUGUAUUUCCUUAUAUCAUGAUAAACAUUUAUUAUUCAUGCUAGAACUGUAUUAACCAAAAACUUAGUACAUGUGUGAAUACAUAGACAAACAGAGUGUCCCUAGUAUGCCUCUACUAGACUACCUCGUUAAUCAAAGAUUGUUAAGUUUCCUAGCCAUAGACAUGUGUCGUCAUUUGAUGAAUGGGAUCACAUCAUUAGAGAAUGAUGUGAUGGACAAGACCCACUCGUUAGCUUAGCACUUUGAUCGUUUAGUUUAUUGCUAUUGCUUUCUUCAUGACUUAUACAUGUUCCUAUGACUAUGAGAUUAUGCAACUCCCGAAUAUCGGAGGAACACUUAGUGUGCUAUCAAACGUCACAACAUAACUGGGUGAUUAUAAAGAUGCUCUACAGGUGUCUCCGAUGGUGUUUCUUGAGUUGGCAUAGAUCGAGAUUAGGAUUUGUCACUCUGAUUGUCGGAGAGGUAUCUCUGGGCCCUCUCGGUAAUGCACAUCACUAUAAGCCUUGCAAGCAAUGUGACUAAUGAAUUAGUUGCGGGAUGAUGCAUUACGGAACGAGUAAAGAGACUGUCGGUAACGAGAUUGAACUAGGCAUGAUGAUACCGACGAUCGAAUAUCGGGCAAGUAACAUACCGAUGACAAAGGGAACAACGUCUGUUGUUAUGCGGUUUGACCGAUAAAGAUCUUCGAAGAAUAUGUAGGAGCCAAUAUGAUCAUCCAGGUUCCGCUAUUGGCUAUUGACCAGAGAUGUGUCUCGGUCAUGUAUACAUAGUUCUCGAACCCGUAGGGUCCGCACGCUUAAUGUUCGAUGACGAUUCGUAUUAUGUGUUUAUGUGAUUUGAUGUACCGAAGGUUGUUCAAAGUCCCGGAUGAGAUCACAGACAUGACGAGGAGUCUCGAAAUGGUCGAGACAUAAAGAUUCAUAUAUUGGAAGGCUACAUUCGGACAACGGAAUGGUUUGGGUCAUUUCAGAUAAGUUUUGGAGUACCGGGGGUUACGGGAACCCCCCGGGAAGUUAUUGGGCCUCAUGGGCCUAGUGGUGGAAGAGAGGAGGCAGGCCAAGGUGUGGCAUGCGCCUCCCCCUAGCCCAAACCCAAUUGGACUAGGGCUAGGGGGGUCGCCCCCCCUUCCAUCUCUUCUCCCUCUCCUUCCCCCUUCUCCUUGUGGAAGUAGGAGGGGGGGGGCGAAUCCUGUUGGGGAACAUAGUAAUUUCAAAAAUUUCCUACGCACACGCAAGAUCAUGGUGAUGCAUAGCAACGAGAGGAGAGAGUGUUUUCCACGUACCCUCAUAGACCGAAAGCGGAAGCGUUAGCACAAUGCGGUUGAUGUAGUCAUACGUCUUCAUGAUCCGACCGAUCAAAUACCGAACGCACGACACCUCCGAGUUCAGCACACGUUCAGCUCGAUGACGUCCCUCGAACUCCGAUCCAAUCGAGCUUCGAGGGAGAGUUCCAUCAACAUGAUGGCAUGGUGACGAUGAUGAUGUUCUACCGACGCAGGGCUUCGCAUAAGCACCGCUACGAUAUUAUCGAGGUGGAAUAUGGUGGAGGGGGGCACCGCACAUGGCUAAGAGAUCCAAGGGAUCAAUUGUUGUGUCUAGAGGUGCCCCCCUGCCCCUGUAUAUAAAGGAGCAAGGGGGGAGGCUGGCCAGCCGUUUGGGCCGCGCCAAGGAGGGGGAGUCCUCCUCCUAGUAGGAGUAGGACUCCCCUUUCCUAGUCCAACUAGGAAGAGGGAAGGGGGGAGGAAAGAGAGGGAAAGAGGAGAAGGAAGGGGGGGUGCCCCCCUCCCCUAGUCCAAUUUGGACCCCUCAUGGGAGGGGGCGCAUCACCUCCUGGGCUGCUGCCCUCUCUCUUCCCUAAAGCCCACUAAGGCCCAAUACUCCCCUGGGGGUACCGGUAACCCCUCCGGCAGUCCGGUUUUCUCCGAAACAACCCGGAACACUUCCGAUGUCCGAAUAUAGUCGUCCAAUAUAUUGAUCUUUAUGUCUCGACCAUUCCAAGACUCCUCGUCAUGUCCGUGAUCACAUCUGGGACUCCGAACAACCUUCGGUACAUCAAAACUCAUAAUAAAACUGUUAACGAAACCUUAAGCGUGCGGACCCUACGGGUUCGAGAACUAUGUAGACAUGACCGAGACACGUUUCCGGUCAAUAACCAAUAGCGGAACCUCGAUACUCAUAUUGGCUCCUACAUAUUCUACGAAGAUCUUUAUCGGUCAAACCGCAUAACAACAUACGUUGUUCCCUUUGUCAUCGGUAUGUUACUUGCCCGAGAUUUGAUCGUCGGUAUCCCAAUACCUAGUUCAAUGUCGUUACCGGCAAGUCUCUUUACUCGUUACGUAAUGUAUCAUCCUGCAACUAACUCAUUAGCCACAUUGCUUGCAAGGCUUAUAGUGAUGUGCAUUACCGAGAGGGCCCAGAGAUACCUCUCUGACAAUCGGAGUGACAAAUCCUAAUCUCGAAAUACGCCAACUCAACAUGUACCUUCGGAGACACCUGUAGAGCUCCUUUAUAAUCACCCAUUUACGUUGUGACAUUUGGUAGCACACAAAGUGUUCCUCCGGUAAACAGGAGUUGCAUAAUCUCAUAGUCAUAGGAACAUGUAUAAGUCAUGAAGAAAGCAAUAGCAACAUACUAAACGAUCAAGUGCUAAGCUAACGGAAUGGGUCAAGUAAAUCACAUCAUUCUACUAAUGAUGUGAUCCCGUUAAUCAAAUGACUACUCAUAUCUAUGGCUAGGAAACACAACCAUCUUUGAUCAACAAGCUAGUCAAGUAGAGGCAUACUAGUGACACUAUGUUUGUCUAUGUAUUCACACAUGUAUUAUGUUUCCGGUUAAUACAAUUCUAGCAUGAAUAAUAAACAUUUAUCACGAAAUAAGGAAAUAAAUAAUAACUUUAUUAUUGCCUCUAUGGCAUAUUUCCUUCAGUCUCCCACUUGCACUAGAGUCAAUAAUCUAGUUCACAUCGCCAUGUGAUUUAACACCAAUAUUCAUAUCUGUAUAUGAUUAACACCCAUAGUUCACAUCGUCAUGUGACCAACACCCAAAGGGUUUACUAGAGUCAAUAAUCUAGUUCACAUUGCUAUGUGAUUAACACCCAAAGAGUACUAAGGUGUGAUCAUGUUUUGCUCAUGAGAGAAGCUUAGUCAACAGGUCUGUCACAUUCAGAGCCGUAUGUAUUUUGCAAAUAUUCUAUGUCUACAGUGCUCUGGCGGAGCUACUCUAGCUAAUUGCUCCCACUUUCAAUAUGUAUCCAGUUUGAGACUUAGAGUCAUCUGGAUCGGUGUAAAAGCUUGCACCGAUGUAACUCUUUACUAUGGGCUCUUUUAUCACCUCCAUAAUCGAGAAAUAUUUCCUUAGUCCUCACUAAGGAUAUUCUUGAGCAAUGUCUAGUGAUCUACUCCUAGAUCACUAUUGUACUCCCUUGCCAAAUUCAGAGCAAGGUAUACAAUAGGUCUGGUACAUAGCAUAGCAUACUUUAUAGAACCUAUGACUGAGGCAUAGGGAAUGAAUUUCAUUCUCUUUUCUAUUUUCUACCGUGGUCGAGAUUUGAGUCUUACUCAAUUUCACACCUUUGUAACACAGGCAAGAACUCUUUCUUUGACUGUUCCAUUUUGAACUACUUCAAAAUCUUGACAAGGUAUGUACUUAUUGAAAAACUUAUCAAGCGUCUUGAUCUAUCUCAAUAGAUCUUGAUGCUCAAUAUGUAAGUAGCUUUACUGAGGUCUUUCUUUUAAAGAACUCCUUUCAAAUACUCCUUUAUGCUUUCCAGAAAAAUUCCACAUCAUUUCUGAUCAACAAUAUGUUACUCACAUAUAUUUAUCAGAAAGGCGCUAGUGCUCCCACUCACUUUAUUGUAAAUACAUGCUUCACCGCAAGUCUGUAUAAAACUAUAUGCUUUGAUCAACUUAUCAAAGUGUAUAUUCCAACUCUGAGAUGCUUGCACCAGUCCAUAGAUGGACCGCUGGAGCUUGCACAUUUUGUUAGCUCCUUUAGGAUUGAUAAAACCUUCUGGUUGCAUCAUAUACAACUCUUCUUUAAGAAAACCAUUAAGGAAUGCAGUUUUGACAUCCAUUUGCCAGAUUUCAUAAAAUGUGGCAAUUGCUAACAUGAUUCGGACUGACUUAAGCAUCGCUACAGUUGAGAAAAUCUCAUUGUAGUCAACACCUUGAACUUGUCGAAAACCCUUUUGCGACAAGUCGAGCUUUGUAGAUAGUAACACUACUAUCAGCGUCUGUCUUCCUCUUGAAGAUCCAUUUAUACAAUAUGGCUUGCCGAUCACCGAGCAACUCCACCAAAGUCCACACUUUGUUCUCAUACAUGGAUCCCAUCUCAGAUUUCAUGGCCUCAAGCCAUUUCGCGGAAUCUGGGCUCAUCAUCGCUUCCCCAUAGUUCGUAGGUUCAUCAUGGUCUAGUAAUAUGACUUCCAGAAUAGGAUUGUCGUACCACUCUGGUGCGGACUGUACUUUGGAAGACCUACGAGGUUUUGUAGUAACUUAAUCUGAAGUUUCAUGAUCAUCAUCAUUAGCUUCCUCACUAAUUGGUGUAGGAAUCACUGGAACUGACUUCUGUGAUGAACUACUUUCCAAUUUGGGAGAAGGUACAAAUUACCUUAUCAAGCUCUACUUUCCUCCCACUCACUUCUUUCGAGUGAAACUCCUUCUCUAGAAAGGAUCCAUUCUUAGCAACGAAUGUUUUGCCUUCGGAUCUGUGAUAGAAGGUGUACCCAACAGUUUCCUUUGGGUAUUCUAUGAAGACGCAUUUCUCCGAUUUGGGUUCGAGCUUUAUGAGGUUGAAACCUUUUUCACAUAAGCAUCGCAACUCCAAACUUUAAGAAACGACAGCUUAGGUUUACUGCUAAACCAUAGUUCAUACGGUGUCGUCUCAACGGAUUUAGAUGGUGCCCUAUUUAAAGUGAAUGCAGCUAUCUCUAAUGCAUAACCCCAAAACGAUAGUGGUAAAUCGGUAUGAUACAUCAUAGAUCGCACCAUAUCCAAUAAAGUGCGGUUACGACGUUCGGACACACCAUUACGCCGUGGUGUUCCAUGUGGUGUGAGCUGUGAAACUAUUCCACAUUAUUUAAAUUGAAGGCCAAACUCGUAACUCAAAUAUUCUUCUCUACGAGCAGUUUGUAGAAACUUUAUUUUCUUGUUAUGAUGAUUCUCCACUUCACUCUGAAAUUCUUUGAACUUUUCAAAUGUUUCAGACUUGUGCUUCAUUAAGUAGAUAUACGCAUAUCUGCUCAAAUCAUCUGUGAAGGUCAGAAAAUAACGAUACCCGCCAUGAGCAUCAACACUCAUUGGACCGCAUACAUCGGUUGUAUUAUUUCCAACAAGUUAGUAGCUCGUUCCAUUGUUCCGGAGAACGGAGUUUUAGUCAUCUUGCCCAAAAGGCACGGUUCGCAAGCAUCAAAUGAUUCAUAACCAAGUGAUUCCGAAAAUCCAUCUUUAUGGAGUUUCUUCAUGCGCUUUACACCGAUAUGACCCAAACGGCAGUGCCACAAAUAAGUUGCACUAUCAUUAUUAACUUUGCAUCUUUUGGCAUCAACAUUAUGAAUAUGUGUAUCACUAUGAUCAAGAUUCAAUAAACCAUCACCAUUGCGUGUAUGACCAUAGAAGGUUUUAUUCAUGUAAACAGAAUAACAAUUUACUCUCUAUCUUAGAUGAAUAAUCGUAUCGCAAUAAACAUGAUCUUAUCAUAUUUAUGCUCAACGCAAACACCAAAUAACAUUUAUUUAGGUUUAACACUAAUCUAGAAAAUAUAGGGAGUGUGUGAUGAUGAUCAUAUCAAUAUUGGAACUACUUCCAACACUCAUCGUCACUUCCCCUUCAACUAGUCUUUGUUUAUUCUGUAACUCUUGUUUCGAGUUACUAAUCUUAGCAACCGAAUAAGUAUGAAAUACUCAGGGGCUACGAUAAACACUAGUAAGGCACACAUCAAUAACCUGUAUAUCAAAUAUACCCUUGUUCAAUUUGCCAUCCUUCUUAUCCACCGUAUAUUCAGGGCAUUUCCGCUUCCAGUGACCAUUUCCUUUGCAGUGUAAGCACUCAGUUUCAGGCUUUGGUCCAGCUUUGGGCUUCUUCGCAGGAGUGACAACUUGCUUGUCAUUCUACUCGAAGUUCCCUUUCUUUCCCUUUGCCCUUCUCUUGAAACUAGUGGUCUUGUCAAUCAUCAACACUUGAUGCUCUUUCUUGAUUUCUACCUUCGUCGAUUUUUCAACAUCACGAAGAGCUCGGGAAUCGUUUUCGUCAUCCCUUGCAUGCUAUAGUUCAUCACAAAGUUCUAGUAACUUGGUGAUGGUGACUAGAGAACUCUGUCAAUCACUAUCUUAUCUGGAAGAUUAACUCCCACUUGAUUCAAGCGAUUGUAGUACCCAGACAAUCUGAGCACAUGCUCACUAGUUGAGCGAUUCUCCUCCAUCUUUUAGCUAUGGAACUUGUUGGAGACUUCAUAUCUAUCAACUCGGGUAUUUGCUUGAAAUAUUAACUUCAAUCUCAUAUGGUCCAUGACGUUCAAAACGUCUUUGAAGUCCCGAUUCUAAGUCGUUAAGCAUAGUGCACUAAACUAUCAAGUAGUCAUCAUAUUGAGCUAGCCAAACGUUCAUAACGUCUGCAUCUGCUCCUGCAAUAGGUCUGUCACCUAGCGGUGCAUUAAGGACAUAAUUCUUUUGUGCAGCAAUGAGGAUAAACCUCAGAUCACGGAUCCAAUCCGCAUCAUUGCUACUAACAUAUUUCAACACAAUUUUCUCUAGGAACAUAUCAAAAUAAACAUAUGAAAGCAACAACGCGAGCUAUUGAUCUACAACAUAAUUUGCAAAAUACUACCAGGACUAAGUUCAUGAUAAAUUUAAGUUCAAUUAAUCAUAUUACUUAAGAACUCCCACUUAGACAUACAUCUCUCUAGUCAUCUAAGUGAUCAUGUGAUCCAAAUCAACUAAACCAUGUCCAAUCAUCACGUGAGAUGGAGUAGUUUUCAAUGGUGAACAUCACUAUGUUGAUCAUAUCUACUAUAUGAUUCACACUCGACCUUUCGGUCUCCAUGUUCCGAGGCCAUAUCUGUAUAUGCUAGGCUUGUCAAGUUUAACCUGAGUAUUCCGCAUGUGCAACUAUUUUGCACCCGUUGUAUUUGAACGUAGAGCCUAUCACACCCGAUCAUCACGUGGUGUCUCAGCACGAAGAUGUCGGGGAAACUGAUCCACGAACACCUAUGGGACCGGCGGACCGAGCCCCUUUCGGUUCGGUAGGGGGCGAAGGUCGCACGAAGAGCGGAUCGAGGCGAAGCACACGAGUAGUUUACCCAGCUUCGGAGCUCUCCGGAGAGAUAAUACUCCUACUGCUGCUUGUCUGAUUGUAUUGUGUUCUUGCUCGGGAGCGCUGAGUGCUACAGUACACACGAGAAGCUAAUGAGACCGAGCGUGAGUGUUUUCUGGCUUCGAACUAGCCGAACCCCCCUCUACGUUGCGCAUGGGCCUCCUUUUAUAUGCUCAAGGGGUCUCCGACAGGUGGCAACGUAGACAAGGGUAAAAAUGGAAAAGGAACUGCGGUUGGUACAACUACCUGUGCAAUGUAUCCUACCUAACCCUGACGGCAGGGGACAAAGGCAUUAAAUGCCCGUCUGCGUCACCCAAACAGUGCAGAAAGGGACCGUCAGGGACGCCACCGCUUGCCACGAUGUCUAUCUUGUCAGCGUCGCUUGCCACUGUGCACCGCUCGCUGCACAGCCUCCCGCCACGUGCGCCUGGAAAGGCCUCAGGGCGACACGUUGGUGGAUGUGCUGGAGCGUGGGUACAGAGUGGUAGCCUGCCGCGGCAAGCGCCUUGCCGCGGCCGUUGUCUUGUCGCGUCCGGAAGCUUGUCGCUCACCGGGCCUUGCCGGGACGCGUGGCGCGUCGCGGCAAGUUCCUUGAGAUGCCUUGGUUGGCCUUCCCGGCAAGCUCCUCUUGCCGGGGCCUUGUCUCCUUGGCUUGAAUACUUUGUUCUUGAAUGGCUCCAAAGGACCCACGGAGGACCUUGGCGGUCACCCGGCAAGCCUUGCCGCGGGGCGCUGCAACUGCCCGUGCACAAGUUCGGGAUACUAGGGUACCCCUACUCUAGUACACCGACAGGAGCCCCCCGGCCUGGGCCACACACGGUGCCGAGCGCUGUUGGGCCAGGCCCAAAACAGGGCACGGGCACACGCAGCCUGGGUUACGCCGUAUCUUACUCCGUAUCCACCGCGCCCUCCCCCAACGGCACGCGUCGAAUGCGGCGUCGUGGGAGAGAUCGUGGGUGGUUUCUUUAUUCGGAAGGGCGAAACGUCCGCCCCCUCCCUCUUUAUAAGCAGGGGAAACAGGGGCAGUUCGCCCAUCUCGCCGGUUGUUGCUCCGAUUUCACAAAUCUCCGCCGCUCCCCCCUUCUUCCCGAAGCUGAAAGAGAGCAGUGCUCCGCCCCUCAUCGUCACCAGCAUCACCAACGCCGUCGAUCUCCCCCACCACCUCCACCAUGGCUCCAAAAGCCGACAAGGGGAAGGGCAUGAAGUCGGUCGAGGCGCAGCGGCUCGUGGCGCUGCGGAAGGAGCGGGCGAUCUCCCCCCCCCCCAGCUCGGCACGAAGGAGCUGAGGGAGUACUACUACCUCUUCUGGUCGACGGAGACGCGAGCGCAUCCGCGCACGAAGGUACUCCCGGCUGCCGCUUCGGAACUGGCUCCGAACGGCUAUCCUUUCUUCGUGCUGUUCUUCUACUGCGGGCUCUGCCCGCCCUUCUCGGAAUUCUUCUACGACAUUAUGAACACCUACGGGUUCCGCCUCCUUGACUUCACCCCCAACGCCAUUCUGACCAUGGCAGUUUUCGCACAUCUCUGCGAAAACUUUGUCGGAGUCCAUCCAAACGUAGCCCUUUUUCGCCACUUCUUUAUGCCCCGAGUCGAGAGAGGAGAGCCUUUGGCCGGCGGAAUUGCCUGGAUCUCGAGAGUCAGCAAGAAGGAAGCCUAUCUGGAAGGAGAGCUCCGCAGCAAGUGGGAGGAGUGGAGAGCUGAGUGGUGCUGGAUUGUCGAGGAGAAUCCACAGCCAUUUACUGCCCUGCGACAAGCUCCAAUAGCGCGCGGCAACGAUUGGAGCAACGUGGCCCCGGAAGAUGAUAGGCUGAAGAUUGCCAUCACCCGGAUCUUGCGCCUCAGGCUUGCCGGGCUCACUGUAGGCGCCGUUGGCGCAGAUUUUCUUCGCCGCCGCAUCGCCCCCUGCAGGAGAGGAGGAGACCUGCCUGGGAGUUCCAAAACUCGGUGGAUAUCAUGAGGCUGCGCCCGGGCCUCAACUUCAACUUCACUGUCUUGGAGCUGGAUGCAAUGCUCCUGGAGCUGUUCAAGCGCGAUCCUCAACAUCCAUUCAUGUUGCUGAGGGGCGUCGUUCCAUUGUGCAACAACUCCUCGCUUGACCGCAUCCGAGCAAUGAUGCCGUUGUGCGAUUCGCAUGGAAUCCUCCCGACUUGGCAAGAGCUUGCAGAGGACGUCGUGCGGGACUUCUUUGACGGCUUGGUUGAAGUGGCGGUCCGCGAUGAUGAACAGAAUAGCCUUACUCGCGACACCACCGAUGCGGAGAUGCAGCGCAUCGCCACUAGGCUGGAAGAGGCGGCGGUAGUAGCAGCUGCAGGUGAGUUCGGGUUCACCGUGGAGGAGGCAGAAGCAGCAGAGGAGGCAAGCCUUGUCGAGCGAGAGGAGUUCGCCAGCGAGGAAGAGCUUGCCGGGCCUGAAGCUGAGUCGAGCGAGCCCGGCGAGGGAGAGCUUGUCGGGCCUGAACAGAGCCCCCAGCUCCACCAAGAAGGCGUCUCCGCAAGGCCGUGGACGUAGCGGGGCGGCAAACGGGUCAACAGCUGCCGAGCCGCGCGACACGCUCUACCGCGGCAAGCACCAUUGCCGCGGGAGCGCCUCAAGCCGCUGCGGCAACUGGAGCGGGGUCUUCCCGGUCCUCCGCUGCUGCCCCUGCCAAGCGGGCAAGGGAACCUACUCCUCCGCCUCGUCGCACCGGAGGUGAGCCGGACUUCGAUCUCUCCGCGCUCAGCUCCGACGAGGAAGAAGAAGAGUAAGAUUCUUCGUUGUAAAUGUAGUUCUUCAAUUCUUGCUGUCUUUGUCUUGUAUCUAAUUUGCUUUAAUCUGAACCCAUUCCUUUUCAGGACGCUGGCCCAGAGAGCAGCGAAGAGAGCCAAGGUCCCGGUGAUUGUCAUCGAGGACGAACCCACCGCGACGGCAGAUGACAUGUCCGAGACCACCUUGUCGGACUCGGCAACCAUUCUUCAAAGCAGCCCCCAGCGCAGCCCCCCACGUAAGUGUAUAGUUUACUCCAUGCUGUCAGGCGCGCAUGGGUGCUCUUUCCUUCGCUGAUAUCUGACUGCUGGUUUGUGUAGGAGCAGAGCAGCAUCAUCAGGAGGGCCCGGAAGCCGCUCCCGAAGCGCCAUCUGCUUCGACUACACCGCCAAGGGAGGAUUCCCCGGCAAGGGAGCGCUCUCCGGCAAGGGAGAACCCUCCGGCAAGGGACAGUUCUCCGGCAAGGGACGACACCAGUGAUCCUCCGGCGGUUGAGACCGCGACCGCAUAUCCUAGCACAUGUAAUCUUCUUGCCUGAAAACUUCCCUUGGGUUCUUCUUCUGAUUUUAUUUUUGGAUAUUUGCUUGACUUUUCUCCUUUUUCCAUUCUUCAGAUCCAUCUGCCGCGGAGCCAAUGGAAACCGAAGGGGAAGCCGGCACUGACGAUCCUGCCGGCAAAGAGGCCGCCAAAGCUGCCGCCGCAGAAGCUGGCGAGGGAUCCGGCGAUCGCACUAACGGCCCCGAGGCCGCAGGAGCGCCAGGCGCUGCACCGACCGCCGAUCCCUCCGCCGCCGCUGCAGCGCCAGGCUCCGAAGAGCCCCAGCCCGACGCCUAUUUGAAGGCCGGCGACGGUAUCUUCAUCAAGCUCCCCUGGGCGUCAAGCUCGAGGGCGCCGGUCGAAGGAGAAAUAUUGGAUGGAGAGGUGCUCGCCUCUGCUGGGCUGACGUUGGUCGACGCGCCAAGCAGCAGCAGUGACGAGCCUGAGGAGGAGCGGCUGCUGCGGAAGCUGCUGUCGCUCUACCGCGCCCGACAAGCCAAGCUGGCAUCCCGAGAAGCGCUUGUCGCGAAGGCGGGAGUGGAUAUCGAGAAGCGCGCGGAGGAGCUCCGGGGUCUCAGGCAGGAAACUCUCCGGUCCUUGGCGGAGGAGCGGGAGCAACUUCUCGAGGAGUGGAAAGCCUGACUCCUCGAGAAGGCUGAAGUUGAAGAGCAGCAGCGGCUUGCUGCCGAGAGGAUAUCUGCGCAGGUAGGCGAGUUGGCGCAGCGCAAGGUUAACCUUGACAGCCACGAGGAGGAGCUUGCCGCGCGCGAACAAGCAAUUGGCGGGGCUCUCAAGGAAGCAAAGGAUGCUGCCGCAGCUGCUGAGGCCGCCAAGAAGGAGCUGGAGACGAAGAUGGCGCAGCUGGAGGCAGAUCUCAAGGCGAGUGGCGAGGAGCUUGCCGCGCUCAAGCGUGAGCGCGAGAAGGACGCUGCCGCUCAUGGUGAGCUGCAGGGUCUUCUCGCUGAGAGGAGCAAGGAGCUCAGUGCCGCCAAGGACUCCAAUGCAGAUCUGGAGUUGAACCUGGACACUUUGACUCAGACGCUGGACGGCGCCAGGGAGCGGGAGGUGGCCUUGUCGGAGAAGAUCAAGGCCGACGAGGCGCUGCUGGCGAGUGCUGCUGCCGCCCAGGAUACAUUUAGGGAGACUGUGGAACACUGGACCGAAGGUCUCGUGAAUGUUGCCGCAGCCAUCGACGGGGAGCUGGCGCAGCUGGGGAUGGAGGAUCUCGGGUAUCCCUCCGAUGAGCACCUCCAGCCCAGCGCCAAGCUCAGCUUGUUCUUCAAGGGCGUGGCGACGGCCCUCCUGCGACUCCGGGAGAAGAUCCCAAAGCAGCUGGCCGACGAGUCGCGCAGGAUCUGUGCAGGAGCUCUUCAGAAGGUGCUGGUGAAGGUGGCCUUCCGCAACCCAGGCCUCAACCUCACCAACGUCCUCAAGUCCUUGCCGCCGGAUGCUGAUCUAGAAGCGCUCAAGGCCCUUGUCGCACCCAUUGUGGACAAGGUGAGCGGGAUCAAGAGGGUUGAGGGCGAUCGCGUAGAUUAGGCCGCCCGUUUUCUCUUUUUCCUUGUCGCUGCUGGUCAUGUUGUGAGAACAAUCUGUUAGAGCUGCAACAAGCUAUCUUGUAAUAUGACUCUAUUUCUGGUAUCGAUUGCUAUGUUAUUUCCUUUACUUGAUUCCUUCCUUUGUAUGUUUUGCCCUACGCUUUUAGGGAACUUGUCGGUGCAGGCACCUGGGCCACGAGCGCUGAGUGCGGGACGUCAGCAGCCUGCUGGCAGUGCCGCUUCCGACAAGAAACCUUGUCGCAACUAGCCGCAGCUCACUUAAGUUGUUGAGCGGACUCGAAACAAAGUAAGGGCGCAACUAGCUACGAGUUGGUUCCUCCGCGCACAGGUUUUCCAUACAAAGCACGGUCGUUCGAGGAAGAUAACUUAAAAAAUUUAAAAACUAAUUGCUCAAGCUUUGGCAACUUAGCUUUUCUGUCGUUUGCUUCCCGGUAAGGCGAAACUUCCUUGAACGAUGCCUGGUCCACACCAUUAAGUUCUCCUUUCCCCUCGGCAAACUUGUGGGCGAGGGAACUUUCGUUUCCUUUUGAGAAAAAGAAAGAAGAGAAAAUAAAGAUAUGGAGCCUUAUGGCUUGUUAUUGCUUACCGGGGUUAGGUGCUGCACAAGGUGUCAGAUAAUGCAUGCAAAAAUAAACUAGAAAGCAUGUAAUUGACAAGAUGUGCGGAGCACAUGAGCUUUACUUAUGCACGGUAUCUGUGCCUGGCUUUGUACAAAGGAUUACAUGCAACAUCGGCAAGACUUGUACAAAAGGUGGUUGCCGGAACAGGUUCUGGCGACCGCGCCCUAUGGGUAAAACUUACGAAGAUGCUCAAUGUUCCAGGAGUUGCUCACCAGAAUGCCAUCUUCGGUCUCAAGGCGGACAGCGCCAGGCCUAGUGACUCGUUUCACCCGGUAAGGGCCUUCCCACUUUGGCGUCAACUUGUUGGAAUUCUUGGCGGACUGAACGCACCGAAGAACAAGGUCGCCUUCCUCGAAACUUCUGGCAUUAACUUUGCGGCUAUGGUAGCGGCGCAAAGCUUGCUGGUAUCGAGCAGCUCGUACAGCAGCCUGAAGAUGGUCCUCCUCAAGGAGCAGCGCGUCAUCUUGUCGCAGCUGCUCUUUCUCAAGCUCAUCAUAAGCGAGCACUCGAGGUGCUCCGUAUACGAGUUCCGUGGGGAGAACUGCCUCUGCUCCAUACACUAGAGCGAAAGGUGUCUGGCCAGUGGCUCGAUUUGGCAUCGUCCUGAUCGACCAAAGAACCACCGGCAGCUCCUCAAUCCAGUUCCUUCCGCACUUGAGCAGCCUGUCGGAAGUCCUGGUCUUGAGCCUGCGCAGCACUUCAGCAUUCACCCUCUCCCCUUGACCGUUGCUUCUAGGAUGAGCAACAGAAGUGAAGCAGACCUUGGCGCCAAGAUCUUGGACGUACUGCAUGAAGGUGCGGCUCGUGAAUUGCAUGCCAUUGUCGGUGAUGAUCCUGUUAGGGAUCCCGAAACGGCAAACAAUCGACCUGAAGAACUUGACUGCUGACUGUGCAGUCACCUUCCUCACUAGUUCCACUUCCGGCCACUUUGUGAACUUGUCGAUUGCGACAUACAAGUACUCAAAGCCCUCGACAGCUCGGGGAAAAGGGCCGAGGAUGUCGAGCCCCCAGACCGGAAAUGGCCAGGAUAAAGGGAUCGUUUGGAGAGCUUGAGCUGGCUGGUGUAUCUGCUUGGAAUGGAACUGGCACGCUUCACACUUGGUUACUUGUGCAGUCGCAUCCUGGAGGGCUGUUGGCCAAAAGAAACCUUGCCGGAACGCUUUGUCAGCAAGUGCUCUCGCGCCAAUGUGGUGACCACAUAUGCCUCCAUGUAUCUCUGCCAACAACUUUUGUCCAUUUUCCCGAUGAAUACACUUCAAUUUCACACCGUUGAGUCUUCUUCUGUACAGUGUGUUAUCGACAAACUGGUACAUACUCGACUGUCGGGCUACUCUUUCCGCUUCUUCUUGCUCUUCGGGAAGUUCUCCUGUCUGAAGGAAAUGGACAAUCUGUUGUGCCCAUGCUGGAGCUUGUGGCUCGACAACAAGGACUAAAGGCACAUCUGCUGCUGCGAGAACAUCCGCUUCUACGGCGAGAACCUGCGGCUCAGCCGGAGCUUGAUGUUCCCUGGCAAGCUUGCCGGAGCAAAACUUGUCGGGAGCGUUUGCUUUAACGGAACAAACCCUAGGUCUUGCCGGAGCAGACUGCUCCUCAGCACCCUUGGUGUUGAUCUUGAUGACCUUCUUGGCGGCGGCUUCGGGGAGCUCUGCCGGAAAAUAGUCACCAGAAAUCAACUUCCUCUUCUUCUCCCCCCCGGGAGCUUCAGCGGCAAGUGAUUUGCGAUCUGUUGCGGCUGUUGCUUCCCGGUAGAUCUUGUCGGCGCAGAUAAGAGCAUCCUUCUUGUCACCAGGGACAGAGAUGACACUUAUCGGGCCUGGCAUCUUUAGUAUGUUGUAUGCAUAGUGAGAGGCUGCCAUGAAUUUGGCGAGUGCUGAACGGCCUAGUAUCCCAUUGUAAGGCAAUGGAAAGUCAGCAACGUCAAAAGUGACCCUCUCAGUCCUGAAGUUCAGCUCGCUGCCAAAUGUCACCGGCAACGUGAUCUUUCCCUUUGGCUUGCUCCUUCCCGGAUUGAUUCCUUGGAAUGUGCUGGUCUCUUCGAGCUCGCUGUCAGGGAUUUGGAGUUUCUGGAGUACCAUGGAGGAGAUCAGGUUCAAGCCGGCCCCGCCGUCAACUAGCAUCUUAGUGACCUUGAGGUUGCGGAUAGUUGUUGAAACCAACAUCGACAAGCAUCCGACUGCAGUUAUGCGAUCAGGGUGGUCCUCAAUAUCAAAGAUGAUAGGCGUGCCGGACCAUUUCAGAGGCUUGCAUGACUCGACGGGUGGUUCUGCCGCAUUAACUUCCCGCACCCACUGCUUGAGCUGGCAGUGUGAAGUAUGCAGAGAAGCACCACCGUCAACGCACAGGACCUCUGUGGCUUUCUGGAACUCCUGCUCAUCAGUCUCGUCAUCAUCCAUAUCUUCAUCGUCGUCGUCAUCUUCAUCCUUGUCGCGGCCGCGGGGAGGUCUGUCUCCUUGCCGCUGCUUGGCCUUGCCGCGGCGUCCUCCCCGGCCGGGGCGUUUCUUGCCGGAUCCCCCAGCACCUUCCUGGGCCGUCUCCUUGUCGCGUCGCUCGUAUUCAGCCUUUUGCUGCUCAACAAGCUGCUCGACCUUCUUGCAGCUCUGGAGGUCAUGGCCCUUGGUGCGGUGGAUCUUGCAGUAUUGCUUGUUGUUGCCGUCCUGCUUGUCGGCGACCGCCACAGCCUGGUAGUUGGUGCCUGCGGCAAUCUCCUUGCCGGAGCUACCAGCUUUGGCUUUGUUGGCGCCACCUCCGUUGUCGGACUGCUCGACAACUAGCACAUCCUUGCCUUUCUUUUUCCUAUUGUUCCGCCGCCGGUUUUUCCUUGCCGGGGCAGCAUCCUCACUAUCAGAUCCUCCUGCUUCUGUAUUCUCUCCGGGGAGUUUCCUCCCCUCCUCAACACGUGCACACUUGUCGGCCAGGGCAUAUAGCUCACUGACGUCUCUGAUCUUGCACAUCGCCAUCUCCUCCCGCAUCCUGCGGUUCCGCACAUUCUGAUGGAACGCGCUGAUUACCGUGGCAGGGUGGACAUCUGGGAUGUUGUGCUGUACGCGGCUGAAUCUCUGAAUGUACUUGCGCAGGGGCUCUCCUUCCUUCUGGGCGAGUAGAUGAAGGCCACUCUCUUGGCCAUGAGGCUUGUGGCCGCCUGUAAAGGCGCCGACAAACUGAUGGCACAGAUCUGCCUAGGAAGAUAUGGAGUUGUCCGACAAAUGCAUGAGCCAGGAUCUGACAUUGGGCUUGAGCACCAGUGGGAAGUAGUUGGCCAAGAUCUUGUCGUCCCGCCCCCCGGCAGCUUGCACCGCGAUGGUGUAGAUGCUGAGGAACUCCGACGGAUGCGUCUUGCCGUCGUACUUCUCUGGUACGUCUGGUUUGAAAUUCUUCGUGCUGGGCCACUGGACUUGCCGCAGCUCACGAGUGAACGCAGGGCAACCUACCGCGUACGGCAAGCCGCCUGGUUCCCCUGGCGCAUGCAUGUCGACAGAGGGCCCAGCGCGCUGGUCUGACUGACGCCGCGCUUCCCUUCGGCGCUCGAUGCGAGUACGAGCGUCUUCUUGCUGUCGUUCGUGAAGAACUUGGCGCUGAUCGCGACGAGCUUGUGGAUCCGAUGACGCGGUGGAGCCACUGUCGAGUUGGAUCCGGCGAGUCGGCAAUCUUGGCCUUCGGGGUGGAGAGUGCAUGGUGGUUGCACUCCCACCGGUUUCGUCGCCAUCGGCUCGUGCCUGGCGGUCCUGCCGCGGCAGCGAUGUACUCGGCUGCCGCGGGGUGUCGCCGUUGGCGUAGCCGAUGAGACUCUGAAUGGUGGCCCUCCAUUCAUCGAUCUUGUCUGACGUUGGAGGGUAAUCCAGGAGCAGCUGAGCUCGCGCCAAAGCUUCUGCUGGAGUGGUGGGCGGCAGUAGCGGACGGCGCGAGGAGCGGGAUAUGCUCGGACUUCUAACUAUGUUAGAAGGAGCAGUAUCCCGUCCAGGCGACCAUGUCUCUCUCAUGCCGGCACGUUGACGUGCAUGCUGGUCUUGAGCACCCCGGGAUCCACCAGCUUGAUCUUGGUCCAACAAACAUAUGGUACUGCGAAUACCAUGACGCUGUCGGUCCUGCACCUCCUGAGAUGGGCGCGGAACAUGUACGGACGCCAAGGUCUGCGCGGCCUUGUCUUUGGGCCUGGCAGCACCGUGGGCUCCCUCGUCGAUGUCCGUUCUUCCGCCAGCGUCUACCCCAUCACUCGUUUGCUCCGGUGGUGGUGGGAUCGACGUGGAUGGAACAGCUGCCGCCGAAGUCUUCUUCUUCGGUGGCAUGUCGAUGAAGAAGAUGAAGAUCUAGCUCGUGUGAACACCGGAUCAGGUUCACACUACCUCGACGCCCCCUACCUGGCGCACCAAAGAUGUCGGGGAAACUGAUCCACGAACACCUAUGGGACCGGCGGACCGAGCCCCUUUCGGUUCGGCGGGGGGCGGAGGUCGCAUGAAGAGCGGAUCGAGGCGAAGCACACGAGCAGUUUACCCAGCUUCGGAGCUCUCCGGAGAGAUAAUACUCCUACUGCUGCUUGUCUGAUUGUAUUGUGUUCUUGCUUGGGAGCGCUGAGUGCUACAGUACACAUGACCAGCUAACGAGACCGAGCGUGAGUGUUUUCUGGCUUCGAACUAGCCGAACCCCCCUCUACGUUGCGCAUGGGCCUCCUUUUAUAUGCUCAAGGGGUCUCCGACAGGUGGCAACGUAGACAAGGGUAAAAAUGGAAAAGGAACUGCGGUUGGUACAACUACCUGUACAGUGUAUCCUACCUAACCCUGACGGCAGGGGACAAAGGCAUUAAAUGCCCGUCUGCGUCGCCCAAACAGUGCAGAAAGGGACCGUAAGGGACGCCACCGCUUGCCAUGAUGGCUAUCUUGUCAGCACCGCUUGCCACUGCGCACCGCUCGCUGCACAGCCUCCCGCCACGUGCACCUGGAAAGGCCUCAGGGCGACACGUUGGUGGAUGUGCUGGAGCGUGGGUAUAGAGUGGUAGCCUGCCGCGGCAAGCGCCUUGCCACGGCCGUUGUCUUGUCGCGUCCGGAAGCUUGUCACUUACCGGGCCUUGCCGGGACGCGUGGCGCGUCACGGCAAGUUCCUUGAGAUGCCUUGGUUGGCCUUCCCGGCAAGCUCCUCUUGCCAGGGCCUUGUCUCCUUGGCUUGAAUACUUUGUUCUUGAAUGGCUCCAAAGGACCCAUGGAGGACCUUGGCGGUCACCCGGCAAGCCUUGCCGCGGGCGCUGCAACUGCCCGUGCACAAGUUCGGGAUACUAGGGUACCCCUACUCUAGUACACCGACAGAAGAACUUUCGCAACGGUGCAUACUCAGGGAGAACACUUAUACCUUGAAAUUUAGUGAGAGAUCAUCUUAUAAAGUUACUGCCGAAUUAAGCAAAAUAAGAUGUAUAAAAGAUAAACAUCACAUGCAAUCAAAAUAUGUGACAUGAUAUGGCCAUCAUCAUCUUGUGCCUUUUGAUCUCCAUCUCCAGAGUACUAUCAUGAUCUCUAUCGUCACCAGCAUGACACCAUGAUCUCCAUCAUCUUGAUCUAUAUCAAUGUGUCGUCACAUGGUCAUCUCGUCAACUAUUGCUCUUGCAACUAUUGCUAUCGCAUAGCAAUAAAGUAAAGCAAUUAUUUGGUGCUUGCAUCUUAUGCAAUAAAGAGACAACCAUAAGGCUUCUACCAGUUGCCGAUAACUUCAACAAAACAUGAUCAUCUCAUACAACAACUUAUAUCUCAUCACGUCUUGACCAUAUCACAUCACAAUAUGCCCUGCAAAACCAAGUUAGACGUCCUCUACUUUGUUGUUGCAAGUUUUACGUGGCUGCUACGGGCUGAGCAAGAACCGUUCUUACCUACGCAUCAAAACCAUAAUGAUAGUUCGUCAAGUUAAUAUUUUUUUAACCUUCUCAAGGACCGGGCGUAGCCACACUCGGUUCAACUAAAGUUGGAGAAACUGACACCCGCUAGUCACCUGUGUGCAAAGCACGGCGGUAAAACCAGUCUCGCGUAAGCGUACGCGUAAUGUCGGUCCAGGCCGCUUCAUCCAACAAUACCGCAAACCAAAGUAUGACAUGCUGGUAAGCAGUAUGACUUGUAUCGCCCACAAUUCACUUGUGUUCUACUCGUGCAUAUAACAUCUACUCAUAAAACCAGGCUCUGAUACCACUGUUGGGGAACGUAGUAAUUUCAAAAUUUUCCUACGCACACGCAAGAUCAUAGUGAUGCAUAGCAACGAGAGGGGAAGUGUUGUCCACGUACCCUCAUAGACCGAAAGCGGAAGCGUUAGCACAACACAGUUGAUGUAGUCGUACGUCUUCAUGAUCCGACCGAUCAAGUACCGAACGCACGGCACCUCCGAGUUCAGCACAUGUUCGGCUCGAUGACGUCCCUGGAACUCCGAUCUAGCGGAGCUUCGAGGGAGAGUUCCGUCAGCACGAUAGCAUGGUGACGAUGAUGAUGUUCUACCGACACAGGGCUUCGCCUAAGCACCGCUACAAUAUUAUCAACGUGGAAUAUGGUGGAGGGGGGCACCGCACACGGCUAAGAUAUCCAAGGGAUCAAUUGUUGUGUCUAGAGGUGCCCCCUGCCCCCGUAUAUAAAGGAGCAAGGGGGAGGCCGGCCAGCCCUUUGGGGCGCGCCAAGGAGGGGGGAGUCCUCCUCCUAGUAGGAGUAGGACUCCCCUUUCCUAGUCCAACUAGGAAGAGGGAAGGGGGAAGGAAAGAGAGGGAAAGAGGAGAAGGACAGGGGGGUGCGCCCCCCUCCCCUAGUCCAAUUCGGACCCCUCAUGGGAGGGGGCGCACCACCUCCUGGGCUGCUUCCCUCUCUCUUCCCUAAAGCCCACUAAGGCCCAAUACUCCCCCGGGGGGUUCCGGUAACCCCUCCGGCACUCCGGUUUUCUCCGAAACUACCCGGAACACUUCCAGUGUCCGAAUAUAGUCAUCCAAUACAUCGAUAUUUACGUCUCGACCAUUUCGAGACUCCUUGUCAUGUCCGUGAUCACAUCCGGGACUCCGAACAACUUUCGGUACAUCAAAACUCAUAAACUCAUAAUAAAACUGUCAAUGAAGCCUUAAGCGUGCGGACCCUACGGGUUCGAGAAAUAUGUAGACAUGACCAAGACACGUUUCCGGUCAAUAACCAAUAGCGGAACCUGGAUGCUCAUAUUGGCUCCUACAUAUUCUAUGAAGAUCUUUAUCGGUCAAACGUCAUAACAACAUACGGUGUUCCCUUUGUCAUUGAUAUGUUACUUGCCCGAGAUUUGAUCAUCGGUAUUGCUACGUCUUGAGCUUGCGUUGGUUUUCCUCGAAGAGGAGAGGGUGAUGCAGCAAGUGUAGCGUAAGUAUUUCCCUCAGUUUUGAGAACCAAGGUAUCAAUCCAGUAGGAGGCUCCUCAAAAGUCCCACGCACCUACACAAACAAACCGAGAACUCGCAACCAACGCAAUAAAGGGGUUGUCAAUCCCUUCACGGCUACUUGCGAAAGUGAGAUAUAAUAAAGAUAGUAUGAUAAGAUAAGUAUAUUUUUGGUAUUUUAUAAUAUAGAUGCAAAAAAGUAAAGAUGCAAAUAAAACUAGAUUGAAAGCAAAUAUGAUAAGAGAUAGACCCGGGGGCCAUAGGUUUCACAAGAGGCUUCUCUCAAGAUAGCAUAAGUAUUACGGUGGGUGAACAAAUUACUGUCGAGCAAUUGGUAGAAAAGCGCAUAGUUAUGAGAUUAUCUAGGCAUGAUCAUGUAUAUAGGCAGCACGUCCAAAACAAGUAGACCAACUCCUGCCUGCAUCUACUACUAUUACUCCACACAUCAACCGACUCCUGCCUGCAUCUAGAGUAUUAAGUUCAUAAGAAUAGAGUAACACAUUAAGCAAGAUGACAUGAUGUAGAGGGAUAAACUCAUGCAAUAUGAUAUAAACCCCAUCUUGUUAUCCUCGAUGGCAACAAUACAAUACGUGCCUUGCAACCCUUUCUGUCACUGGGUAAGGACAUCGCAAGAUUGAACCUAAAGCUAAGCACUUCUCCCAUGGCAAGAAAGAUCAACCUAGUAGGCCAAACCAAACUGAUAAUUCGAAGAGACUUGCAAAGAUAACUCAAUCAUACAUAAAAGAAUUCAGAGAAGAUUCAAAUAUUAUUCAUAGAUAAAAUUGAUCAUAAACCCACAAUUCAUCAGAUCUCGACAAACACACCGCAAAAAGAGUUUACAUCGAAUAGAUCUCCACAAGAGAGGGGGAGAACAUUGUAUUGAGAUCCAAAAAGAGAGAAGAAGCCAUCUAGCUAAUAACUAUGGACCCGUAGGUCUGUGGUAAACUACUCACAACUCAUCGGAGGGGCAAGGAUGUUGAUGUAGAGGCCCUCCGUGGUCGAUUCCCCCUCCGACAGAGUGCCGGCGAAGGCUCCAAGAUGAGAUCUCACGGAUACAGAAGGUUACGGCGGUGGAAAUUGUGUUUCGUGGUGCCCCUGGAUGUUUUCAGGGUACGUAGGUAUAUAUAGGAGGAAGAAGUAUGUCGGUGGUCGCCCGAGGGGCCCACGAGACAGGGGGCGCGCCCUACAGGGGGGGGGCUCCUAUCUCAUGGGGGCCUCGGGUGCUUCUUGACUUGCACUCCAAGCUCUCCGGAUCAUGUUCGUUCCAAAAAUCACGCUCCUGAAGGUUUCAUUCCGUUUGGACUCCGUUUGAUAUUCCUUUUCUUCGAAAUACUGAAAUAGGCAAAAAAAACAGCAAUAUGGGCUAGGCCUCCGGUUAGUAGGUUAGUCCCAAAAAUGAUAUAAAUGUGGAAAAUAAAGCCCAUAAACAUCCAAAAGGGGUAAUAUAAUAGCAUGGAACAAUAAAAAAUUAUAGAUACGUUGGAGACGUAUCAAGCAUCCCCAAGCUUAAUUCCUGCUCGUCCUCGAGUAGGUAAAUAAUAAAAAGAGAAUUUUUGAUGUGGAAUGCUACCUAGCAUAAUUCAUAAUGUAAUUUUCUUUAUUGUGGCAUGAAUGUUCAGAUCCAAAUGAUUCAAAAUAAAAGUUCAUAUUGAUAAAAGAAAUAGUAAUACUUCAAGCAUACUAAUCAAAGUAAUCAUGUCUUCUCAAAAUAGCAUGGCAAAAGAAAGUUCAUCCCUACAAAAUCAUAUAGUUAGGCUAUGCUUCAUUUUCGUCACACAAAGAUGUUCCCAACUUCAAUACCCCCGAUGACAAGCCAAGCAAUUGUUUCAUACUUAAAUAAUCUCAAACUUUUUCAACCUUCACGCAAUACAUGAGUGUGAGCCAUGGAUAUAGCACUAUGGGUGGAAUAGAAUAUGAUGAUGGGGAUUGUGUGGAGAAGACAAAAAAGGAGAAAGUCUCACAUUGACGAGGAUAAUCAACGGGCUAUGGAGAUGCCCAUCAAUUGAUGUCAACAUGAGGAGUAGGGAUUGCCAUGCAACGGAUGCACUAGAGCUAUGAAUGCUCAACAAAAGAAAACUAGUGGGUGUGCAUCCAACUUGCUUGCUCACGAAGAACUAGGGCAUUUGAGGAAGCCCAUCGUAGGAAUAUACAAGCCAAGUUCUAUAAUGAAAAAUUCCCACUAGUAUGAAAAAGACAACUUAUGAGACUCACUAUAUGAAAAACAUGGUGCUACUUUGAAGCACAAUAUGUGCGACUCACUACAUGAAGAACAAAGUGCUAUUUUGACGCACAAGUGUGGAAAAAGAGAUAGUAACAUUGCCCUUUUUAUUUAUUUUCUUUUUUUGGCCUUUCUUUUUUUUGGCCUUUCUUCUUUUUUUUUCUUUUUUUUCUUUGGGCAAUGCUCUAAUAAUGAUGAUGAUCACACUUCUAUUGAUUACAACAUAAGAAUUACAACUCGAAACUAGAACAAAAUAUGACUCUAUAUGAAUGCCUCCGGCGGUGUAUCGGGAUAGUGCAAUGAAUCAAGAGUGACAUGUAUGAAAAAUAAUGCAUGGUGGCUUUGCCACAAAUACGAUGUCAACUACACGAUCAUGCAAUGGCAAUAUGAAGAAAGUAAAGUAUGUCAUGAUGAUGAUGAAACGGAACGGUGGAAAGUUGCAUGGCAAUAUAUCUCGGAAUGGCUAUGGAAAUGCCAUAAUAGGUAGGUAUGGUGGCUGUUUUGAGGAAGAUAUAAGGAGGUUUAUGUGUGAUAGAGCGUAUCGUAUCACUGGGUUUGGAUGCACCGGCAAAGUUUGCGCCAACUCUCAAGGUGAGAAAGGGCAAUGCACGGUACCGAAGAGGCUAGCAAAGGUGGAAAGGUAAAAGUGCGUAUAAUCCAUGGACUCAACAUUAGUCAAAAGAACUCAUAUACUUAUUGCAAAAAUUUAGAAGUCAUCAAAAACCAAGUACUAUGGGCAUGCUCCUAGGGGGAUAGAUUGGUAGGAAAAUACCAUCGCUCGUCCCCGACCGCCACUCAUAAGGAUGCACAAGCCAGGUACACUUCAUGUUUCAAAUUUGUUACACAACUUUAACCAUACGUGAAUGCUAUGGGACUUGCUAACUUCAACAUAAGAAUUCUUUGAAUUCAUAAUCACCCAACUAGCAUGACUUUAAUAUCACUACCUCCAUAUCUCAAAACAAUUAUCAAGUAUCAAAUUGAUCAUAGCAUCCAAUUCACUUCCUAUGAUAGUUUUUAUUGUACCCAACUUGGAUGCCUACCAUUCUAGGACCAACUUUGUAACCAUAGAAAAUACCAUGAUGUUCUAAAAGACUCUCAAAAUAAUAUAAGUGAAGCAUGAGAGACUAGCAAUUUCUUCAAAAUUAAGUCACCACCGUGCUCUAAAAGAUAUAAGUGAAGCACUAGAGCAAAAACUAUCAAGCUCAAAAGAUAUAAGUGAAGCACAUAGAGUAUUCUAGCAAAUUCUAAUCAAAUAGGCUUCUCCCAAAAGGUGUGUACAGCAAGGAUGAUUGUGGUAAACUAAAAAUCAAAAACUACUAUAAUAAACGACGCUCCAAGCAAAACACAUAUCAUGUGGCGAAUAAAAAUAUAGCUCCAAGUAAAGUUACCAAUGAACGAAGAAGAAAGAGGGGAUGCCUUCCCGGGGCAUCCCCAAGCUUAGGCUUUUGGCUAUUCUUGAAUAUCUUGGGGUGCCAUGGGGAUCCCCAAGCUUAGGCUCUUGCCACCCUUUGUUCCAUAGUCCAUAAAAGCUUUACCCAAAACUUGAAAACUUCACAACACAAAACUCAACAGGAAAUCUUAUAAGCUCCGUUAGUGAAAGAAAACAAAACCACCACAUAAGGUACUGCAAUGAACUCAUUAUUUAUUUAAUUUGGUGUUAAACCUACUGUAUUCCAACUUCCUUAUGGUUUAUAAACUAAUGUACUAGCCAUAGAUGCAUUUAAAUAAGCAAACAACACACGAAAAACAGAAUCUAUCAAAAACAGAACAGUCUGUAGAAAUCUGUAACUAACGCAAACUUCUGGAACUCUAAAAAUCCUAAAAAAAUAGGAAGUCUUGGAAAAUUUGUUUAUUGAACAGAAGAAAAAAGAAUCAACGCAAAAGCACGUUCCUGUGAUUUAAUAAAAUUAUAUUCAUGCGUGAAAAUUUUCUGUUUUUCAGCAGAAUCAAAUCAACUAUCAUCGUAGGUUAUCCUAUAGGUUCUACUUGGCACAAACACUAAUUAAAAGAUAAAAACACAUCUAAACAGAAGGUAGAUGCAAGAUUUAUUACUGAACAGGAGCAAAAACAAAAAAACAAAAAGAAAAUUGGGUUGCCUCCCAACUAGCGCUAUCGUUUAACGCCCCUAGCUAGGCAUAAAAGCAAAGAUAGAUCUAACGAGUGCCAUCUUUGGCACUAAAUUCAUAAGUAGCACGCAUGAUAGAUUCAUAAGGUAAUUUGACUUUAUUUCUUGGAAAGUGCUCCAUGCCUUUCUUUAAUGGAAAUUGGAAUCUAAUAUUCCCUUCCUUCAUAUCAAUAAUCGCACCAAUCGUUCUAAGGAAAGGUCUACCAAGAAUAAUAGGGCAAGAAAGAUUGCAAUCUAUAUCAAGAACGAUAAAAUCUACGGGAACCAAAUUUCUAUUUGCAACAAUAAGAACAUCAUUGAUCCUUCCCAUAGGCUUUUUGAUGGUGGAAUCCGCAAGGUGCAAAUUUAAAGAGCAAUCCUCAAGAUCAUGGAAACCUAAAAUAUCACAUAAAGUUUUCAGAAUCGUGGAAACACUAGCACCCAAAUCACACAAAGCAAAACACUCAUAAUCUUUAAUUCUAAUCUUUCUAGUAGGUUCCCACUCAUCAUUAAGUUUUCUAGGUAUAGAAGCUUCCAAAUUAAGUUUUUAAUCAUAAGAUUGCAGCAAGGCAUCAACAAUAUGUUUGGUAAAAGCUUUAUUUUGACUAUAAGCAUGAGGAGAAUUAACAACGGAUUGCAACAAGGAAAUACAACCUUUUAAAGAGCAAUUAUCAUAAUUAAAUUCCUUGAAAUCCGAGAUAGUAGGUUCAAUAUUAUUAGAAGUUGAGGAUUCUCCAAUCUCACUUUUACCAAAUUUAGCAUUAAGAUCUAAAGAUUCUGAAUUCUUGGGACGCCUUCUAGGCAAAGUUGAUUCAUCAUCAGUCCCAUAAUCAUCAAAAUUCAUAUUGCAAAACAUAGAUCAAAUCGGAGACACAUCAAUAACUUUAAGAUCCUCAUCAUUAUUUUCACGGAAACUAGAAGAACAUGCUUUUAUAAAGCUUUCUUUCUUAGCACGCAAUCUAGCGGUUCUUUCCUUGCACUCAUCAAUGGAAAUUCUCAUUACCUUGAGAGACUCAUUGAUAUCAUUCUUAGGAGGAGAAGAUAUAAGUUUAAGAGAAUCAACAUCAAGCGAAAGUCUAUCAAUGUUCCUAGCCAUAUCAUCAACUUUGAGCAAUUUUUCUUCAAGCAAAGCAUUAAAAUUCUUUUGAGAAAUCAUAAAUUCUUUCACACUAUUCUCAAAAUCAGAGGGCAUCUUAUUAAAAUUACCAUAAGAAUUAUUGUAAGAAUUUCCAUAGUUAUUAGAGGAAUUACUAGGGAACGGUCUUGCAUUAAAGUUUUCUCUAUAAGCAUUGUUUCCAAAACUAUUCCUGCCAACAAAAUUCACAUCCAUAGAUUCAUUAUUAUUCUAAAUCAAGGAAGACAAAGGCAUAUCAUUGGGAUCAAGAGGUGUACUUUUAGUAGCAAACAUCUUCAUAAGUUCAUCCAUCUUUCCACUCAAAACAUUGAUUUCUUCUAUAGCAUGCACUUUUUUACUAGAAGAUCUUUCGGUGUGCCAUUGAGAAUAAUUAGCCAUAAUAUUAUCAAGAAGUUUUGUAGCAUCUCCUAACGUGAUUUCCAUAAACGUGCCUCCCGCGGCCGAAUCUAAGAGAUUUCUAGAAGCAAAGUUCAAACCGGCAUAAAUUUUUUGUAUGAUCAUCCAUAAAUUCAAACCAUGAGUAGGGCAAUUGCGAAGCAUCAAUUUCAUUCUUUCCCAAGAUUGGGCAACAUGCUCAUGAUCAAGUUGUUUAAAAUUCAUGAUAUUGUUUCUAAGAGUAAUAAUCUUAGCGGGAGGAAAAUACUUAGAGAUAAAAGCAUCUUUGCACUUGCUCCAAGAAUCAAUACUAUUUUUAGGCAAAGAGGAAAACCAAACUUUACCAUGAUCUCUAAGUGAAAACGGGAAUAACUUCAAUUUGACAAUAUUGUUAUCCGUAUCUUUCUUCUUUUACAUAUCACACAAAUCAACAAAAUUGUUUAGAUGAGUAGCGGCAUCUUCACUAGGAAGGCCGGCAAAUUGAUCUUUCAUAACAAGAUUUAGCAAAGUUGUAUUGAUUUCACAAGACUCAACAUCAUUAAGGGGAGCAAUCAGAGUACUAAAGAAAUCAUUAUUAUUGGUAUUCAAGAAAUCACACAAUUUGGUAUUAUAUUGCGCCAUGGCAACAAGUAAUCCAACACACAAGCAAACAUAAAAAUGGCAAGCGAAAAAGAGAGGAGGAGAUUGGGAAAUAGAGGAAAAUAAAACGGCAAGGGUGAAGUGGGGGAGAGGAAAACGAGAGGCAAAUGGCAAAUAAUGUAAAUGCGAGGGAGAUGGGUUUGUGAUGGGUACUUGGUAUGUCUUGACUUGAGCGAAGACCUCCUCGGCAACGGCGCCAUAAAUCCUUCUUGCUACGUCUUGAGCUUGCGUUGGUUUUCCUCGAAGAGGAGAGGGUGAUGCAGCAAGUGUAGCAUAAGUAUUUCCCUCAGUUUUGAGAACCAAGGUAUCAAUCCAGUAGGAGGCUCCUCAAAAGUCCCACGCACCUACACAAACAAACUGAGAACUCGCAACCAACACAAUAAAGGGGUUGUCAAUCCCUUCAUGGCCACUUGCAAAAGUGAGAUCUAAUAAAGAUAGUAUGAUAAGAUAAGUAUAUUUUUGGUAUUUUAUAAUAUAGAUUAAAAAGUAAAGAUGCAAAUAAAAGUAGAUUGAAAGCAAAUAUGAUAAGAGAUAGACCCGGGGGCCAUAGGUAUCACUAGAGGCUUCUCUCAAGAUAGCAUAAGUAUUACGGUGGGUGAACAAAUUACUGUCGAGCAAUUGAUAGAAAAGCGCAUAGUUAUGAGAUUAUCUAGGCAUGAUCAUGUAUAUAGGCAUCACGUCCAAAACAAGUAGACCGACUCCUACCAACAUCUACUACUAUUACUCCACACAUCGACCGACUCAUGCCUGCAUCUAGAGUAUUAAGUUCAUAAGAACAGAGUAACGCAUUAAGCAAGAUGACAUGAUGUAGAGGGAUAAAAUCAUGCAAUAUGAUAUAAACCCCAUCUUGUUAUCCUCGAUGGCAACAAUACAAUACGUGCCUUGCAACCCUUUCUGUCACUCGGUAAGUACACCGCAAGAUUGAACCCAAAGCUAAGCACUUCUCCCAUGGCAAGAAAGAUCAAUCUAGUAGGCCAAACCAAACUGAUAAUUCGAAGAGACUUGCAAAGAUAACUCAAUCAUACAUAAAAGAAUUCAGAGAAGAUUCAAAUAUUAUUCAUAGAUAAAAUUCAUCAUAAACCCACAAUUCAUCGGAUCUCGACAAACACACCGCAAAAAGAGUUUACAUCGAAUAGAUCUCCACAAGAGAGGGGGAGAACAUUGUAUUGAGAUACAAAAAGAGAGAAGAAGCCAUCUAGCUAAUAACUAUGGACCCGUAGGUCUGUGGUAAACUACUCACAACUCAUUGGAGGGGCAAGGAUGUUGAUGUAGAGGCCCUCCAUGGUCGAUUCCCCCUCCGGCAGAGUGUCAGCGAAGGCUCCAAGAUGAGAUCUCGCGGAUACAGAAGGUUACGGCGGUGGAAAUUGUGUUUCGUGGUGCCCCUGGAUGUUUUCGGGGUACACAGGUAAAUAUAAGAGGAAGAAGUACGUCGGUGGCCGCCCGAGGGGCCCACGAGACAGGGGGCGCUCCCUACAAGGGGGGGCGUACAGGGGGGGGGGGGCGGCCUCCUAUCUCGUGGGGGCCUCGGGUGCUUCUUGACUUGCACUCCAAGCUCUCCGGAUCAUGUUCGUUCCAAAAAUCACGCUCCCGAAGGUUUCAUUCCAUUUGGACUCCGUUUGACAUUCCUUUUCUUCGAAAUACUGAAAUAGGCAAAAAAACAGCAAUAUGGGCUGGGCCUCCGGUUAGUAGGUUAGUCCCAAAAAUGAUAUAAAUGUGUAAAAUAAAGCCCAUAAACAUCCAAAAGGGGUAAUAUAAUAGCAUGGAACAAUAAAAAAAUAUAGAUAUGUUGGAGAUGUAUCAGGUAUCCCAAUACCUAGUUCAAUCUCGUUACCGGCAAGUCUCUUUACUCGUUAUGUAAUGCAUCAUCCCGCAACUAACUCAUUAGCCACAUUGCUUGCAAGGCUUAUAGUGAUGUGCAUUACCUAGAGGGCCCAGAGAUACCUCUCCGACAAUCGGAGUGACAAAUCCUAAUCUCGAAAUACGCCAACUCAACAUGUACCUUCGGAGACACCUGUAGAGCUCCUUUAUAAUCACCCAGUUACGUUGUGACGUUUGGUAGAGUUGCAUAAUCUCAUAGUCAUAGGAACAUGUAUAAGUCAUGAAGAAAGCAAUAGCAACAUACUAAACGAUCAAGUUCUAAGCUAACGGAAUGGGUCAAGUCAAUCACAUCAUUCUACUAAUGAUGUGAUCCCGUUAAUCAAAUGACAACUCAUGUCUAUGGCUAGGAAACACAACCACCUUUGAUCAACAACCUAGUCAAGUAGAGGCAUACUAGUGACACUAUGUUUGUCUAUGUAUUCACACAUGUAUUAUGUUUCCGGUUAAUACAAUUCUAGCAUGAAUAAUAAACAUUUAUCAUGAAAUAAGGAAAUAAAUAAUAACUUUAUUAUUGCCUCUAGGGCAUAUUUCCUUCAAAUCCUACUUAGAGUAGGACUCCCCCCCUUGGGCGCGCCUCCUCCUGGCCGGCCUCCUCCUCCCUCCCUCCUUUAUAUACGUGGGGAGGGGGCACCCAAAGGCACAACAGACAAUCUCUUAGCCGUGUAUGGUGCCCCCACUCCACUGUUUUAUACCUCUGUCAUAUUGUCGUAGUGCUUAGGCAAAGUCCUAUGCCGGUAACUUCAUCAUCACUGUCACCAUGCCGUUGUGCUGACGGAACUCUCCCACGGCCUCAGCUGGAUCAAGAGUUCGAGGGAUGUCACCGAGCUGAACGUGUGCAGAUCGCGGAGGUGCCAUGCGUUCGGUACUUGGAUCGGUUGGACCGCGAAGACGUUCGAAUACAUCAACCGCGUUACUAAACGCUUCCGUUUUUGGUCUACGAGGGUACAUGGACACACUCUUCCCGCUCGUUUCUAUGCUUCUCCUAGAUAGAUCUUGCGUGAUCGUAGGAAAUUUUGUGAAAUACUACGUUCCCCAACAGUGGCAUCCGAGCCAGGUCUAUGCGUAGAUGUUAUAUGCACGAGUAGAACACAAAGAGUUGUGGGUGAUAAUAGUCAUACUGCUUACCAGCAUGUCAUACUUUGAUUCGGCGGUAUUAUUGGAUGAAGCGGCCCAGACCGACAUUACAUGACCGCAUUCAUGAGACUGGUUCUACCGCCGUGCUUCGCACAUAGGUGCCUAGUGGGUUUCUAUUUCUCCAACUUUAGUUGAAUCGAGUGUGACUACGCCCAGUCCUUGUUGAAGGUUAAAACAGCACACUUGACGAAAAAUCAUUGUGGUUUUGAUGCAUAGGUAAGAACGGUUCUUCCUAGAAGCCCAUAGCAGCCACGUAAAAAUUGCAACAACAAAAUAGAGGGCGUAUUAACUUGUUUUUGUAGGGCUUGCUGUGAUGUGAUAUGGUCAAGACGUGAUGACAUAUAAAUUGUUGUAUGAGAUGAUCAUGUUUUGUAACAGUUAUCGGCAACUGGCAGGAGCCAUAUGGUUGUCGCUUUAUUGUAUGAAAUGCAAUCACCAUGUAAUUGCUUUACUUUAUCACUAAGCGACAGUGAUAGUCGUAGAAGCAAUAGUUGGCGAGACGACAACGAUGCUUCGAUGGAGAUCAAGGUGUCAAGCCGGUGACGAUGGUGAUCAUGACGGUGCUUUGGAGAUGGAGAUCAAAGUCACAAGAUGAUGAUGGCCAUAUCAUAUCACUUAUUUGAUUGCAUGUGAUGUUUAUCCUUUAUGCAUCUUAUUUUUCUUAGUAUGGCGGUAGCAUUAUAAGAUGAUCUCUCACUAAAAUUUCAAGGUACAAGUGUUCUCCCUGAGUAUGCAGCAUUGCGACAGUUCGUCGUGCCGAGACACCACGUGAUGAUCGGGUGUGAUAGGCUCUACGUUCACAUACAACGGGUGCAAGCCAGUUUUGCACACGCAGAAUACGGGUUAAACUUGACGAGCCUAGCAUAUGCAGAUAUGGCCUCGGAACACUGAGACCGAAAGGUCAAGUGUGAAUCAUAUAGUAGAUAUGAUCAACAUAGUGAUGUUCACCAUUGAAAACUACUCCAUCUCACGUGAUGAUCGUACAUGGUUUAGUUGAUAUGGAUCACGUGAUCACUUAGAUGAUUAGAGGGAUGUCUAUCUAAGUGGGAGUUCUUAAGUAAUAUGAUUAAUUGAACUUUAAUUUAUCAUGAACUUAGUACCUGAUAGUAUUUUGCAUGUCUAUGUUGUUGUAGAUAAAUGGUACGUGCUACUAUUCCGUUUAUUUUUAAUGCAUUCCUAGAGAAAGCUAAGUUGGAGGAUGAUGCUAGCAACUGCAUAGACUGGGUCCGUAACUUGAGGAUUAUCCUCAUUGCUACACAGAAGAAUUAUAUCCUAGAAGCACUUCUAGGUGCAAGACCCACUGCAGGAGCAACGCCAGACGUUGUGAAUGCUUGGCAGAGCAAAGCUGAUGACUAGUCGAUAGUUCAGUGUGCCAUGCUUUACGGCUUAGAACCGGGACUUCAACGACGUUUUGAACGUCAUGGAGAACAUGAGAUGUUCUAGGAGUUGAAGUUAAUAUUUCAAGCAAAUGCCUGGAUUGAAAGAUAUGAAGUGUCCAAUGAAGUUCCACAACUGCAAAAUGGAGGAGAAUAGUUCUGUUAGUGAGCAUAUACUCAGAAUGUCUGGGUACCACAAUCACUUGACUCAACUGGGAGUUAAUCUUCCGGUAGAUAGUGUCAUUGACAGAGUUCUUCAAUCAUUGCCACCAAGCUACAAAAGCCUCAUGAUGAACUAUAAUAUGCAAGGGAUGGAUAAGACAAUUCCCGAGCUCUUCGCGAUGCUAAAGGCUACGGAGGUAGAAAUCAAGAAGGAGCAUCAGUUGGUGAUGGUUAACAAGACCACUAGUUCCAAGAAGAAGGGCAAAGGGAAGAAGGGGAACUUCAAGAAAAAUGGCAAGCAAGUUGCUGCUCAAGUGAAGAAGCCCAAGUCUGGACCUAAGCCUGAUAUUGAGUGCUUCUACUGCAAAGGGAUUGGUCACUGGAAGCGGAACCGCCCCAAGUAUUUGGCGGAUAAGAAGGAUGGCAAAGUGAAAGGUAUAUUUGAUAUACAUGUUAUUGAUGUGUACCUUACUAAUGCUCGUAGUAGCGCCUGGGUAUUUGAUACUGGUUCUUUUGUUCACAUUUGCAACUCGAAACAGGGGCUACGGAUUAAGUGAAGACUGGCUAAGGACGAGGUGAAGAUGUGCGUGGGAAAUGGUUCCAAAGUCGAUGUGAUCGCCGUCGGCACGCUACCUCUACAUCUACCUUCACGAUUAGUUUUAGACCUAAAUAAUUGUUAUUUGGUGCCAGCAUUAAGCAUGCACAUUAUAUCUGGAUCUUGUUUGAUGUGAGAUGGUUAUUCAUUUAAAUUAGAGAAUAAUGGUUGUUCUAUUUAUAUGAGUAAUAUCUUUUAUGGUCAUGCACCCUUGGUGAGUGGUCUAUUUUUGUUGAAUCUCGAUAGUAGUGAUACACAUAUUCAUAGUAUUGAAGCCAAAAGAUAUAAGUUUAAUAAUGACAGUGCAACUUAUUUGUGGCACUGCCGUUUUGGUUAUAUUGGUGUAAAACACAUGAAGAAACUCCAUGCUGAUGGGCUUUUGGAAUCACUUGAUUAUGAAUCACUUGAUGCUUGCGAACCAUGCCUCAUGGGCAAGAUGACUAAGACCCCGUUCUCCGGAACAAUGGAGCGAGCAACAGACUUAUUGGAAAUAAUGCAUACUGAUGUAUGCGGUCCGAUGAGUGUCGAUGCUCGCGGCGGGUAUCGUUAUUUUCUGACCUUCACAGAUGAUUUGAGCAGAUAUGGGUAUAUCUACUUGAUGAAACAUAAGUCUGAAACAUUUGAAAAGUUCAAAGAAUUUCAGAGUGAAGUGAAAAUCAUCAUAACAGGAAAAUAAAGUUUCUACGAUCUGAUCAUGGAGGUGAAUAUUUGAGUUAUGAGUUUGGUCUUCAUUUGAAACAACGCAGAAUAGUUUCGCAACUCACGCCACUCGGAACACAACGGCGUAAUGGUGUGCCGAACGUCCUAACCGCACUUUAUUAGAUUGUCACGCCCAAUAUGCGAUAUUAUCCUAAAGGGACUCGAAGGUCCCACCAAGGAUAGAACCGCAUAUUGAUACGCUUUUGCAAGGUGGAUGUCAUUACAUCAACAUUACAUAAUAGAUGGGGAUACAUACAAAAGGCAUACAGUGCCACAUGAAUACAACAUCAUCUUACAUAAGAGCACCAUCCGACUACGGAUGAAACACAAACAGAAACUCAAACAACAUCCACCCUGCUAGCCCAGGCUGCCGACCUGGAACCUAUCCCCUGAUCGAAGAAGAAGCAGAAGAAGAACUCCAAAACAAGCAAACAUCGCUCUCGCGUCAUGAUCAUCGCAUAACCUACACCUACAACUGUUGUUGUAGUAAUCCGUGAGCCAUGAGGACUCAGCAAUCCCAUUACCAUGGGUAUCAAUACUAGCAAAGCUUAAUGGGUAAGGAAGGGGUGAAGUGGUGAGGUUGCAGCAGCGACUAAGAUGGUAUGGUGGUUAACAUACACAAAUAAGAGCGAGAAGAGAAGCAAAGGAACGGUCGUGAAGCUAGCAAUGAUCAAGAGGUGAUCCUGAACUCCUACUUACGUCAAACAUAACCCAAAACCAUGUUCACUUCCCGGACUCCGCCGAAAAGAGACCAUCAGGACUACACACACGGUUGAUGCAUUUUAAUUCGAAUCUGGUGUCAAGUUAUCUACAACCGGACAUUAACAAAUUCCCAUCUGCCACAUAACUGCGGGCACGACUCUCGAAAGUUUAUACCCUGCAGGGGUGUCCCAACUUAGCCCAUCACAAGCUCUCACGGUCAAUGAAGGAUAUUCCUUCUCCCAGGAAGACCUGAUCAGUCUCGGAAUCCCGGUUUACAAGACAUUUCGACAAUGGUAAAGCAAGACCAGCAAAGCCGCCCAAUGUGCUGACAAUCCCGAUAGGAGCUGCACAUAUCUCGUUCUCAGGGCAACACCGGAUAAGUCAAGCUACGAGUAAAACCAGACUUCGAGUUUCCCCGAAGUGGCCCCGCAGGCUGCUCGGUUCGGACCAGCACUUAGAGAAGCACUGGCCCAGGGGGGGCUAAAAUAAAGAUGACCCUCGAGAGAGCGACUCCCAAGGGAAAAGUAGGUGGUGGUGAGGCAAAUGGUAAAACCAAGGUUGGGCCUUGCUGGAGGAGUUUUAUUCAAAGCGAACUAUCAAGGGGGUCCCAUAAAUCACCCAACCGCGUUAGGGACACAAAAUCCGGGAACAUAACUUGGCAUGACGGAAACUAGGGCGGCAAGAGUGGAACAAAACACUAGGCGUAAGGCCGAGUCUCCCACCCUUUACCAAGUAUAUAGAUGCAUUAAUUAAAUAAGAGAUAUUGUGAUAUCCCAACAUAAUCCUGUCCACCAUGGAGCAAUCUUCAACUUCACCUGCAACUAACAACGCUAUAAGAGGGGCUGAGCAAAGCGGUAACAUAGCCAAACAACAGUUUGCUAGGAAGGGUGAAAAGGUUAGAGGCUGACAUGGCAAUUUGGGAGGCUUGAUCAACAAGAGAUAGGUAGCGCAGCAUAGCGAUAGAACGAAGCAACUAGCAUAGCAAUGAUAGUAAUGAGAUCCAAGGUGACGGUCAUCUUGCCUGAAAUCCCGCUGCGAAGAAGAACGAGUCCAUGAAGAAUAUGAAGCCACAAAGACGAACCAAGCGUAGACGAACGAAUCCUCACGAUCGCACCGAAACGGGAACUAUCGAGAAGAAGCACACAACAUAGUAAUUUCAAACACACCACACAUAAACAUGACAAGAUGCUCAACCAAGCAUGAUGCAUGACAAAGGCUACAUGAAGCUACUCAUGGCAAUAAAUGAUGCAUACAAGAACAACACAUCAAAGCAAAGUUAAAUGAGGCCGGAAACAACAUAUAACAAUUCCGGAAAAUCCCCAUAUGCAAGUUUCAAAGUUGGUCCAGAUCUGAAUAAACCUUAUGUUCAAGUUGUUAAACAGCAAGUUAAAGAGCACCAAGAGAAUCUACACGAAAUUCUAGUCAAGUUACAUAUAAAGUUCAUUUAGUUCGGAGCUACGGCCUAGAAGAUAUGAGCAAAACAAGUUAAACACGGCAUUGAUGCAAAAUGCAUACAAACAUCAAGCAAACACUCUCAAAACAUGGAUGCAACAAGUUAAUAUGAAACUUCAUGCAAAAUCAAGCAAGUUUCAUAUAGAGCACACUCAAAACGGAGCAACGAUUCAACACAUACACUCUAUACAAGUUUAAAGGACAAGUUGUCCAAAACAACAACUAGGCGUCUUGCAAGCAUCAAAACAAUAUACUACAUCACCUCAAAAUAAGAACAAAAGGCAUGGGCAUGAAGCACAGGUAAAGCACGACAAAACAUGAACACUGAGCUAUCUCCAGAAAACAUUAGAACAUGCUCAAAAGGACAUGGCAAUAUUGCAAACAAUAACAGUUUCAGACUUAACAUAAAUAACAUCAGGUUGCAAUGUUUAGAGCUAUCAAACAAUAUGUUACAAGAACUUAACAUGGCAAACAAAGGCAUGGAAUGCUAGUACUAAUUACAAAGGACAAAACUCCCUUAAUGAACUAAUUCCAAAGAUCAACAGAAAAGAUGGUAGGAUUCAUGCAAACAUGGCAAAUGAUAUGACAGAUUCAGACAUGGCAGGAACAACAAUAAGUAGGCAUGUUGGUGAGCUUGUACAACUCACCACAGAGCAUUACAUGGCAUUACAAGGUGACCAACAGUAAGAUGACAUACUUAUUAAGCUAAGAAUGGCAAGAGCAAGUUCAUAGGGUGCAUGGAUCACUAGCAAAGCACAUGGCAAAACUGAACUUAAUGUUAACAGGCUGACAGCAACAUAUUUAGCAACUUUGGAGCAUGAUAUGAACAAUCUACAGCAAGCUAUAAAUGCAACCAGGGGCAUGGAUGGAUAGAGAAUGACAUGAAUAACAAAAUAUCUUUAGUGAACAUCUCCAGAUGAUGCAUAGAAUGACUUGUAGCAGCAGGUUUACAUAGCAUCACGAAAUAACAGAUUCAGCCUAGCAAAACAGUAACAGUAAGUACCCUACUUCACGAGCUCGAUGCACUCACUACAAGACUCACAAAAAAUACAUGUAUUGCACCACUAUGAGGAUGGAAUGAUGUAGCUCAAAACUCAUGUAGACAUCAUGCUCAUAAGAUGCACACACGGAAUGCAAUGAAAAAGACAAAUCACCAAGUUAUAACAGUUUCAAUAGGUUAACAUCGUAUAUCACUCUUGCAAUGAUGAUUUGGGCAUCAAUAUGGACUCAAACAAGCAUGGAACAAUGGAAUGUAUUCAAGAGCAUCUCACAGCGAACAUUUUGAUGUAUUAUGCAUGCAAAAUGGAGCAACAUGCAAGGAGAUAUGAUGCUAUGAACUUGGCAUGAAAAUGUUGCAGAUCCGGGGACUUAGACGAAUUUCACCUGGCGAAAAGUGGACGGGGACGUUCCAGGACGGAGAGAUCCGGGACGGUGCGGGGCGCGUUUGGAUGGAUGCACUGGCGGAUCUGGUCCACCUCCAGAUCCAGAUCGAGGACGGGUCCGGGUCCGGCGACGACGGCUCGCCGGAGUUGGAGGGGCGGCAACCGGAGUUGGAGGGGCGGCGACGGGGCAACGCGGUUCCGGCGAGGGGCGAGCCGGGCGGUGGAGGCGAGGCGGCGCUGGGCGCNNNNNNNNNNNNNNNNNNNNNNNNNNNNNNNNNNNNNNNNNNNNNNNNNNNNNNNNNNNNNNNNNNNNNNNNNNNNNNNNNNNNNNNNNNNNNNNNNNNNNNNNNNNNNNNNNNNNNNNNNNNNNNNNNNNNNNNNNNNNNNNNNNNNNNNNNNNNNNNNNNNNNNNNNNNNNNNNNNNNNNNNNNNNNNNNNNNNNNNNNNNNNNNNNNNNNNNNNNNNNNNNNNNNNNNNNNNNNNNNNNNNNNNNNNNNNNNNNNNNNNNNNNNNNNNNNNNNNNNNNNNNNNNNNNNNNNNNNNNNNNNNNNNNNNNNNNNNNNNNNNNNNNNNNNNNNNNNNNNNNNNNNNNNNNNNNNNNNNNNNNNNNNNNNNNNNNNNNNNNNNNNNNNNNNNNNNNNNNNNNNNNNNNNNNNNNNNNNNNNNNNNNNNNNNNNNNNNNNNNNNNNNNNNNNNNNNNNNNCCGGCGAGGAGGCGGAGAUCGGGGUCGGGCACGGAGGCGGGCGCCUCGGGCGGCGGCGGGCAGCGGCUUGGGCCCCGCGGGCCGGAUCUAGGCCCCGCGGGCCUUGGCAGCGGAGGAGAGAGAGGAGGGCCGGCGGCGGAUGAGGUGGCGACGCGCGAUUGGGCGAGGCGGUGGUGCUGCUGACGUGUCGCGUGGGGAUUGGUUCGGGUGAGGUGGCUGGUGGACACGUCCGGCGGAGUUGGACGUGUCUGGCGGCGCGGGGUGGAAGAAGGCUAGGGUUGGACUGCGGGAUUUUCGGGGAGAACACAUAUUUAUAGGUAGAGGGAGCUAGGAGAGUCCAAAUGGGGAGCGGUUUUCGCCCACACGAUCGUGAUCGAACGACCGAGAGCAUGGAGGGGGUUUGGAUGGGCUCAUGGGCUGAUUUGGAGGGGUGUUGGGCUGCAAGUCAAAAGGGGCUUUUACGGUUACCUGGUUAACUGUUGGAGUAUCAAAUGGACUCCAAAUGGCACGAAACAUGACAGGCGGUCUACCGGUGGUGUACCAAGGCCACUUGGCAAACCUCGGUCCAUUCCAAGAAUCUUUAACACCCGCUCAUGAAAAGAGACAAGAAGGGGACGCCGGAUGAUAUAGGAGUGCUGGAUUGCAAAACGGACAACGGGGAAAAAUGCUCGGAUGCAUGAGACGAACACGUGUGCAAUGCAAUGCACAUGAUGACCUGGCAAAAUGCAACACACAAGUAAAUAACAUGGCAACAACAAUGAAUAACUGGCAGACACAUGGCACAUCAAAUCCGGGGCGUUACAACACUCCUCCACUAACAAGAGAUCUCAUCCCGAGAUCUUAGGACCGAGACGGGGGAAAAUGGGAUGAGGUGAAAAACAAGAACUCAAGAGAAGAAGCAAAGAAUCAAGAUCACUCGAGAAGAAGAGAGGAACGACGAGAAUGACAAGAAUUGAAAGCUCGCGGAAUCAGAUAGACGAUGAAACCACUCCAGUUAGAACGAGAUAAGACACGAAUAAGACUGGAAGGAUUUAGGCAGCACUCCGGCUGAAACAUGGAGGAAUAGAACACGAACUUGAGAGGAUGGAAUGAUACUUGAUGAAGACAUGACACAAAACCUCCGGAAAGAAUUGAAAGAGUUGAAUGAAAAUAACGGAGAAUAAAAUGACAACUUGUGCCACGAAUGAAAUUGAAAGCAUCGUUAGAAGGAAGGUUUAAACGGAGUUGUUGAGAAAAUCAACAACGAAAAGAAUAAGCUUGUUGUGGUCUUAUAGGUAACAUCUCAAGAUCAUAAGGUGAUAACCAGCCACAAACGGAAAUGAUUGGAUAGCUGAGAAGAACGAAGGAAUGCAAAACUCCACUUCAAAAGAAUAUGGAGAUUUAAUUGCACUUUGAAAAACAAGAAGGAAACAUACUUGAGCUCCUUCGAUAAGAAUCUUGAUGAACACAUGAGGAAUGAAUUAGAUCCUUGCGAACCACUGUGAAGAACUCCGGUAACAAAUGGAUGAUGAGAUAGAAUUGAGGGAUGAAAGGGAUAAGAUUAAAGCCUUGCGAUGAUUUAGAUGGAGGUUCGACGAAAUGGCCGAGUAAUUUGAACUCCGGAAAAGAAAAGAUGAAAACACUUGAACUAGAAUUUAUUCCUCACGAACAAACUCCGAAGGAAGGGAUUAUUCACUUGGAUGAAAUAAGAAUAAGAUUUAUUGUAUGCUUACCCUUCAUCAAAUUAAAUUGAUGACAAGCAAUGGAUUUUGCAUACUACUUAUUCUUGUUGGAAAAGGAUUAAGAGGAAUAUGGCGCAAAACUUGAGAAAGUCUUCAUGAACCACCGGUAGGAUUGGAAAGAAUGAAUGAAUUAAAAUGAUAAUCUUGAACGAACCACCGUAAGAAUUCGAAAAUGACUGAUGAAAGAGACUGAAUCACCGGGAAGAACUAGAAGAACAAUAUGCUAGAGGGGAUUUAGAUGCAAAAGAACAAAGAGAUCAUGACCUGAUUGAAGAAUACUUGAACGAAGCACCGGGAUAAUUGGAUAACGGUAGCUGAAAUGUGAGGACGAAAAAUUCUUCUGGAAUGACGGCCUCCGGUGAAAAGAAACGGGAAACAACCUCUGACAUACUCCGGAUGGUUGAGAAAAAGGAAUUUCCGACAAACGGAAUAAUUCGAGAGGGUACCAAGAAGCUAGAACCACGAAUCUUCGGGAGAACGGGCAAGAUUGAGAGGAAAAACUCUUCUUCGGUCUUCAAAUGUUAAGAAUGACAAUGAGAAACAACACCAAAAUUUGUUGAGACACUCUGGGGAAACGAAAGGCGAAGAGGUUGAGCCAACAAUGAAAAGAAUUUGAAAAUGAUCUUGGAGAAGGCAUGUGACUGAUGGAAUCCAUUCUUACGUACACUUCAAAAAGGAUUGAGAAUAACUCCAGCAGAAUUAGAAGAGUCAAGUAAGAUCCUGGGAAAAGACCUGUGGGUUAGGGCCCACUGAAGAGAAAAACACCGUUGGAAAGGGAUGUUGAAAAGAUAAAUGAUGCACCGGAACAAUUGAAAUAUUUGAAUGAGGUGACAACCUCAAAUUAAUUCACACACAGACGAAUCUCCUGAGAUGUCUUGAGCACUCCGAAAAUAUAAACUGGCGAGAGGCGAACGAGCAAGGGGAAAAAAAUUUAACCAAGGGAAAGAAUACGAUAAACACCGAAAAACUUGAAUUGAAUCCACCGGAAACGAAGAAGAGAUGAAGAAUGUCAAACGAGACGAGAAUUCACCGAUUGAGAUAAUUGAGGGAAGACUGAAGAGGCUCCGUACGAAUGAAAUUGAUGCUCGAAAGAGANNNNNNNNNNNNNNNNNNNNNNNNNNNNNNNNNNNNNNNNNNNNNNNNNNNNNNNNNNNNNNNNNNNNNNNNNNNNNNNNNNNNNNNNNNNNNNNNNNNNNNNNNNNNNNNNNNNNNNNNNNNNNNNNNNNNNNNNNNNNNNNNNNNNNNNNNNNNNNNNNNNNNNNNNNNNNNNNNNNNNNNNNNNNNNNNNNNNNNNNNNNNNNNNNNNNNNNNNNNNNGACUCGGGCUCCGGGAAGAAGAGGGUGGGAGGGUGGGAAAACAAAAGCAACUUGGAAGGGGGAACCGACGAAUAUCUUGAAGAGAAAACUCUAGUUUAAAUCAUUGAGGAAAGAAAGGAAAGGCUUCGCACGAGUAGGAUGGAUACUCGAUUACAGACUCCGGCUCCGAGGAGAAAAAGGGGUGGGCGGGUGGGAAAAGAAAUCAACUGAGGAUUGAACUCAAAGAUGAAGAGGCUCGAGUCAACUUGACGAGAAAGGCACCAGAUAAAAAGAGCUGAGAACCAAUGAUCGAAAAACCAACUGCGUGAUCCUAAAGAAAAAAUUGAAUGGGAAGAGGAGUAAUUCAAAACACCUACGUCAAGAUUCCUCACCAGAGCGACGAAGGGGCUGAGGAGUAAAAAGAAUUCCUACUCUCCGAUAUAACUAAACUCCGAAAACAGUUUUCUUCUAGACUCAACAACGUCCAAACUACACGAUCAAUCAAGGGGGCUCCUAUGGUCGGUCGAGGCUCUGAUACCAACUUUUCACGCCCAAUAUGCGAUACUAUCCAAAAGGGACUCGAAGGUCCCACCAAGGAUAGAACCACGUAUUGAUACGCUUUUGCAAGGUGGAUAUCAUUACAUCAACAUUAGAUAAUAGAUGGGGAUACAUACAAAAGGCAUACAGUGCCACAUGAAUACAACAUCAUAUUACAUAAGAGCACCAUCCGACUACGGAUGAAACACAAACAGAAACUCAAACGACAUCCACCCUGCUAGCCCAGGCUACCGACCUGGAACCUAUCCCCUGAUCGAAGAAGAAGCAGAAGAAGAACUCCAAAACAAGCAAACAUCGCUCUCGCGUCAUGAUCAUCGCAUAACCUGUACCUGCAACUGUUGUUGUAGUAAUCAUUGAGCCACGAGGACUCAGCAAACCCAUUACCAUGGGUAUCAAGACUAGCAAAGCUUAAUGGGUAAGGAAGGGGUGAAGUGGUGAGGUUGCAGCAGCGACUAAGCAAGUAUGGUGGCUAACAUACGCAAAUAAGAGCGAGAAGAGAAGCAAAGGAAUGGUUGUGAAGCUAGCAAUGAUCAAGAGGUGAUCCGAACUCCUACUUACGUCAAACAUAACCCAAAACCGUGUUCACUUCCCGGACUCCGCCGAAAAGAGACCAUCACGGCUACACAGGCGAUUGAUGUGUUUUAAUUCGAAUCUGGUGUCAAGUUAUCUACAACCGGACAUUAACAAAUUCCCAUCUGCCACAUAACCGUGGGCACGACUCUCGAAAGUUUAUACCCUACAGGGGUGUCCCAACUUAGCCCAUCACAAGCUCUCACGGUCAACGAAGAAUAUUCCUUCUCCCAGGAAGACCCGAUCAGUCUCGGAAUCCCGGUUUACAAGACAUUUCGACAAUGGUAAAACAAGACCAGCAAAGCCGCCUGAUGUGCCGACAAUCCUGAUAGGAGCUGCACAUAUCUCGUUCUCAGGGCAACAACGGAUAAGUCAAGCUACGAGUAAAACCAGACAUCGAGUUUCCCCGAAGUGGCCCCGCAGGCUGCUCGGUUCGGACCAGCACUUAGAGAAGCACUGGCCCAGGGGGGGCUAAAAUAAAGAUGACCCUCGAGAGAGUGACUCCCAAGGGAAAAGUAGGUGGUGGUGCGGCAAAUGGUAAAACCAAGGUUGGGCCUUGCUGGAGGAGUUUUAUUCAAAGCGAACUGUCAAGGGGAUCCCAUAAAUCACCCAACCGCGUUAGGGACGCAAAAUCCGGGAACAUAACUCGGCAUGACGGAAACUAGGGCGGCAAGAGUGGAACAAAACACCACACAUAAGGCCGAGUCUCCCACCCUUUACUAAGUAUAUAGAUGCAUUAAUUAAAUAGGAGAUAUUGUGAUAUCCCAACAUAAUCAUGUCCACCAUGGAGCAAUCUUCAAAUUCACCUGCAACUAACAACACUAUAAGAGGGGCUGAGCAAAGCGGUAACAUAGCCAAACAAUAGUUUGCUAGGAAGGGUGAAAAGGUUAGAGGCUGACAUGGCAAUUUGGGAGGCUUGAUCAACAAGAGAUAGGUAGCGCAGCAUAGCGAUAGAACGAAGCAACUAGCAUAGCAAUGAUAGUAAUGAGAUCCAAGGUGACGGUCAUCUUGCCUGAAAUCCCACUAUGGAGAAGAAUGAGUCCAUGAAGAAUAUGAAGCCACGAAGACGAACCAAGCGUAGACGAACGAAUCCUCAUGAUCGCAACGAAACGGGAACUAUCGAGAAGAAGCACACAACAUAGUAAUUUCAAACACACCACACAUAAACAUGACAAGAUGCUCAACCAAGCAUGAUGCAUGACAAAGGCUACAUGAAGCUACUCAUGGCAAGAAAUGAUGCAUACAAGAACAACACAUCAAAGCAAAGUUAAAUGAGGCUGGAAACAACAUAUAACAAUUCCGGAAAAUCCCCAUAUGCAUGUUUCAAAGGUUGUCCAGAUCUAAUAAACCUUAUGUUCAAGUUGUUAAGCAUCAAGUUAAAGAGCACCAAGAGAAUCUACACGAAAUUCUAGUCAAGUUACAUAUAAAGUUCAUUUAGUUCGGAGCUACGGCCUAGAAGAUAUGAGCAAAACAAGUUAAACAUGGCAUUGAUGCAAAAUGCAUACAAACAUCAAGCAAACACUCUCAAAACAUGGAUGCAACAAGGUAAUAUGAAACUUCAUGCAAAAUCAAGCAAGUUUCAUAUAGAGCACACUCAAAACGGAGCAACGGUUCAACACAUACACUCUAUACAAGUUUAAAGGACAAGCUGUCCAAAACAGCAACUAGGCAUCCUGCAAGCAUCAAAACAAUAUGCUACAUCACCUCAAAAUAAGAACAAAAGGCAUGGGCAUUAAGCUUAGGUAAAGCAUGAAAAAACAUGAACACUAAGCUCUCUCGAGAAAACAAUAGAACAUGCUCAGAAGGACAUGGCAAGAUUUCAAACAAUAACAGUUUCAGACUUAACAGAAAUAACAUCAGGUUGCAAUGUUUAGAGCUAUCAAACAACAUGUUACAAGAACUUAACAUGGCAAACAAAGGCAUGUAAUGCUAGUACUGAAUACAAAGGACAAAACUCCCUUACUGAACUAAUUCCAAAGAUCAACAGAAAAGAUGGUAGGAUUCAUGCAAACAUGGCAAAUGAUAUGACAGAUUCAGACAUGGCAGGAACAACAAUAAGUAGGCAUGUUGGUGAGCUUGUACAACUCACCACAGCGCAUUAAAUGGCAUGACAAGGUGACCAACAUUAAGAUGACAUACUUAUUAAGCUAAUCAUGGCAAGAGCAAGUUCAUAGGGUGCAUGGAUCACUAGCAAAGCACAUGGCAAAACUGAACUUAAUGUUAACAGGCUGACAGCAACAUUAUUCAGCAACUUUGGAGCAUGAUAUGGACAAUCUACAGCAAGCUAUAAAUGCAACCAGGGGUAUGGAUGGAUAGAGCAUGACAUGAAUAACAAAAUAUCUUUAGUGAACAUCUCCAGAUGAUGCAUAGAAUGACUUGUAGCAGCAGGUUUACUUAGCAUCACGAAAUAACAGAUUCAGCCUAGCAAAACAGUAACAGCAAGUACCCUACUUCACGAGCUCGAUUCACUCACUACAAGACUCACAAAAAUACAUGUAUUGAACCACUAUGAAGAUGGAAUGAUGUAGCUCAAAACUCAUGUAUACAUCAUGCUCAUAAGAUGCACACACGGAAUGCAAUGAAAAAGACAAAUCACCAAGUUAUAACAGUUUCAGCAGGUUAACAUCAUAUAACACUCUUGCAACAAUGAUUUGGGCGUCAAUAUGGACUCAAACAAGCAUGGCACAGUGCAAUUUAUUGAAGAGCAUCUCACAGCGAACUUUUUGAUGUAUUAUGCAUGCAAAAUGGAGCAACAUGCAAGGAGAUAUGAUGCUAUGAACAUGGCAUGAAAAUGUUGCAGAUCCAGGGACUUAGACGAAUUUCACCUCGCGAAAAGUGGACGGGGACGUUCCGGGACGGAGAGAUCCGGGACGGUGCGGGGGCGCGUUUGGAUGGAUGCACUGGUGGAUCUGGUCCACCUCCAGAUCCAGAUCGAGGACGGGUCCGGGUCCGGCGACGGCAGCUCGCCAGAGUUGGAGGGGCGGCGACCGGAGUUGGAGGGGCGGCGACGGGGCAACGCGGUUCCGGUGAGGGGCNNNNNNNNNNNNNNNNNNNNNNNNNNNNNNNNNNNNNNNNNNNNNNNNNNNNNNNNNNNNNNNNNNNNNNNNNNNNNNNNNNNNNNNNNNNNNNNNNNNNNNNNNNNNNNNNNNNNNNNNNNNNNNNNNNNNNNNNNNNNNNNNNNNNNNNNNNNNNNNNNNNNNNNNNNNNNNNNNNNNNNNNNNNNNNNNNNNNNNNNNNNNNNNNNNNNNNNNNNNNNNNNNNNNNNNNNNNNNNNNNNNNNNNNNNNNNNNNNNNNNNNNNNNNNNNNNNNNNNNNNNNNNNNNNNNNNNNNNNNNNNNNNNNNNNNNNNNNNNNNNNNNNNNNNNNNNNNNNNNNNNNNNNNNNNNNNNNNNNNNNNNNNNNNNNNNNNNNNNNNNNNNNNNNNNAUCGGGGUCGGGCGCGGAGGCGGGCGCCUCUGGCGGCGGCGGGCGGCGGCUCGGGCCCCGCGGACCCUGGCGGCGGAGGAGAGAGAGGGGGGGGGGCGGCGGAUGAGGUGGCGACGCGUGAUUGGGCGAGGCGGCGGCGCUGCUGAUGUGUCGCGUGGGGAUUGGUUUGGGUGAGGUGGCCGGUGGACGCGUCCGGCGGAGUUGGACGUGUCCGGUGGCGCGGGUUGGAAGAAGGCUAUGGUUGGACUGCGGGAUUUUCGGGGAGAACACAUAUUUAUAGGUAGAGGGAGCUAGGAGAGUCCAAAUGGGGAGCGGUUUUUGCCCACACGGUCGUGAUUGAACGACCGAGAGCAUGGAGUGGGUUUGGAUGGGCUCAUGAGCUGAUUUGGAGGGGUGUUGGGCUGCAAGUCAAAAGGGGCUUUUACGGUUACCCGAUUAACCGUUGGAGUAUCAAACGGACUCCAAAUGGCAUGAAACUUGACAGGCGGUCUACCGGUGGUGUACCAAUGCCGCUUGGCAAACUUCGGUCCAUUCUGAGAAUGUUUAACACCCGCUCAUGAAAAGAGACAAGAAGGGGACGCCGGAUGACAUAGGAGUGCUGGAUUGCAAAACGGACAACGGGGAAAAUGCUCGGAUGCAUGAGACGAACACGUAUGCAAUGCAAUGCACAUGAUGACAUGGCAAAAUGCAACACGCAAGUAAAUGACAUGGCAACAACGACGAAUAACUGGCAGACACUUGGCGCAUCGAAUCCGGGGCGUUACAUAGAUAUGGUGCGAUCUAUGAUGUCUCUUACUAAUAGGGAACCAUCUAAUUGUGGUUUGGCAAGAAACCCAAGUUGUCGUUUCUUAAAGUUUCGGGCUGCGAUGCUUAUGUGAAAAAACUUCAACCUGGUAAGGUCGAACCCAAAUUGGAGAAAUGUGUCUUCAUAGGAUACCCAAAGGAGAGUAUUGGGCACACCUUCUAUCACAGAUCCAAAGGCAAGAUAUUCGUUGCUAAGAAUGGAUCAUUUCUAUAAAAGGAGUUUCUCUCAAAAGAAGUGAGUGGGAGGAAAGUAGAACUUGAUGAGAUAAUUGUACCUGCUCCCUUAUUGGAAAGUAGUUCAUCACAGAAAUCAGUUCUAGUGAUUCCUACAACAAUUAGUGAGGAAGCUAAUGAUGAUGAUCAUGAAACUUUUGAUCAAGUUACUACCGAACCUCGUAGGUCAACCAGAGUAAGAUCCGCACCAGAGUGGUACGAUAAUCCUGUUCUGGAAGUCAUGUUACUUGACCAUGACGAACCUACGAACUAUGAGGAAGCGAUGAUGAGCCCAAAUUCCGUGAAAUUGCUUGAGGCCAUGAAAUCUGAGAUGGGAUCCAUGUAUGAAAACAAAGUGUGGACUUUGGUUGACUUACCCGAUGAUCGGCAAGCCAUAGAGAAUAAAUGGAUCUUCAAGAAGAAGACCGACACUGACGGUUGUUGGGGAACAUAGUAAUUUCAAAAAAAAUCUUACGCACACGCAAGAUCAUGGUGAUGCAUAGCAACGAGAUGGGAGAGUGUUGUCCACGUACCCUCAUAGACCGUAAGCGGAAGCGUUAUGACAACGCGGUUGAUAUAGUCGUACGUCUUCACGAUCCGACCGAUCCAAGCACCGAACGUACGGCACCUCCGAGUUCAGCACACGUUCAGCUCGAUGACGAUCCCCGGACUCCGAUCCAGUAGGGUUUCAGGGAUGAGUUCCGUCAGCACGACGGCGUGGUGACGAUGAUGAUGUUCUACCGACGCAGGGCUUCGCCUUAGCACCGCAACAAUAUGACCGAGGUGGAAUAUGGUGGAGGGGGGGCACCGCACACGGCUAAGGAACGAUCACGAAGAUCAACUUAUGUGUCUAGAGGUGCCCCCCUGCCCCCGUAUAUAAAGGAGCCAAAGGGGAGGGGGCGGUCGGCCAAGGAGGGCGCGCCAAGGGGGAGUCCUACUCCCACCGGGAGUAGGACUCCCUUCUUUCCUAGUUGGAGAAGGAGAAGGGGGAAGGAGGAAGAAGAGGGGAAGGAAAGGGGGGGCGCCGCCCCCCUCUCCUUGUCCUAUUCGGACUAGGGAGGGGAGGGGGCGCAGCCCACCUCUUGCCUCCUCUCCUCUUCUCCCUUAGGGCCCAUGAAGGCCCAUUAACCCCCGAGAGGGUUCCGGUAACCCCUCGGUGCUCCGGUAAAAUCCCGAUUUCACCCGGAACCAUUCCCAUAUCCAAAUAUAGGCUUCUAAUAUAUCAAUCUUUAUGUCUCGACCAUUUUGAGACUCCUCGUCAUGUCCGUGAUCACAUCCGGGACUCCGAACAACCUUCGGUACAUCAAAACUCAUAAACUCAUAAUAAAACUGUCAUCGUAACGUUAAGCGUGCGGACCCUACGGGUUCGAGAACUAUGUAGACAUGACCUAGAACUAUUCUUGGUCAAUAACCAAUAGCGGGACCUGGAUGCUCAUAUUGGCUCCUACAUAUUCUACGGAGAUCUUUAUCGGUCAAACCGCAUAACAACAUACGUUGUUCCCUUUGUCAUCGGUAUGUUACUUGCACGAGAUUCGAUCAUCGGUAUCCAAUACCUAGUUCAAUCUCGUUACCGGCAAGUCUCUUUACUCGUUACGUAAUGCAUCAUUCUGUAACUAACUCAUUAGCUACAUUGCUUGCAAGGCUUAUAGUGAUGUGCAUUACAGAGAGGGCCUAGAGAUACCUCUCCGACAAUCGGAGUGACAAAUCCUAAUCUCGAAAUACGCCAACCCAACAUGUACCUUCGGAGACACCUGUAGAUCUCCUUUAUAAUCACCCAGUUACGUUGUGACGUUUGGUAGCACACAAAGUGUUCCUCCGGUAAACAGGAGUUGCAUAAUCUCAUAGUUACAGGAACAUGUAUAAGCCAUGAAGAAAGCAAUAGCAACAAACUAAACGAUCAAGUGCUAGGCUAACGGAAUGGGUCAUGUCAAUCACAUCAUUCUCCUAAUGAUGUGAUCCUAUUAAUCAAAUGACAACACAUGUCUAUGGUUAGGAAACAUAACCAUCUUUGAUUAAUGAGCUAGUCAAGUAGAGGCAUACUAGUGACGUUAUGUUUGUCUAUGUAUUCACACAUGUAUCAUGUUUCCGGUUAAUACAAUUAUAGCAUGAAUAAUAAACAUUUAUAAUGAUAUGAGGAAAUAAAUAAUAACUUUAUUAUUGCCUCUAGGGCAUAUUUCCUUCAGUCUCCCACUUGCACUAGAGUCAAUAAUCUAGAUUACACAGUAAUGAUUCUAACACCCAUGGAGUCUUGGUGCUGAUCAUGUUUUGCUCCUGGAAGAGGCUUAGUCAACGGAUCUGCAACAUUCAGAUCCGUAUGUAUCUUGCAAAUCUCUAUGUCUCCCACCUGGACUUGGUCCCGAAUGGAAUUGAAGCGUCUCUUGAUGUGCUUGGUCCUCUUGUGAAAUCUGGAUUCCUUUACCAAGGCAAUUGCACCAGUAUUGUCACAAAAGAUCUUCAUUGGUCCCGAUGCACUAGGUAUGACACCUAGAUCGGAAAUGAACUCCUUCAUCCAGACUCGUUCAUUUGCUGCUUCCGAAGCAGCUAUGUACUCCGCUUCACACGUAGAUCCCGCCACGACGCUUUGUUUAGAACUGCACCAACUUACAGCUCCACCGUUUAAUAAAAACACGUAUCCGGUUUGUGAUUUAGAAUCGUCCGGAUCAGUGUCAAAGCUUGCAUCGACGUAACCAUUUACGACUAGCUCUUUGUCACCUCCAUAUACGAGAAACAUAUCCUUAGUCCUUUUCAGGUAUUUCAGGAUGUUCUUGACCGCUGUCCAGUGAUCCACUCCUGGAUUACUUUGGUACCUUCCUGCCAAGAUUAUUGCUAAGCAUACAUCAGUUCUGGUACAUAGCAUUGCAUACAUGAUAGAGCCUCUGGCUAAAGCAUAGGGAACAUCUUUCAUUUUCUCCCUAUCUUCUGCUGUGGUCUUGCAUUGAGUCUGACUCAACUUCACACCUUGUAAUAUAGGCAAGAACCCUUUCUUUGCCUAAUCCAUUUUGAACUUUUUCAAAACUUUAUCAAGGUAUGUGCUUUGUGAAAGUCCAAUUAAGCGUCUUGAUCUAUCUCUAUAGAUCUUAAUGCCCAAUAUGUAAGCAGCUUCACCGAGGUCUUUCAUUGAAAAACUUUUAUUCAAGUAUCCAUUUAUGCUAUCCAGAAAUUCUAUAUCAUUUCCAAUUAAUAAUAUGUCAUCUACAUAUAAUAUCAGAAAUGCUACAGAGCUUCCACUCACUUUCUUGUAAAUACAGGCUUCUCCAAAAGUCUGUAUAAAACCAUAUGCUUUGAUCACACUAUCAAAGCGUUUAUUCCAACUCUGAGAUGCUUGCACCAGUCCAUAAAUGGAUCGCUGGAUCUUGCACACUUUGUUAGCACCUUUUGGAUCGACAAAACCUUCUGGUUGUAUCAUAUACAAUUCUUCUUCCAGAAAUCCAUUCAAGAAUGCAGUUUUGACAUCCAUUUGCCAAAUUUCAUAAUCAUAAAAUGCAGCAAUUGCUAACAUGAUUCGGACAGACUUAAGCAUCGCUACGGGUGAGAAAGUCUCAUCGUAGUCAACCCCUUGAACUUGUCGAAAACCUUUUGCAACAAGUUGAGCUUUAUAGACAGUUACAUUACCAUCAGCGUCAGUCUUCUUCUUCAAGAUCCAUUUAUUCUCAAUGGCUUGCCGAUCAUCGGGCAAGUCAACCAAAAUCCAUACUUUGUUCUCAUACAUGGAUCCCAUCUCAGAUUUCAUGGCUUCUAGCCAUUUUGCGGAAUCUGGGCUCAUCAUCGCUUCCUCAUAGUUCGUAGGUUCUCCAUGGUCAAGUAACAUGACUUCCAGAAUAGGAUUACCAUACCACUCUGGCGCGGAUCUUACUCUGGUAAACCUACAAGGUUCAGUAGAAACUUGAUCUGAAGUUUCAUGAUCAAUAUGAUUGGCUUCCUCACUAAUUGGUGUAGUUGUCACAGGAACCGGUUCUUGUGAUGGACUACUUUCCAAUAAGGGAGCAGGUACAAUUACCUCAUCAAGUUCUACUUUCCUCCCACUCACUUCUUUCGAGAGAAACUCCUUCUCUAGAAAGGAUCCGAAUUUAGCAAUGAAAAUAUUGCCCUCAGAUCUGUGAUAGAAGGUAUACCCAACAGUCUCUUUUGGGUAUCCUAUGAAGACACAUUUCUCUGAUUUGGGUUCGAGCUUAUCUGGUUGAAGUUUCUUCACAUAAGCAUCGCAGCCCCAAACUUUAAGAAACGACAACUUUGGUUUCUUGCCAAACCACAGUUCAUGAGGUGUCGUCUCAACGGAUUUUGAUGGUGCCCUAUUUAAUGUGAAUGCGGCCGUCUCUAAAGCAUAACCCUAAAUUGAUAGCAGUAAAUCAGUAAGAGACAUCAUAGAUCACACCAUAUCUAGUAAAGUAUGAUUACGACAUUCGGACACACCAUUUCGUUGUGGUGUUCCGGGUGGCGUGAGUUGCGAAACUAUUCCGCAUUGUUUCAGAUGUAAACCAAACUCGUAACUCAAAUAUUCUCCUCCACGAUCAGAUCGUAGAAAUUUUAUUUUCUUGUUACGAUGAUUUUCCACUUCACUCUAAAAUUCUUUGAACUUUUCAAAUGUUUCAGACUUGUGUUUCAUUAAGUAGAUAUACCCAUAUCUGCUCAAAUCAUCUGUGAAGGUGAGAAAAUAACGAUACCCGCCGCGAGCCUCAAUAUUCAUUGGACCACAAACAUCAGCAUGUAUGAUUUCCAACAAAUCAGUUGCUCGCUCCAUAGUUUCGGAGAACGGCGUUUUAGUCAUCUUGCCCAUGAGGCACGGUUCACAAGUACCAAGUGAUUCAUAAUCAAGUGAUUCCAAAAGUCCAUCAGUAUGGAGUUUCUUCAUGCGCUUUAUACCGAUAUGACCUAAACGGCAGUGCCACAAAUAAGUUGCACUACCAUUAUCAACUCUGCAUCUUUUGGCUUCAAUACUAUGAAUAUGUGUAUCACUACUAUCGAGAUUCAAUAAAAAUAGACCACUCAUCAAGGGUGCAUGACCAUAAAAUAUAUUAGUCAUAUAAAUAGAACAACCAUUAUUCUCUGAUUUAAAUGAAUAACCAUCUCGCAUCAAACAAGAUCCAGAUAUAAUGUUCAUGCUCAAUGCUGGCACCAAAUAACAAUUAUUUAGGUCUAAAACUAAUCCCGAUGGUAGAUGUAGAGGUAGCGUGCCGACCGCGAUCACAUCGACUUUGGAACCAUUUCCUACGCGCAUCGUCACCUCGUCCUUAGCCAAUCUUCGCUUAAUCCGUAGUCCCUGUUUCGAGUUGCAAAUAUUAGCAACAGAACCAGUAUCAAAUACCCAGGUACUACUACGAGUAUUAGUAAGGUACACAUCAAUACCAUGUAUAUCACAUAUACCUUUGUUCACUUUGCCAUCCUUCUUAUCCGCCAAAUACUUGGGGCAGUUCCGCUUCCAGUGUCUAGUCUACUUGCAGUAGAAGCACUCAAUCUCAGGCUUAGGUCCAGACUUGGGUUUCUUCUCUUGAGCAGUAACUUGUUUGUUGUUCUUCUUGAAGUUCCCCUUCUUCUUCCCUUUGCCAUUUUUCUUGAAACUGGUGGUCUUGUUGACCAUCAACACUUGAUGCUCCUUCUUGAUUUCUACCUCCGAGGCUUUUAGCAUUGCGCAGACCUCGGGAAUAGUCUUGUCCAUCCCUUGCAUAUUAUAGUUCAUCACAAAGCUCUUAUAGCUUGGUGGCAGUGAUUGAAGAAUUCUAUCAAUGACACUAUCAUCAGGAAGAUUAACUCCCAGUUGAAUCAAGUGAUUAUUAUACCCAGACAUUUUGAGUAUGUGUUUACUGACAGAACUAUUCUCCUCCAUCUUGCAGCUAUAGAACUUAUUGGAGACUUCAUAUCUCUCAAUCCGGGCAUUUGCUUGAAAUAUUAACUUCAACUCCUGGAACAUCUCAUAUGCUCCAUGAAGUUCAAAACAUCGUUGAAGACCCGGUUCUAAGCCAUAAAGCAUGGCACACUCAACUAUCGAGUAGUCAUGAGCUUUGCUCUGCCAGACGUUCUUAACAUUGUCAGUUGCAUCAGCAGCAGGCCUAGCACCUAGCGGUGCUUCUAGGACGUAAUUCUUCUGUGCAGCAAUGAGGAUAAUCCUCAGGUUACGGACCCAGUCCGUGUAAUUGCUACCAUCAUCGUUCAACUUUGCUUUCUCAAGGAACGCAUUAAAAUUCAACGGAACAACAGCAUGAGCCAUCUAUCUACAACAAACAUAGACAAGCAAAAUACUAUCAGGUACUAAGUUCAUGAUAAAUUUAAGUUCAAUUACUCAUAUUACUUAAGAACUCCCACUUAGACAGACAUCUCUCUAGUCAUCUAAGUGAUCACGUGGUCCAAAUCAACUAAACCAUGUCCGAUCAUCACGUGAGAUGGAGUAGUUUCAAUGGUGAACAUCACUAUGUUGAUCAUAUCUUCUAUAUGAUUCAUGUUCGACCUUUCGGUCUCCGUGUUCCAGGCCAUAUCUGUUAUAUGCUAGGCUCGUCAAGUUUAACCUGAGUAUUCCCCGUGUGCAACUAUUUUGCACCCGUUGUAUUUGAACGUAGAGCCUAUCACACCCGAUCAUCACGUGGUGUCUCAGCACGAAGAACUUUCGCAACGGUGCAUACUCAGGGAGAACACUUCUUGAUAAUUUUUAGUGAAAGAUCAUCUUAAAAUGCUACCAUCAAUCAAAGCAAGAUAAGAUGCAUAAAGGAUAAACAUCACAUGCAAUCAAUAUAAGUGAUAUGAUAUGGCCAUCAUCAUCUUGUGCUUGUGAUCUCCAUCUCCGAAGCACCGUCGUGAUCACCAUCGUCACUAGCGCGAGACCUUGAUCUCCAUCGUAGCAUUGUUGUCGUUACGCCAUCUAUUGCUUCUACGACUAUCGCUACCGCUCAGGGCAUUUUCAUUUCAUACAAUAAAGCAACAACCAUAUGGCUCCUGCCAGUUGCCGAUAACUUCGGUUACAAAACAUGAUCAUCUCAUACAAUAAAAUAUAGCAUCACAUCUUGACCAUAUCACAUCACAACAUGCCCUGCAAAAACAAGUUAGACGUCCUCUACUUUGUUGUUGCAAAUUUUAUGUGGCUGCUACGGGCUGAGCAAGAACCCUUCUUACCUACGCAUCAAAACCACAACGAUAGUUUGUCAAGUUGGUGCUGUUUUAACCUUCGCAAGGACCGGGCGUAGCCACACUUAGUUCAACUAAAGUUGGAGAAACAGACACCCGCUAGUCACCUGUGUGCAAAGCACGGCGGUAAAACCAGUCUCGCGUAAGCGUACGCGUAAUGUCGGUCCGGGCCACUUCAUCCAACAAUACCGCCGAACCAAAGUAUGACAUGCUGGUAAGCAGUAUGACUUGUAUCGCCCACAACUCACUUGUGUUCUACUCGUGCAUAUAACAUCAACGCAUAAAACCUAGGCUCGGAUGCCACUGUUGGGGAACGUAGUAAUUUCAAAAAAUUUCCUACGCACACGCAAGAUCAUGGUGAUGCAUAGCAACGAGAUGGGAGAGUGUUGUCCACGUACCCUCGUAGACCGUAAGCGGAAGCGUUAUGACAACGCGGUUGAUGUAGUCGUACGUAUUCACGAUCCGACCGAUCCAAGCACCGAACGUACGACACCUCCGAGUUCAGCACACGUUCAGCUCGAUGACGAUCCCCGGACUCCGAUCCAGCAGGGUUUCGGGGAUGAAUUCCGUCAGCACGACGGCGUGGUGACGAUGAUGAUGUUCUACCGACGCAGGGCUUCGCCUAAGCACCGCAACGAUAUGACCGAGGUGGAAUAUGGUGGAGGGGGGCACCGCACACGGCUAAGGAACGAUCACGAAGAUCAACUUGUGUGUCUAGAGGUGCCCCCUGCCCCCGUAUAUAAAGGAGCCAAGGGGGAGAGGGCAGCCGGCCAAGGAGGGCACGCCAAGGGGGAGUCCUACUCCCACCGGGAGUAGGACUCCCUUCUUUCCUAGUUGAAGAAGGAGAAGGGGAAGGAAGAGGAAGAGAGGAAGGAAAGGGGGGCGCCGCCCCCCUCUCCUUGUCCUAUUCGGAUCAGGGAGGGGAGGGGGCGCAGCCCACCUCUUGCCUCCUCUCCUCUUCUCGCUUAGGGCCCAUGAAGGCCCAUUAACCCCCGGGAGGGUUCCGGUAACCCCCCGAUGCUCCGGUAAAAUCCUGAUUUCACCCGGAACCAUUCUGAUAUCCAAAUAUAGGCUUCCAAUAUAUCAAUCUUUAUGUCUCGACCAUUUCGAGACUCCUCGUCAUGUCCGUGAUCACAUCCGGGACUCCGAACAACCUUCGGUACAUCAAAACUCAUAAACUCAUAAUAAAAUUGUCAUCGUAACGUUAAGCGUGCGGACCCUACGGGUUCGAGAACUAUGUAGACAUGACCUAGAACUAUUCUCGGUCAAUAACCAAUAGCGGAACCUAGAUUCUCAUAUUGGCUCCUACAUAUUCUACGAAGAUCUUUAUCGGUCAAACCGCAUAACAACAUACGUUGUUCCCUUUGUCAUCGGUAUGUUACUUGCCCAAGAUUCGAUCGUCGGUAUCCAAUACCUAGUUCAAUCUCGUUACCGGCAAGUCUCUUUACUCGUUACGUAAUGCAUCAUUCCGUAACUAACUCAUUAGCUACAUUGCUUGCAAGGCUUAUAGUGAUGUGCAUUACCGAGAGGGCCUAGAGAUACCUCUCCGACAAUCGGAGUGACAAAUCCUAAUCUCGAAAUACGCCAACCCAGCAUGUACCUUUGGAGACACCUGUAGAGCUCCUUUAUAAUCACCCAGUUACGUUGUGACGUUUGGUAGUACACAAAGUGUUCCUCCGGUAAACGGGAGUUGCAUAAUCUCAUAGUUACAGGAACAUGUAUAAGUCAUGAAGAAAGCAAUAGCAACAAACUAAACGAUUAAGUGCUAGGCUAACGGAAUGGGUCAUGUCAAUCACAUCAUUCUCCUAAUGAUGUGAUCCCGUUAAUCAAAUGACAACACAUGUCUAUGGUUAGGAAACAUAACCAUCUUUGAUUAAUGAGCUAUUCAAGUAGAGGCAUACUAGUGACGUUAUGUUUGUCUAUGUAUUCACACAUGUAUCAUGUUUCCGAUUAAUACAAUUCUAGUAUGAAUAAUAAACAUUUAUCAUGAUAUGAGGAAAUAAAUAAUAACUUUAUUAUUGCCUCUAGGGCAUAUUUCCUUCAACGGUAAUGUUACUGUCUACAAAGCUCGACUUGUUGCGAAAGGUUUUCGACAAGUUCAAGGAAUUUACUACAAUGAGACCUUCUCACCCGUAGCGAUGCUUAAGUCCGUCCGAAUCAUGUUAGCAAUUGUCGCAUUUUAUGAUUAUGAAAUUUGGCAAAUGGAUGUGAAAACUGCAUUCCUUAAUGGAUAUCUUAAAGAAGAGUUGUAUAUGAUGACACCAGUAGGUUUUGACGAUCCAAAAGGUGCUAACAAAGUGUGCAAGCUCCAGCGAUCCAUUUAUGGACUGGUGCAAGCAUCUCGGAGUUGGAAUAUAUACUUGAAUAAGAAUUUUUCAAUGAAAGACCUCGGUGAAGCUGCUUAUAUAUUGGGCAUCAAGAUCUAUAGAGAUAGAUCAAGACACUUAAUUGGACUUUCACAAGGCACAUACCUUGAUAAAGUUUUGAAGAAGUUCAAAAUGGAUCAAGCAAAUAAAGGGUUCUUGCCUGUGUUACAAGGUGUGAAGUUGAGUCAGACUCAAUGCCCGACCACUGCAGAAGAUAGAGAGAAAAUGAAAGUCAUUCCCUAUGCUUCAACCAUAGGCUCUAUCAUGUAUGCAAUGUUGUGUACCAGACCUGAUGUGUGCCUUGCUAUUAGUUUAGCAGGGAGGUACCAAAGUAAUCCAGGAGUGGAUCACUAGACAGCGGUCAAGAACAUCCUAAAAUACCUGAAAAGGACUAAGGAUAUGUUUCUUGUUUAUGGAGGUGACAAAGAGCUCAUCGUAAAUGGUUACAUCGAUGCGAGCUUUGACACCGAUCUAGAUGACUCUAAGUCACAAACCGGAUACGUAUUUAUAUUGAAUGGAGGAGCUGUAAGUUGGUGCAGUUCCAAGCAGAGCGUCGUGGCGGGAUCUAUGUGUGAAGCGGAGUACAUAGCUGCUUCAGAAGCAGCACAUGAAGGAGUCUGGAUGAAGGAGUUCAUAUCCGAUCUAUACGUCAUACCUACUGUAUCGGGUCCAAUGAUAAUCUUUUGUGACAAUAUUGGUGCAAUUGCCUUGGCAAAGAAAUCCAGAUUUCACAAGAGAACCAAGCACAUCAAGAGAUGCUUCAAUUCCAUCCGCGAUCAAGUCAAAGAGGGAGACAUAGAGAUUUGCAAGAUACAUACGGAUCUGAAUGUUGCAGAUCCGUUGACUAAGCCCCUCUCACGAGCAAAACAUGAUCAGCACCAAGACUCCAUGGGUGUUAGAAUCAUUAUUGUGUAAUCUAGAUUAUUGACACUAGUGCAAGUGGGAGACUGAAGGAAAUAUGCCCUAGAGGCAAUUAUAAAGUUGUUAUUUUUAUAUUUCCUUAUAUCAUGAUAAAUGUUUAUUAUUCAUGCUAGAAUUGUAUUAACCGGAAACUUAGUACAUGUGUGAAUACAUAGACAAACAGAGUGUCCCUAGUAUGCCUCUACUAGAAUAGCUCGUUAAUCAAAGAUGGUUAUGUUUCCUAACCAUAGAGAUGUCUUGUCAUUUGAUGAACGGGAUCACAUCAUUAGAGAAUGAUGUGAUGGACAAGACCCAUCCGUUAGCUUAGCGAUAUGAUCGUUUAGUUUAUUGUUAUUGCUUUCUUCAUGACUUAUACAUGUUCCUAUGACUAUGAGAUUAUGCAACUCCCGAAUACCGGAGGAACACUUAGUGUGCUAUCAAACGUCACAACGUAACUGGGUGAUUAUAAAGAUGCUCUACAGGUGUCUCUGAUGGUGUUUGUUGAGUUGGCAUAGAUCGAGAUUAGGAUUUCUCACUCCGAUUGUCGGAGAGGUAUCUCUGGGCCCUCUCGGUAAGGCACAUCACUAUAAGCCUUGCAAGCAAUGUGACUAAUGAAUUAGUUGCAGGAUGAUGCAUUACGGAACGAGCAAAGAGACUUGCCGGUAACGAGAUUGAACUAGGUAUGAUGAUACCGACGAUCGAAUCUCGGGCAAGUAACAUAACGAUGACAAAGGGAACAACAUAUGUUGUUAUGCGGUUUGACCGAUAAAGAUCUUCGAAGAAUAUGUAGGAGCCAAUGUGAGCAUCCAGGUUCCGCUAUUGGUUAUUGACCGGAGAUGUGUCUCGGUCAUGUCUACAUAGUUCUCAAACCCGUAGGGUCCGCACGUUUAACGUUCGAUGACGAUUUGUAUUAUGAGUUUAUGUGAUUUGAUGUACCGAAGGUUGUUCGGAGUCCUGGAUGAGAUCACGGACAUGACGAAGAGUCUCGAAAUAGUCGAUACAUAAGGAUUCAUAUAUUGGAAGGCUACAUUCGUACACUAGAAUGGUUCGGGUCGUUUCUGAUAAGUUUCAGAGUACCAGGGGUUACCGGAACCCCCCGGGAAUUUAUUGGGACUCAUGGGCCUAGUGGUGGAAGAGAGGAGGCAGGCCAAGGUGUGGCGCGUGCCCCCCUAGCCCAAACCUAAUUGGACUAGGUCUAGGGGGCCACCUCCCUCCUUUCCUUCUCUUCUCCCUCUCCUUCCCCCCUUCUCCUUGUGGAAGUAGGAUAGGGGCGGGGGCAAAUUCUACUUGGAGUAGGACUCCCUCCCUUGGGCGCGCCUACACCUGGCCGUCCUCCUCCUCCCUCCUUCCUUUAUAUACAUGGGGAGGGGCACCCAAAGGCACAACAGACAAUCUCUUAGCCGUGUGCGGUGCCCCCCUCCAGAGUUUUACACCUCGGUCAUAUCGUCGUAAUGCUUAGGCGAAGCCCUGUGCCGGUAACUUCAUAAUCACCAUCACCACACCGUCGUGCUGACGGAACUCUCCCAACUGGAUCAAGAGUUCGAGGGACGUCACCAAGCUGAAUGUGUGCAGAUCACGGAGGUGUCGUGCGUUCGGUACUUGGAUCGGCUGGAUCACGAAGACGUUCGACUACAUCAACUGCGUUACUAAACGCUUCCGGUUUUGGUCUACGAGGGUACGUGGACACACUCUCCCCGCUCGUUGCUAUGCUUCUCCUAGAUAGAUCUUGCGUGAUCGUAGGAAUUUUUUUGAAAUACUAAGUUCCCCAACACUUACUUGAGUGUAAGCUUCACUCUAGCCACCCACCAUAAGUGAAUCAUUAAUUAUUGCAACACCCUACAUCGGGAAUUCCUCACGCUUGUGCGACACGGAGAGCACCAUAGGACAUCACCAAAUAAAACAUACAACUCAAACCAAUCACGAUCAUCAAUUAACCCAUAGGACAAAAUGGAUCUACUCAAACAUCAUAAGAUAGCCACAUAUCAUUGGAUAAUACUAUAUAGCGUUGAGCACCAUAUUUAAGUAGAGAUUACAGCAAGGAGAAGAUGUGUUACACCGCUGCAUAGAGGGGAAGAAAGUUGGUGUUGACGGUAGCGAGGUUGUUGGCGUAGAUCGCCUUCACGAUCCUUUCCCCGGCGGCACUUCGGCGCCACCAGGAGAGAGGGGGAGAGAGCCCACUCCUUCUUCUUCCUCCUUGAUCCCCCUUCUAGAUGGAAGGAGGGUUCCCCUCUGGUCCUUGACCUCCAUGGCGGUAGGGGGGCGGGAUCCCCUCCGAGAUUGGAUCUAUCUCUCUAUUUCUCUUCUGUUUCGCGACCCUGAUUAUUGCCUUUCACCGUUUCUUAAAUACCUAGAGAUCCGUAACUCCAAUUGGGCUAAUAUUUUAACAUUAUUUUUUCCAUAUAUAAGCUUCCUUGCGGCCGAAGGACACCUCCAACUGACCUACGGGUGGCCACAAGCUCUCCAGGCGCGCCCUGGGUAGGAGGGUGAGCCCCUUGAGCUUGUGGAACCCUCGGGCAUCAUCUCGGGUUGUGAUGUAGGGUAGAACCCUAGAUGCCCGAUCUUUCUCGAAAUGGAGGGGAUCCCACGAAGAACACGAGGGGAAAUUUGCCGUCUGCGAGCAGACGACAAAGCAACCAUAUAGGCCAGCCCAGUGCCCCCCAGGUUGCAUAGGUGGCUGCCACAUGGCAGCUUUUCCAUUUGCUGGCUGAUGGCAAAGAGCCUGUAUAGCCCCUUUUUCUGUUUUUUCUUAAAUUCAUUCAAUUUCACAGAAUUUCACACACACACACACACACACACACACACACACACAUAUAUAUAUAGACACACACACAUUUGAAAAUACUUUCAACAAGCAUACCAACACAUGAAUCGUGAAGAUAGGAACAAACACGAGGGGAAGAACGAGAGAAAUCACUCAGACCAACAAGAUUCGAUUACCCAUGUGCUAGAUCCUUGAAACACAAAGAGAUACACGAUCCAAAUCAAACAAAGGGGAUACAAGAGGUAACUAGUUCAUCUCCGUGAGGAGGUCUUGAAGGGGUCCACCCGUGAGGGGGUCUUGAAUCCAAGCAUGGAUCUUCUCCGAAGAGGUCGCGGUCUCUUCGAUGUACUAGAACCAAGUGGAUGAGCUAAGCUCUGUCUCUAAAGUGAGCUAAUCCUUGGCUAACCCUCAAAUGGUGGAGGUGCAGGAGUAUAUAUAGUCUAGGGUCACAAAGGGGUAAGUGAGGGGCGAAGGGGUACAUGGGCCUCGGGCCCAUUACACUAUGCGCAGACAGGCGUCGGACGUCCGAUGGGUGUCGGUCGUCCGGUCGCUCGCGGGCGUCCAGUCGUCCGGAGGAGGCCGGAGUUCUGAUGUUUCGGCUUGGUUGAGGUGGCAUCGGAUUUCUGAACGAUGUUGGUUGUCCGGUGGCUGAUGGUUGUCGGACGUCCAGCCACUAUAGCUUUCGUCGGCUCGUCCAUCUGGCUGGUGGGGACUCCAGGCGUCGGACGUCCGGUAGUGUCCGGUAGUACGGUGGUUGUCGGAUGUCCGAUAGCUGUAGCUUCCUGGCAGCUCCUUCUCUUGCUCCUCACGCUUGGUGUACUCGCCAUCUUGUCCACGAUCUUCCUCUUGGUUCCUGGUCAUGCAUAGUACAUAUGUUUGAGGUAGUAGCUAUGUCUCACAUGUGGAAAGUGACGGUUCGGAGAGGAGCGAGUUAACCUUGUGUCCAAUGGCGUAUACUUGAGGUCUCGUCUUAUGUCCUCUUGGGGCUUGGGGAGUAAACAUAGUGUACAUGGUGUCAUGGAAUUGUCACGUCAGAUGUCCUCGUGAAAGGACUUAGUUGUGGAGCCAUCGCAACUAGGAAGCUUGAAGGGGUUAAAUCGGGACAAAGGACAUGAGAGGUUUUAUACUAGUUCGGCCCCUUAUGGUGAAGGUAAGGCCUACGUCUAGUUGGGUUGGUAUUGAUGUUUCGAUGACCAGGGAGUGAGAUACGCUAUGCCCGGUUCUCGAUGAGUUGUUUCUUGCCCUAAGCUGCCAGCAGGUCGUCCCCUUAUAUACACGGGUUGACGCCCUGUGGCUUACAGAGUCCCGGCCGGCUUAUAACAGUGUCCGGCUCGGUAACUAGUUAAAUGUACCUUAUGAUACAAGUCAUGCCAUUACGGCGGUUUACUACAACGGGCCUUAAGUCUCCUGUGGGCUUAAGGCCUUUAUUGAACCGCCAUCUUCAUGCUUGGUCUUGGGCUUCUUUGGUGAGUCUUCUUUGCGUAACCCGACCCCUCCUGGGCGGCUUACACAAAUAGUUAUAUCCCCAACAUUAGGCCCCAGAUUGAUUUGAACCUGUUCAUGUCAAUCUUUAAAAUACCUUAAAGAAUAAAUCUUCAGUCUUCUGACUGUGCCAAAGGUUUUCUUUAACCCGCCAUGACGUCAUCUCUUGGAUCCGUGUUAACCUGCCGUGAUGUCAUCCUUUCUUAAAUUCUUUUUCUAUUCCACCGUAUCCUCCAACGGAUCUCUGCUUUUAUUAACUAUUCCGAAAAUCAAGGCAUCGGGGCUGUUGGAUAAUAACUCUUAUCUCCUCGUUUCCCGCGCCAUCUCAGUUAUCCUCUCCUUAUAAAUAGGCGCGACCUAGGUCUUCCAUUCUUCCCUCUUUCGGUCGUCUUCUUCCUCCUGCCUCCUCUCGAGCUCCGCCGCCGCCGCUGUCGAACUUCUUGUCUUCUCCGUCCUAGGCCACUACAUCGACCUGGUUGGACCAGAGAAACGCGAGGAACCUCCGCAGCCCAUCCAGAUCCGUAAGUUCCCUUCCCUUCCUUGCUUAGAUCCGCAUUAGAGCUUCCUCAAGUUCGUCGGGGUUCAUCACCAUUAGAGCCAAACCCUUGUUAGUUUUCCUCUUAGACGCCUCUUCUGAUCUGAGAAUGAUAUAAAAUGGCCGCGGUAGUUGUUUUCGCACUUGUUUUGGAUAGAAAGCAGAUCCCUUUCUCUACAUAAAAGCCUCAUUCGAGCCUAUGAACACCUCUGCGUCAACUUUUAGGUCUAGAAAAUUUUCUUAUCAGAACAGAUCUUUGAUCUCAAAUAAUAGUAGCAGAUUAUGAAACCUGUUUUUAUCACCCGGAAAACUGCUUCUGUCAAAUGCCUUUAAACACAACUGUCCAGGUAGCCGGCUUAAAUAAAUGACACUGAUCUGUGAACCUUGCUUGCUUCUCAUGACCUUACGAAUUUUGAACUACUUUUGAUACAUGUAGCGGCUUAAAUAUUGCUGCAUAGUCAUCCUUAUAUCAUUAGGCCCCUUCUUAAGCCGCCUCAUUGAAUAAUUAGAAUAUUUUCUUCCGGGUUAAAAUUGAACCGAAACUUCUUAUUUUGUCAUAGGCCAACUGUUGUUAUGGCACCCAAGGCAACCAAGGCCCCUGUGACCUGCAAUUGGGUCCCCUCCAUAGUCACUAAGAGUAAACUAGCUGAGUUUGUAAAGUCUGGCCAUCUGCCAAAAAAGGAGGUUAUGUCUUAUCGUGCCCCUGACCCGUCUGAAGAAAGGCCUCAACCCAAAGAAGGGGAGGUGAUAGUUUUCAUAGAUCACAUGAACCGAGGAUUUGCCCCUCCCGGCUCAAAAUUCUUCAGGGAAGUUUUGAAUUUCUUUGAUCUUAGACCUCAAGACAUUGGACCAAAUUCUGUGUCAAAUAUUUGCAAUUUCCAAGUCUUCUACGAGGUGUACCUGGGAGAAGAACCAAGUCUGCUUUUGUCCAGAGAGCUUUUUUACUUGAACCGGCAAAAUGAACGGGCCAACGGGCCUAGUGUUGAGCUUGGCGGCAUCUCAAUUCAGCGGCUCAGAGACUGCCUUUUUCCUUAUGCUGAACUGCCGAGCCAUCCAAAAGAUUGGAAGCAGACGUGGUUCUACUGUCAGGACACUUCACCGGCUGAUGAGAGGCCUCUCCCCGGCUUCCGCGCCCUGCGCCUUGAAUCCAACCAUUAGCUGGCGGAUAAGUUGACUGCUGUUGAGCGUCUGCCUCUCAAUCCCACCAUCAAGAAGAUCAAAGCUCUUUUAGGAAAUGGGUUAAACGGCAUCGAUCUGGUCUGAGUCUGGGUCACCUGGCGAAUACUUCCAUUAAGCCGCCGCUCCGGCUUAAUGUCUAUUUACACAGGCGAGAAGGAUGAUCCAAUGCGUCAUAGUCCUGACGACUUACCAGAUGAUGUGGUAGAUGCUACAACCCAGUCACUGCUGAAGGAGGGCACUGUAACUAGCAAUGCCUUCGGCUUACUUCCCUUCUGCAAGAAGAACCCGGCCCCUACAGUGAGUUAUCAAUCUUAAUAAAUACUCUUUAACCUGUUAUACCUUAUGUGUACUUAUAAUUCCUUGUCUUUUUGCACAGGCCGGUGAUAAUUUCUGGAAGGUCAAGUAUGACCACGAGGCUGCCAAACAAGCCAGGGCAGCCAAGAAAACCGAAAGGAAAGCCGCCAAGACGGGAACCUCAAAGAAGAAGAAACCCAGCGCCUCCGACUUGCUCAAAUUGGAUGAUACUUCUUCGGAUGAUGAAGAGGUAAUUCUUUAAUUUUCUUAACUCCCCUGUCGUUAUUUUACUGACAUUCUAUCCUUUUAGGAGGAUACAGGGAACAGUCAAGCAGUUGAAGAAGAGGUAACCAUAAUCUCCUCUGACUGAGAGCCUUUGCCAAAACAAAAAAUCCGAAGAGUGACCCGGAAAGUAAGAUUUUCACAUCCUCUAGCUUAUCAAGAUCCUCAAUUUCUUUUGAAGCAACAACAGCUUGAGAACCGGAGGUAGACUCGGGCCAAUCAAGACGCAGAACUCUCCUCCGGCUUACCCGAUGUAACUAGGAAGCAUCGGACCGAGGUUAUCUCCAAUUUACGUUCUGCUUUACCUUUGGCGGGUUUGAUUCGCCAACCUCUCAAUUCAUCUGACUCCAAUUAUCAGGAUACCUCUCCUUCUUCCGACGAGUCUAUGCAAUCAAACAUGCCAGCUUUCAAAACGGCUCCCGGAUAAUGUAACCUUUCUUACUUUAAGUUUUACCGUACUUAUGCUUUAAUACUCAUCCUUCUACCUUUAUUGACAGCCUGCAAGUGAAGCCCAGCAAGAGGGCAAGGAAAAAUAAGCCGUCCCAAGACCCGGUUGUCACUGAACCGGCGCUUGACUUGUCUGCUCCUGACAGCUCCACCCAUCAACCGCCACCUAAACUGGCUUCUGAUAUUCCGGUGCCAACCUCUGAUCUGCCUGCCGAAGAUGUUAUCCACAACUCUGAUAACCCGGAAGCUCCUAGCCCGGCCAAGACGACUGACCCGGAAGUUGAAUUUCUGAAAAGUCAAUUUGUUGAACCGGGGCGGCCUACUGUUCUUGCCCAAUGCACUGCCAAGGAAGAAUUUGCCCAACGUCGAAAAGCCAAGCAGGACAUCACUGACUAUACUCACUUAAGCAUUGGUGAUAUAGUCUCGGGCUAUCUGAAUCAAGUGCAUAAUAGUCGUGACCUGGAAAUUGACAUGGUGAAACAAAUACAACACAAAUCUGAGGUAUAACUUAUGCUAUUUUCCUGAAUCUUACUUACUGUACCAGCCCCAAGUCUAUUGCUUAUGAAUACAUAUGUUGUAGACUUACAAAUCUACUCACUAUUUGUUUGUCCGGUUUAAAGAGAAUAUAUUUAACCCGGUGAUAGCAUGAUGCUUUGAACUUGCGUUACACAUUAGCCCCCAAGUGUCAAGUAUCUUUACUUGUAAAGUGCUUGAGACUUAAUAUGUAUGACUCAGUAGGAUAGGUUAAAAAUUCUUUAAGCAUACAUUAGCCCCCAAGUGCCAAAUAUCUUUACUUGUAAAAUGUUUGGGACUUGAAUGUUACCUUACCAUGAUUCUUACCAUAACCUGGUAUCAAUACAGGCCACCAUAAGUCAAUUUGAGUCGGAGCUUGCUGACCUGAAGAGCCGGCUGACAACUCAAGAGCUUGAAACUCAGAAAGCCAACUCCAAGUUUGAAUUCAGCGUCUCUGAACAAGAGAAGUUGACGCAAAAUUUUGAGUCAGAGAAGAAAAUCUGGGCUGAUGAGAAGACUUCACUGGUGACUCGGGCCGAGACGGCAGAAACAGCUCUUGCAGAGGCAACAACUGAGUUAUCUGACUUGAAACGGCAGAUAUCCCAAAUGGUCUCAGCCAUCUUCGGUAAGUUACUAUGCAAAACCUCAAGCAUUGUAAUCUUCCAAUGACUAUUGUAAUAGUUACCUCCGGCUCAUUGUUAUGCUUGUGAACAUACAGGCCCUAGGAGUACCAACCUCAAGCAAAACAUGCUGAUCAAGCUUAAGGCGGUUUACACCUUAGUGGAACAGCUGUACUCCGGGUCACAACGUGCCUUGGCCGUUGUGGCCUUAUCAAAUACCACUCCCCACCUCCUACAAGAUGUGCUGAAGCAUCUCGCAGUGCUGCCUCAACGAAUUCAGGAUUUAAGGCGGGCAUCUUCAAGAGCCGGAGCUGUGGCCGCAUUAAGCCGGGCAAAGGCAUGGAUGCUAGAGCUUGACUUGGCUGACCUUUCUCUUGGAUAUCCAAGCCUGAAGGAGGACGGUACUGCAUUUAAUGAUCAAGAUUUCACCGCCUGUGUCAAAGUCGUACGUCCCUUGGCUACCCUUAUUGGGAACGAUACUGAUCUUACUAAGUAUUCGCCGGGCUAUGAUAGCGAGAACCGGAGAAUUCCAAACAUUCCAUAUGACCAAGUCAGCCUGAUCCCUCCAACGCGCAAGCAUACCUUUGCCCCUGAAGUGGACUCGACCAAUUUAAUAGAUGAUGAGGCUGAGUUUGAAGCCUUGAGUGGCAUUGACUGGGCCUCGUACACCUUCCAGGACAAAGCAACCGACGGAGAGGCGGAGAAGGAUAACCCGGAGUCUUCAAGCCCGCCGAAGGAAUGAACCGCCAGGCGUUUUAUAACUUUGCAAAAACAAUGCUUCACUUAUUCAGACUCGGGGAGUCUUGUAAUAGGAUAGAAAAAACCUCUCAAUGUUUGUCAUGCCUUCGCUCAUGUUUAUAGUGCUUACUACUUUCGUAAGUCGCCAUCACUAUAUUUUUCUGGCUUACGUUGACCGUUUAUUUCCUUGAUGUUUUUAACUUGCUUUACCUUAUCCUGCGAUCUCUUUGAGAAAUGUGAACAAAUUUAUGAAAUGGAAGAACAUUUUUCUAAAAUUUCAAAAAAAUCAUUUCUUGAAAUCCUGAACAUAUUUUGCAAAAUCAAGAACAUUUUAUAACACCCAUACAUUUUUUGAAAAUUUUGGACGAAAGCAUUUGCAACAUUCUUAUGAAAACAAGAACAUUUUCUAAAAAUCACGAACAAUUUUUUAAAAUUAUGAACAUUUUUAAAAAUCACGAACAUUUUUCGAAAUUAUUAUUUUUUUAGAAAACAACCUUUUUUAAAAAAAAUUUGAACAUUUUUCUAAAUUUGAGAACAAUUUUCGAACAUCAACUUAGUUUAAAAAAGAUGAAAUAACCUUGAAAACGAAAAAAGAAACAGAAAACAAAAAAAAAGAAAAAAAGGAAAGGGAACAGAAAAAAACUCAGAAAAACCAAUAAAAGAAAAAAAAACGGUUCAAUGAACCCUUCUAGAAGGUUUCCAAAACCGGCUGGUAGUGGCAGUUGUUCGCGCAAAAACUGGGCCCGCUCUUUGCGUGGCUGCUCGGUCGGUCGCAUGUGCGAAGCGCCGGCAGUUUGACGCAAAGAACGUCAAAUAUGAUAUUCCUUUUAAACUAUGGUAUUAAGUCAAUAUUUUNNNNNNNNNNNNNNNNNNNNNNNNNNNNNNNNNNNNNNNNNNNNNNNNNNNNNNNNNNNNNNNNNNNNNNNNNNNNNNNNNNNNNNNNNNNNNNNNNNNNNNNNNNNNNNNNNNNNNNNNNNNNNNNNNNNNNNNNNNNNNNNNNNNNNNNNNNNNNNNNNNNNNNNNNNNNNNNNNNNNNNNNNNNNNNNNNNNNNNNNNNNNNNNNNNNNNNNNNNNNNNNNNNNNNNNNNNNNNNNNNNNNNNNNNNNNNNNNNNNNNNNNNNNNNNNNNNNNNNNNNNNNNNNNNNNNNNNNNNNNNNNNNNNNNNNNNNNNNNNNNNNNNNNNNNNNNNNNNNNNNNNNNNNNNNNNNNNNNNNNNNNNNNNNNNNNNNNNNNNNNAGUAUACCACACGCGAUCCUGGUUAGCAAUCUGAAGAGAGAGAGAGAGAGAGAGAGAGAGAGAGAGAGAGAGAGAUUGAUGGCGCGCGGCGGCGGCGGCGGAGUCGAGUUUCGGCCGCCUCCUGAGAUGGCGAUGGAAGAGAUGGAUCGGCAGCCUGUUGUUGUUUCCGAAGCAAGAAUCCUGAGGAUGGAGAUUGCGUCCCUGGUGAACUUGCUCAUCGAGAAACAAUCUGACGUUCUUUCCUACGAUCCCGAGAUCGUGAGGAAGAUCACGUCCCUGAGGAGCGAGAUCGCGUGCCAGAAGCUGGCGAGGGAGCGCAAACCCUUGGUUACGGAGGUCAAACGCACAGUGCCGCGGAGGCGCAAAAAGUUUUAUGCAGUGCAGAGGGUCGCUGAGAAGGAGAUCAUGGCCGAUCAGGAGAGCGUGGAUCUGCCUAACUCCGAUACGCAUAGUGUGACCUCCCAAGUCAGUUGCAUCUCCGAGCAGUUGCCCGAGCCCUGCGACUAGAAGGAGAUCGACUCGGAGAAUAACAAAUCAGCUUCCAGAUUCAAAUCCAACUUCGAGCAUGUAUAUUCACCCUACGGUAUUGAGGAUGAGGGAGUGCGCCUAAACCGCCAAUUCAGUCAUAUAUUGCCGCAGGCGGAUGCCUUGUGUGACGAGAUGGCAUCUAUAGCAUCUAUUCUGAGGAAAAUCAGUGUCCCCAUCAUCUCCUAUUACGAUGUCUCUGAUCUGUGUAACACAGCGCAGAGUUUAUCGAGGAUCUCCAAUAGUAUAUUGUAUAAUAGCAUGAGUGCUGAUAAACAGAUGGCGGUCCAAUAUGCUGAGGACCAGAGGACCAAGGAGGAGAUGACCGAUCAGAUGGGCAAAGGCAAAUCCAGCACCCACUUUCUUGAGAAGCAGAGGACCGAGGAAGGGGAAAAUUUUGUUUUUGCCACUCUAGAUUUUGCCAAUUUUCCUUAUGCAACUCUAGAUUUUGCCAAUUUUCCUUAUGCCACUCUAGAUUUUGACAUUUCAUUUUUGCCACUCUUAGUUUUUGACAAUUAUCACAAUUGCCAUUCCCGUGGCAAAAGCAAAAUUUUCAGAGUGGCAAUUGUGAUAAUUAUCAAAAGCUAAGAGUGGCAAAAAUGAAAUAAAAUUAAUUUGAUUUUGCCACAAAAUGGCAAUUGUGAUAAUUGUCAAAAACAAAGAGUGGCAAAAGUAAAAUGUGAAAAUCUAGAGUGGCAUAAGGAAAAUUGGCAAAAUCUAGAGUGACAAAAACAAAAUUUUCCCCUUCACUAAUUGAUUUGCCUUUGUCCAUCAUCCUCGACUCAUGCGUCUCGGCGCUUGAUUGGCCAUCAUCCAUGUACGCAGUCAUCUGGUUGGAAAGGCAACUUAUCACAUCUGAUCCCACAAAAUGGUCACCCUCAUCAUCUGUCAACUGGCCAUCAUCAGCGGUAUGGUCAGUCAAAUCUGUUAUAGAUACAUCCACCUCUUCCUCAGGCAAGUCAAGCAUGGAGACACAUGUGUCGAGGAUGUUGGAUAUGAUGGUGCUGGUUUCUGAUGAUAAGAGUGAGUCGGACGGUAUGACCAACUUGUGCAAAUAUUACAAGAUCCUUGAAUUUGAGGAUGAGAAGGUGUUGGGCAAGAUGACUGCUGAGAAUUUAAGGAUGUAUUACAAAUUUCGUACGGAGCUAUUAAAGAUGGAAGCCAGCUUAUGCGAGUUCCGGGAGCAGAAUGAAAAGGAUGACCUGAGGUGGGAGCAGGAUAAAAAGGACGCACUGAGCUGUUGCAGAACAGACCCGACCCCCUUCUCACUUCAGGACGCAGUAGGGGAGGAGGGGGAGGAGGAGGAGGUGACAGAAUUCACAGAAUCAGACAAAGAGGAGAUGGAGAUGGAGGACAGGUUGUUUUCUGGAAAACGUGAAGUCUGGGAAUCCGCAUGGGGAUGCUAUGGUGAAUUUGAAGACAGUAGUAAGUAAACAUGAACAUCCAUCGAAUCAUUCUCCUCUUAUUUGGCAACCAGAUUCUUCCCUUCCUUUUUUCCUUGUACAAGUAAUUCAUGUUAGAACAUGUCUAACACUUGGAUUAAUUUGGUGUCGCAGCCGCAGUGAGUCCUAUGCACUUUACACAUUGCACGCCGGGACUGAUCCCGUACGCCGCUCGCUCUGUGAGCACCUUGCAGAUCUACUCCUUGAAGAUUGUUGGAACAGAUGGAAAGUUGAAGUUACCACUCCAUGUGUAUGGUGUUGUUGCUGCCCGAGACACCGUGGACUGCAACCGCAACAUUCUCUUCUUUAGGCGAAGGGAAGACUGUCAAAAACUCACUCCAGAGGUAUGUACCGUAUUCCAAAUUUCUCUCUGUUUUCCAUUUUUGUUCUUGCAUGUGUCCUUGUUCAUUCCAUUCAGCGACAAUGAUGACUAUGAUCCUUGCAGGAUCCAUUUUUGCACUUGACUGGCCCGUCCCGUGCCAUCGUGGCUGUGGACCAUGUUGACUUCGAAGUCCAACUGAAAGUAAAGGGUGCAACAAGGUACAGCGACAAAGCAUUGAUCAGUCAUUGCUGCACUUAUUCUGGUGGUUAUCAUGAAGGUUUAGAUACCGCUCUCAUCAGCAACUACUUUUGCACGGUAGAGUUAAGCUUGGAGCGACUCACAAAGACAGUCCAGGCUACCAUCUUAAGUGUCCGUGUUGUUGAAGGGGGACCUUGGCCUUUUGAAUAUGGUGGUCGGAUUGUGUGCUCCUCACCACCACAGGAAGUUAUGGACUCCCUGGCCAGGCAAGUUGUGUUGGUUGAUUCUCGUUC
rnacentral:lncRNA from 1 species